UAUGUUUUACGAGUGGACUAUGACGCGGCAAUAUAUAUGUAACACACAUAUCGAGUUUACACAACUUCAUCAGAUUUCAGAUGAUACAAGCUAGGGGCAUAUAGUAGGCGCCCGGCACAGUACUUGACAUGAUGAUACAAACCCCCGGUUACGUGGGUCAUUUAUUUGGACACCACAAACUUGACACACUUCAUGCACUUACGUUUACGUACCUACCUAGUGAUCACUGCAUGCAUGCAUAAUGCUAAUGCGUGACAGAGAACCUAGGCAUGCACAAGNNNNNNNNNNNNNNNNNNNNNNNNNNNNNNNNNNNNNNNNNNNNNNNNNNNNNNNNNNNNNNNNNNNNNNNNNNNNNNNNNNNNNNNNNNNNNNNNNNNNNNNNNNNNNNNNNNNNNNNNNNNNNNNNNNNNNNNNNNNNNNNNNNNNNNNNNNNNNNNNNNNNNNNNNNNNNNNNNNNNNNNNNNNNNNNNNNNNNNNNNNNNNNNNNNNNNNNNNNNNNNNNNNNNNNNNNNNNNNNNNNNNNNNNNNNNNNNNNNNNNNNNNNNNNNNNNNNNNNNNNNNNNNNNNNNNNNNNNNNNNNNNNNNNNNNNNNNNNNNNNNNNNNNNNNNNNNNNNNNNNNNNNNNNNNNNNNNNNNNNNNNNNNNNNNNNNNNNNNNNNNNNNNNNNNNNNNNNNNNNNNNNNNNNNNNNNNNNNNNNNNNNNNNNNNNNNNNNNNNNNNNNNNNNNNNNNNNNNNNNNNNNNNNNNNNNNNNNNNNNNNNNNAUAUAGAUGAACUCAAACACAAACUGGAGUAGUGUAUAGGAAGCUGCAUGCAUGGCAUAUGUACGCAGCAUGCCAUGCUUGGACGAGUACGUUGAUCUAUCAGUGCGGGCAGGUGAAGCCGGGCGGGCAGGUCUUGUGGCAGUGGUUGAGCAGGAGCACCAGGUCGACGGGGACGUUGAGGUUGAUGACGCCGAGGACCUUGACCUUGAUGGCGGUGCAGAGGCACACCGCGGCGUCCAGGUCGGCCAGACCGGCCAGCAGCGGGCAGCACCGCUCGCUCGGCGGCACGCCAAGCCCGAGCUUCAGCAGGUUCAGCACGUUGGCGCACACACGCAGUUUCAGCGUGUCAAUAGGGCAUGAGCCGCCGUUGGUCGAUGGAGGAGACGGUGGGGUCGGGGUAGGGCAGUGAGGUUCACAGCUACCGUGCACAGUGGUGACCAUCAAGUUCAGGCCGAGGAGCACGAGGAAGAGCUUGGUCGAUGGCGCCAUUGCGAAAGCUAGCCUUGGUCGAGAGGAAGCAAGGCUUACUAUAGGAAGCAACUAGCAAGGGUUUGUAGGCGCUGUGAGUUUGAGCUGUGUGGGGUGGUAUUUAUAGCCCGGGCGCACGUAUAUGUUGAUCCAUGAUCGAGCAUUCAAGUUUGAUUCUACAACUUAACUUAAACUAUAAUAAACUCCAUCUACAACUUAGCUUAAACUAUAAUAUACGUCCGGCUAGUUUCAAUACUUGAUGGGCAUGUGUAUUUUCAAACAAGCUCUGCACACAGAAUAACGGGAUACUAGUGGCUGGAAUGCGCUGAAGAUAUGCUGUGUGACGACUUUCAUGCCAUGGCCAUGCAUGCCGUAGUUGCUACUUAGUUUGAUACCAUGCAUGGACACGUAUAGCAAGUGCAAUAUUAACUGGAGAGCAAGAGAAGUCAACUAUAAAUGUUUCAUAGCUAGCUUUGGCUUAUACGUUAUACCUGGCCGUCACUCGGGCCGGGCCGGGCUUCGGGACGGGCCUAAACAAGCCCGAUGCAGAAAACUCAAGCCCGGGCGUCAGGCCUAAAAAUCAGGCCACAAGCCCGGCCUGAUUGUGUAAAAGCCCGCCAGGCCUCAGGCUGGGCCUCUUCAUUAAAUCCCUGAUAUGAGCGGGCCGGCCCCAGCCAGGCCCGGCCUUCGGGCUCAAAAUCUAGGCCCAGGCCCGGUCUAUGCACAAUGUCGGGCCAGGCCGGGUCGGGCAUUUCGUGCCGGGUCGGGUCGGGCCAUCCGGGGCGGACUGCCCAUGGACAGGUAUAUUAUACAUGCAUGGUUGUUGGUGUGGACACGUAUCCACGCACUGGUUUUUAUAGAAAAGUGUUCAUCAUGUAUUUGAAAAAAAUUCAACGUGUAUCUAAAAAGAAGAUCCGGGCCUACAAAAAAUGUUCAAUGUGUAGUGAAAAAAGUGAUAUGUAUUUCAAAAAGAAAGCCAAAAAAAUUACCUAUUCUAAAAAGUUUCCUGCAAAAAAAGAGGGCCAAAAAACCGAUAAAGAAAAAACAUAGAAUAAAACAAAAAUAAAAAAUGCUGUGCAAUUUUCCCUAAACAGGACAAAAGCGAUAGAAGGUUCAACGAGCUGGUCCAUAGAAGCUUCCAAAAACCACAAAACCUCUAGCUAACACAAUUAUCGGGUCGGUCCACCAUGUCUAUCUGCAUACGCGAGCACAAAGUUAUGUCUCGGAAUAUGCCAAAUGUGUAACACAUAUUAAAAAAAUUAUACAUAUUCGAACCAAAUCAACCACAUAUAUUUUUAAAAAUUUCAUGUAUUUUAAAAAUGUUAAAUGAGUACUAAAAUGUUUCACAUGUAUACGAAAAAUAUACAAUCUGUAUGAAACAUAGAAAUAAAAACAUAUAGUAUUUUAGAAAUGUUAAUCUUGUAUGUAAUUUUUUAACACAUAAGUAAAAAAUGUUCCUGAUGUACAAAAAAAGGUAUAUGAAAAAAAGUAGACAUCAAAAUGUGUUAAUCAUGCAUUCAAAAGGUGAUAAAGACAUAUAAGAAAUGUUUUAUAUUAUACAAAAAAGGUAUAAUGUGUAUGAACAAGGAAGUACGCGUCAAAAACAUAUAUGUGAAAAAACAAAGGAAAAAAUGAAAACAGUGAAAACCGAUGCAAAAAACUGGAAAAUACAGUCAAAACCAGAAAAGAAGACAAACCGGCGAAAAAACAAUGGAAAAAAACCGAGAAACUGAAGAAACAAAGAAAAGUAAAGUGAAAAACCAAAGAAAACAAAAAACCAGGAACAACAACGAAUGUACUGAUCGAUGAACGACAGACCCAAAAAGGCUAGUGGGCCAGCCCAAAAGUUUGGGCACUGCGGACGCUACCUAUGUUGUCGUCGCAACAAGCAAGGAAUAGAUCUUCCACUAGAGAGUGGCUCUAGUCCAAACCAAUGGGCCCUUAACUCUGGCUCAAAAUGGAGCACCCACCAUGAGUUAUUCUGAUGAGUAUAGAUGCCAUCACAAAGAUAGUACCCCAUGUUGUACUGAUGCCCAUUGGAGAUUUUUUCGAGACUUUAUAACAUUGUUUGCGAGUGGUUUUCAUCGAUUUUCACGUAAUUUUCUAUCCUUCUUCAUCAAAAGAAAAGGAAAACUAGAAGCUUUCAUGCAUGCACAACCCGGACAUCUCAGAUCACACAAAGACAUGAAUAUCCCAGAUGAUAUAAUUGAUGGUGUCAUUUUAUGUAUAUUAUUUUUCAUAUACGUAACUAGAAGUAGCUGGUGUCAUUUUACUUUAUCAGCUUAUAUAAUUGAUGCGUAGAAGUAGCUCCAGAUCUUUGCCCAAUUUAAUAUAUAUCACAAUAUACAUAUAUUUUUAAAAAUUUCACAUGUAUUUUUUAAAAAUUAUACAUAUUUGAACGAAAUCAACCACAUAUUUUUAAAAUUUUCAUGUAUUUUAAAAAUGUUAAAUGAGUACUAAAAUGUUUGACAUGUAUACGAAAAAAUAUACAAUCUGUAUGAAACAUAGAAAUAAAAACAUAUAGUAUUUUAGAAAUGUUAAUCCCGUAUGUAAUUUUUUUAACACAUGACUAAAAUAUUCCUGAUGUACAAAAAAAGGUACAUGGAAAAAUGUAGACAUCAAAGUGUGUUAAUCAUGCAUUCAAAAGGUGAUAAAGUCAUAUAAGAAAUGUUUUAUAUUAUACCAAAAAUGAGUAAUGUGUAUGAACAAGGAAGUACGCGUCAAAAACAUAUGUGAAAAAACAAAGGAAAAAGAUGAAAACAAUGAAAACCGAUGCAAAAACUGGAAAAUACAGUCAAAACCAGAAAAGAAGACAAACCGGCGAAAAAAAUAUGAAAACAAAAAACCAAGAAACCGAAGAAACAAAGAAAAGUAAAAGUGAAAAACCAAAGAAAACAAAAAAAAAAUCAGGAACAACAGCGAAUGUACUGAUCGAUGAACGACAGACCCGAAAAGGCUUGUGGGCCAGCCCAAAAGUUUGGGCACUGUGGACGAUCCUAUGUUGUCGUCGCAAUACGCAAGGAAUAGAUCUUGCACUAAACAGUGGCUCUAGUCCAAACCAAUGGGCCCUUAACUCUGGCUCUAGAUGCAGCACCCACCAUGAGUUAUUCUGAUGAGUAUAGAUGCCAUCACAAAGAUAGUACCCCAUGUUGUAUUGAUGCCCAUUGAGAUUUUUUCGAGACUUUAGAACAUUGUUUCUGAGUAGUUUUCAUCGGUUUCCACCGAAACUUGGUUUUCACGUAAUUUUCUGUCCUUCUUCAUCACAAGAAAAGGAAAAUUAGAUACUUUCAUGCAUGCACAGCCCGGACAUCUCAGAUGAUACAAAGACAUGAAUAUCCCAGAUGAUAUAAGCACUUCGUUAGACAACUUCAACGUACUUUUAUUCCACGUACUAAUGCAUGCAUGUCUGGUACAGUAUUAAUUCCAACAACGCAACACGACACAUUUUUACGAUUACGCAUGUACCUACCUAGUGAACACCGUUGCAUGCAUGCAUGCACGAGACUGAGAUAUAAGAUGAACUGGAACGCAAGCUUGCAAAGAGCACAUAUAUGUGUACGGUUGAUCGAUCAGCGCGGGCAGGUGUAGGUGGAUUCGCAGGGAAUGUUGCACUGGUUGAGGAGUACUACGACGUCGAGGCGGAGGCCGAGGACGCCGCCGAGGACGUCGCAGAGGCACGCGGCAGCUUGCAGGUCGGCCAACCCGUAGAGCAGCGGGCAGCACUCAUUCGCAAACAAGCCGAGACUGAGAAUCGGCAGGUUCAGCACAUUGACGCACACUUGCAGAUUCGGGCACGAGCCAGAGCUGGUUGAUGGUGGUGCUGCCGACGCGGGGUACGCCUGUUGCGGUGGCGACGGCGGUGGUGGGGGCGGCGGCGGCGGAGACGGGGACGGGCAGUUGUAUCCCGGGCACGACGGUGUUGGCGGCGGCGGCGGCGGCGGAGACGGGGACGGGCAGUUGUAUCCGCAACCGCGAACUGUGUAGACCGUCAGUGCCAUGGCAAGGAGCAGGAGGGCGAGCUUGGACGAUGGCCGCGGCGCCAUUGCUAGAGCUUUGAUUGAGAAAGCUAGUCACAUGUGUAUGUGAUUGUACUGCUGUAUGUUCGGGUUGUUUUGGGUGGUAUUUAUAGCCGGAUUAUACAUGAUGCAAGAGGUUGUGUGCGUGUUGAUGAUCAGAUCAGAAUCAGAUCGUGUACCCUCAUGGAUCGAUGCUCUCACCCUAUGUACGCAGUUUACAACAAGCCACGCGCUGCUUACAGUACAUGUGCCCUCAUGGCACUAGCUGGAAUUGGCUGAUAUCUUUGGGGAGCACGCCACGGGCAUGCAUUGCUUGCUCUCAUUAUUGUGAACGUACACUAUAGACAUGCAUGUGCAGACCUCAACUAAUUAGGUAGUAGCAGGACAAGUCAACUAUAUGUGCUCCUAUAUAUAGCUGGUUAUUGGCUCCUCUCAUAUGUGGCACUAAAUUGGUAGUUGCAUCCCUCAAGAUCGGAUGCUAUCAUGCACACAAGUUGGCUCAUUAGGCUAGUGGUUCUCAUAGUUGACCACUUAAUAUGUGUUAUAUCACGGCCAAUGGCUCCUCUCCUCAAGCAUGGCACACUAUUAUAUGAUCUGGUAUGAUUUCAUUUGGAUUUACCCUCAUGCAUACAACUUGACUAACAAGGUGUGCCUAUACAACUCCCAGAUCUUUACCCUCAAUCACAACUAAUUAAUCAGCUAACAAAGUUGUCCGUCUUAGCUGCCAUGCAUCGUUCCCCUUCGUAGCCCAUCCAUCACUUGAUCGUAGGUUGACACGAACCAAAUUUCCAAGGCCUUGUGAGCCACCCUUAAUUUCAUCUCAUUCAUUAAUUCGACGGAUUUGCAAAGUAUGGAAUUUGCUUCUCCACUCAUCAUUCGUCUUGGUUGAGGAGAUUUUUGAGUUAAAAAGUGAAAGGAGGGAGUAUAUGAAAUUUCAUCUCCUUCACUGGCCCAUGACCUAUUAUUGGUCACUCAUUGCCAACUGAACCUCAUAUUGAGAGUAAUUUCCAAAAAACUACCAUUUUAGAGGUAUUUGUCCUGAAAACUUCCCCCUUCUUAUAAAAAAAACUACCAUUUUUGUUAUAAAAAUUUCUUUAAAACUAUCAUUUUUGCAUAGGUACCGGUUUAAACAAAUUAAAUGUGUUUAUGAGAGGAGAGACCCACCCAUCACGCUGACAUGAUUGGAUAGUCAACUCCGUUUAUUUCGACCAGCACCGAAGGCAUUAUGAUAUGUGGGACCGUUAUGAUAUGUGGGACCCACAUGUCAGUCGCCAUGUGACAAACCCAGUCCAGCAGCUCCUGGAAGUGCUCGUCGGUGGCCGUCGACCUAAUCGACUCGCACACCAUCGACGCGAUCUCAGGGAGCGGCCGCCGCUGGAUCGCGUUCGUGCUCCCCUCGGCCACCGUGAACGUCGUGACGUAUCCGACGUAGUUGCGCCUGGUUUCCUCCGGCACGGUGAUGCGACGCCGUCGCCCGUUCACCCACCAGCCCAUGCGGCAACUCUGGUCUGACAAGCCCACGGUGGCGGGGAACACCUUCCAUAGGUAUGCAGAAACCGCCUCAACGCGGCUCGCCCCGUGCUCCCCGUCGCCGGUCGCCUGCGCGCGCAGCAUGGCGAGGUUCCGCUCCUCGACGUAGUAGGUGCGGCAGACCAAGGAGCCCCCGGCCGUGAGGGCGUUGACGAGAUGCUCGCUCACCAGCAGCAUGAACAGCUUGCCCACCGAAGGGCCGUACGACAGCGUGGUGCGAGGGCGGAAUAAGGAUCAGUCAAAGUUCAGGGUGGCGACGAUCGUCCCGGCCCGCGCGAGCUCAGACCACGCGUCAACGAUCAUGCACAGCGUGCACCCGUCCGCGAGGCCGUGGUUAGUGCUCCAGGUCCAGGUCACAACGAACCAGCCGCAGGCGAAAGACACCAGCUGCACCGACAGCACGGCGUCCGUGCCGUACUGGACGGGAACGCCGACCCUCGCCAGCGACGCGUCCAUGUCGUCGAAGUCCAGGCUGCCUAGCGCCUCGCCGACCUCGAUGACGACGAGCUCCGCGCCCUGCUUGUCGCAGUGCACCUCCAGGAGCCCUGUCCGCGGGUUGGCCACGAUGCGGCCUGCGAGCAGAAAAGAAGUGGUCCAGCAAGGGCGACAGCUUGCCCUCGAACGCGGCGAUGACGUCGACGAAGCCACCGCCCGCGGAGGGCCCCAUCAAGAGCGGCAUGGGGUAAUUCCAAUGUUUAAAUAGCGGGCUAUGAAAAAUAGCGGUGGGCCUUUAAAUCAGCUAUAGCGGAGGUAUAGCGGACUAUUUAUAAAGACGACUAUUUAGCAGAACCCUGCUGAAAAGGCUAUAGCGAGUAUAGCCGGCUAUUUAAAACUAUGGAUAAUACAGUACGUCGAGGUUGAAGACGGGAAGCACGGCGCCGGGCCGUGUGACGGAGGCCUUGACGAUACUCCUGCGGGUAAACCUUGACGGAGGUCACUCGAACAAGCAAAGAAACUGACCUGCUGUCUCUGAGAUACGCUUUCACUUCCCUGCCUUGAAGUACUGUAUAUAGUACAAGUGUUGUAGUAGAAGUUAACCUUGAAAAUUCCAAAGUCAGCGUGGAAUCUUUUGUACUGGCUGGGGCAGCGCUUUGGAUGCCAAAAUGAUAGUAUACACAAAUAUAUCACCAGAUAGAAGAUGCAUGCAUUCUUAGAAGAAAAAGAAAAAUAUGCAUGGAUAACAUGAUUCCACGCCGAUAUGUAUGUAUAUGUAAUUGAUUUUCUAAUGCUUUUAGUUUACAUCAGCUAUCAACAAAUGAGUACAACUUUUGUCAUCUAUUCUUUUUCCUUUUGCUUUCUUCUUCUUAAUUUGCUGAUGGCACCAUAUAGUACACUUGACAAGGUGUGCCUGAAUCGGUGUCUAUAUUUUUCUCUGUCUUCGUCAUCUUGGGAAGGCGGUAACGCAAAGGUGAGAGGCGAGAGCAGGGUGGGACGAUAACCCCCACGGAUUCUAAAGUGGCAUUUAAAAAUUUCCCCUGAUAUUCGAAACAUCGGGAUUUGGAGCCUUUGGUCCCACCGCAGCUGUUGACCCUGGUCAGGCAUCAGCGGUGAGCAUGUUCUGGUGUCAUACUUGUACAAAGUUUCAUCGUUCAUGUAGCAGAGCAUCUUGUCGCCAUUGUCAACCCAGGCGCUCCAUGGCCUGAAGAUGUAGAAUGGUUCCUUGAUAUGGAAGUUAUAGCGCAGAUCCCACUGUGGAGGCUUGUCAUCCUCCGGCAGCGACAUGACCCAAAAGUGGAGGCCCACGUAACAGACGUGUUUGACGAAGCACAACUAGCCGUCGAGCUCGAAGGCACCCACUAGCUGCUUGGCAUAGUCGAGAGUCUCAUGCUCUGGCAGACGGUGCGUGCGGUAUGUCUCAGUAAGCACAUCGACUACCAACACUCGCUUCCAACCUAUCGUCAGCACAUACAGCUUGCCGUCGAUCAGCAGUGGCGGCCAAGUCGGGAUUUCAGCCGGAUGAGACGGUGAGUGGAAUGAGUGCUGCCGCCAGCGCCGAGUGUCGCCUAAGGUGUACACGGCCAUGUGCACCUUAGAGAACCUGAACAGCUUAUACUCAUUGGUGGGUGGACUGAAUCCCAAGGCGAAGAGAUGUGUCUUAUCCUUGGUUCCUGUGAGCGGCGGCGCCCUGGGAAGCGCCAGCGUCUCGCCGGUGACAGGGUUACAUACCACCGCCGGUGCCUCGGGGCCGCUGCCGUGCACAUAGCAGAGGAGGCCGUUGCAGACGUUGGCGAGGUCGUAGACACUGGGGAUGUCGAAGGAGAACAUGGCCUUGCCCGAAGACAUGCUGAAGAUGCUGGCCUCGUCGCUCCGGCCCGGCUCACACGUCGUCAAGACGAACAAGACAUCUGCGUCCGCCGACAAGGCGGUGGCGUAGUUGGCGGCGUGGAGACGGCGAAAGGAGGGCUCGCUGACGACACUGCGCCACAGCCUCGAGACGCAGUAGCACCGGGCCACGUCCUUUGUCGGCAGCUUCACUAGGAUCUCUUGGAUCAUCUCCCUAGGGAUCUCCCUGCUGUGGCUGCUGCUCUGAGCCUCAACGCGACGAAGAUGGCGACGACGACGUCCCGUCGUCAUGGAUAGACGAAGAUGGUGACGAAGACGACGCCCCAUCGUUACAGAUAGAUGGGCAACAGCAAUCCGGCAACGUGGAAUCGACCAGCUUGUGAUCGCAGGGUGUCUAUUUUAGAGCACGAGUUGCCGAGUUGGAGUCGAAGCAGGUAUCAAGUCGGACUCCUUGUGGGCACACUAAUUACUUCCUGAUGGUAGUAGUAGUAUUUUUAGGAUCCGAACCACCUAAAUUCCAUGCAUAUGUAUUCACCGAUUGACACCGUACGUGCCGGACGAGAUGGUGCCACAGAUCCUCCUCCGGCCCGCCGUCGGACCGCUGCUGCGUCCAAUUUAACCGAGCUCCAUGGGGACUUAUGUGCGUGCGUGCGCCUCACUCGAUAUGUGGGUGUGUAGGGACCUGGGAGAUUAUGUCAAUCCCCAACAAUAGGAUCAGCGUCAUAUCAUUGCUUUCCCGGGCUUACAUUAUCACCUGAUGGAUGCAUCACUGACAACAUAGUGUUCUAUGUCGGAUAUUUCCCGGCGCCUCUGUAACGGCGAUCUCCAAAAUCAACAAGCUAGUUGCACGAAAAAGAUUGACAUGGUGUCCUUGAAGUAUCACAACGUUAACACAGACACGUUUGUGGAAUUGACAAGAAAAUUUGGAAGUAACAUUACCUUUGCAAGAGGAUCCCCUCCCCUCGCGUCGCCUCCCCUGAGGCGACUCGAGGGCGAACCCUAGAUCGCCUCCGCGCUCCCCCCCUCCCUCUCCUCUCCCUCCGCCGCUGCCUAAGGUGCUCGCCGGCACGGCACCUAUGAAGGGGGCAGCGGGGAUAUGGCGGCUCCGUCUUUGCAGAGGGCCCUGGCGUUCGGAGUGGUGGCUCCCAUGGGUGGUACCCGGCGUGGCCGGUGCGGCGGGCUGCGCCGGUGGGUGNNNNNNNNNNNNNNNNNNNNNNNNNNNNNNNNNNNNNNNNNNNNNNNNNNNNNNNNNNNNNNNNNNNNNNNNNNNNNNNNNNNNNNNNNNNNNNNNNNNNNNNNNNNNNNNNNNNNNNNNNNNNNNNNNNNNNNNNNNNNNNNNNNNNNNNNNNNNNNNNNNNNNNNNNNNNNNNNNNNNNNNNNNNNNNNNNNNNNNNNNNNNNNNNNNNNNNNNNNNNNNNNNNNNNNNNNNNNNNNNNNNNNNNGGGCUGCGGGCGCUGGCGUUGCGGCGCCCCCGCGUGGGUGGCUCUGCCGUCCUGGAGAAGCUCCGUCCCCAGCCUCGAUCUGCUCCGAUCUGUCUGAGCUUCAGCCCCUGGUGACUUCGGUCGUCGUCAUGGGGGCCUGGACGGGCGGAUCUGGUGGUUGGGCGUGAUUCCGGGGGAAACCCUUGGCCAGCGCGGCGGCCUCACCUAAUCGAUUUGAGCCCGUAACUUAGGAAAUCAAACUAAAUACUCCCUCCAGUCCUAUUUAGUCCACGUAAUUCUUUUUACCAAAAAACCCACACUGAUCUGUACCGGUCAAAUAUUUGGGUGUUUCUUUCCAAAUAUGCGCCUUCACUUCCGCUUUGACCGUAGCUCUCACAUUACUUACGCUAGAUCGCAUGGCUCCUCCUCCUAUCAUCUUGGCUUCUCUUUGACAUUUUCAUCUGCCUGACUAGGGUUACAUCUCUCCAUUUUUUUGUUUUACGAAUCGUUAGUUUCAUCAACUCAAAAAAUCGCGAGUGAUUUCCGGCCAUGGAUCAUUGAACCCAGAUUUGUCCAUGGGGACGUCCCACGGAUCCAUCCCCCUCUCUCCUCGAUCUCAGACCUUUAUCCAGAUCCAAUGGCACACUUGUUUCAAAGCAUAGCAAUUGCUGCUCGUUCACCAAUGCCCAGAGGCUGCCUACUUGUGUGUCCAAUCCAGCCACGGAUAGCUGAUUGUUGACUGGUCCAUCACGACCUCUCAUGGAUCGAUCCCUCUUCGGUCGAUCCUAGCUAGAUCCGACGGACCAAGUGCAACUUUCAAAAUAUAGCAGAUCCAUGAGGACGGUAAUGGGUAGGUUAGGUUAAUAUAUAUUUGUCUUACGUAUUUUGGGACCAGGUUGUAGGUUAUUUCUAAUCUAUGUAAAUAAAUGAUGGUAAAUAGUUCUCAAAAGUUGGAAAACGAUAGGUUGUAGGUGAGCCCUUAGCCGGCAAGAUUCCACGGUAUUCGCCGGUGCCCCCAACCCUAGCCUCCUCCCGGCGUCACCUCUAAGUUCGGUCUGCUCACAUGUAUCUCGAUGCGAAACCGUCAUAUGGACCUAGUCGUUCCCACCUACUUGCUUGUCGAGGACAAUCCGGUACCAUGUCACACAUAUCCUCGUGAUGUGUGUGUGUUGGCCGCCUUCUCUAUGUAGUUACACUCCCAAAUCGCUCUAUGAUUUGAUGUGCAGCCGUUUGUCAUUUCUUUGGCCACUCUAAAAUUGUGCCAUGCAAACCACCAUAACACUCUGAUCACAUGUGUGCCGGUCGCAUUCUCCAUUUAAAAGUUGUUGAGUAUGGUCCAUGUCGGAGUGCGGACGAUGAGGAUUCCUUCCCUUUUCUACAUUUCCAUUCAAGCAAGCAUGCAUCACUUCCAUAUGCAGCAGUUUGUUUGCUAACUAUCUCUCGAUGCAUGCAUGCACGGGCGGAGCUCGCCUGGACAUCUUUUUCUAUGUGUAGGCAAAUAUGCACGGGCAGAGCUCGCCUAGACUUCGCCUCGUUGCGUUGAUGGCAAAGGCCAACCAUGGUCGACUGGCGGCGGGGCACUCAUCUUUCGCCCGCUCGGUGCUAGGUGGCAUGGGCUGUCAUAGUUGGGUGGUGGCGUGACGCAUUCACGGGGCGUGGCGGAGGCGCGGGUUACCGGCAGCGGCUUGAAGGGGUUGUGGGUUGCGGGGGAUGGCCGCCAUGUCCUCGGCACAGACGGGAAGGGGGGUGGUGGUGGUGGUGUCUCAUAUGUGUCGAUGUGGGGAUUCGGGCGGCUCGGCUCAUUACUACGGCAGGGCUAGGGCUCACAGAUGGUGGGGUUGGGUCAGCCAUUCAUCUUCUGCUUGGCUCCCCAAGCAGUGGCGUGCCAGCCGGCCUCCAGUCAGUUUAUGUCUCUGGCGUCAGCAGGGGGCACGGGUUGCGGUUUGCGUGGGCGGGCGACCUUUGCUGUGUGCCUGUGGUGGUGAUUGCACGGAUGGUCGACAAGAGGUUGGGUCAACUCUGGUGGCCGCGAUUGGCGCUUGGGUGUUGGUUGCUCGUCCCUUCUCCUAGGUCCAGGCCCAAAACGUUGGAUGUCGGCGCGGUGGAGAUGGUGGGGCUCGUUCUCGGGCUGGUCGGAGCUUCCACAGUAGGUACGCGUUGGUGGGGUCGGUCCGGGUGAUGAGUUGUCUCUGCUCGGAGGUGCGGCGGUCGGGGUUCCGCUAUUGUGUUGGGCAGAUCGGUGGCGAGGACAAUGCAGAUGACGUGAUGCGAGUGUGCUGUGCGGCGGCUGUCGGCAUCCCCCAUUCACCGGGGCUGGUUGCAGAUGCAGGCUCCUAGUAUAGAUUCACUACUUGUAAUAGAAUAAAAUAAAAUAUACAAUCCGUCUUCUUACAUUCUUAUAUUUCUUCUUCUAGCAUAAGUAUGUAAAUUUGUGGUAAAACUUGAUCACAUAAAAAGAAGAUGAAAAAGGAGCCUGUUGUUUGCUCGCUUUGCAUGGCUUCCACUCUGGACGCCAUACGCCAUGCAUGGAUAUGAUAUGUACGUACUGGACGAGCGCGUGAAUGAAAAAAGAAAAGAAAAAAAAGAAAAGAAAAGACAUCAAUCGGGUGAACGCAUCGUUCGUUUCAUUUCCAUUAAAAAAAUAUGAUGGGGUCGGGUGUACAGGCACGGGUGGAAUCAGCGCGCGUUCACACAUGCAUAUGCAUAAAGAAAAACAAAACUUCUUGGCGUCCGUCAUGCGUGGAAUCAACUCUUAGUACGUAGUAGCAUUUGUUUUUUUUGAGUGUAAUAGUAGCAUUUUGUUGUUAAGGCAUUCCAUCUUUUGGAGCCGGUGUCAUGUUUCUUGAACAAUUAAUUAAUGUCUAGUCGCCCCCCUCCCCCCUUUCAUGAGCGAUCGACCCAUGGUCGUGUCGUGUCUCCAAAGGUGCCGGUCGAGGGCUCACCGUCCGUCCGUGCGUCCGGAGGAGUGAGUAGGUCCUCCGCCGCGGAUGAUGGCGUGUGAGUUGGGAGGGUUGUGAGAAUUGCGGUGAAAAGAAAGGAAAAUAGAAAAAAGAACAGGGGCUUUUUGGCGUUGGUCGGUAAGGAAAAUAAGAGCAAUAAGUAAUGGAGAAGUUUAUGAAUUAAUACGGACAUCGUUGUAUCUUCCAGAAUGGGUUUAACAAAUAGAUCGAGCAAGCAAGCAGGCGUUGAUCCUUAAAAAAAAAUUCGAAGAAGCGAGUAGUAGCUGGCAAGUGGGCUGGCUGGUGCAGUCACGCAUGCAUGCCUGUGCGUGAUGCAUGCCACACCACUCCCUCCGUACCGAGAUACUUAUCGGAGAGAUGGAUAAAAUUAGAUGCAUCUAUAACUAAAAUACGUCUAGAUUUAUCCAUUUCUUCAACAAGUAUUUCCGAACGGAGGGAGUACGACGCAAUUAAUUAAGGACUCCUUCCUUCCUUCCUUGAUCGCUCUAGCUUGAUUGUGUCGUCAGCCUAUGUACAAUCUCGAUCGUGGAGAUUAAUGAAGGAGGCGAAGAUCGUGGAGAUUGAUUAGAUGGCAUCUUUUCCUCUCUCUCUACUCCGUGUAGCGGUGGCGGAGGAUACAAAUACAAAGCAUAUUAAAUUUGUUUUCAUCAGCGUCCUGCGACAACGGGGGCAACGCAAAGGUGCGAGGAGAGACUAGGACAGGGGUGGCGUAUUACACAAGUUCCAUCGGCAUGCAUUUGGACGGCAAGAGAGCAACUGGGAGAUCUACUUCCUCGUUCCCAUCGUCCGUUGGAUGUCCAUGACCCUUGUCUCGAUCGUGUCAUACUUGUGUAAUGCAUCUGUGCGUAGCACAACAUCCCAUCAUCAUCAAUCAGGCAUGACCAUGGUCUGUUGAACACAAAGCCUGGUCGUCCCGGUGCUAUGUGGAAGCUGUAGCGCAGAUCCCAGCUUGGCUGCUCGUAGUUGUCGCCCUCGGGCGGCGACAUGACCCAGAAGUGGAUGGCCUUUGUAUCAGGGCGUUUCCAGUUGAGGGCAUGCGUAGCAAAGAACAGCUGGCCGCUAAGCUCAAAGACACCCACCGGCGGGCUAUCCAAGUGAACACACUCGUAAUCCGGGAGACGGUAUGUGCGGUAUGACUCCGUAGCCACGUCGAUUGCCAAUAUUCUUCUCGGAAUCUCGUGCCUGGGCCAACCUUUGGUCAACACGUACAGCUUGCCGUCCAUCGACACCGGCGGCGAGAUUUUCGUCGGGCGACACGGGGAGAGGAACGAGUGGUGGCUCCACCCACCGGCGUCGCCUAGGGUGUACACGUCCACCUCCACGCGCUGCUCAGAGCAAAGAGAGUGUGUCGAUAGCCGAAAGAGCUUGUACUCCUUUGUGGGAGGGCUGAAACCCAAGGCGAACUGGCGCGUGUCUGAGCUCUUGGGGGUGACCAUUAGCGGAGGCGCCCUGGGGUGCGCCAGGGUCUCGCCGGUGACGGGGUUGCACACCACCACCGGCGCCUCGGGAUCGGGGUCGUCGCGGCCAUAGCGGUGUACGAAGCAGAGGAGGCCGUUGCAGAUGUUGGCUAGGCUGUAGCCGCCGGGGAUGGGAAUGCAGCACAUGGUCUUGCCCGACGACACGUCGAAGACGAUGGCCUCGUCGCUCCGGCCGGCCUCCAGCCUCUCUGAGACGAGCAAGGUAUUUGAGAUCUGGGCCGCGGAGAUGACAUGGGUGGCCAUGGCGUGGAGGUUGCGGAAGGAGGGGUUGCUGCCGACCCGGUUCGUGAGCCCCGGGGGCCGGCCGGGCCACGUGGGCCAUUGGUCCCGGUUCGUCUGGACCUUUUGGUCCUGGUUGGUGGGACGAACCGGGACCAAAGGCUGCCCUUUAGUCCCGGUUCGUGCCACCAACCGGGACUAAAGGGUUGGUCCUCAUUGCGGUCAGAGUUUAGUCCCACCUCGCCAACCGAAGGGCGCUCACACCGGUUUAUAAGCCCCUCCCUCUCUGCCUUGUUGAGCUCCUCUCAAAGUGAAAAUAGAUGCCUUUAUACAGGGAAUUUGACCUAAAUUCAUAUUGAAUUUCUCUAAAGUUAGUAGAAAUUUAUUAUGAAGUUAGGUUGAAUUCUCUCUAUAAGCGCAUCUAUGCUCAUUUUUUUAGUAAAGUUAAUCACAAUUAUUUUUUCUUCUAUUUAUUUCUGAGUAGUUUUUUAUAUACUUUUUUUUCUUUUCUGUUAUAUUUAUUUUUUUCUAUUUUUUUCUAAGUUGUAAUAAGUCAUUAAAAAUAAAAAAGAGGCGCAAUGCUCGUUAAUUAGCUUCAAGCCUUUCGGAAUAGUAUAAACUGCACUGCACACUACUAGAAAAAUGGCUAUAAAUGAUAUGGCCACUAAUGGCGCACCAGACAUGUGGUGCGCCAUUACUAUAUACUAAUGGUGCACCAUGUGUUGGUGCGCCAUUAGUAAUAUAUUAAUAAUGGCGCACCUGGUGUGUAAUGCGUCAUUAGCAGUUUUGAAAAAAAAAUAAAAAAAAUUAUUACUAAUGGCGCACCGUGGUAUAGUGCGCCAUUACUAGUUGACAUGGGCCUCGAGCCUCUCUGAGAGAAGCAAGGUCUUUGAGAUCUGGGCCGCGGAGAUGACAUGGGUGGCCAUGGCGUGGAGGUUGCGGAAGAAGGGGUUGCUGCCGACCCGGCGCCACAGCUUAGAAACGCAGCAGCACCGUGCGACGUCCUUGGUCGGCAGCUUCAGCAGGAUCUCCUGUAGCAUAUCCAUGCUGCUGGUGGCCUCCGCCGCCGGACGACGAGAUCCCAUCGCGUUCGAUCUAAUAUUUGUACCGCCCGAGUUGGAUAUUAGGGAUUAAUUACUGCGUAGAUCCGACAGUGCAGUCGUUAAUUAAUUGAGAAAUAUCGGUGACGAUCGAGAAAUAACGUACGUGUACGUGUACACCAAGGAUUCACUUGCAUAAACUUGUACGUGUACGAGUCGAUAACGUGUUGUUGCUUUCUUAAUUACAUCGAUCUAUCACAAGGAUUCAUUCAGGCAACCGUACGUGCGUGCUCAUCGCCACAAACGUGACAAUGGCGCCGUACGUGCCACACGAGGUCAUCGUGUCGCACAUCCUGCCCCGGAUCCCCGUCAGGUCGCUGCUACGGUUCAUGUUUGUUUGCAAGGCAUGGCGUGACACCAUCGGCAACGACGAUUCCUUCCUCCGUGCGCACCUCCGUCUCCAGAACAUGUCCGUGCUCGUCGCUCCUAUGAUCAGAUACAGCGGCGAGCAACUUCUGGGUCCAAAGAGGUGAUCAUCGCCGGCCUGUACCGGUGGAAUCACGAGACUCAGCCAGGCGCCGCCGCCACCCUCAUACACGCCAUGGCCGACUCGUCCUACUUCUUCCCCCGGAAGAGAGAGGCGCACGACCUCACGCACUGCGACGGCCUCGUGCUGUUGCCUGCCAACGAUGUGGUGCGUGUGUUCAACCCGGCCACAUGCCGCGUCCUCACACUUCCUCCAAGCCCGCACGUUGUCAAGCCACGUCGACUCCCGCCUGACUUCCAAGGAUAUCAGGCGUUCGGCCUCGGCCAUGACCCUCACUCCAACGCCUAUAAGGUUGCUCGAUUCCUCGAUGGGGAUGAUUUCUACUAUAUGCUCUCUGGAUGGAGGUGAUCACCAUAGGAAAGGACAAACAGUGGCGUGAGACGACGGUGCCACCACCAUACCCUAUCAUGACAGGACGAACGGCAAUCUUCUUCAUGGGCUCCUUGCUCUGGACAAUCAAGGAGUCGCUUCUUGCGAAUGAUGCUCCAGGUUUCACUCGCUUUAACUUGGAGGACGAGUCCUUCAGCGUCACGGCGAAACCACCUCCUUGUGGCCUAGGGCUAGACUACGCAUCAUCUAGCUUGGCCGAGCUGCACGGAGAGUUGUGCCUAUGUGCGCCUCGCCAGGGAAUCCGCUACAUGUCACUGGAGAUGUGGAUGUGCGGUGAUCUCGGCCGCAACGAUGAGCGGCCACAUUGGGACCGGCGUUAUUUCAUCGACUGUGGCCCCACGUUCCAUGAGCAAAGGUAUUUACGUCUGAUCGGCAUGGUUGAUGAGGAGAUAGUGUUCGAAGCCGGUUCCGACCAUCUCAUGCGCUAUGACUGCCGGAGUGAAGAAGUUGUAUUGAAGGGUAGGGUUCUCAUGAAGAACAUGAGGUAUCGCAACCCCGGCAACAAUGAUAAACAAACACGCAUGGCCAUCGAAUACAUUGAUACGAUCCCCUAUGUUGUAAGUCUGGUUCCACUAUAGACAUGUACCUAACUAGAAGCGGACAAGUGCCUUGUUUUUUCACCGCCUUUCAUUUUGAUCCUACAUUUUUCAUUUCUUUUUAAUUGUAUGUCCGCAAAACCAAAUUUAGGGUAUGAGCAUGAGAAACAUGAGCGCGAUCAAGCGAGGGAAAAACAGACAAAGCCAUAAUAAAGUGAGUAAAGCGUGAAGAUUGGAGUAACUUCAUCAGCUCGAAAUAGGCAAAACGCUGUCAAAACAAAUGGGCAAACCCUAGGUGGAGCAAGACAGAGCUGUGAAGUGCAUCGCGCAUCCCUAGCAAACAACCUAAUUGGGCGAACAACCGGCGAUUUAGCCUCACUUUAUUGCAAGAAUUCAUACCGGAAGUAGCACCAAUUUUUUCCUUCCUCCUCACCCUCCUUCUUCUUAUUUGCUUCCUUAACAAUGGUGUCCCCAUCCUCAUCUUCAUCGUCAUCUAAGAACAUACCACGCAUCAGUGGCUCCGCCACCCUAAUCUUCACCUUCACCCUAAGGCAGACGGAUACAUGUGCCUUUGGAGUAAUCUCAUACGUUCCAAUCAUAGUUCCGGUGUAGAGUGCUUUUUCCACUUUUCUGUAGGCUUUUAACCUUACAAUUUCAUACUUGUGAUUUAGUAGUAUCUUUCUUUCUUGCUGAGUUCAAAAUAAGUUCCUAAGAAAAGAGAUUCUGAGGUGAUUUUCCUUUUUCCACUACUGCAAAUAACGUCUAUACCGCUGAGUGCUUUCACAUACGUCAAGUUUCAACGCACAGGCACUCGGCAAACACAACGUAAGCCGAGUAUCUCUCGGCAACACUAGCUAAGAACCAACGUAAGCCGAGUAUCUCUCGGCAACACUAGCUAAGAACACGGUAGAGAUAGGCCUUUACCAAGACACAAACAACGGCAUAGCUAAAAAACUCGGCUUACACUUUCUAUGCUGAGAUCUAAACACAUGUCACCCGGCAAUAAGCACCCACAUGGCACGGCCGUUCAUGAUUGACGGCCUCGUGACGGUGGGUACCCUCCGAGAGCCUUCAGUUUGGUGCUCAGCAAUGCGUAGUUUCAUUGCAUAAUUCAAACCGUAGUAGCAUAUGUUCAAGCAUUACAUAGGUUCAACCACCAUCGCAGUAGGUUGAAGAAGAGCUAGUGCUUUUGCGCGCACAACUGAGUUAGCUUGGGAUGCGAGGAGGUGCUGAUCGUACCGUUGCAGAUGAGGUGGCGGCUGCUCUUCUUCCCACAUCCCAAAAAGAUUAAAAAACAUAACGACAAAAUUUGCAAGCAAUCUGCACAGAAUUAGUGCUUUUUAAUAAUAUGCAAGGAUAAGCAUAUAAUAAUGUAUUUUUUGUUAAAAAAAGUUUCGUAAGAAGAAAUGAAUUAGCAACAUCAAUAUUAUCCUUAAAGAAAAAAGCAAUAAAUAAUAAACAAAUAACAACAAAAUUUGCAAAUAGUCUACACAGAAUUUGCACUUUUUAAUAAUAUGCAAGAAUAAGCAUAUAAUAGUGUAUUAUUGUAAAAAAAGUUCCAUAAGGAGAAAUGAAUUAGUGACAUUGAUAUUAUCCUUAUAGAAAAAAAUAAAUGAAUAUUAAACAAAUAAUGAAUUUUUUUCACAUAAUUCACACAGAAAUUGCGCUUUAAGAAUAAAGAUAUAUAGUGGAAUGUUUUCAAGGGAAAAAAUAGUUUUCUAAAAAAAGAAUGAAUUAGUUGCAUGGUAUUUCAUCCAUGGCGUCCUUACUGAAGGAAAUAUGCCCUAGAGUCAAUAAUAAAGUUGUUAUUUAUAUUUCCUUAUAUCAUGAUAAAUGUUUAUUAUUCAUGCUAGAAAUGUAUCAACCAGAAACUUAGUACAUGUGUGAAUACAUAGACAAAACUGAGUGUCCCUAGUAUGCCUCUACUUGACUAGCUCGUUGAUCAAAGAUGGUUAUGUUUCUUGACCAUAGUCAUUUGUUGUCAUUUGAUAAUCGGGAUCACAUCAUUAGAGAAUGAUGUGAUGGACAAGACCCAUCCGUUAGCUUAGCAUCAUGAAUGUUUAUUUUUAUUUUUAUUGCUUCCUUCAUGACUUAUACAUAUUCAUCUGACUAUGAGAUUAUGCAACUCCCGAAUACCGGAGGAACACCUUGUGCGCUAUCAAACGUCACAACGUAACUGGGUGAUUAUAAAGAUGCUCUACAGGUGUCUCCGAAGGUGUUUGUUGGGUUGGCAUAGAUCAAGAUUAGGAUUUGUCACUACGUGUAUUGGAGAGGUAUCUCUGUGCCCUCUCGGUAGUGCACAUCACUAUAAGCCUUGCAAGAAGUGUGACUAAUGAGUUAGUUGCGGGGUGAUGCAUUACGGAACGAAUAAAGAGACUUGCCGUUAACGAGACUGAACUAGGUAUGAUGAUACCGACGAUCGAAUCUCGGGCAUGUAACAUACCGAUGACAAAGGGAAUGACGUAUGUUGUCAUGCGGCUUUGACCGAUAAAGAUCUUCAUAGAAUAUGUAGGAACCAAUAUGAGCAUCUAGGUUCCGCUAUUGGUUAUUGACUGGAGAUGUGUCUCGGUCGUGUCUACAUAGUUCUCGAACCCGUAGGGUCCGCACGCUUAACGUUCGAUGACAAUUUGUAUUAUGAGUUGUGUGUUUUGGUGACCGAAGUUUGUUCGGAGUCCCGGAUGAGAUCACGGACAUGACGAGGAAUCUCGAAAUGGUCGAGAGGUAAAGAUUCAUAUAUUGGAAUGUUAUAACCGGACAUUAGAAUGGUUCCGAGUGAUUCGGGUAUUUUUUCAGGAGUACCAAGGGGGUACCCCAUGGGGAAGCGUUGAGCCAACAUGGGCCUAAGGGAGAGAGAGGGGAACCCGCAGGGGGUGGACGCGCACCCCCCCUCCUAGGGAGUCCGAAUAGGACAAGGAGGAGGGGGCGGCGCCCCUUUCCCUUUCCCUCUCCCUCUCCUUCCUUUUCCCUCCGGUGGAAGAAAGGAAAAGGGGGGACCGAAUCCUACUUGGACUAGGAGUCCAAGUAGGACUCCCACCAUGGCGCGCCCCUCUGGCCGCCGGCCACUCUCCCCCCUCCUUUAUAUACGUGGGCAGGGGCACCCCAAAGGCACAUCAAUUGUUCUCUUAGCCGUGUGCGUGCCCCCUCCACAGUUUACUCCUCCUGUCAUUGCAUCGUAGUGCUUAGGCGAAGCCCUACGCGGAUCACAUCACCAACACCGUCACCACGCCGUCAUGCGGACGAAACUCUCCAUCGACCCUCUACUGGAUCAAGAGUUCAAGGGACGUCAUCGAGAUGAAUGUGUGCUGAACACGGAGGGGCCGUACGUUCGGUACUUGGAUCGGUUGGAUCAUGAAGACGUUUGACUACAUCAACUGCGUUAAGAUAACGCUUCCGCUUUCGGUCUACAAGGGUACGUGGACACACUCUCCCCCUCUUGUUGCUAUGUAUCUCCUAGAUAGAUCUUGCCUGAGCGGAGGAAUUUUUUUGAAAUUGCAUGCUACGUUUCCCAACAGUGGCAUCAGAGCGAGGUCUAUGCGUAGAUGAUAUGCACGAGUAGAACACAAAGAGUUAUGGGCGAUAAUAGUCAUACUGCUUACCACCAACGUCUUACUUUGAUUCGGCGGUAUUGUUGGAUGAAGCGGCCCGGACCGACAUUACAUGACCGCGUUCAUGAGACUGGUUCUACCGACGUGCUUCAUACACAGGUGGCUGGCGGGUGUCUGUUUCUCCAACUUUAGUUGAAUCGAGUUUGACUACAGCCGGUCCUUGUUGAAGGUUAAAAUAGCACACUUGAUGAAAAAUCGUUGUGGUUUUGAUGCGUAGGUAAGAACGGUUCUUACUAGAAGCCCGUAGCAGCCACGUAAAACUUGCAACAACAAAGUAGAGGACAUCUAACUUGUUUUUGCAGGGCAUGUUAUGAUGUGAUAUGGUCAAUACAUGAUGCGAUAUAAUUUAUUGUAUGAGAUGAUCAUGUUUUGUAAAAGUUAUCGGCAACUUGCAGGAGCCUUAUGGUUGUCACUUUCACUACAAGAAAUAUGUCAACUAGUGACCUUCUGUUAGUGACCCUGGAAGAAUUGGUCAUAGAUCUAUGACCAUUUGAGACCAAUUGGUCAAAAACUGUUCGGGGGGCUCCAAACCCUAAACCAUUGCGACCAUUUUGGUCAGAAAGGUCAUAAUGUCCUUACACGAAAUGGUCAUAAAGCAAACAGUGCUGGUCCGCUGCCUUAUUUCUAGUUGUUAACGACCAAUAUAGAUGGUCAUAGCCUUGUAGAUUGUGGUGGGUUGUGAUGACUAGGCGCCAUCUCAUCAGUUUUGCCUAUGUGUCAUGUCCAUGUGGCAGUUUUUGCCCUAGGUUGUGAAGCAACCUAUAUUUCUGUUAUUCCAAAAAUUCCCAAAAAACUCUCAUAAUUUUUUUGGAUGAUAUCUUCAUCAAAUAUGUCAAAAACCUUCGUUUCCUAGUUCAAAAAUAACUCAACAAUAUUCAUUUUCCUAUUCUGUUUAGAGCAGCACUUUGUGAAGGAAGUACCAUUUUGGCAUGUCUAAAUGGUAUCCAUUUUCUACAGUGCUUUCCUCUACCCAAAUAACCAUCCUCCACCAAAUGCCAGCUCAAUCCAUUCAUUAUUUUGAGCCCAGCUUCAACAUUCGUAUUUAUGUCCAGUGUGGUACUUUGCAAAGCAAGUACCACCUAGGCUCCUCCUUUGAGCUGGAAAUUUGAGAAGACGGUCUUCUUAGUAACUGAUCAUCCUUAGCCAAAACUCACGCCCAUUAUCCAUGUGCAUUUCCCGUACCGCUAAUCAAACACUUGGCUGCUUAUUCAUGUUUGAGCAUCGAUCGGUCUCCUCGUGAGAAUCUUAUGUUGUGAUUUUCUUCCUAGCACCUACCUAGGGAGUGCCCAACCCACUAGACAUGCCUAGGCCGCCCAGAAAACAUGGCAACGCCACGGUCACGCGGUGACCACACGGCGGGCAUGCGAGUUUACGCGCUCUAGAGUUGGGGCCCUCUCCCAUCGUCCAAACCUCGACGUAUCGCCACUAAACCAUGUAUUUAUGAUUAAAUAGGUACUUAUGUAACUAGAAAUGAUUUUUGGAAAAAAUAAAUGGCAAACUAUGAGGCAGCUGCAGUUCAAAUUUGACCCGCUUCCUGCUGAAUCGGUAGGAAUUUGUCUUUUUCACCAGAGGUGGAUCAAAACUUUUGACACCCAACCAUUUUGUCAAUUGUGCAUUAAAUAUGGCCUAGUAUUUUGUAAAAUUGGUUUGGUCCAAUUUUGCAACAAAUAUAUGGUAGGUCCUUCACAAAAAAAAACUCAUUUCAGGCACUCGGAAAUUGAAAAUGAAUUUUCCGUGAAAAGAAAAGGAAAACUUCCUUAAGCAACAUUUCUUGUCAUUCCAAUAUGCACCCUUGUGCAUAAUAUGAGAUCAUUUGAACAAACUGUGCCAUGAACGUGGCCAUAAGAUUGAUCAUUUGGCUUGAAAUCCAUGAAUCUUCACGCACGAUAGCUUAUUUUUGAGAACACUUUUUUAAAAUAAUUACCGUAUUACAAGUUUAUUACUUUUCCUGGAAACUUGGUCACAUAUAAUGACACAAUGCGAAGGUUUUCCAAUUUUUUGAUUUUUUUUUGAAUUUUUUAUGCCCGUUUCAAAAUGCGGUCAAAACGGCGGGCUUGAUCGUUCCUAACUAGUGGUUGAAUGUUGGAAUUUUUUUUAUGUUUCUCUGAUUAAAUAGAUACUUAUGUACCUAGAAAUGAUUUUUGGAAAAAAUAAAGAGCAAACUACGAGGCAGCUACAGUUCAAAUUUGACCCGCUUCCAACUGAAUCGGUGGGAAUUUGUCUUUUUCAGCGGAGGUGGAUCAAAACUUUUGACACCCAACUAUUUUGUCAAUUGUGCAUUAAAUAUGUCCUAGUAUUUUGUAAAAUUGAUUAGGUCCAAUUUUGCAACAAAUAUAUGGUAGGUUCUUCACAAAAAAACUCAUUUCAGGCACUCGGAAAAUGGAAAAUGAAUUUUCCGUGCAAAGAAAAUGAAAACUCCCUUAGGCAACAUUGUUUGGAAUUCCAAGAUGCACCCUUGUGAACAAUAUGAGAUCAUUUGAACAAACUAUGCCAAGAAUGUGGCCAUAAGAUUGAUCAUUUCGGUUGAAAGCCAUGCAUCUUCACGCAUGAUAGCUCAUUUUGUGAGAACACUUUUUUAAAAUAAUUUCCGUAUUACAAGUUUAAUAUUUUUUACUGGAAACAUGGUCACAUAUAAUGACACAAUGCGAAGGUUUUCCAAUUUUUUGAUCUUUUUGAAAAAUUUUAUGCCCGUUUCAAAAUGCGAUCAAAACGGCGGGAAUGACCGUUCCUAGCUAGUGGUUGAAUCUUGGAAUUUUUUUGGUGUUUCUCUGAUUAAAUAGAUACUUAUGUACCUAUAAAUGAUUUUUGGAAAAAUUAAAGAGCAAAGUACAAGGCAGCUACAGUUCAAAUUUGACCCGCUUUAAAUGAAUCGACGGAAAUUUGUCUUUUUCACGAGAGGUGGACCAAACUAUUUACACCCAACCAUUUGGUCAAUUGUGCAUUAAAUAUGGCCUAUUAUUUUAGAAAAAUGAUUUGGUCCAAUUUUGCAACAAUUAUUUGGUAGGUUCUUCACAAAAAAACCUUCUUUUAGGCACUCAAAAAAUGGAAAAUGGUUUUUCGUUCAAAGAAAAUGAAAACUUCCUUAGGCAAUAUUGUUAGCCAUUCCAAUAUGCACGCUUGUGCACAAUAUGAGAUCAUUUGAACAAACUAUGCCAUGAAUGUGGCCAUAAGAUUGAUCAUUUGGCUUGAAAGCCAUUGAUCUCCACACGUGAUAGCUCGUUUCUGAGAACACUUUUUUAAAAUAAUUGUCGUAUUACAAGUUUGUUAUCUUUCCUGGGAACUUGGCCACAUAUAAUAACAUAAUGAGAAGGUUUCCCAAUUUUUUGAUUUUUUUUGAAAUUUUUAUGCCCGUUUCAAAACGCGGUCAAAACGGCGGGAAUGACCGUUCCUAGCUAGUGGUUGAAUCUUGGAAUUGUUUUGGUGUUUCUAUGAUUAAAUAGAUACUUAUGUACCUAGAAAUGAUUUUUGGAAAAAAAUAAAGAGCAAACUACAAGGCAGCUACAGUUCAAAUUUGACCCGCUUCCAACUGAAUCGGCGGGAAUUUGUCUUUUUCAUGAGAGGUGGAUCAAAACUUUUUACACCCAACCAUUAGGUCAAUUGUGCAUUAAAUAUGGCCUAGUAUUUUACAAAAAUGAUUUCGUCCAAUUUUGCAACAAUUAUUUGGAAGGUUCUUCACAAAAAAAUCUUCUUUUGGGCACUCAAAAAAUGGAAAAUGGUUUUUUCGUUCAAAGAAAAUGAAAACUUCCUUAGGUAAUAUUGUUUUUCAUUCCAAUAUGCACCCUUGUGCACAAUAUGAGAUCAUUUGAACAAACUAUGCCAUGAAUGUGGCCAUAAGAUUGAUCAUUUGGCUUGAAAGCCAUUGAUCUCCACAUGUGAUAGCUCGUUUCUGAGAACACUUUUUUAAAAUAAUUGUCGUAUUACAAGUUUGUUAUUUUUCCUGGGAACUUGUCCACAUAUAAUGACAUAAUGCGAAGGUUUCCCAAUUUUUUGAAUUUUUUAUGCCCGUUUCAAAACGCGGUCAAAACGGUAGGAAUGACCGUUCCUAGCUAGUGGUUGAAUCUUGGAAUUGUUUUGGUGUUUUUCUGAUUAAAUAGAUACUUAUGUACCUAGAAAUGAUUUUUCGAAUAAAUAAAGAGCAAACUACAAGGCAGGUACAGUUCAAAUUUGACCCCCUUCCAACUGAAUCGGCGGAAAUUUGUCUUUUUCACGAGAGGUGGAUCAAAACUUUUUACACCCAACCAUUUUGUCAAUUGUGCAUUAAAUAUGGCCUAGUAUUUUAGAAAAAAAUGAUUUGGUCCAAUUUUGCAACAAUUAUUUGGUAGGUUCUUCACAAAAAAACCUCCUUUUGGGCACUCAAAAAAUGGAAAAUGAUUUUUUCGUUCAAAGAAAAUGAAAACUUCCUUAGGCAAUAUUGUUUGCCAUUCCAAUAUGCACCCUUGUGCACAAUAUGAGAUCAUUUGAACAAACUAUGCCAUGAAUGUGGCCAUAAGAUUGAUCAUUUGGCUUGAAAGCCAUUGAUCUCCACACGUGAUAACUCGUUUCUGAGAACACAUUUUUAAAAUAAUUGUCGUAUUACAAUUUUGUUAUUUUUCCUGAGAACUUGGCCACAUAUAAUGACAUAAUGCGAAGGUUUCCCAAUUUUUUGAUUUUUUUAAAAAAUUUAUGCCCGUUUCAAAACGCGGUCAAAACGGCGGGAAUGAACCUUCCUAGCUAGUGGUUGAAUCUUGGAAUUUUUUUGGUGUUUCUCCGAUUAAAUAGAUACUUAUGUAUCUAGAAAUGAUUUUUGGAAAAAAUCAAGAGCAAACUACAAGGCAGCUACAGUUCAAAUUUGACCUGCUUCCAGCUGAAUUGACGAAAAUUUGUCUUUUUCAUGAGAGGUGGAUCAAAACUUUUUACACCCAACCAUUUGGUCAAUUGUGCAUUAAAUAUGGCCCAGUAUUUUAGAAAAAUGAUUUGGUCCAAUUUUGCAACAAUUAUUUGGUAGGUUCUUCACAAAAAAGCCUCCUUUUGGGCACUCGAAAAAUGGAAAAUGGGCACUUGAAAAACCUCCUCAACUAUUGACGAGAGGUGGAUAGACAACUAUUGAGACACAAGAAUUUGGUCAAUCGUACCUAAAAUAUGAUCUUAUAUUAUUGAAAAAUAGAGUGGUGCCAUUUUGCAACAAAUAUUGGUAGGUGCUUUAAAAAAUAUAUACCAUUUUCGACACUCCAAAGGUAGAAAAUGUUUUUUUUGCAAAUAAAACUCAUUUUUGAGAUCAAUUUUUAAAGAUAUUUGUAUUAUUCUAGGUUUGUUAUUUUUCUGAAAAACAAGUCUCACUUGUGACACGAUGCUAUUGUUCUUAUUUUUUUCUAAUUCUAUGAUGUUAUAAAAUAGGUGACAUGAUUUAGCAUAUUAUUUAAUCGAUUACGACCAAUUUGGAUGGUUAUAAAAUCGUCAAAGUGUGUACUACAUUGUGAUUGGUGGAACUGUUUGUGGCACGGAUCGAUGAGAUGGUAGACAUCCUACCAUCCAUUGCUAGCAAUCCAACGUCCAUCCAUCCGUCCAUGCAAAGAAAGGAAAAAAAUACCACCGCACCAAACCCUACCUCUCUCUCACCUCUCCUCCCUUCCUUCCGCCCGCCGCCUCCCUCUCUCUGCCCUGAUCCAGAUCGGCCUUUCCCUCACCCCUCGUGUGGCACCCUCCUUCCUUCGCGCUGUCACUAGCGGCGCCCUCCUUCCUUUCUGUCACCGGCGAUGGCCUCCUUCCCUCCGCUGCACCUGAACCUCGCUCCCGCUCCCAGCUCUUCUUCCUCCUCCGCUGCAGCUAGGGUUUCGUCUCCCCAAUCCCCAAUCCCCGAAGCUCGGAUCCAGCAGCAGCAUCAGCGAUGGCGGCCGCGGGAGAUCCUCUCCAAGGUCAAGCACGUCUAGGCCAAGCCUGCUAGCCGCCCUCGCAGGUGACUGCCUCCACGGUGUUGACGGCGGCGGCCUCGUCGUCCCCACCCCCGAUUCAUCUCCAAUCCCGCCGCCGACACCCAACCCCACCCCCACCGGCGACCUCUCCUAACCCCAUCACCACCGGCGACCUCCCUCCCUUGCUCCUCAACCCAACCCAACUCCAAUUAGAUUCAGUUCAGAGAUGAAUCCCCUCCCAUGUCACUGCCGCCGCGACACACUGCCGAUCCCCUCACAUCCGGCCUGUGGCCACGGCCUCCCAUAUCUCCCCGACAGCCGCCACUCCCAUACCCUCUCCAGUCCCCUCCCCUCCCCUGCCCUCACUAGAAGAGGAAGAGAAGAGGGUCAGGCGGAUCAGGCGGCCGCCAUGGCGCGACCAGAUCCGCCACGGUUGCCCCGCGCGUUGUCCAUGGGCUCGACUCCAGGGACUGGUCUGCGAGGCCCUCAACGACGUGCGCCGCCUUGCCAUCCACCACCCCGCCCUCCUCGUCCCCAUCCUGUAAGUUCUUCGAUCCCCUUUGUCGUUGCUUCUCUUGGCUUCUGUUUUGGCCAAUUCCGUUGGGGAUCUGACCCGAGAAUCGUUCGUCCGUCCGCGGGUGCUGAUUGGCAGGGAGAAGGUGGUGCUGGGGAUCUUGAAGACGGUGAAGAACCCGCGCAGCACCGUGCUGAAGACCUCCGUGAUGGCGUGCACGGACGUCUUCAUGGCCUUCGGCAACCUCUCCUUGAGCACCAGGUGUAGCAGUAGCUUGUCCAAGCCGAUGCAGUUGGAGUUCAUAUAUAUAUUUCUCCAAAAAUUAUACUGUCACUGUGUAGAAUCUUUUGGGACGAAAUCAUUGGUUGAGUUUAGGUCAAAAGCAUCUGUAUGCCAAUAGUUUUGAUGUUGUUUUGUGCUAUAUACUUUAGGGAACAGUUAACUCAUUAAUUAAGAUGCUGAGGUACUAUCAACUAGAUCUGUUAACACACAUACUUUAGUAACCAGCUCCAUUAAUCAUCUGAUCAGCUAUGUAAACUAAUCACGAAACUUGGAAAUUAUGUGCUUUGAUAGAACACGGAAACUAAUCAAAUGCAGAAGAGUUGUUUCAGUUUGAGUUCUAUUUGAAAUGUUGCAACUUCAGAAUUUUGGGAACUUUCCAUAAAGUUUGCAUCAGUUUAGUGGGUUCACCUAUAUUAUGUUGUUGGAAGCUAGUUCAUGAUGAACUGAUUUAACUCUCUACUGGAAUAUUAUUGUUUUCUUUAUGGGAGGAAUAUAGUGUAUUAGUUGAUGUAAAUUUGUUUGGGUUCAGACCUAUGCUUCCACCACUGUUUACUUUACUGUAGCAGCCACCCAAAACAACAUCAGCCACCCAAAACAUGUAAUAGUAAUGUUUGAGCAGGGAAAGGAGUUGUGCAAGACAACAAAGACUAAUAAACACGGCCUUUUUUACUUUACUCCGAGGAGUUGUGCAAGACAACAAAGGUCGCACCAAGCCAUAAGCAGCAUACACUUCUUUUACAAUGACUUCCAUGCAAAGAAGAUGCAACUCUAAACAUUUUGAUAUGCUUCAAGAAGUUUUUGGGUCUGUAACUGGAUGUAAGGAUGAUAUGAAAUGCCAGCCGAUAUAAACAUCGCUGCUGCAUGGUAUCGCACUUGCCCAAGUCUGAGGUCUGCCACUCAGGCCCCGGAGCCUCAUGAACAAAGCUCUCUAAGAACUGAGCAGCGGGACAAGAAAAGAAAAUGUGGAUCUUGGAAAGAGCCACACAAAGAGGGAAAACCCAUUGCCCGACAUAUGCCACUUCACCACUUACGCACCUAAGGGGAGGAGAUCAUGGAUCCGCUGCCAAGCGAUGAUUUUGAUCUUCAGAGCCAGACAGGGGUGUGGUCCAUGCAAGGGUCGGCGCAUGGCAUAAGGAAAGGUAUGAAAACCUGACAAAAAUGAUCCCCGGGGGAGCCAGGUGCCAGGAAACAACAUCCAGGGACCCCCACAGCGAGGGAGCAAUUGCCCCAUCACCCUCUCUCCAUGCAAAUUGAUAUAUGCAAACAUUUCCUGGGGGGCAAAUUUUGUCGGAAGAUAUUAAAUCCCCAUUAUUGGAUGCCGAGGCAACCAAGAGCAUCGGAUCCGAGCAGACUGCAAAGAGAGCCAAGAAAUCCUCGAGUAAUGGGCUUCUUCCGAACCAUGGCUUGAACAAGAAGAGGGUACCUUUUCCAUAGGAUCUUAAAAUUCACAAACCACUUUGACUAUUUACCUUGGGUGGAGGCCCAUUUGUAGCCGCGCAAGUUGCUCCCUUGUGACACCAAUCCGCUCCACAACAUGUGACCCAACCCUAACGCAAGCAUCGUUGGCGCAUACUUUCUUCGUUCAGGUUCAUAAUAUCAUUUUGAUCAUAUAUUUAACUAAUAAAAUAUAAGUUACAUGCAUAAAAAAUAUAUCAUUGUAUUCAUAUUCAAGUGAAGUUUCAAAUGUUAUUAAUUUUACUACUAAAACUCAUAUUAUAUGCGAACCAACCUGUGGUUGGAUGGUUAGAGGGACUGUGGUAUCCCCAGCCCAUCAGGGUUCAACUCCUGGUGCUCGCAUUUAUUCCUAGAUUUAUUUAAAAAUUUCCGGCAAUGCGCAUUAUAUUCAGUGGGAGGAGACGUUCCCGUCGAUGACGAAGUGCCUACGGUGUCUUCAUAAAUUUCAAGAUGAUAUGCAGUCUUUCGAAGGUGCUCAUGUGCGUGUGUGCGUUCAUAGGGAUGAGUGUAUGCGCGUGUAUAUGAGCGCUUGCGUCUGUACUGUGUUAAACUCAUAUUAUAUUAAAGAAAUUUACGGUUAAAAUUUGACCCAUAAUAUGAAAUUAUAAUAUUAAGGGAGGGAAUAGAGUAUCUGAGAUCCUGAUUGUGAUCGCCAACCAAUCAGUGGGAUCCACAAUCCAAUCGCCAGUUUCUCUCUGGACGAUCACAUGUGCCCAUGGAUUUAGGCCAUGAUCGGCAAUACCAUAGACCCGUCGUCAUGCCGCCCCAUGGCAGCCAUGUUGUUGAGAACGUUCGCGAUCUUUGACGGACACACCGUCAGGAUUUUGUAGUGUCAAAUUAGGUAUUGUGAACUUAGUUUGGUCAAAAUAGUUCAAGACAUAGAAAAAGCCAUAAAAAAUACCAUGUAGUAAAAGUGAAUAAAUAGGUAGUCUCCCAUGUCACGUAUGUCAGCGGCCGAGAUUGAUGACUCAUGAUAUCUGACUAGAGGUUGGGGCGUCACCCGGUGACGCCUCCUGAGAGGAAGUUAUGUGCACCUUUUCAUUUAAAAAAUACAUGAAGUCCUCGCCUUCAUCUAAAAAACAUUUAAAAAAAAAUCCUUACCUCCAUCUAGAAAAAAGAAAUAAAAAAGAAAAGAAAAAAAAUCACCAACUCAACCUACCAGCGAGCGCCACUUUGCGUAGCCCUCCAUUAAAAAGAGUGUGGGGUCAUCACCUCCAUCUAGAGAGACAAAAAAUUGAAAUUUUUCUCACCUUCAUCUAAAAAUAAUAUCCCAAACGCUUUUUCACCGCGUCCAACCAAUUUGCACCACGUGGCAUAGCUGGUUGGCUGCCCUACACGCAAUGCUUAUAGGGUUUAAUGGUUCAGAGACAUUGAGCAGUCCAAUGAGACGUGUCAGACGGAAUCUACUCCCCCCUUCCAAAUACAUGUUUUUUUUAGAGAUUUCAAUAUAGAUAACAUACUGAGCAAAAUGAUUGAAUCUAAAGUAUGUCUAUUAUGUGGUCCAUAUUAGUAGAAAGACUUAGAAACGGAGGGAGUAUGUAUGCAUGCAUGCCGUUGUACGUACACUAGGUGUUAGGUCAAACAUGUAUGACGUGACCAACGGAGACAUUUUAUUCUUCAUUUCACACGGUCGAUCGAGAACAGCUAAAACGUCGACGUGCGCAUGCACGUUCAGUUUCUGAUUAUUUGCACGAAUCUGCUGCCCAUUUCACGCGUCGAUUGAUCGUUGUCAAAUGGAUCGCUAACUUAUCGUUUAUGCAAGUGGUCUCGAAGUUUGCGCGGUGCAGGUACAUACUCGGAGUAUAUUACUGGUCAGGUAUAUUCUAUUUCCUUAUAGUUUUGUAUGGUCCAGUAAGGGUUCAAAUAGGCAUGAGUAUAUCCUUCCAUGUCGGCAGGGUCGCCUAGCUAGCAAGAUACAUAUUCGCACGUCGAUAUCCAUCAGUUCGGCAGAGAAGCUCUACAUAUCUAGCUGUACAUGUGGCCGAGCGAUGUACUAGGAUAUACUGAGGAUGCAUCCAAAACUUGCUCUCUCUAGCUGCUUCAAUUUCCCAUUAUCUACAAACAUUGAGUCAAUUCGACUGCUACAAGAAGGGAUCAUUUCAAUGCUGUGACAGAAACUAGAGAGUUGACAACUUCAGAUUCGAGAAGGGAGAGCGUAUCCGAUCAAUAUUCCAGUGACAGGAUGGAAUGCAAAUGGCCUCACAAGAACUGAUAUUUUUGAGCAUCAACAGCUACUCCCUCCGUUCUUAAAAAUUUGUCUUUCUAGAGAUUUCAACAAGUGACUACAUACGGAGCAAAAUGAGUGAAUCUAAACUAAAAAAUAUGUCUAUAUACAUCCGUACGUAUGUGGUAGUCCAUUUGAAAUCUUUAAAAAGACAAAUAUUUAGGAAUGGAGGGAGUAGAAAAUGUGCCUUUUCUCGUGGAUGGCUUUCAGUCUUCUUCCAUAUUUACUUAUCGGGGUGUUUUUUUAGUAUAUUCUUUGUACAUGUGGCAUGUGGCUAUAACUAGUUUGCUGUAGUUCAUCCGUGAUGUCCAGUAGCUAUGAGAUCCGAGAGAUGCCGACCAUUCGAGCCACUUAACUUAUUCAGCUUUCACUCUACAAUCUUGCUAAUUUAAAGUCAGUGGGGGGCUUUCCCCACUGUCCAUAGUUCCUAAAAAAACUUAUUCAGCUUUGGCCAUCCUCAUUUGCUAUGCUAGGUAUAAUGUAAACUCUCUUCUGAAUUUGAUUUGUACCAGUUUGACUUUCCUAAGUUUCUUUUCUUGUUAGCAGAGCUUACACUAUCUUUCUAUAGCGCCGCCGGAUUCGAGGGUGGAGCCCGAGCCUCCACUGGAGCAUGGAUCAGCCGUGCAGAGGUGGAACUCCGCAUGGAUCACGACUUGGUUGUUGUGGGGGCCUGGACCAUCAAGCUCGCGGGCGAGAUGGACGGCCUCGACAACGGAGGCGCGUGUGAGAUCCUGGGGUUGACCAAUCUACGGGGCGCCAGAUCUUCCCUCGGGGUCGCCUGAUGUAGCCAUAUUGUCGCCGGAUCUCCUCCCCCCUCUCUCUGUGUGUGUUUUUCUGUCAAUAGCUAGUAGCAUAAGUUGGAGCUGGCUGUACCAGGAACUUAAUCUGCAUUUAUUCAACCAGAUCAAGUACAAGUACAUUAGUUCGUAAUAUGCUAUUAAUACAUCUCCUAUUCAUAAAUUUCCUGAAGUAGUGCAUGCAUAUAUUUAGGUGCUGGUUAAUUAGAAAAUGGAUGUGAUUUCUAACUUGAUUGCUGUAGGAUACAAGAUAUAUCUCUGUUGGUUCAUCUGGCUGUAGAAUAUGCCCCUGUUCAUUCAUUUAUGGGUAUUGCUAUUUACCUCUGGUAACAUGUGAGAAGCACUCAUCUCUAUAUGUUUAUAUUUUGAGCAGCUGGGUACAACUACAGUUGCAGAAUCAUCCAACCAAAUUUUGGGAGGAUGGCAUAAAAGAUUAGAUAACCCAUGCUUUUGAAAUCAUGGUAAGCUUCACAAUCUUGGAAGGUGUUUUCUAUUUUCAAGCGACUUUACAUCAAGUUACUGUUUCUCAACUGAAAUUCUAGACUGUAUAACUCUUUAUUGUUCUCUCCACUUAUUUGUACAACCAAGGAUGCUUACUUAACUGUAUAGCUCUUUAUUGUUCUUUUCCAGGUAUUCUAUUUAUGCUCCAUCCCGAAAUCUAUUGUGCACUGCCAAGUCCAUGAGACGAAGCCCUCACUGCUUGACCAUUUCUUUACUGAACUGGGAGCAAUAGAGGCAAGAUAUUCGAAACAAGUUGAAGUCCUUUCGAUUCUUGAUUUCUAGCAUACACAUGCAACCUGAUUGGUGAUGUUACUGUAGAUAUGAUGUAGGUUCAGUGCUUACUAUUUUUUGAUUUGAUGCAUGUUACCUUCGUUUCUGUCUAUGCCUUCUUUAGUGUUUUGCCAGCUAACUAGUCUAUUGGUCGUUUUGAAAUAUGAAGAUGCUGCAUGUAAGCACUAUUGCUGGCAAUUUGCACAUCAUAUUAGUCUUAUCCCAUGUUUUGUCACUAGCAUACACUACAAUCCCUUGUCCUGUCACUAGCAUACACUACAGCUUUAUUAAAAGGGGGCAUAUCAUUUGCUCUAUAUAAUAGUGCUGAUUUUGCGCUGAUAUGAACUUACAACAGUAUUACAUUGUAGUGUUUUCUGCAUGUUGUUGUAUCACUAGUUUCAUGCUGUCUUCUCAUUUGAACCUAUUACUUGUUUUUGUUUUUAUCCUUGAUUAGUAUCAAUUGUUGUAUUGUAGACAUAAAAUUGUGGUGGUUCCUCCUUUAGAGAAGCUCAAGUGUGAAGUCGUGAAGUGUGAAGCAAGUGUGAAGCCAUGAAGUGUGAAGCCAAGUGUGAAGCCAAGUGUGAAGCCGUGAAGUCCAACUCAUUGUAGCAUACCUGUGUUGUAAAGAUUGUAAUACAUUUAUUUAGUGGUACAUUUGAUGAAUUUUAUGCGUUCUUUGUUCUAUUUGAAAUAUUGAUUAUGUAUGUGAUUUGAAAACUUGUGGAAUGGAAACUUGUCCAGUGAGGCCACUUAUGAAAAUAAUUUGUCAAAUGUGUACAUUUCUGACAUGUGGGACUAAUUUGAGAGAUGAACAUGACAGGUUGGACCCAUUUGACUAGUGGGACCAGCUAGAAUAUAUAAUAGUUGAAAAUAUAAAAUCAAAAUAGAAAAUCAGUAGACUAAAAGGCCAUGGCCCAAAAAUAAAAAGGCUGCAAUGUUGGGCUUGGUCCAUGAAGCUAACAAAAAAUUCAUAGGAAAAAAAAUAUAAAUGGGCUGAAUUAAUGGGCCCGGCCCAUAUAAACACCGAAUUUGACCGGGCUGAAUCUUGUGCCACAUCAGCUUGCCACACUGGAUGCCUACGUGGCCUGGGGAGGUUGCUAGUGACCAAAACGCCACAGUGGACAUAUUUUGGUCAUAAACGUCUACGACCAUUCCAGAAGAAAGGUCGGUAUAGUCUGUUUACGACUGCCAGCUUUUGACCUUCUGUUUUUGGUCACAAAAAGGCCGCAAAUGAAAAACCAUGACCUUUCAGUGACCAAUAGUGCUGGUCACAAGUUGACAUAUUUCUUGUAGUGUUUAUUGUAUGAAAUGCAAUCGCAAUGUAAUUGCUUUACUUUAUCACUAAGCGGUAGUGGUAGUCGUAGAAGUAAUAGUUAGCGAGACGACAACGAUGCUAUGAUAGAGAUCAAGGUGUCAAGCCGGUGACGAUGGAGAUCAUGGCGGUGCUUUGGAGAUGGAGAUCAAAGGCACAAGAUGAUGAUGUCCAUAUCAUGUCCCAUAUUUUGAUUGCAAGUGAUGUUUAUCUUUUAUGCAUCUUAUUUUGCUUAGUACGGUGGUAGCAUUAUAAGAUGAUCCCUCAUUAAAUUUCAAGGUAUAAGUCUUCUCCCUAAGUAUGCACCAUUUCUACGUUCGUCGUGCCGAGACACCACGUGAUGAUCCAGUGUGAUAAGCUCUAUGUUCACAUACAACGGGUGCAAGCCAGUUUUGCACGUGCAUAAUACCCGAGUUAAAAUUGACGAGCCUGGCAUAUGCAGAUAUGGCCUCAGAACACUGAGACCGAAAGGUCGAGCGUGAAUCAUAUACUAGAUAUGAUCAGCAUAGAGAUGUUCACCAUUGAAAACUAUUCCAUCUCACGUGAUGAUCGGACAUGGUUUAGUUGAUAUGGAUCACGUGAUCAUUUAGAUGACUAGAGGGAUGUCUAUCUAAGUGGGAGUUCUUAAGUAAUACUCCCUCCGUUCCUCAAUAUAGGGUGUAUAGUUUUUGGCACAGAAAUUAAAGAACGCACAUGGAGGAAAAAUUUCACAAGUUUUGGACCAAAUUACACCUGACUAAUUGACAUGAGAAAAUAGAGGGGCUUGACUAAUAUAAGGAAAUGUAAUCAAAUCCCUAAAAAAAUUAUCCAAAUGAGUGGUGCAACAUAAUACACCUUAUAUUUCGGAUUUUUUCUCAAAAAUCUAUAGACCUUAUAUCAAGGAACGGAGGGAGUAUGAUUAAUUGAACUUUAAUUUAUCGUGAACUUAGUAGCUGAUAGUUUUUGCAUAUCUAUGUUGUUGUAGAUCAAUGGCCGUGCUACCGUUCCCUUGAAUUUUAAUGUGUUCCUAGAGAAAGCUAAGUUGAAAGAUGAUGGUAGCAACUAAGCGGACUGGGUCCGUAAGUUGAGGAUUAUCCUCAUUGCUGCACAGAAGAAUUACGUCCUGGAAGCACCGCUAGGUGCAAGACCCGCUGCAGGAGCAACUCCAGACGUUAUGAACAUCUAGCAAAGCAAAGCCCAUGACUACUCGAUAGUUCUGUGUGCCAUGCUUUACAGCUUAGAAUCAGGACUUCAAAGAUGUUUUGAAUGUCAUGGAGCAUAUGAGAUGUUACAGGAGUUGAAGUUAAUAUUUCAAGCAAAUGCCCGAGUUGAGAGAUAUGAAGUCUCCAACAAGUUCUAUAGCUACAAAAUGGAGGAGAAUAGUUCCGUCAAUGAACACAUACUCAGAAUGUCUGGGUACCAUAACCACUUGACUCAACUGGGAGUUAAUCUUCCUGAUGAUAGUGUCAUUGACAGAGUUCUUCAAUCACUGCCACCAAGCUAUAAAGUGUCGAUGCGAGGGCGACACCUAUGGGAUCACGAGAAUCCCUACUACGGUUGCGAGGCAUGGGGUUGUGAGAAGGGCGGAUCAAACAUGUAGCACACGGAUUCUUUAUCCAGGUUCGGGCCGCGAGGAUGCGUAAAACCCUACUUCUGCUUUGGUGAUUUGUUUAUCUGUGUUUCUGAGCUAGCGAUGGGGCGUGAAGAGCUCCAAAAAGCCGAAUCCCCCUCCUGGUCGCCCGGGGCCUCCUUUUAUAGGGAAAGGGGCCGCCACAGUGGCACACAGGAGGUGGAAAGGGCAUAGUGAUACGAGUUUACCCCUCGCAUUACGUGACAAGGCGCAUUUAAUGCGUCGUGCUUAUGUGUCCCUACUUUAUCGGGGGCGGGGGAGAGCCCAGUCUUGUCCGUCGCCGAUCGUGUCGACACGCGCCCUGGCCAGUGGUGCCUGUGGUGCCAUGUAGGCAGGUAGGUAGCUGAGGUGGCGCAGCGGUGGGCCUCCACGAAGAUCUGCUUGCCGCCACGCAGGUGCUUGCCCAACUGGUUGGGUCAGCAGCCGCAUGCGAACGGCGGUGGAGGUUUGGAAUUGGCGUGGGCCUGACGGUGGCCCUACGGGUGCCUUUAGGAAGGGCCUUGCCGUAGCCCCGGCAAGAGUCUUGCCGGGGCCCCUGCAAGGGUCUUGCCGUGACGCCUGCUAUCAUCCCCGAUAAGGCUCCUAUCGGGGGUCUUCAUCUUCUAUAGCGUGAAUUUUAUCUUGAAUGUCUUCACAAAGAUCUGCAUGCCACCACGGGGGUGUCUCCCGAAUCCUUGCCCCAUGGGGGCAGUGGACUCAAGGGUGAUUCGCUCCGUAGGUGUGGGGCGAGCUGCCAUGGCAAGGGCCUUGCCGGGUUUGCUAAAACCACCCCCGGCAAGGAUCUUGCCAGGGGAGUCCACUUCGUCCCCUUUGCUCUUUGUGGUCUUGGUCUUGGCGUCGUUCUGCUCUUUCCGAGCUUUGGUCUUACCUUGGCUUACCUCCCUUGCCUUUCUUGGCGUGGUGGCGUCCGUGGCUCGAACUGCCCGUGCACAGUUAUAGGGGUACGAAAAGUGUACCCCUCUUUUUGUACACCGACAUAAAGGAUUCAUGAUGAACUAUAAUAUGCAAGGGAUGGAAAAGACAAUUCCCGAGCUCUUCGCGAUGCUAAAGGCUACGGAGGUAGAAAUCAAGAAGGAGAAUCAAGUGUUAUUGGUUAACAAGACCACUAGUUUCAAGAAAAAGGGCAAAGGGAAGAAGGGGAACUUCGAGAAGAACAACAAGCAAGUUGUUGCUCAAGGGAAGAAGCCCAAGUCUGGACCUAAGUCUAAAACUGAGUUCUUCUACUAGAAAGGGACUGGUCACUAGAAGCGGAACCGCCCCAAGUAUUUGGUGGAUAAGAAGGAUGGCAAAGUGAAAGGUAUAUUUGAUGUACAUGUUAUUGAUGUGUACCUUACUAAUGCUCAUAGUAGUGCCUGGGUAAUUGAUACUGGUCAUGUUGCUCAUAUUUGCAACUCGAAACAAGGGCUACGAAUUAAACGAAGAUUGGCUAAGGAUGAGGUGACGAUGCGCGUGGGAAAUGGUUCCAAAGUCGAUGUGACCGUCGUCGGCACGCUACCUCUACAUCUACCUUCGGGAUUAGUUUUAUCCCUAAAAAAAUGUUAUUUGGUGCCAUCUUUGAGCAUGAACAUUAUAUCUGGAUCUUGUUUGAUGCGAGACGGUUAUUCAUUUCAAUCAAAGAAUAAUGGUCGUUCUAUUUAUAUGAGUAAUAUCUUUUAUGGUCAUGCACCCUUGAUGAGUGGUGUAUUGUAACAGCCUGGAUUUUGGCCCUUUUGUUUUUCUUUUGAUUUAUUUGGUUUUGCUCUGUUUUUCUUUUUGGAGUGGUUCUGUGGCCUUGCCACCUGGGAAAUCAUUCUCAUUCCCCCUACCAAGUGGCUCAUCAUUCCCAAAACCUUGCCAAGAUCAUGUCACUUCACUACUUGACCAAACCCUAAUUUCUUUUUCUCAGGAAUAUUCCUUUUUCUAUUGAAGGAAUAACCAUGUCUGCCCUAGGUUGUGAAGCAACCUAUAUUUUAGUCUAUCAAAAAAUUCCCAAAAAAUUCUCAUAAUUCCCUUGGGUCGUAUAUUGCUCAAAUAUGCCCAAACUUUCUAUCCUAGCCCAAGAAUAAUUCCCCAAUAAUUAUUCUUUAUUUCUCUCCAGUCUGGCUUUCUGUGAAGGAAGUGCCACCUAUCCUUUCCGAUUGCUUGCAAACCUUUUGGGCAUUCUCUUAUGUCCGAAUCAUUGUAUCAUGCCAAAAUUCAACUUUAUUUGCCUAGCCAAACUUCCUUGGUGAUUUUUCAAAGUUUCUGUCAGACAAAAGGCUAUGUGAAGGAAGUAUUAGCUAGGAGUACCCAAAUGAGUUGAAAUUUUGCACACUCUUUCAUGUGCUCAUAUUAACUGCCUCAACCCAUUUGUAGCCCCAUCCAAUCAUCUAUGAGAGCACAGCAUCAAAUCUUUGAUUCUUGCAAUAUUUUUAGGUUGUGACGCAAGUGCAUUUUAUAUUGCUUCAAAAAUCCUGAUAAAUUACCAGAUCAUGAUCCUACCUAUAUAACAUCUCUCCACCCAAUUUGGAACCAUUCCACUUAGCCAAUAUUUCUCUAAAAUUAUUACAAGUUUCUGGUCAGUAAGGAUGUUUGUGAAGCAAGUACCAUUUUGGUGAAUCUAAUUGGUAUGAAACUUUUACAGCAUCUUUAUAUGAUCAAAUCAUCAAGCCUUGCCAAAUUUCAGCCCAAGUGGCAUCACCAUGUGAGUGCAUCAUCCAAAUCUCAUUUCUGGACCAAAAAUGCAGUUGUGAAGCAACCAUAUUAAAUCUUGAUCCUAAUCUCCUCAAACUCUCCAGGAUUAUAGUCCUUCUAAGCUAAUCACCCCAAACAAACUCUUUGGCUCCAAUCAAGUUCCUGUUGAUCACCGGUGCAUGUUCAAGUUUACUGCAGUAAACUUCAGACGUUGAUUACCAUUUAACCACAGAGUCUUUCAUCGAUCUACCACCAUAGUUGAAACCUCCCCUGGAAGAAAUUACCACUAGACAACACGUUCCAGCCCAUUUCCUCACUACAUGCCAGUGCACGCGGUGACCUCUUUAAUGGAAUAACAGUGCACGCGCUCUGUUUGCAGUGGCCGCGUCCAAUGGCCGUUUGUGCUUCGGCACCUCCUCCUCUCGUCGCCUUCGCGCGUGUGACCGUGUCCAACAUCUUCAUCUCAUCGUCGCCGUUCCCCUGGACCCCUUUCCCCCUCCAUCUGCUUCCUCAUCGCCGCAAGCCGCCGCGCGCCCAUGGGCGAACAGUGGCGGUUUGGCUCGGAGCUCGCCCUCUUCUUCCUCCCUACGCUCCCUUGGCCGCCUCUUCCCCGUGAGCUCUCCCUCCUGUUCCCUCUCGUUGUCUAACUCCAAGCUCUCGAGCACGCACACGCGUCCGCAGCGCCGGACACGUAUUCACAGCAACGCUAGCUCGGCCUCCUUGCCUCGCGCCUAUUUAAGCCCUUCCCCGAGACCCCCGAGCUCACCAACCCCCUCUCCUCACUCCCAGAAGCCUCCCCGACCUCUCCAUUUGCCUCUAGAGCCUCUCCUCGCCUCUGAUCGCAGCCAUGGCAGCCGUUGCUCCUCUCUUAAAUUCGGCCAGGUCAGCCCCGUUCUCUCCUCCUCUCCACCACUAGAGCCCCGCUCAACCUCCGGUGACCCUCCCUUGCAUCUCUUGUCCUUAUUUGGUGGCCCCCUUGCCGCGAGCUCACAGGCUCCCAAAGACCUCCGCUCGCCGGCCUCGAAGCAGCCAACGCUUCGGCCUUCCUAGUCGGCCGGAGAUGAUCCCAGGUGAUGCGUCGUGCUCCGCUGAGCUCAUCCAUGGCCGGAUCUCCUCGGGAGAUGGCCGGAGCUGCCGGGACGAGCACCGGCGCCGGCGCCUCUCCUCGGAUCUACGUGCUGUGUCAGGGAUAAGAAGGAGGCCGGAGGAGAGAGUUGACCCCGUGGGCCCCGCGUGUCAGUGAGCCAGCCACCGGCCUCGCACUUGCCAGUGUUGAUAAGUGGAGACAUAUUCCACUGGAGUACGUCUUCCUCUCCAGAAGGCGCAUUCUUCUUCUACUUCAGCCCGGAAUAUGUUUUCACUUCAGAGAAAGCGUACUUCCAGGGAGGCGCGUUCUGUUUUUCCUACCGAGGGCCUAUUUGUGAUGAUUUUAUAUUAGAGAGGUCCCUGGCAGAAAAACCCUUAUAUCUUUUUUCUCCCAACUCCAAAUGAGGUGAUUCGAAAGCCACUUCUUUGUUUCAUCGAGCCCGUUCUGUUGGUAUCAUUUUCACCAUGUUUUAACAUUCUUAAAAUGACCAUUUUGCCCUUGCACUUAAUCAGCCCCCUCCGAGAGAGAACGUUUUCUGAUGAUUCUUUCCACGAGCUUCUCGCACUUUCUCCCGGUGAUUUCUUCCACCCCAGGCAAGCAACAACAACCACUUGCAUGAUAGUCAUGCAGUAGCCAUGGUUUUCGACUUGAAUGUUUAAUAAAUGUUUGCUUGUUUUGAUACGGUUAUCGUUGUUCCGGUGAUGCUUAGAGAUCUCCGUUCACUUUCAUGCUAUGCUCUUCUGCAUCUUGUUAUCUUGCACUUAUUACUAGUAUUAUUGUUAUGUGUCAUGCUUGGUAGUAGUACAAGUGUUUUCUUUCGGAUGCAUGUUUAUGAUCUGUUAUCUAGUGCCGUAGCUAUGCAUGUUAAUUUGUAUCCAGUUGGUUAUAUGCUUACUUGGUAGUAUUCUGGAUGAGUUCUUGCAUGGUAUUUAUUUAUGAUGCUAGUGGUCAUGGCAUGCUCAUGUGUAAUAUUAUGCUCGUCAGUUUGCCAUGCUCAUUUGGUUAAUGUUUCAUUAUGGUUAUGCUCGAUGAUCAUGUUGCACUUCCCUUCUUAUGUUGAUAUCAUGCUCAUGCAUUGUAAUUGCAUCAUGUUAUUUUAUCAUGGCUCAGCAUAUUUGCAUUCAGGUUUAACCGGAUUAAAUUGAACUUGAACAACUGUUUGCUGAGUCAUGGUGCCACCAAUACGAGCUGACCAGUGCAACCACACUUGCCUUUAUGGGAGGGUCCUACCUCGGUCUAUUGUCGUGCCUCUCACCGGUGCCUCCCAUGAGUCGGAGUGGCUGGGAGAGUGUCAUGGAAGUAGGAGGUUUUGUCGGAACACCGUUGGUCCACCCGAAUGGGAGCGUGAGGCCAUGGGUUCCGUGGUGUGGGUACAGUGCGCUACCUCUGCAGAGUGUAUACUAAAUCUAUCGAUAGCCGCGCCCGCGGAUAAGGGCCCAGUUCAUAGUUGGUCACACUAUGGGUCAACAGUAUUAAUAAUAAUGAUGUGCUUAAUAAAAACCCCGGUUCAAUGAUGAGAUAAGUUGGUUAUGUGAUCUGUGAAUGAUCACCAUUUGUUUACGAGGUAACCCGUUGAGCCCAGGGUGGUUCCAUUUGUGAUCCGUGAAUGAUCACCAUGAUAUCAAGGAUACCGAGUUGUUGGAUAUUUGUGAUGUUGUGCAAGAAUCAUGGGUAAAGAUCAAGCUCCUUGUGGUCAUUUAAUGAUUACUACGGUAUUGUUUAUACCAAGCUUGAUUUGAUCCUGAGAUGAUCGAGUGAUGUCCGAGGUUGGUAAGUGAUCAUAUGAUGGUUACGAGGUAACCCGAGCAGAAUAAGUGGUGCAUAUAGUGUCAUCAUGUUGCAUGCUAGUAUCGUCAGAUUUAUAUGUUCAUGCCAUGCUCAUAUUGUUGUAGCUGUAUCAUGUUCAUGCUGUCAUGCCAUGUUAUCUUGAUGAUCUCAUGAUAAUUCCUGUUUAACCUGUAAUUGCCAUGUUGUUGUUUGUCUUGAAUGCUUCUGGUUAUUGUGAUCUUGCAAGUACAUUCAAUGUACUGACCUGGCGUGUCAUGCCGGAUUUCAUUGCUUGUUUGCCGCGGUUCCUGUGUUCCCGAGCUAGGAUAAGCAUUCCAGCCAGAUUCCCUGCGGAGUGGAGUUCACCACCGUCGUUGUUGUGCCGCUGCUAGAAGUUUUUCCGCUGCUUCGAGUUGUUCUGCUGCUUGCAUAGAGCAACUGCGGUAGCCAUAGUGUCGUCGUGCCGAUGUAACCCUUGUACUCAAAUAUAUUGUAAUAAAGAGCUGAUUUGUUCUAUGCUAAGCAGUGCCGUAUUCCAGAAGACUUCAUCUCUAUCUCUGGGCUGGAAUACGAGGCGUUCUGGUUUCUCUGAGCCGGGGUGUCACAUCUAUUUUUGUUGAAUCUCGAUUGUAGUGAUACACAUAUUCACAAAAUUGAAGCCAAAAGAUGCAAAGUUAAUAGUGAUAGUGCAACUUAUUUGUGGCACCACCUUUUAGGUCAUAUUGGUGUAAAGCGCAUGAAGAAACUCCAUGCUGAUGGACUUUUGGAAUCACUUGAUUAUGAAUCACUUGAUGCUUGCGAACCAUGCCUGAUGGGCAAAAUGACUAAGACUCCGUUCUCCGGAACAAUGGAGCGAGCAUCUUUGGAAAUAAUACAUACCGACGAUGCGGUCCGAAGAGUGUAGAGGCUCGCGGCGGGUAUUGUUUUUUUCCGACCUUCACAGAUGAUUUGAGCAGAUAUGCGUAUAUCUACUUGAUGAAACAUAAGUCUGUAACAUUUGAAAAGUUCAAAGAAUUUCAGAGUGAAGUGGAAAAUCAUCAUAAUAAGAAAAAAUUUCUACGAUCUGAUCGUGGAGGUGAAUAUUUGAGUUAUGAGUUUGGUCUUCAUUUGAAACAAUGUGGAAUAGUUUCGCAACUCACGCUACCUGGAACACCACAGUGUAAUGGUGUCCGAACAUCGUAACCAUACUUUAUUAAAUAUGGUGUGAUCUAUGAUGUCUCUUACCGAUUUACCACUAUCAUUUUGGGGUUGUGCUUUAGAGACGGCUGCAUUCACGUUAAAUAGGGCACCAUCUAAAUCCGUUGAGACGACAACAUAUGAACUGCGGUUUGGCAAGAAAUCUAAGUUGUCAUUUCUUAAAGUUUGGGGCUGCGAUGUGAUACAUCUCCAACGUAUCUAUAUUUUAUGAAGCAUUCAUGCUAUAUUAUUAUCUUUUUUGAAUGAUUAUGGGCUUUAUUAUACACUUUAAUAUUACUUUUGGGACUAACCUAUUAACCGGAGGCCCAUCCCAUAUUGUUGUUUUAUUGCCUGUUUCAGUAUUUCGAAGAAAAGGAAUAUCAAACGGAGUCCAAACGGAAUGAAACCUUCGGCAUCGUGAUUUUUUGGAAGAUUGUCAUCCUGGAGGCUUGGAGAUCAAGUCAGAAGAUCCUCGAGGAGCCCAGGAGAUAGGAGGGUGCCCCCCUGUAGGACGCGGCCCCCUGUCUCGUGGGCCCCUCGAGCACUUCCUGACCGACUUCUUUCACCUAUAUAUUCCCCCGUACCCUAAAAACAUCGAAUAUCAAGAUAGAUCGGGAGUUCCGCCGCCGCAAGCCUCUGUAGCCACCAAAAACCUCUCGGGAGCCCUUCCCGGCACCCUGCCGGAGGGGGGAUCCUUCACCGGUGGCCAUCUUCAACAUCCCGACGCUCUCCAUGACGAGGAGGGAGUAGUUCACCCUCGGGGAUGAGGGUAUGUACAAGUAGCUAUGUGUUUGAUCCCUCUCUCUCUCGUGUUCUCUCUCGUGUUCCCUCUAUGGCACGAUCUUGAUGUAUCCCGAGCUUGGCUAUUGUAGUUGGAUCUUAUGAUGUUUCUUCCCGUCUACUCUCUUGUGAUGAAUUGAGUUUCCCCUUUGAAGUUAUCUUAUCGGAUUGAGUCUUUUAUGAGAACACUUGAUGUAUGUCUUGUCGUGCUUACCUGUGGUGACAAUGGGAUAUCAUGUGCCUCUUGAUGUAUGUUUUGGUGACCAACUUGCGGGUUCCGCCCAUGAACCUAUGCAAAGAGGUUGGCACACGUUCUUGACUCUCCGGUAGAAACUUUGGGGCACUCUUUGAAGUACUUUGUGUUGGUUGGAUGAAUCUGAGAUUGUGUGAUGCAUAUCGUAUAAUCAUGCCCACGGAUACUUGAGGUGACAAUGGAGUAUCUAGGUGACAUUAGGGUUUUCGUUGAUUUGUGUCUUAAGGUGUUAUUCUAGUACGAACUCUUUAAUAGAUCGAUCUGAAAGAAUAACUUUGAGGUGGUUUCAUACCCUACCAUAAUCUCUACGUUUGUUCUCCGCUAUUAGUGGCUUUGGAGUGACUCUUUGUUGCAUGUUGAGGGCUUGUUAUAUGAUCUAUCUAUGUUAUUAUUGUUGAGAGAACUUGCACUAGUAAAAGUAUGAACCCUAGGCCUUGUUUCCUAUCAUUGCAAUACCGUUUACGCUCACUUUUAUCGCUUUUUACCUUGCUCUUUUAUUAUUUCAGAUUACAAAAACCUUUAUCUACUAUCCAUAUUGCACUUGUAUCUUCAUCUCUUCGCCGAACUAGUGCACCUAUACAAUUUACCAUUGUAUUGGGUGUGUUGGGGACACAAGAGACUCUUUGUUAUUUGGUUGCAGGGUUGCUUGAGAGAGACCAUCUUCAUCCUAUGCCUCCUACGGAUUGAUAAACCUUAGGUCAUCCACUUGACGGAAAUUUUCUACUGUCCUACAAACCUGUGCACUUGCAGGCCCAACAACGUCUACAAGAAGAAGGUUGUGUAGUAGGCACCAAGCUCUUUUCUGGCGCCGUUGCCGGGGAGGUGUGUGCUUGAAGGUAUAUCUUUAGAUCUUGCAAUUGAAUCUUUUUGUUUCUUCUUUUAUCACUAGUUUAGUUUAUAAAAGAAAACUACAAAAAAAUGGAGUUGAGUUUGUCCCAUACGCUUCGUCCUUUUAAUAUCUUUCAUGAGUAUGAUGGAAGGGAAAAUUGUGCUCAAGUGCUAGAAGAAGAAUGCAUUAGAAUGUUUGGUACUAUAUCUUUGUAUGAUGAGCAUGAUUGCAAUGUUGUUAGUAUGAAUUCCUUGAAUAUCCAUGAUGCUAAUGAUAUGCAAAGCCACAAGCUUGGGGAAGCUAUGUUUGAUGAAUAUGAUAUUUUUUGUCCCCCAAGUUUUGAUGAGAAUAUUUAUUAUGAUGAAAGCAUGCCUCCUAUUUAUGAUGAUUAUAUUGAUGAAAGUGGGUUUGGAAGAGUGUCAACUUUAGGAAGUAGUGAUCCCACUAUUUUGGAGGAUGUUGAAUCUUAUUGUGAUGAACAUGAAAGUGGAUUUGGAAGAGUGUCAACUUUAUUUAGUGAUGAUUCCACUAUUUCGGAAGAGGUUCCAAUUGAUUAUGAGAACAAAGUUUCUAUCUAUGAUGAUUAUUGUGAUGACUUGUAUGCUAUAAAGAAUAAUGAUAACCAUGAAACUUGUCAUCAUGAUUUUCGUUUUCAAUUGGAUUAUGCCUCACAUGAUAGUUAUUUUGUUGAGUUUGCUCCCACUACUAUUCAUGAGAAUAAAUUUGCUUAUGUGGAGAGUAGUAAAUUUUCUAUGCUAGUAGAUAAUGAAAAGAAUGCUUUAGGUGUUGGUUAUAUUGUUGAAUUCAUUCAUGAUGCUACUGAAAAUUAUUAUGAGGGAGGAACAUAUGCUUGUAGGAAUUGCAAAAAUAUUAAGUUUCCUCCCUAUGUGUUGAAAAUCUUGAAGCUAUGCUUGUUUUACCUUCCUUUGCUAUUUGAUUAUUGUUCCCAUAAGUUGUUUGCUCACAAAAUCCCUAUGCAUAGGAAGUGGGUUAGACUUAAAUGUGCUAGUCAUAUUCUUCAUGAUGCUCUCUUUAUGUUUGAAUUCUUAUCUUUUAUGUGAGCAUCAUUGCCAUCAUCAUGCCUAGCUAAAAAGGCAUUAAAGAAAAGCGCUUGUUGGGAGACAACCCAAUAUUUAUCCUUACUGUUUUUGUGUGUAAACAUGAUUAUGCUACUGCAUUAAUCAUGUUUUAUAGCUUUUGUUUCAAUAAAGUACCAAGUAGGACCUUUGGGAAGACUUGGGUGAAGUCUAUAUGAUCUUGCUGUAAAAAUCAGAAACUUUGGCGCUCACGAGAAUAGCUGCCAUUUUUUACUGGAGAGUGAUUUUAGGUUGAUUCUUUUUUCAAAUGAUUAAUAGACAAAUUACUCAGGUUGAGAAAUUUAGUUCAUAAUUUUUGGGGUUCCAUAAGUAUAAGUUUGAUACAGAUUACUACAGACAGUUCUGUUUUUGACAGAUUCUGUUUUCAUUGUGUUGUUUGCUUAUUUUGAUGCAUCUAUGGCUAGUAUUAAGUGGUAUGAACCAUAGAUAAGUUGGAAUACAGUAGGUUUAACACCAAUAUGAAGUUAUAAUGAGUUCAUUACAGUAUCUAAGUGGUGGUUUUAUUUUCAUAUACUAACGGAGCUUACGAGUUUUGUUUGAGUUUUGUGUGGUUGAAGUUUUCAAGUUUUGGGUAGAGAUUCGAUGGACUUUGGAAUAAGGAGUGGAAAUAGCCUAAGCUUGGGGAUUCCCAAGGCACCCCAAGGUAAUAUUCCAGGACAACCAAGAGCCUAAGCUUGGGGAUGCCCCGGAAGGCAUCCCCUCUUUCGUCUUCGUUCAUCGGUAACUUUACUUGGAGCUAUAUUUUUAUUCGCCACAUGAUAUGUGUUUUGCUUGGAGCAUCAUUUUAUUUUGUUAGUUUUUGCUUGCUGUUAGUUAGAAUAAUGUUUUGCAUCUUUAUUUUCAAUAAAAACGUCAAGGAUAGCCUUUGCCAUGCUUAUUUUGCUAGUAUACAUGUUGUUGUUUGAAAACAGAAAGUUUACCGCUAUUGCAAAAAUUCCCUAGAAACGUCAGGGGAUGGUACAACGUUGAAUCUUUAUGCAUAUUAAUAUCUGAUAAAUUUAUUACAAUGUGAAUUUUAGUUCAUAAUUUGUGGAGUCAGGGAAGUAUUGAUACUCUUGCAUUCUUUACAGAGUGUACUGUUUUGGCAGAUUGCUGUUCUAGUUGCAUUGUUUGCAUAUGUUUGCUUGUUUAAUGAUUCUAUUUGAUGAUAGGAGUAUUAAAUAUGCAGAGACAUUUAGUAUGAAAUGUUGAAUAAUAAUUUAAGUGAUUUUUUACAGUAUAAAAUGAUAAGGUUUUGCAUUUGUUUAUACUAACCUAUCUCACGAGUUCUUGUUGAGUUUGUUGUGGAUGAAGCUUUUGAUAAAAAGAGAAACCAUGAUAUGAGAGGAAUUAAGGAGACACAAAAGCUCAAGCUUGGGGAUUCCCAAGGCACCCCAAGAUAGUAUUCCAAGAAGUCUCAAGCAUCUAAGCUUGGGGAUGCCCCGUUAGGCAUCCCACCUUUCUUCUUCAACAACUAUCGGUUAGUAUCGGUUGAGCCUAAGUUUUUGCUUCUUCACAUGAGUUGUGAUAUCCUUGCAAUGUCAUUUUAUUUUGUUUUGCUUGAUGCUUAAAUACAAUACCAAGAUCUGAAUUCUUAAAUGAGAGAGAGUCUUUGCAUAGUUGCAUAAUUAUUUAGCUACUCAUUGAUCUUCACUUAUAUCUUUUGGAGUAGUUUUUCAUUUACUCGUGUGCUUCACUUAUAUCCUAUGAGUAAAUUGUUUAAUGAGUUGAAUGUCAUAAAUCUGAAAUUAUAUAUGCCUCAUUUUCUUAUCCCAUGGGGUGUAAUGACUUCACAUCUAAGAAGUAGAGGUUGUAAAUUUAUUGACGGUUAGCAAGCACUUUAUUAGUCAUUUGAACAAUUCAUGAAAGAAUAUUGAAGGAAGGGAGAUUUCACAUAUAAACAUAUUAUCAUAGACAUCUUUUAUAAUUGUGAGCAUUCAUUAUGUAUGACAUGCUAAAGAGUUGAUGUUGGACAAGGAAGACAAUGUAAUGGGUUAUGUUUUCUUGCAUCUCAGUUAAAGUAUAUUGUCAUGGACCAUUCAAACAUGUUGAGCUUGCCUUUCCCCCUCAUGCUAUCCAAAAAUUCCUAGCACCAUGUAGAGAUACUACUUGUGCUUCCAAAUAUCCUUAAACCGAGUUUUUGCCAUGAGAGUCCACCAUAUCUACCUAUGGAUUGAGUAAGAUCCUUCAAGUAAGUUGUCAUCGGUGCAAGCAAUAAAAAUGCUCUCUAAAUAUGCAUGACUUAUUAGUGUGGAGAAAAUAAGCUUUGUACGAACUUGUUAUGGAAGCAAUAAAAGCGAUGGACUGCAUAAUAAAGGUCCAUAUACAAGGGGCAAUAUAAAGUGACAUUCUUUCGCAUUAAGUUUUUGUGUAUCCAACCCUAAAAGCGCAUGACAACCUCUGCUUCCCUCUGCGAAGGGCCUAUCUUUUACUUUAUGUCUUUUACUUUAUGCAAGAGUCAAGGUGAUCUUCACCUUUCCCUUUUUCAUUUUAUCCUUUGGAAAGCACUUUGUGUUAGAGUGAUCCUGAUAUAUAUAUCCAAUUGGAUGUACGUUAGCAUGAACUAUUAUUGUUGACAUCACCCAAAGGUGAAUACAUUCGGAGGCAAUAUUAUAAGCCCCAAUCUUUCUCUGUGUCUGAUUAAAACUUCAUAACCACACGUAUUGCAUGAUUGUUAGCAAUUGUAGAAGACUAUAUUAUAGUUGAGUAUGUGAAGUUUGCUAAACCAAAGCUCUGACAUAGACUCUUCCUGAAAGUAAGAUGAAUUGCAAUUGUUUCAUGACUAAAUGAAGUUUGCUAGUUUUCAAGAAAGUUUAUGGUCUAUGCUUUAACAUGUGAAUUGCUUGUUACUAGUUCGUGAAAAGUUUUAUGAGAUGAACUACUGUUAUGACAUAUAAUGAUGUUAGUAAAGGUGAUUGAAAUUAUCAUUGAUCAAACUUGUGCAACUUCUAGCAUUCUCACUUCAUAAAUUCUUUCUUUUAUCAUUUACCUACUUGAUGAUGUGUAGGAAUUAAGCUUGGGGAUGCUGAUACGUCUCCAACGUAUCUAUAAUUUAUGAAGCAUUCAUGCUAUAUUAUUAUCUAUUUUGAAUGAUUAUGGGCUUUAUUAUACAAUUUUAUAUUACUUUUGGGACUAACCUAUCAACCGGAGGCCCAGCCCAUAUUGCUGUUUUAUUGCCUGUUUCAGUAUUUCGAAGAAAAGGAAUAUCAAACGGAGUCCAAACGGAAUGAAACCUUCGGCAUCGUGAUUUUUUGGAAGAUUAUCAUCCUGGAGGCUUGGAGAUCAAGUCAGAAGAUCCUCGAGGAGCCCAGGAGAUAGGGGGGCGCACCCUCCCCCCUACAGGGUGCGCUCCCCUGUCUCGUGGGCCCCUCCAGCACUUCCCGACCGACUUCUUUCGCCUAUAUAUUCCCCCGUACCCUAAAAACAUCGAAUAUCAAGAUAGAUCGGGAGUUCUGCUGCCGCAAGCCUUUGUAGCCACCAAAAACCUCUCGCGAGCCCUUCCCGGUACCCUGCCGGAGGGGGAUCCUUCACCGGUGGCCAUCUUCAUCAUCCCGGCGCUCUCCAUGACGAGGAGGGAGUAGUUCACCCUCGGGGCUGAGGGUAUGUACCAGUAGCUAUGUGUUUGAUCUCUCUCUCUCUCUCUCGUGUUCUAUCUCGUGUUCCCUCUAUGGCACGAUCUUGAUGUAUCCCGAGCUUUGCUAUUGUAGUUGGAUCUUAUGAUGUUUCUCCCCCUCUACUCUCUUGUGAUGAAUUGAGUUUCCCCUUUGAAGUUAUCUUAUCGGAUUGAGUCUUUUAUGAGAACACUUGAUGUAUGUCUUGCCAUGCUUAUCUGUGGUGACAAUGGGAUAUCAUGUGCCACUUGAUGUAUGUUUUGGUGACCAACUUGCGGGUUCCACCCAUGAACCUAUGCAUAAGGGUUGGCACACGUUCUUGACUCUCCGGUAGAAACUUUGGGGCACUCUUUGAAGUACUUUGUGUUGGUUGGAUGAAUCUGAGAUUGUGUGAUGCAUAUCGUAUAAUCAUGCCCACGAAUACUUGAGGUGGCAAUUGAGUAUCUUGGUGACAUUAGGGUUUUGGUUGAUUUGUGUCUUAAGGUGUUAUUCUAGUACGAACUCUUUAAUAGAUCGAUCCGAAAGAAUAACUUUGAGGUGGUUUCGUACCCUACCAUAAUCUCUACGUUUGUUCUCCGCUAUUAGUGGCUUUGGAGUGACUCUUUGUUGCAUGUUGAGGGCUUGUUAUAUGAUCUAUCUAUGUUAUUAUUGUUGAGAGAACUUGCACUAGUGAAAGUAUGAACCCUAGGCCUUGUUUCCUAUCAUUGCAAUACCGUUUACGCUCACUUUUAUCGCUUGUAACCUUGCUGUUUUUAUUAUUUCAGAUUACAAAAACCUUUAUCUACUAUCCAUAUUGCACUUGUAUCUUCAUCUCUUCGCCGAACUAGUGCACCUAUACAAUUUACCAUUGUAUUGGGUGUGUUGGGGACACAAGAGACUCUUUGUUAUUUGGUUGCAGGGUUUCUUGAGAGAGACCAUCUUCAUCCUAUGCCUCCUACGGAUUGAUAAACCUUAGGUCAUCCACUUGACGGAAAUUUGCUACUGUCCUACAAACCUGUGCACUUGCAGGCCCAACAACGUCUACAAGAAGAAGGUUGUGUAGUAGACAUCAUGAUGCUUAUGUGAAAAAGCUUCAACCUGAUAAGCUCGAACCCAAAUCGGAGAAAUGCGUUUUCAUAGAAUACCCAAAGGAAACUGUUGGGUACACCUUCUAUCACAGAUCCGAAGGCAAGAUACUCGUUGCCAAGAAUGGAUCCUUUCUAGAGAAGGAGUUUCUCUUAAAAGAAAUGAGUGGGAGGAAAGUAGAACUUGAUGAGGUAAUUGUAUCUUCGCCCGAAUUGGAAAGUAGUUCAUCACAGAAAUCAGUUCAAGUGAUUCCUACACGAAUUAGUGAGGAAGCUAAUGAUGAUGAUCAUGAAACUUUAGAUCAAGUUUAAACAUGCCCUAGAGGCAAUAAUAAAGUUGUUAUUUAUAUCUCCUUAUAUCAUGAUAAAUGUUUAUUAUUCAUGCUAGAAUUGUAUUAACCAGAAACUUAGUACAUGUGUGAAUACAUGGACAAAACGGAGUGUCCCUAGUAUGCCUCUACUUGACUAGCUCGUUGAUCAAAGAUGGUUAUGUUUCGAUACCAUAGACAUGUGUUGUCAUUUGAUAAAAGGGAUCACAUCAUUAGAGAAUGAUGUGAUGGACAAUACCCAUCCAUUAGCUUAGAAUUAUGAUCGUUUAGUUUUAUUGCUAUUGCUUUCUUCAUGACUUAUACAUAUUCCUCUGACUAUGAGAUUACGCAACUGCCGAAUACCGGAGGAUCACCUUGUGUGCUAUCAAACAUCACAACGUAACUGGGGGAUUAUGAAGAUGCUCUACAGGUGUCUCCGAAGGUGUUUGCUGGGUUGGCAUAGUUCAAGAUUAGGAUUUUUCAUUCUAUGUAUCGGAGAGGUGUCUUUGGUCCCUCUCGGUAAUGCACAUCACUAUAAGCCUUGCAAGCAAUGUGACUAAUGAGUUAGUUCCGGGAUGAUGCAUUACGGAACGAGUAAAGAGACUUGUCGGUAAUGAGACUAAACUAGGUAUGAGAAAGGGAAUGACGUAUGUUGUUAUGCGGUUUUGACCGAUAAAGAUCUUCGUAGAAUAUGUAGGAACCAUUAUGAGCAUCUAGGUUCCGCUAUUGGUUAUUGACUGGAGAUGUGUCUCAGUCAUGUAUACAUAGUUCUCGAACCCGUAGGGUCCGCACGAUUAACGUUCGAUGACGAUUUGUAAUAUGAGUUGUGUUUUUUCAUGACCGAAGUUUGUUUGGAGUCCCGGAUGCGAUCAUAGACAUGACGAGGAGUCUCGAAAUGGUCGAGAGGUAAAGAUUCAUAUAUUGGAAUGUUAUAUUCGGACAUCGGAAUGGUUGCGGGUGAUUCGGGUGUUUUUCCGGAGUACCGAGGGGUUACCGCAACCCCUCGGGGAAGUAUUGGGACAACAUGGGCCUAAGAGANNNNNNNNNNNNNNNNNNNNNNNNNNNNNNNNNNNNNNNNNNNNNNNNNNNNNNNNNNNNNNNNNNNNNNNNNNNNNNNNNNNNNNNNNNNNNNNNNNNNNNNNNNNNNNNNNNNNNNNNNNNNNNNNNNNNNNNNNNNNNNNNNNNNNNNNNNNNNNNNNNNNNNNNNNNNNNNNNNNNNNNNNNNNNNNNNNNNNNNNNNNNNNNNNNNNNNNNNNNNNNNNNNNNNNNNNNNCCCCCUCCUAGGGAGUCCGAAUAGGACAAGGAGGAGGGUGAUACGUCUCCAACGUAUCUAUAAUUUAUGAAGUAUUCAUGAUGUUAUAUUACCAUUCUUGGAGGUUUUACAAUCAUUUUAUAGCAACUUUAUAUCAUUUUUUGGGACUAACCUAUUGACCCAGUGCCUAGUGCCAUUUGUUGUUUUUUGCUUGUUUUUUACAUCGCAGGAAAUCAAUAUCUAACGGAAUCCAAACACCAUGAAACUUUUUGUGAAUUUUGGAUGGACCAGAAGACCACCAAUGGGCCAGAGCUACACCCGGGGGGUGCCUCGACGGGAGCACAACCCACCAGGGCGCGCCUGGGGGCCCAGGCGCGCCCAGGUGGGUUGUGCCCACCUCUAUGGCCUCCCGCACCCCCUCUUUACCCUAUAAAAAUUUGGAAAACCCUCGGGGUUAACCUAGAUCAGAGGUUCCGCCACCGCAAGGCUCUGUAGCUACCGAAAACCAAUCUACACCCCAUUCCAGCACCUUGCCGGAGGGGGGAAUCAUCAUCGGUGGCCAUCUUCAUCAUCCCGGUGGCCAUCACGAUGAGGAGGGAGUAGUCCACCCUCGGGGCAGAGGGUUUGUACAAGUAGCUAUGUGUUUUAUCUCUCUCAGUCUCGUGUUCUUGAGAUGUGACGAUCUUGAUGUAUCGCGGGUUUUGUUAAUAUAGUCGGAUCAUAUGGUGUUUUGCCCUCUCUAUCUUGUUGUGAUGAAUUGAGUUUUCCCUUUGAGAUUUCGUUGUUAUCGGAUUGAAUACUUUGAUGGAUUUGAUAUAUGUCUUGCAAUUGAAUACUCGUGGUGACAAUGGGUGAUAUGUCUCCAACGUAUCGAUAAUUUUUGACAUUUCCAUGUUGUUUUAUUAUCAAUCUUGGAUGUUUUAUAAUCAUUUUAUAGUCAUUUUAUAUCAUUUUUUAUACAAACCUAUUGACAUAGUGCCUAGUGCCAGUUGCUGUUUUUUCAUGUUUUUUACAUCGCAGAAAAUCAAUAUCAGACAGAGUCCAAAUGCAAUGAAACUUCACGAUGAUUUUUUAUGGACCAAAAGGAAGAAGUUGGGCCCUGGUUGAACCUGGGGGGAGUCCCGAGGAGGGGACAACCCACCAGGGUGCGCCAGGAGGCCCAGGCACGCCCUGGUGGGUUGUGCCCACCUCGGGUGCCCCCGGACCGCCUCUUUGCUCUAUAAAUACCCCAAAAAUCCCAGAACCCUAGAAGCAUCGAUGAAAUAUUCAUCUAGCCGCCGCAGAGUCCAGAACCACCAGACCCAAUCUAGACACCAUCACGGAGGGGUUCACCACUUCCAUUGGUGCCUCUCCGAUGAUGCGUGAGUAGUUCUUUGUAGACCUUCGGGUCCGUAGUUAGUAGCUAGAUGGCUUUCUCUCUCUUGCUGAAUUCUCAAUACAAUGGUCUCUUGGAGAUCCAUAUGAUGUAACUCUUUUGCGGUGUGUUUCUUGGGAUCUGAUGAACUUUGAGUUGAUCAGCCAUAUCUUUUUAUAUCCAUGAAAGUUAUUUGAGUUUCUUUGAUAUCUUCUAUGCAUGAUCUCUUAUAGCCUCGUAUUUCUUCUCCGAUAUUUGGGUUUUGUUUGUCCAACUUGAUCUAUUUAUCGCAAUGGGAAGAGGUGCAAGGUAGUGGGUUCGAUAUUACGGUGCUUGAUCCCAGUGACAGAAAGGGAACUGACACGUAUGUAUCAUUGCUACUAAGGAUAAAAAGAUGGGAUCUAUAUCUACCACCAUAGAUAAACAUAUCUUGUCUACAUCAUGUCAUGCAUCGUUCUUAUUGCAUUACUUCAUUUUUUUCAUGAACUUAAUACAUUAGAUGCAUGCUGGAUAGCGGUCGAUGUGUGGAGUAAUAGUAGUAGAUGCAGGCAGGAGUCGGUCUACUAAUCUUGGACGUGAUGCCUAUGUAAUGAUCAUUGCCUGGAUAUCAAUUGCCCAACAGUAAUUUGUCCACCCACGGUUUGCUAUCUUUCUCAAGAGAAGCCACUAGUGAAACCUACGGGCCCCGGGUCUUCUUUUUCAUAUAUUUGCUUUGCGAUUUAUUUUAUUUGCACUUUUUAUUCAGUUCUAUUAAACCAAAAAUACAAAAAUACUUUACUGCACUUUAUUUUAUUUGUGAUCUAUUUAUUCAAUCUAUUACAACUUUCUACCGUCAACAUGCAAUUUCUGGCGUCGUACCCCGAAAGGGAUUGACAACCCCUUUAACAUGUCAGGUUGCGAGGUGUUGUUAUUUGUGUGCAGGGGUUGUUUACAUUGUGAUUGCUUGGUUCUCCUACUGGUUCGAUAACCUUGGUUUCAUAUCUGAGGGAAAUACCUACCACCGCUGUGCUGCAUCAUCCCUUCCUCUUUGGGGAAAUACCAACGUAGCUUCAAGCGGCAUCAAAAGGAAUUUCUGGCGCCGUUGCCGUGGAGAACCUUCAACAUAAUCAGGUUCCUAAUCACAAAUCUCAUCUCCUUGCAAUUUACAUUAUUUGCCAUUUGCCUCUCGUUUUCCUCUCCCCCACUUCACAAAAAAUUGUUGUUUUAUUUGCCUCUCUUUUUUCGUUCGCCGUUUUUCCGUCCACUUAAGUUCUUUUCUCCGUUGUUAUGGCCGAUCCUAGAAAGGCUAGGGGACUCCUACCAAGUUUUAAUACUUUGGAUAGCCCCUCCGUCCUCUCCAAGCUCAUAAAUAAUGAUGCUGUGGAAGGACUUACCAGGGUUGUUAAGGAAAAUCUUAACAAUUUUGAUGAGGACGAACCCGUAAUUUUUCGUUAUCUGCUUGAUGAAUCCUUGUAAGAUGCUUGGGGUCGGCUGUUGAGAAUUCGAGCUAGCUAUGCGCCCCAAUAUCAGAUAGAGAUAUACCUGAAAAGUUUUUCUAUUGGUUUACCAUCUUCCUUUAAGCAAGUUUUGGAUUCUAUAUUUGAAAACGAUUUUCUUGAAGGGGAUGUCGUGGAUACUUAUGAAAAGAUGAAAACUAUAUUUGGGCACCCCAAGGGAGAAAAUGUUGAACCAACUACCCUUCUAUGCUUUUAUUAAAAUGAAAUAAUCAAAGAGAUGAAGGCUAGUUUAGAUAAGAAUUUUCAUAACAUGCUUAAUCUUUCUUCUGCUAUCAAUGGUCACGUGUUUUCACAAAAUAGAAGAUUGAAUGCCACUGAUAGGAAGUUUUCUAUUUGCUUUCAAAAGGACAAAGAUGACAAAACCUAGAUCCUUGCCCUACGCCUAGCUAAGGGAGUAAAACUAUAGCGCUUGUUGGGAGGCAACCCAAUGAAUAAAAUUUAUUUUUGCCUUUUGCUUUAUGUUUUUGUGCGUUUGCACAAUUAUGCUACUGGUAUGAUUGUGGUUUUGUGUUUUAAUUAGUGUUUGUGCCAAGUAAAGCCUUUAGGAUCUUCUUGGGUGUGAUAGUUGUUUGAUCUUGCUGAAAAAGACAGAAACUUUGUGCUCACGAAAAUAAUUUUCAUAAAUCACAGAAAAGAGAUUUAGCUCUGAAUCGUUUUUAAGAAGAUUUAUAUACAAAUUACCCUAGUCUUCCUAAUUUGGAAGAAUUUUUGGAGUUCCAGAAGUAUUCGCAAAAGUCAGAUUACUACAGACAGUUCUUUUUUGGCAGAUUCUGUUUUCUUUGUGUUGUGUGCUUAUUUUGAUGGCUCAAUGGUUUUCUUUGAUGAGUUUUUGCCAUAGAAAAGUUGGAAUACAGUAGAUAUAAUACAAAAACAAAAUAUGAAUUGGUUUGAUACAGCACUUAUAGUAGUGAUUUAUUUUUCUUACACUAACAGAUCUCACGAAAAGUUUUGUUGAGUUUUGUGUGAUUGAAGUUUUCAAGUUUUGGGUUUCUUAUGAUGGAUGAAGGAAGGAUGUAAGAGCCUAAGAUUGGGGAUGCCCCGGCAUCCCAAGCUAUUAUCCAAAAAUGAGCAACCAACUAAGCUUGGGGAUGCCCCCGAGUGGCAUCCCCGCUUUCUUCCAACAACUAUCGGUAUUUUACUCGAGGCUAUAUUUUUAUUCGUCACAUGAUAUGUGUUUUACUUGGAGCAUCUUGUAGGAUAUGAGUCUUUGCUUGCUUUAUUUUGUGUUUUAAGUCAUCAAUCCUUGCUGGAAACACUUGUUUGAGAGAGCCAAAAUUAUAUCAUGACUUGUUAGAAUUGCUCUCUGUGCUUCACUUAAAUCUUUUAUGAGCUAGGACUUGCUCUAGUGCUUCACUUCUAUCUUUUUUAGCAUGGUGUGAUUUGUUAUUUUUUAAGAAAUUCUCUCUUGCUUCACUUAGAUUUAUUUGAGAGUUAGUAAAAUUUUGAAGAAAUUCUCUCUUUCUUCACUUAAAUUAUUUUGAGAGAAAGAAAAUUUGUUAUGCUCAUGAUCAUCACUUAUAUUUGUUUGAGCUUGUGAAAAGCAACACAUGAAAAUUAGUCCCAAAGUGAUAGAUAUCCAAGAAGGAUAAAGUAAAAAAAAGAUUUCAUGAAGAUCAUUGGACAAAAUAAACUUGAUUCUUGGUAAUAGUUUUGAGAUAUGAUGAUGUGAUAUGUGAGUUAUGUGGAUGAGUAAUUGUGCUCUAGUAAGAAUAUUGGUGUUAAUGUUUGUGAUUCCCUAUACAUGCACGAAAGUCAAUAGUCAUGCAGUGAAAAUUAUAUCCUACUUGUGGUGCAUUAUUCGUUGUUAAUUAUGCUUAAUGCUUGCUUAUGAGAUUAUUUGUUUCUUAGUUGGUCGCUUCUCAAUCUUAUGCUAGCCUUCAUUUUGCACCAAGUAUGACCUUUACUUGUGCAUCCAAAAUCCUUUAAACAGUUUUGCCACACAAGUCCACUAUAUCUACCUAUAUGCGGUAUUCUUUUGCCGUUCUAAGCAAAUUUGCAUGUGCCAUCUCUAAUUUUCAAAAUAAACUUCUCUUUUGUGUGUUUGUUUCACUCACGAAACGGUAAUGGGUGGCUAAUAUUUUCCAUACUGGAUGUGUUAUUCUCACGAAGAGUGUUUAUUCACUUGUCAUUGCACGAGAGUAAGGCAAAGAUUUUAGGGAUGCCCAGUCCCGAAAUGCAAAAAUGAAUUUACUUUAUGUUGUCAAAAUAAUAAAUUCCUUGGAAAGUGUUGGUCUGGAGGGCAACCGUGGAUACAGCUAGCCAUGGAAAGUGAAAGAAUGGUGGAAAAAGGAAUAAACUUUAUUUUCUGUUUGGGAACCGCCUAUGGCAUAUCUAUCAUGGAAAGUGUUCGGAACUCUGAGUUGUUUUUGUUGGUGGAUGUAUACACCUCCCAAAAUGUUUUUAUCUCUAUUUUUUUGCUUUGAGCUCUGGCACCACUACAAAUCCCUACUUCCCUCUGUGAAGGGCCUUUCCUUUACUUUAUGCAAUUUUUAUUUUGAUUCUCCAUCUUCUCUUAUAAAAAGCACCAACUAGGAGGCAAUAUGAUCCUGCUUAAGUAUUGGGUAUAGCUAAUAUUCGAGUGUGUUUCAUGAAUGGAUCAAUGGUUGAGCAUGAUGGGCUAGGGAUAACUUAUUUUAACAUUGAUAUUCUGAAAGACAUGGUUUCUUGUUGAUAUGCUUGAGUAUCUAAAUUAUUAUGUCAAAACUAGACUAUUGCUUUGAAUCACAUAAAAGUCCAAAUGUCCAUCCUAUAAAGAAAAUAAUAUGAUAUGACAUGAUGAACAACACUCCACAUCAAAAAUUCUGUUUUUAUCACUUACCUACUCGAGGACGAGUAGGAGUUAAGCUUGGGGGUGCUGAUAUGUCUCCAACAUAUCUAUAUUUUUUGAUUGUUCCAUGCUAUUUUAUUAUCAAUCUUGGAUGUUUUAUAAUCAUUUUAUAGUCAUUUUAUAUCAUUUUUUGGUACUAACCUAUUGACAUAGUGGCAAGUGCCAGUUGCUGUAUUCUGCAUGUUUUUUACAUCGACGGAAAUCAAUAUCAGACGGAGUCCUAAUGCAACGAAACUUCAAGAUGAUUUUUAUGGACCAAAAGGAAGAAGUUGGGCCCUGGUUGCACCUGGGGGAGUUCCUAGGAGGGGACAACCCACCAUUGCGCGCCAGGAGGCCCAGGCGCGCCCUGGUGGGUUGUGCCCACCUCGGGUGCUCCCUGGACCGCCUCUUUGCUGUAUAAAUACCCCAAAAAUCCCCUAACCCUAGAAGCGUCGACGAAAUAUUCAUCCAGCCGCCGCAGAAUCCAGAACCACCAGAUCCGAUCUAUACACCAUCACGGAGGGGUUCACCACUUGCAUUGGUGCCUCUCCGAUGAUGCAUGAGUAGUUCUUUGUAGACCUUCUGGUCCAUAGUUAGUAGCUAGAUGGCUUUCUCUCUCUUGCUGAAUUCUCAAUAUAAUGGUCUAUUGGAGAUCCAUAUGAUGUAACUCUUUUGCGGUGUGUUUGUUGGGAUCUGAUGAACUUUGAGUUUAUGAUCAAUCAUAUCUUUUUAUAUCCAUGAAAGUUAUUUGAGUUUCUUUGAUCUCUUAUAUGCAUGAUCUCUUAUAACCUCGUAUUUCUUCUCCGAUAUUUGGGUUUUGUUUGGCUAACUUGAUCUAUUUAUCUUGCAAUGGGAAGAGGUGCCCGGUAGUGGGUUUGAUCUUACGGUGCUUGAUCCCAGCGAUAGAAAGGGAACCGACAUGUAUGUAUCGUUGCUACUAAGGAUAAAAAGAUGAGAUCUAUAUCUAUCGCCAUAGAUAAACGUAUCUUGUCUACAUCAUGUCAUCGUUCUUAUUGCCUUACUCCGUUUUUCCAUCAACUUAAUACACUAAAUGCAUGCUGGAUAGCGGUCGAUGUGUGGAGUAAUAGUUUUAGAUGCAGGCAAGAGUCGGUCUACUAAUCUUGGACGUGAUGCCUAUGUAAUGAUCAUUGCCUGGAUAUCAUCAUAAUUAUUUAAAGUUCUAUCAAUUGCCCAACAGUAAUUUGUUCACCCACCGUUUGCUAUCUUUCUCGAGAGAAGCCACUAGGGAAACCUACGGCCCCCAGGUCUUCUUUUUCAUAUAUUUGCUUCGGUAUCUAUUUUAUUUGCACUUUUUAUUCAGAUCUAUUAAACCAAAUAUACAAAAAUACUUUGCUGCAUUUUAUUUUAUUUGUGAUCUAUUUUUUCAAUCUAUUACAACUUUCUCCCGUCAACACGCAAUUUCUGGCGCCGUACCCUGAAAGGGAUUGACAACCCCUUUAACACGUCGGGUUGCGAGGUGUUGUUAUAUGUGUGCAGGUGUGAUAUGUCUUGAGCUUGUGUUGGUUUUCCUUGAAGAGGAAAGGGUGAUGCAGCAAUAGUAGCGUAAGUAUUUCCCUCAGUUUUUGAGAACCAAGGUAUCAAUUCAGUAGGAGGCUCCUCAAAAGUCCCACGCACCUACACAAACAAACCAAGAACUCGCAACCAACGCAAUAAUGGGGUUGUCAAUCCCUUCAUGGCCACUUGCGAAAGUGAGAUCUGAUAGAGAUAGUAUGAUAAGAUAAAUAUAUUUUUUGUAUUUUAUAAUAUAGAUCCAAAAAGUAAAGAUGCAAAUAAAAGUAGAUUGGAAGCAAAUAUGAUAAGAGAUUGACCCCGGGGCCAUAGGUUUCACUAGAGGCUUCUCUCAAGAUAGCAUAAGUAUUAUAGUGGGUGAACAAAUUACUGUCGAGCAAUUGAUAGAAAAGCGAAUAGUUAUGAGAUUAUCUAGGCAUGAUCAUGUAUAUAGGCAUCACGCCCGCAACAAGUAGACCGACUCCUGCCUGCAUCUACUACUAUUACUCCACACAUCGACCGACUCCUGCCUGCAUCUAGAGUAUUAAGUUCACAAAGAACAUAGUAACGCAUUAAGCAAGAUGACAUGAUGUAGAGGGAUAAACUCAUGCAAUAUGAUAUAAACACCAUCUUUUUAUCCUCGAUGGCAACAAUACAAUACGUGCCUUGCAACUCUUUCGGUCAUUGGGUAAGGACACCGCAAGAUUGAACCCAAACCUAAGCACUUCUCCCAUGGCAAGAAAGAUCAAUCUAGUAGGCCAAACCAAAAUGAUAAUUCGAAGAGACUUGCAAAGAUAACUCAAUCAUACAUAAAAGAAUUCAAAGGAGAUUCAAAUAUUUCUCAUAGAUAAACUUGAUCAUAAACCCACAAUUCAUCUGAUCUCGACAAACACACCGCAAAAAGAGAUUACAUCGAAUAGAUCUCCACGAGAGAGGGGGAGGACAUUGUAUUGAGAUCCAAAAAGAGAGAAGAAGCCAUCUAGCUAAUAACUAUGGACUCGAAGGUCUGUGGAAAACUACUCCCAACUCAUUGGAAGGGCUAUGGUGUUGAUGUAGAAGCCCUCCGUGGUCAUUUCCCCCUCCGACACAGCGCAGACGAAGGCUCCAAGAUGGGAUCUCGCGGAUACAGAAGGUUACGGUGGUGGAAAUUGUGUUGCGGGUGCUCCCUGGAUGUUUUCGGGGUACCUAGGCUUAUAUAGGAGGAAGAAGUACGUCGGUGGCCGCUCGAGGGGCCCACGAGACAGGGGGGCACGCCCAAUAGGGGGGCGCGCCCUACCCUCUCGUGGCUGCUUCUUGACUUGCACUCCAAGUCCCCUGGAUCACGUUCGUUCCAAAAAUCACGCUUCCAAAGGUUUCAGUCCAUUUGGAUUCCGUUUGAUAUUCCUUUUCUUCGAAAUACUGAAAUAGGUAAAAAAAUAGCAAUACGGGUUGGGCCUGCAGGUUAGUCCAAAAAAUGAUAAUAAUGUGUAAAAUAAAUCCCAUAAACAUCCAAAAGGGGUAAUAUAAUAGCAUGGAACAAUCAAAAAUUAUAGAUACGUUGGAGACAUAUCAAGCAUCCCCAAGCUUAAUUCCUGCUUGUCCUCGAGUAGGUAAAUGAUAAAAACAUAAUUUUUGAUGUGGAAUGCUACCUAGCACAAUUCUCAAUGUAAUUUUGUUUAUUGUGGCAUGAGUGUUCAGAUCCAAAUGAUUCAAAAUAAAAGUUCAUAUUGAUAAAAGAAAUAGUAAUACUUCAAGCAUACUAAUCAAAGCAAGCAUGCCAUCUCAAAAUAACAUGGCAAAAGAAAGUUCAUCCCUACAAAAUUAUAUAGUUAGGCUAUGCUUCAUUUCCGUCACACAAAGAUGUUCCCAAAUUCUAUACCCCUGAUGGCAAGCCAAGCAAUUGUUUCCUACUUAAAUAAUCUCAAACUUUUUCAACCUUCACGCAAUACAUGAGCGUGAGCCAUGGAUAUAGCACUAUGCGUGGAAUAGAACAUGAUGAUGGGGAUUGUGUGGAGAAGACAAAAAAAGAGAAAGUAUCACAUUGACGAUGAUAAUCAACGGGCUAUGGAGAUGCCCAUCAAUUGAUGUCAACAUAAGGAGUAGGUAUUUCCAUGCAAUAGAUGCACUAGAGCUAUAAAUGAAUGCUCAACAAAAGAAAACUAGUGGGUGUGAUCCAACUUGCUUGCUCGCUAAGACCUAGGGCAUUUGAGGAAGCCCAUUGUAGGAAUAUACAAGCCAAGUUCUAUAAUGAAAAAAUCCCACUAGUAUGAAAAAGACAACCUAUGAGACUCACUAUAUGAAAAACAUGGUGCUACUUUGAAGCACAAUAUAUGAGACUCACUACAUGAAGAACAAGGUGCUACUAUGAAGCACAAGUGUGGAAAAGGCGAUAGUAACAUUGCCCUUUUUAUUUAUUUAUUUUUUUCUUUCUUUCUUUUUUUCUUUUUUUUCUUUUUCUUUUUUUUCUUUUCUUUUUUUUUGGCCUUUUUUUCUUUUCUUUUUGGGCAAUGCUCUAAUAAUGAUGAUCAUCACACUUUCAUUGAUUACAACAUAUGAAUUACAACUCGAAACUAGAACAAGAUAUGACUCUAUAUGAAUGCCUCCGGCGGUGUAUCGGGAUGGUGCAAUUAAUCAAGAGUUACAUGUAUGAAAAAUAAUGCAUGGUGGCUUUGCCACAAAUACGAUGUCAACAACAUGAUCAUGCAAUGGCAAUAUGACAAAAGUAAAGUAUGUCAUGAUGAUGAUAAAUGGAACGGUGGAAAGUUGCAUGGCAAUAUAUCUCGGAAUGGCUAUGGAAAUGCCAUAAUAGGUAGGUAUGAUGGCUGUUUUCAGGAAGAUAUAAGGAGGUUUAUGUGUGAUAGAGCGUAUCGUAUCACGGGGUUUGGAUGCAUCGGCGAAGUUUGCACUAGCUCUCAAGGUGAGAAAGGGCAAUGCACGGUACCGAAGAGGCUAGCAAGGGUGGAAAGGUAAAAGUGCUUAUAAUCCAUGGACUCAACAUUAGUCAAAAGAACUCAUAUACUUAUUGCAAAAAUUUAGAAGUCAUCAAAAAUCAAGCACUACGCGCAUGCUCCUAGGGGGAUGGAUUGGUAGGAAAAGACCAUCGCUCGUCACCGGCCGCCAGUCAUAAGGAUGCACAAGCCAGGUACACUUCAUGUUUCAAAUUUGUUACACAACUUUAACCAUACGUGCAUGCUACGGGACUUGCUAACUUCAAAACAAGCAUUCUUUAAAUUCAUAAUCACCCAACUAGCAUGACUUUAAUAUCACUACCUCCAUAUCUCAAAACAAUUAUCAAGCAUCAAAUUGAUCAUAGCAUCCAAUUCACUUCCUAUGAUAGUUUUUAUUAUACCCAACUUGGAUGUCUACCAUUCCAGGACCAAUUUAUAACCAUAGCAAAUACCAUUCUGAUCUAAAAGAAUCUCAAAAUAAUAUAAGUGAAGCAUGAGAGACUAGCAAUUUCUAUAAAAUCAAGCCACCACCAUGCUCUAAAAGAUAUAAGUGAAGCACUAGAGCAAAAACUAUCAAGCUCAAAAGGUAUAAGUGAAGCACACAGAGUAUUCUAAUAAAUUCUACUCAAAUAGGCUUCUCCCAAAAGUUGUGUACAGAAAGGAUGAUGGUGGUAAACUAAAAAGCAAAGACUAAUAUAAUACACGAUGCUCCAAGCAAAACACAUAUCAUGUGGCGAAUAAAAAUAUAGCUCUAAGUAAAGUUACCAAUGAACGAAGACAAAAGAGGGGAUGCCUUCCCGGGGCAUCCCCAAGAUUAGGCUUUUGGCUAUCCUAGAAUAUCUUGGGGUGCCAUGGGCAUCCUCAAGCUUAGGCUCUUGCCACUCCUUAUUCCAUAAUCCAUCAAAGCUUUACCCAAAACUUGAAAACUUCACAACACAAAACUCAACAGGAAAUCUUAUAAGCUUCGUUAGUGAAAGAAAACAAAACCACCACAUAAGGUACUGUAAUGAACUCAUUAUUUAUUUAUUUUGGUGUUAAACCUACUUUAUUCCAAGUUCUCUAUGGUUCAUACCCUUACAUACUAGCCAAAGAUGCAUCAAAAUAAGCAAACAACACACGAAAAAACAGAAUCGGCCAAAAACAGAACAGUCUGUAGCAAUCUGUAUCUAACGCAAACUUCUGGAACUCUAAAAAUCCUACCAAAAUAGUACGUACUGGAAAAUUUGUGUAUUGAUCAGAAUCAAAAAGAAACAAUGCAAAAGCACGUUUCUGUGAUUUAUUGAUUUUUUUUCUCGUGAGCGCAAAGUUUCUGUUUUUCAGCAGAAUCAAAUCAACUAUCAUCAUAGUUUGUCCUAUAGGUUCUACUUGGCACAAACACUAAUUAAAAGAUAAAAACACAUCUAAACAGAAAGUAGAUGCAAAAUUUAUUACUAAACAGGAACAAAAACAAGAAAAAUAAAGAAAAAUGGGUUGCCUCCCAACUAGUGCUAUCGUUUAACGCCCCUAGCUAGGCAUAAAAGCGAGGAUAGAUCUAAGUAGUGCCAUCUUUGGAACUUGAUUCAUACAUAGCUCGCAUGAUAUAUUCAUAAGGUAAUUUGACUUUCUUUCUUGGAAAGUGCUCCAUGCCUUUCUUUAAUGGAAACUGGAAUCUAAUAUUCCCUUCCUUCAUAUCAAUAAUCGCACCAAUCGUUCUAAGGAAAGGUCUACCAAGAAUAAUAGGGCAAGAAAGAUUGCAAUCUAUAUGAAGAAUGAUAAAAUCUACGGGAACAAAAUUUCUAUUUGCAACAAUGAGAACAUCAUUGAUCCUUCCCAUUGGAUUUUUAAUGGUGGAAUCUGCAAGGUGCAAAUUUAAAGAGCAAUCAUCAAGAUCAUGGAAACCUAGAAUAUCACUUAAAGUUUUCGGAAUCGUGGAAACACUAGCACCCAAAUCACACAAAGCAAAACACUCAUGAUCUUUAAUUCUAAUUUUUAUAGUAGGUUCCCACUCAUCAUUAAGUUUUCUAGGUAUAGAAACUUCCAAAUUAAGUUUUUCGUCAUAAGAUUGCAACAAGGCAUCAACGAUAUGUUUGGUAAAAGCAUUAUUUUGACUAUAAGCAUGAGGAGAAUUAACAACGGAUUGCAACAAGGAAAUACAACCUUCUAAAGAUCAAUUAUCACAAUCAAAUUCCUUGAAAUCCAAGAUAGUGGGUUCAAUACUAUUUAAAGUCAUGACCUCUCCGAUCCCACUUUUAACAAAUUUAGCAUCAAGAUCUAAAAACUCCGAAUUUUUGGGACGCCUUCUAAAUAAAGUUGAGUCAUCUUCAGUCCCAUUAUUAUCAAGACUCAUAUUGCAAAACAAAGAUCUAAUAGUAGACACAUCAAUAACUUUAAGAUCCUCAUAAUUAUUUUCAUGGAAACUAGAAGAACACGCCUUAACAAGGCAAUCUUUCUUAGCACGCAAUCUAGCGGUUCUUUCCUUGCACUCAUCCAUGGAAAUUCUCAUUGCUUUGAGAGACUCAUUGAUAUCAUGCUUAGGGGAAGAAGAUCUAAGUUUAAGAGAAUCAACAUCAAGAGAAAGUCUAUCAACGUUCCUAGCCAAAUCAUCAAGUUUGAGCUAUUUUUCUUCAAGCAAGGCAUCAAAAUUCUUUUGAGAAAUCAUAAAUUCUUUCACACUAUUCUCAAAAUCAGAGGGCAACUUAUUAAAAUUACCAUAAGAAUUAUUGUAGGAAUUUCAAUAAUUAUUAGAGGAAUUACUAGGGAACGGUCUAGAAUUAAAGUUUCCUCUAUAAAAAUUGUUUCCAAAACUAUUCCUACCAACAAAAUUCACAUCCAUAGAUUCAUUAUUAUUCUCAAUCAAAGUAGACAAAGGCAUAUAAUUGGGAUAAAGAUGAGUAUUUUUAGUAGCAAACAAUUUCAUAAGUUCAUCCAUCUUUCCACUCAAAGCAUUGAUUUCUUCUAUAGCAUGCACUUUUUUACUAGAAGAUCUUUCGAUGUGCCAUUGAGAAUAAUUUGCCAUAAUAUUAUCAAGAAGUUUUGUAGCACCUCCUAACGUGACUUCCAUAAAGGUGCCUCUCACGGCCGAAUCUAAAAGAUUUCUAGAAGCAAAGUUCAAACUGGCAUAAAAUUUUUGUAUGAUCAUCCAUAAAUUCAAACAAUGAGUAGGGCAAUUGCGAACCAUCAAUUUCAUUCUUUCCCAAGAUUGGGCAACAUGCUCAUGAUCAAGUUGUUUAAAAUUUAUAAUAUCGUUCCUAAGAGUGAUAAUCUUAGCGGGAGGAAAAUACUUAGAGAUAAAAGCAUCUUUGCACUUGUUCGAAGAAUCAAUACUAUUUUAGGCAAAGACGAAAACCAAACUUUAGCAUGAUCUCUAAGUGAAAACGGAAAUAACUUCAAUUUAACAAUAUCAUUAUCCGUAUCUUUCUUCUUUUGCAUAUCACACAAAUCAACAAAGUUGUUUAGAUGAGUAGCGGCAUCUUCACUAGGAAGGCCAGCAAAUUGAUCUUUCAUAAGAAGAUUCAGCAAAGCAGUAUUGAUUUCGCAAGACUCAACGUCAUUAAGAGGAGCAAUCGGAGUACUAAGGAAAUCAUUAUUAUUGGUAUUGGAGAAAUCACACAAUUUGGUAUUAUCUUGCGCCAUGGCAACAAGUAAUCCAACACACAAGCAAAUAGAAAAAGGCAAGCGAAAAAGAGAGGAGGAGAUUGGGAAAGAGAGGGCAAAUAAAAUGGCAAGGGUGAAGUGGGGGAGAGGAAAAUGAGAGGCAAAUGGCAAAUAAUGUAAAUGCGAGGGAGAUGAGUUUGUGAUGGGUACUUGGUAUGUCUUGACUUGAGCAAAGACCUCCCCGGCAAUCGCCAGAAAUCCUUCUUGCUACGUCUUGAGCUUGCGUUGGUUUUCCUUGAAGAGGAAAGGGUGAUGCAGCAAUAGUAGCAUAAGUAUUUCCCUCAGUUUUUGAGAACCAAGGUAUCAAUCCAGUAGGAGGCUCCUCAAAAGUCCCACGCACCUAGACAAACACACCAAGAACUCACAACCAACACAAUAAAGGGGUCCCUUCACGGCCACUUGCGAAAGUGAGAUCUAAUAGAGAUAGUAUGAUAAGAUAAAUAUAUUUUUUGUAUUUUAUAAUAUAGAUCCAAAAAGUAAAGAUGCAAAUAAAAGUAGAUUGGAAGCAAAUAUGAUAAGAGAUUGACCCGGGGGCCAUAGGUUUCACUAGAGGCUUCUCUCAAGAUAGCAUAAAUAUUACGGUGGGUGAACAAUCUACUGUCGAGCAAUUGAUAGAAAAGCGAAUAGUUAUGAGAUUAGCUAGGCAUGAUCAUGUAUAUAGGCAUCACGCCCGCAACAAGUAGACCGACUCCUGCCUGCAUCUACUACUAUUACUCCACACAUCGACCGACUCCUACCUGCAUCUAGAGUAUUAAGUUCACAAAGAACAUAGUAACGCAUUAAGCAAGAUGACAUGAUGUAGAGGGAUAAACUCAUGCAAUAUGAUAUAAACACCAUCUUUUUAUCCUCGAUGGCAACAAUACAAUACGUGCCUUGCAACUCUUUCGGUCACUGGGUAAGGACACCGCAAGAUUGAACCCAAACCUAAGCACUUCUCCCAUGGCAAGAAAGAUCAAUCUAGUAGGCCAAACCAAAAUGAUAAUUCGAAGAGACUUGCAAAGAUAACUCAAUCAUAUAUAAAAGAAUUCAAAGGAGAUUCAAAUAUUUCUCAUAGAUAAACUUGAUCAUAAACCCACAAUUCAUUGGAUCUCGACAAACACACCGCAAAAAGAGUUUACAUCGAAUAGAUCUCCACAAGAGAGGGGGAGAACAUUGUAUUGAGAUCCAAAAGAGAGAGGAAGCCAUCUAGCUAAUAACUAUGGACACGAAGGUCUGUGGUAAACUACUCACAACUCAUCGGAAGGGCUAUGGUGUUGAUGUAGAAGCCCUCCGUGGUCGAUUCCCCCUCCGGUAGAGCACCGACGAAGGCUCCAAGAUGGGAUCUCACGGAUACAGAAGGUUACGGCGGUGGAAAUUGUGUUUCGGGUGCUCCCUAGAUCUUUUCGGGGUAUGUAGGCUUAUAUAGGAGGAAGAAGUACGUCGGUGGCCGCCCGAGGGGCCCAUGAAACAGGGGGGCGCGCCCUACCCUCUCGUGGCCGCCUCGGCUGCUUCUUGACUUGCACUCCAAGUCCCCUGGAUCACGUUCGUUCCAAAAAUCACGCUUCCGAAGGUUUCAUUCCGUUUGGACUCCGUUUGAUAUUCCUUUUCUUCGCAAUACUGAAAUAGGUAAAAAAACAGCAAUACGGGUUGGGCCUCCGGUUAAUAGGUUAGUCCCAAAAAUGAUAAUAAUGUGUAAAAUAAAGCCCAUAAACAUCCUAAAGGGGUAAUAGAAUAGCAUGGAACAAUAAAAAAUUAUAGAUACGUUGGAGACGUAUCAAGGGGCUAUUUACAUUUUGAUUUCUUGGUUCUCCUACUGGUUCGAUAACCUUGGUUUCCUAUCUAAGUGAAAUACCUACCACCGCUGUGCUGCAUCAUCCCUUCCUCUUUGGGGAAAUACCGACGUAGCUUCAAGAGACAUCAAUGGGGUAUCGUAUUGAUUCACUUGAUGUAUGUUUUGGCACUCAACUUGCGGAUUCCCGAGGUGACAUUGGGGUAAUCUAUGCAUAGGGGUUGAUGCACGUUCUUGUCUUUGAUUCUCCGGUAGAAAUCUUGGGGCACUCUUUGAAGUUCUUUGUGUUGGAUUGAGUAUUAUGAAUAUCAAUGUGCUUUGGUGUUAUUUUAGUACGAACUCUAGUAUAGACGAACGGAAAGAAUAGCUUUGUGUUAUUUUAGUACGAACUAUUGAAUAGAUCGAACGGAAAGAAUAGCUUUGAGCUGGUUUCGUACCCUACAAACAAUUUAUUCUUAUGUUCUUCGCUAGAUAGGAACUUUGGAGUGAUUCUUCAUCGCACUUUGAGGGGUGGUUAUAUGAUCCAGUUAUAUUAGCAUUGUUGAGAGAUUGCACUAGUGAAAGUACGGACCCUAGGCCUCAUUUUCAAUCAUUGCAAUACCGUUUUGUGCCCGUUUACUAUUUUCUAACUUGCUGUUUUUAUUCAUUCAAAUUUUGAAAAUAUAUUUCAACCAUCCAUAUUACACUUUUAUCUCCAUCUCUUCGCUGAACUAGUGCACCUAUACAAUUUGCCAUUGUAUUGGGUGUGUUGGGGACACAAGAGAUUUCUUGUCUUUGGUUGCAGGGUCAUUUGAGAGAGACCAUCUUCAUCCUACACCUCGCAUGGAUUAUAAAUCUUAGGUCAUCCACUUGAGGGAAAAUUGCUACCGUCCUACAAAACUCUGCGCUUGGAGGCCCAACACGUGUCUACAAGAAUAAACUUGUGUAGUAGACAUCAAGCUCUUUUCUGGCGCCGUUGCCGGGGAGGUGAGUGCUUGAAGAUAGAUAUUCAGAUCUUGCAAUUGAAUCUUUUAGUUUCUUGUUUUAUCACUAGUUUGGUUUAUAAAAGAAAAAUACAUAAAAAAUGAAAUUGAGGUUGCAUCAUAUUAUUCAUCUUUAUAAUAUAUUUCAUCAAAAUGAUGGAAAGGUAAUUUGUGCUCAAUUAUUAGAAGAAGAAUGCUACAAAAUGUUUGGCAUAGAAUCCAUGAAUGAUGAGCAUGAUUGCAAUGUUGCUAGUAUGAAUUCUUUGAAUAUCCAUGGUGCUAAUGAUAUGCAAAGCCAUAAGCUUGGGGAUGCUAUGUUUGAUGAAGAUGAUACUUUUAGUCCCGCAAGACUUGAUGUGCAAAUUUGUUAUAAUGAUUUCAUGCCUCUUAUUUAUGAUGAUUAUAAUGAUGAAAGUGGAUUUGGAGAGGUCAUGACUUAUUUAGUGAUGAAUCCACCAUUUUUUAUGAGGCUUCAAUUGAUUAUGACAAAAAAGUUCCUAUCUAUGAUGAUUAUGGUGAUGACAUGUAUGCUAUAAAGAAUAAUGAUAACCAUGAAACUUGUCAUCGUGAUUUUAAUUUUCAAUUCGAUGAUAGUUAUUUUGUUGAGUUUGCUCCCACUACUAUUGAUGAGAAUAAAUUUGCUUAUGUGGAGAGUAACAAAAUAUCUAUGAUUAUGCAUCAUGAAAAGAGUGCAUUAUGUGAUGGUUAUAUUGUUGAAUUUCUUCAUGAUGCUACUGAAAUUAUUAUGAGGGAGGAACUUAUGAUUGUAGGAAUUGCAAUGAUAUCAAGUUUCCUCUCUAUGUGCUGAAAGUUUUGAAGUUAUGCUUGUUUUUCCUUCCUAUGCUAGUUGAUUCUUGUUCCCAUAAGUUUUUUGCUCACAAAAUCCCUAUGCAUAGGAAGUGGGCUAGGCUUAAAUGUUCUAGUAAUAUGCUUCAUGAUGCUCUUUUUGUGUUUCAAUUUUUAUCUUUUAUGCAAGCAUCAUGGAAAUCAUCAUGCCUAGCUAAAAGGCAUUAAAGAAAAGCGCUUGUUGGGAGACAACCCAGCACUUUUACCUACUGUUUUCAUGUGUUCACAUGAUUAUGCUACUGUAGUAAUCAUUUUUUAUUUCUUUUGUUUCAAUAAAGUGCCAAGUAAAUCCUUGGGAUCAUGUUGGGUGAUAGUUGAUUUGAUCUUGCUGAAAAACAGAAACUUUUGCCCUCACAAAAAUAAUUCUAAUUUUUAACAGAGGAGUGCUUUUAAGUUGAUUCUUUUUGCAGAAGAUUAAUAUACAAAUUUCUCACGUGGUCCUAAAGUUUCAUAAUUUUUGGAGUAGCAUAAGUAUAGUUUGAGUACAGAUUACUUCAGACUGUUCUGUUUUUGACAGAUUAUGUUUUCAAUGCAUAGUUUGCUUGUUUCCUAGUUUCUAUGGCUUAUAUUACUCAAUACAAAUUGAAGAAAUUAUGAGGUAUAGUAGGCAUUGGGUGGGAACAAUUAUGAAUCUUGUCUUUGACAGUACCAAAGUGGAAUGGUUUGAUCUUUAUCAUACUAACCUAUCUCACAAAGUUCCGUUAAGUUUUGUGUGAUUGAAGUUUUCAAGUUUUGGGUGAGAUGUCGAGAUGAGGAGAAUAAGGGGUGACAAUACCCUAAGUUUGGGGAUGCCCAAGGCACCCCCAAGGAAAUAUUCAAGGAAUAUCCAAGCAACUAAGCUUGGGGAAGCCCCGGAAGGCAUCCCCUCUUUCGUCUUCAACAUUAUCGAUAACCUCACUUGGAGCUAUGUUUUCAUUCGUCACAUGAUAUGUGUUUUGCUUGGAGCGUCAAUUUAUUUUGUUAGGAUUUUCUUGAUGUUAUUUAGAAUAAUGUUUUGCAUCUUUUAUUUCAAUAAAAAUGUCAAGUAUAGCCUUUGCAAUGCUUAUUUUGCAAGUCUACAUGUUGUUGUUUCAAAACAGAAAGUUUAUUAAUAUUGCAAAAUUUCCCAAGGAAAGUCAGAAUGUGAUAAAAUGUUUAACUUUUUGCAUAAUAAGCUCUGAUAAAUUUUCUACAGUGUGGUAGAAUUUCAUAAUGUUUGGAGUUGAAUAAGUAUUGAUACUCUUGGAUUCUUUACAGACUGUACUGUUUUGGCAGAUUGUUGUUAUGUUUGCAGUGUUUGCAUAUGUUUGCUUGUUUAAUGAUUCUAUUUGAGGAUAGGAGUAUUAGAUAUGCAGAGGAAUUUAUUAUGCAAUGCUGAAUAAUAAUUUUAGUGAUUUGCUACAGUAGAGAAUGAUAUGGUUUUCACAUUGGUUUAUACUAACUUAUCUCACGAGUUCUUGUUGAGUUUUGUGUGGAUGAAGUUUUCAGUAUUAGAUAAACCGUGAUAUGGAAGGAAUUAAGGAGACACAAAAGCUCAAGCUUGGGGAUGCCCAAGGCAUCCCAAAUUUAUAUUUCAAGAAGUCUCAAGCAUCUAAGCUUUGGGAUGCCCCGGUAGGGAGGCUAGGUAAGCGGCAUUCACAUCCCGUCAACGAAGCUCUUUUCUAUGGAUUCACUCUUGUGCUUCACUUAUAUCCUAUGAAAAAAUUGUUGAAUAAAUUUAAUGUCAUGAAGUUGAAAUCAUCUCAUGCCUAGUGGUAGCUUCACAUUGGGUUUAGAAAGUGAAAUCUUUUGAGGCUUGACAAUCACAAUAUUGGUCAUACAAGAAAUUCACGAAUAAUUAGUAUAAGGAAGAAAACCUUCACAUGCAAAUACACUAUCUUGGAAAUCUUUUGUGAUUGUGAGCCCCCAUCAAAAUAUUAUAUGUAAAAAUUGUUGACGUUGGACAAGGAAGACAACGUAAUGAUUUAUGUUUGUUCAUAUUCACAUAGAAGUUAUAUUGUCAUAGAUCCUUCAACAUGUGGUGCUUGCUCUCCAUCUUUGCUGGCCAAAUUUUUUGCACCAAGUAGAGAUACUACUUGUGCAUCCAAAAACCCUCAAACCCAAAUCUUAUUUUCAAGAGUCCACCAUACCUACCGAAGGAUUGAGUAAGAUCCUUCAAGUAAGUUGUCAUCGGUGCAAUAAAGGCAAUAAAAAUUGCUUCUAAAAGUGUUAGAUCAUUUAGUGUAAUAGAAAAUUGAGCGUUGUACGAACUUGUGAUGGCAAAGAAUAAAAGCGAGAGACUGCAUAAUAAAUGUUUCUAUCAUAAGGGCUAUAUAACGUGACGUUCUUUUGCGCUAAGGGAUUGAGAAUACAAACAAAAAGCGCAUGGGAACCUCUGCGUCCCUCUACGAAGGGCCUAUCUUUUACUUUUCAGUAUUUACUUUUAUUCAAAGAGUCAAAGUCUUUCCCUCUAUUCCUUUUUAUUUUUCUCCUUUGGCAAGCAUCAUGUGGUGAGGGAAGAUCUAGGCACAUAUAUCCAGUUGGAUAUGGGUAGCAUGAGUUAUUAUUGUUGAAAUCACCCUUGAGGUGAAUACAUUGGGAGACGAAAGUAUAAGCCCCCAUCUUUCUAUGUGUCCGGUUGAAACGUUUUGCUCAUGUGUAUGCGGUGAGUGUUAGCAAUCAUAGAAGACUAUAAGAUGGUUGAGUAUGUGGAGCUCUUACUUAAUCAUAGAAGACUAUCAUAUUGAUUCACUUGAUAUAUGUUUUGGCACUCAACUCGCGGAUUCCCGAGGUGACAUUGGGGUAAUCUAUGCAUAGGGCCGGGGUUGAUGCAUGUUCUUGUCUUUGUUUCUCCGGUAGAAAUCUUGGGGCACUCUUUGAAGUUCUUUGUGUUGGAUUGAGUAUUAUGAAUAUGAAUUUGCUUUGGUGUUAUUUUAGUAUGAACUCUAGGAUAGAUUAAACGGAAAGAAUAGCUUUGUGUUAUUUUAGUACGAACUCUUGAAUAGAUCGAACGGAAAGAAUAGCUUUGAGGUGGUUUCGUACCCUACAAACAAUUUAUUCUUAUAUUCUCCCCUAGAUAGGAACUUUGGGGUGAUUCUUCAUCGCACUUUGAGGGGUGGUUAUAUGAUCCAGUUAUAUUAGCAUUGUUGAGAGAUUGCACUAGUGAAAGAACGGACCCUAGGCCUCAUUUUCAAGCAUUGAAAUACCGUUUUUGUGCCCGUUUACUAUUUGCUACCUUGUUGUUUUUAUUUACUCAGAUUAUAAAAAUAUAUUUAUACCAUCCAUAUUACACUUCUAUCUCCAUCUCUUUGCCAAACUAGUGCACCUAUACAAUUUGCCAUUGUAUUGGGUGUGUUUGGGACACAAGAGAUUUCUUGUAUUUGGGUGCAGGGUCGUUUGAGAGAGACCAUCUUCAUCCUACACCUCUCACGGAUUGAUAAACGUUAGGUCAUCCACUUGAGGAAAAAUUGCUAAUGUCCUACAAAACUCUACGCUUGGAGGCCCAACACGUGUCUAGAAGAAUAAAGUUGCAUAGUAGACAUCGGAGGGGGUGGCACCCCCCUUCCCUUUCCCUCUCCCUCUCUUUCCUUUUCCCUCCGGUGGAAGAAAGGAAAAGGGAGGGUGAAUCCUAGUUGGACUAGGAUUCCAAGUAGGACUCCCCCCAUGGCGCGCCCCUCCUGGCUGUCGGCCUCUCUCCCCCCUCCUUUAUAUACGUGGGGAAGGGGCACCCCAAAGGCACAUCAAUUGUUCUCUUAGCCGUGUGCGGUGCCCCUCUCCAUAGCUUACGCCUCCAGUCAUAGCGUCGUAGUGCUUAGGCGAAGCCCUGCGCGGGUCACAUCACCAACACCGUCACCACGCCGUCAUGCUGAUGGAACUCUCCCUCGACCCUCUACUGGAUUAAGGGUUCGAGGGACGUCAUCGAGCUGAACGUGUGCUGAACACGGAGGUGCCGUACAUUCGGUACUUGGAUCAGUUGGAUCGUGAAGACGUUUGACUACAACAACCUCGUUAACAUAACGCUUCCGCUUUCGGUCUACAAGGGUACAUGGACUCACUCUCCCUCUCUCGUUGCUAUGCAUCUCCUAGAUAGAUCUUGUGUGAGCGUACGAUUUUUUUUAAAAUUUCAUGCUACGUUUCCUAACACUUACUUCUCAAACUCAGAAUAAUUAAGUUUUCUAAGAAGGGGUGAAUUAGUGGCAUUGAUGUUAACAUUAAAGAAGAAAGAAAAUAAAAAUAAUCAAGUCUUAUAAGAGGAAAUGAAUUAGUAACAUUGAUAUUACACUUUAUGAAGGAAGAAGAUGAAAACAAAAUCUAAAACAAAUAAUGAAAAAACUUGCACACAAUUUACACGAAAUUGCACUUUAUAUAAUAUGCAAGUAUAAGCAUAUAAUAGUCAGUUUUUCACAAAACAAAUUUCCGAAUAUGGAAUGAAUUAAUGGCAUUAGUAUUACCCCUAAAGAAGAAACGAAAUGAAAGAAAAACUAAAAAAACAAAUUAAUGAUGUUUUCUAAGAAAGAAUGAAUCAGUGCCGGUGGAAUUAUUACACUGUAAGAAGAAAGCAAAAUGAAAUCAAAACCAAAAUAAUAUCAAAAUAAUGAACUCAGAAAGAAUAAAUUGUCAAAUUGGUAUUACCCUUUAAGAAGAAAGAAAACAAUAAAAUAUAUAAAACAAAAAAUGAAAAAACAUGCACACUAUAUACACAAAAAUGCACCUUUUUACAAUAUGCUAGAAUAAACAAAUAAUAGUCAUUUUUUCACAAAAACAGAUACAUAAGAAGGAAGGAAUUAGUGGCAUUAGCAGAAGAAAGAAACUGAAAUAAAACUAAAACUAAAUCAAAAUAAUGAAGUUUCAUAAGAAACAAUGAAUUAGUGCUUUUGAUAUUACCCAUAUAAGAAGAAAUAAAAAUGAAAUAAAAACCAAAACAAAGAAAAAAUAAAUUUAAAAAUUAAAAUUUGCACACAAUAUACUAAAAAAUUGUGCUUUUUUAAUGUGCAACAAUCAGCAUAUAAUAAUUUUGAUAAAGCAUAUUUAUAAGAAGGGAUGAAUUAUCGCCAUUGGUAUUACCCUUAAAAAGAAAGGGAAUGAAACAAAAAUAAAAAAAUUCGAAAUACUGAAUUUUUGUAAGAAAAAAUGGAUUAGUGGUUUUGGUAUUAUUUUUUAAGAAAAAUGAAUUUAAAUAAAAACCAUUAAAAAUCAAAAUGAUGAAAUAUCCUAAGAAAGAAUGAAUUAUUGGCAUUGGUAUUUACCCUUUAAAAAAAACAAAGGUAAUAAAAUUAUAACACAUAAAGAAAUAAAUUCCACACAAUACACCCAAAAAUUAAACUUUUGAUAAUAUGCAAGAAUAUACAUAUAAUAGUGGAAUUACGGCAAAAAAAGAUGUAUCCUAAGAAGCAAUGCAUUAGAGGCAUUGGUGUUACCCUUAACGGGGAAAGAAAAUGAAAUAAAUAUAAAAAUAAAUUUCUAACAAAUAAUUAAAUAGUGGCACCAAUAUUACCAUUAAACAAGAAAGAAAAAGUUUUUUGAACUUACAAGAAGUUUGCACAAAAAUUGCACCUUUCAUAAUUUGCAAAGAAUAAGCAUAUAAUAGUAUCAUUUUUUGCAUAUGUUGUAUAGAAUUUAUGUGUACACAAUUGGACUCAUCAAGAUCCAGAAAAUACCGACAAAAGAAAUUUUAAAACAAAAAAAUGCAAAAGAAAAAAGCAUAAAAACAAGGGGGAAAUAGGCAAAAAAACAGAAGAUAUGGGAAGGCUGGGUCAUCAGAUGGGCUGGUGGACUCCUGUUAAGGAUUGACUGGCCCAAAACAAAGGUCAGUCGAAUUCCCAGCACAAGUCGGAAACAGCACACAACAGAAAAACAGAUCUUGAAGCAACAAUCAAUGGUCAGAAAAAUCGGCUGCCCCAAAUAUAAUUUUCAGGCAACUUACAUAGAGCUAAAGUGAAAAAAUAUGCAUGGAUAUCAUGGAGCACCUUGGAUUUCCACAACAAAUUCUCAACUCCAAGCACGUCUUCUGCAAAUCAACUUAGAGGGACCUGCCAAGACCAUUAGUGGAGAGAAAAUUGUGCACAGAAAAGCAGUCCAUCUCCAAAGUUAUCAGUCAGCGCACAGAAACGGGAAUAUAUAGGGGAGCAAUACCCGAUUAAAGCUCCACUUCCUCACGCCAUGACAAACAUGGACAAAAUCUCAGGUUGCUCUACAUGCUACAUAUGAAAAAAAAUAUGUUGUUUCAGUGGCACCUGCAGUUGCUCUACCGAAGAAGGCUACUGAUUUUCUUGCACCCUAUAUGUGAUGAUGUUAGAGCAUCUACAACUGGACCUCUUAAAUCCGCCUCAUAUGUCCAGUCGGGCCGCCCAGUCACUGCCCGGUCACAAUUUUUUGACCCAGACAGACGCCUUAAACGCUCGGGCUGGCCGGCACCCCUCAUAUUCAAUCCAAAUAUGAGGUGGAUAUGGGGGUGCCCGGGAACGCCCGCCGACCCUGCUGCAGGUCGUAGCGGUCCCACCUGCAGCGACCGAAGCUCCUCCAUAUCUCAUCGGUGCAACCAAAUUUUAGUCCCACCCGGCUUAAAUAGCUACGCCAGCAGAUGGUGGCAAGCUUGGUUGUUGUUGUGUAGGUCUAUCAAUUCUGGCAUGUGUGAUCGAGAUAUAUUUGACACUAGAUUGCAUUUCAUUGACUGAUAAUUGUUCAUCGAGUGUCAAGUUUGUCUCUAUCAUAUACGUUGAUACCUGUACUACAAUGACAGUAGAUUUUUAUAUUGUUUUGAUGCAUGGACAUGAUUCAAAAAAAGACAAGCGAACACUAAUGUUCCCUAUGUGAAGAAUAUAGACCCUGUGAAAGAACAUGCGGUGCCCCCAUGUUUGGUUUUAGUAAUUGAUUACAUUCUCUAUGGACUAAUGGUUUCCUUGAGUUAUAUUUGAAGCAUUUGUCCAUAGGAAUUUAUUGAAGACUAUGUGUUGGUUUCAAGGAGUUUAUUUGUUGGCCAAGGUGCUUUUCAAGGAAUUAUCCAAAAAUUGGGUUGGACAUGUGAGAGUUGAGGCUAUUGCAAGCAUGUCUUGAAGAAGAAGAUUGUGUGAACAUUCAUGUUUACCUUCAAGACAUCAUCCUAAUGAAGAGAGUUGGAAAGAUUCAAGGUUGAUCAAGACUAAGUACAAGAGUGAUUCAAGUUGAUCAACACACAAAGCAUAGAAGAUGUACCGAGAGGGAUCAAGUGAUCCCAUGGUAUGGUAAGUAUUGUCCAUUACGCUUUGUGUACUAACCCAUAGUCUAUGUGAGAGUUACAUGUGGGGUUAGGUAUGUUUCCAUGGGUUUCCAUCAACAGGAAGAUCCCAUACAACCCAUGGAGGAUGACAUCAAGUGGUGAUCAUCAUCAAGAUUUCCGUGUGCAAGUUCAAGUGGAGCAUCAUGAAGAGAUCAUCCUUGAAGCUUGCCAUCUAUUUUGGUGUCAAUGGAAUUGUGAAGAUGUGGCAAAGAAUGGCUCACCCAUAGUGGAGUAUGGGGGAGCAAUCAUCUAGUCUUCAUCAAGCCAACGCAAUCAAGAAAGGUGGUCCAACUUGAGGAAGUCAAGAUAGUCAUCUUCUAGCUCAAGUGGACUAUGUGCAAGACAAAGGUUUGUCCUUGAUAGGUUUUCUAUUUUACCAGUCUCAUGGUGGUAGUUCGGAGACCGGGUUAUAGGAUCGAUUGCCAUACUAUCUAUGGGGGCUCUCAAGUCAGUAGCUUGAUCGUAUCAUUCAUAGAGAGCUCAAACCAUUGCAUCCUUGCAUCAUCUUUCUUGGUUCUUGUUUGAUUCUUCUCCUUGUGAGAUUUGGAGCUUCUGGUCAUCUUCUUGACAAGCUCGAGUUCAUCAAAAACAGAGUUAACAUGCAUCUUCUAUGACGUUUUCGAUGUUGGAGAUUAUGUCGGUUCUUUGCUGAUGGAUAGUUCUUGUCAUCUUCUAUCCAGCAAGCUUGAGUUUGCUCAAUUCGGAGCUCAUAUGCAGAAGUUUUGGGAGUUCUGGAUUUCUUGUAGCAUCUGCUUUGCUUGGGGCUUGCUUGUUGCGCUACUGCGGUAGUACCGCUUGUAAGCAGUAGUACCAUCCUAGUCUGGCGGUAGUACUGCUUGUAAGCGGUACUUCAGCUGUCCAGUUCUGUGGCUUCUACUGCUGCUUAUUCUGGGGGUUCUGUUUUUCAUGUCGGGUUCAGCGGUAGUAAGGUGGCAGUGUUUGCAGCAGUACCGCCUAUAGGCGGUAGUACAGCCCCGGUCGGGCGGUAGUACCGCUACUGCAGUACUGUCGUCGCACUUGAUAAUCCCCAAGUGGAGGGAAUCAUCGUAGCAAUUCCCAAUGGUGGAAGUGAUAAGUAUGGAGUGUCGAACCCACAAGGAGCUAAAGGUAAGAUCAAUAUUCUGUCAAGUCCUAUCUGCCACUUAUACGACUCUACGUACACCAAAUGUUUGCUUCCAACUAGAAACGGGAAAUAAAAUUACAUUAUGGGUAUGAAGAGGUUAUCUUUGCAUGAUAUCGGAGAGCCAAAACAUAAAAGUAGGUGUUGUUAUCAUAAAGCUAGAAUAUAUUACUAAAUAUUAUAAAUAGCGAGUGUGGAAUAAUGAUGGGUCGGUGUGUGGAAUUAUCCUAGGCAAUUGUUAACAAGACCGGUAAUCACUAUUGCAAUUUCAUAUGAGGGAGAGGCAUAAGCUAACAUACUUUCUCUUCUUGGAUCAUAUGCACUUAUGAUUGGAACUCUAGCAAGCAUCCGCAACUACUAAAGAUCAUUAAGGUAAAACCCAACCAUAGCAUUAAAGCAUCAAGUCCCCUUUAUCCCAUACGCAACAACCCCCUUACUCGGGUUUAUGCUUCUGUCACUCAAGAAACCCACUAUAAGCGGAUCAUCAACAUAAUGCAACACACUACAUCGGGAAUCCCUCACGCUUGCGCGACACGGAGGGAACAAUAGGACAACACCAAAAUAAAACAUACAACUCAUACCAAUCUAGAUCAUCAAUCAACCCAAAGACAAAGGAUAUCUACUAAAAACAUCAUAGGAUGGCAACACAUCAUUGGAUCAUAAUAUGUGGCAUAAAGCACCAUGUUCAAGUAGGGAUUACAGCGGGGUGCGGGAGAGUGGACCGCGUAAAAGAGAUGAGGAUGGUGAUGAUGAUGGUGAUGUUGAUGAAGACGAUCACCGCGGCGAUGAUUCCCUGCCCGAUGGCAGUCCGGCGCCACCGAGAGAGAGGAGGACACUACUAGGGAAAACCUUAUACAUAGAAUCUUACCAGUAGCGCGUGUUAAAAUGAGGCGCUACUGCUACUUAGCAGUAGCGCAUUGGCUUAAAGGGCGCUACUGUUAUCCACUUAGCAGUAGCACGGCAGGAACAAAACGCGCUACUACUAUAAUUGCCACACCGUUCCCGACGUUCUAGGUAUAGUAGUAGCGCCCUUCUAAAAACCGCACUACUACUACAAAAUUAGUAGAAGCGCACUUUUAGGUUACGGCGCUACUGCUAAGUUUGAACACACCACAGGACGGGCCCAUCUUAGCAGUAGCGAGUUUGUCAGGGCGCCCUACUGCUACGGAUUUUAGCAGCAGUGCGGUUUCGCUCCCCACGCUAAUGUUAAAGCUAUUUUCACCUAACCCCUCGCACGGGCUUCCCUCUCCUCUGCUUCCUCCCCCAAUUCCCCACUCUCUCUUCUCCCCCUCGUCGCCUCCGCCGGAGCCCCUACCCUCGCCCUCGCUGGAGGCCGUGCCCUUGCUCUCCGCCGUAGUCUGCCCCUCGAUGUCGUCGCGUGCCUGUGCCUCCUCCUCCUCGACCUCGACCUUGCCGGAGCCCCUGCCCUCGCUCUCCGCCGCCGUCGCCCUUGACCCGCCUCGCUGCUGUCUCCCCCGACCCCGCCUCGCCGCGCCUCGGUGCCGUCGUACCCCCGACCCCAUCUCUCACCCCGCCCUCUAUGAGCACCCUCCCCUUCCCUCUUCUCUGCUCUCUGUUAGUAUGAACCCUAGCUAUUUAGUACUAGUUAGUAUGAACCCUAGGCUAUUUUUAGUGCUAGUUAGUUAAUUACAAUUAGUAUUAACCCUAAUUAAUUAGGUAGUAUGAACCCUAGUUAAAAAAUGGAUACUUAUAUGGUAAUUAGGGCAGUAGUUCCUAGGUACUAAUUAGUUAGUAAGAACUAGGUACUAAUUAGGUACUAGUUUAUUUUUAUUUAUAGUAAGUUUAUUUUUAGUAAGAACUAGUUGAAUUAAUAGAACUAGUUAGUAAGAACUUGUUGCUAUUUUUUUAGUUAAAGCAAUUUUUCCCGCAUCGACGUGGACGAUGCCUAUCCCGAAUCCUCGUUGUCGAGUCGGCGGAGGACGACACGUGCUUGACCAGAUGGGCCAUGUCUGGGACUGGGCUCCGCUGGAGUGGUACUGGGAGGCGCUACCUACCGGGGGCGCAGGUUGGUGAGGAGCCAGCCUGUCGUUGACCCGAACCUUCUUUGGUGGUGGUCGCGUGGGCCAGUGACGGUCCAGAGGCUCGAGGACCCCGCGAAGGUGGUGCGUCACCGUGUCAGUGAGGAGGACGCACACGUCCGUCGCUACUUGUUUGCGUUGGAGCACAGGUUCUCCAAUACCUGGCAGGUUCUCCAGGGAUCUCACUAGAGCUAUGAUCCCGUGAUGGUUCCUUCUCUGUGGGUGUCCACCGCCCGCUCCGAUACCCGUCGUGUGCUAGGGUUUUAGUUGUAUUAGUGAUGUUAUAUCUAUGAUACUAUUCGGGGUGUAUUAGUGAUAAUAUUCGACGAUGUACGGACGCAUGAGAUGAUUUACUUUUGCUUAUUGAAUGCAUGCUAAUUUGAGUCCUAUAAGAUAUUUUGAAAUGUAAAUCUUGUAUUUCUCAAAUAGGAUAUGUGCUUGCCCAAGUGGCCGGUCAUGUCUGCAGGUUACACCUCUGAGUGGCCUAUGUUUUGCAGGAGUGUUGAUUCAUUUCCGUUCCGGGAAAUUUCAGGCGCUCGAUAUGUCUUAUUUUAGCAAAGGUCAUGCCGGAUUUUUCCGUGAAUUUUGGCAUGACUUGUGCCAGAAUAUGUAGGAAAUAUCGAGUGCCCCGGAUUUGUGUGUUGUGUAUCAUGUAGUUGUCUUCUAUCGAUUUUCAAUUAAUGUUUUAACUAUAAACAUAGGAAAUGUCUGACGACGAAAAGGAUUUCGGUAUUUGCAAAUACUGCGAAGACGAGCGCGGCCUGUGCAACGGAAUCUUCCUAGAUGAUGAUAGGCGCUUCAGCAUCCAGCUGGACGAGAACUUCGAAGUGGAUACAAUAAGUCACAACGACAAAUCUUUUUUCGUAAUUAAGCAUGGCAUCUGCUUCAUUUGCUUCAACUUAUAAUUUUUUUUACUAUUCUACUAGCAUAUCCCCUUCCAUGCAAGAGUUUUUGUAUUGUAUAAGAUAGGUUUCAGUCGUACUACGGAGGUAAAGAAAGUUUACAUGAAGACCAAGCAUGGUUAUAUUUUCCACGCAAAAUUAUACAAUUCAGACGACUACUCCUAUUUUGGAUGCAAAACAUGGCGAGCACUAUGCAAGACUUAUGCAUUUGAGCCUGAUAUGGUUAUCACCUUUGAUAUUCGUCCGGAAUAUGAUAUUGAAGGUAAUACCGACAUCUGGGUCGAUGUGCAGACGCCUCCAGUUAUACCAUUAUGUGAGUUUCUCAACCAUAUUUAUGUCUUUGAUAUUGUUUAUUCAAAAAUAGUUGACAACCAAUUUCUAUUGUCAGCUUAUUUCCGUUCAAGCAAACAUGUCCAGCUUGGUAGACAGGACCUACUACUGUCUCGGGGCUGAACUAAACUGCGAGGAGCUAAGUCAUUAUGUUUCAUGGCUUGCGGAUCUUGAUACUGUCAAGACAAAUUUUCUUCCUGGAUUUAGAAAUGUAAGUACUAAAAACGUGCGACCAAUAGUGUUCGUAAUGAACUAUGGUCACAUCUAUUUAGGAAAGAUGGUAAGAUUUUUACUAUUUGUCCUCAGUGCAUCUUUUCCAUACAUUACUUUUUAAGCUAAACUUCAUUGCUAAGUAUGUUACCAUACGAUGUUCUUCAACAGGGACUCCCGAUGAAUGUUGUGCCUUAUGGGAUCGAGACUAAAGGUACCAUGAGUAUUGUUCGCUUACGGCCAAGAUAUCCUACAAAUCACUAUAGUGCAUUCAGCAUUAGCGACGAAUUCUUAAUAGUGAAAGACUGGACCAAAUAUGUGAUGGAGAAGCGCAGACAAGUACUAGGGGCAGCAAGCAGAAGCGCAGCCCACGAUUAAGAGACAGGUUCAUCUGCAUGCUCCAACUUGAUGAAGGAGGACAGCUACACAUGUUUUAUGUUAUUUUACCUGAGAGAGAGCAGCAGGAGUGAUUAGCUAGCUAGAAAUGAGUUUAAAGAUGAUGAUGUGCUACACUAUGACUAUGAUGAUUAAAUAGCUAGUGUUAGUGGUAAUGACUAUGAUGAUUAUUAUGAGCUAGUGUUAGUGUUGAUUAAAUAAAUACUGUUGGUGCUAAUGACUAUGAUGAUGAUUAAAUAGCUUGUGCUGACGGAUUAGAUUCAAGUGGAGGCAACAUGUGGUGCACAUCGAAAGUACUACUAGUCCAAACUAGAUCAAGUUUGGAUUAGUAGUAUACUUUUGACAUGCACCACAUAUUGCCUCCACUUGAACCUAAUCCACCUUCAUUUGACACACUAUUAUGGACAUAAUGAUAUAAACCUCAUAAUUGGUAUUGUACCAAAAUUUGUAUAACGGCGUAUAAAUAUACUAAAAAAAGAAAAAAAUUACUAGUAGCGAUGGAUAGUAAACACGCUGCUACUAGCUAGAUUAGCAGCAGCGCGGUAGAUAACAAGCGUUGCCGCUAUGUGUCUUAGCAGUAGCGCCUGUUGCGUGCACUACUGCUAAGUAAUAGCUGUAGCGCCUUAUUAGUAGCGUGGCUGCCCGCGCUACUAGUGGGCAUUAAACCCGCGCACUACUAGGGUUCUCCCUAGUAGUGGGAGAGGUUCUCCCCCUUGUGCUUCCUCCUCCAUGGCCUCCCCCCUAGAUGGGGAGAGGUUCUCCCUCUGUUCCUUGGCCUUCAUGGCGAUGAUGGCUCCUCCGGGAUCCUGCUCCAUUGCCUCCGGUGAUGAUGGCCCCCUCCGGCAGUGUGCCAAAGAGGGCCUAGAUUGAUUUCUCGUGGCUACAGAGGCUUGCGGCGGCGGAACUUCCAAUCUAGGUUAUUUUCUGGAGGUUUAUGUAUUUAUAGGAAUUUUUGACGUAGUCUCACGUCAGGGGGGGUCUCUGAGUGGUCCACGAGAUAGGGGCCCACGCCCAGGGGGGUGGGCGCCUCCCGCCCUCGUGGACAGCCCGGGACUCUUCUGGCCCAACUCUUUGGGCUUCUUUUGGUCCAUAAAAAUGAUCAAAAAUUGGCACUUCAAUUGGACUCCGUUUGGUAUUCCUUUUCUGUAAAACUCAAAAAUAAGGAAAAAACAGAAACUGGCACUGGGCUCUAGGUUAAAAGGUUAGUCCCAAAAAUCAUAUAAAAUAGCAUAUAAAUGAAUAUAAAACAUCUAAGAUGGAUAAUAUAAUAGCAUGAAAUUAUAGAUACGUUGGAGACGUAUCAGCGCUCUGCCCUGCCCUGCCUCCUCUUCUCAUGUGUUAUACUUCUCCCGCGGUAGUACCGCUCGGAUGAGCGACACUACCGCUCCAGGAGGCACUACCGCCCAAGGUUUCUAGCCCUUGCUCUGUUUUUCCUAUUACUGCCGCCCAAGCGGUAGUACCGCUCGUGUGCAGGCUGAGCACAUAACGGUUGAAUUUUUUCCCACCUAUAAAAGGGGUUCCUCUUACUCAUUGAACCUUAUCCAUUGAUCUCGUGUUCUUCCCCCAUUGUUGACCUUCUUCGAGCUUGCUAUCUCUCAAUCCCUUCAAUGAUUCUUGCUAGUUCUUGAGGGUAAAGAGAGACGAGAUCUAGAUCUACGUUUCCACCAAUCACUUUCUCCUCUAUGUGCGGGAAACCCCUUGGAUCUAGAUCUUGGAGUUAUUCGUGUUCUCUUCUUUGUUCUUCCUCUCAUUUUCCUCCCUAGCAUUAGUUUCUUUGGUGGCAUUUGGAAGAGAAGGACUUGGGCACUCCGUGUGCCCUUGCCAUUGCAUUUGAUGCAUCGGUUUGAGUUCUUCACAGUGAUACGUGGAAAUGAAAGUUGAGUAGCUUAUUACUCUUCGGUGCUUGGUAUCCUUGAGCUUGUUCCUCUUGGGUGUUUGGGAGCCCUAGACGGUUGGUCGUGUUCGGAGCUCAAUAAUUAUGGUGCAAAGCUCCGGCAAGCAUUGGGGUCUCCAAUUAGGUUGUGGAGAUCGCCCCGAGCAAUUUGACAGGUACCGGUGACCGCCCCUAAGGGUUGCCAAAGUGUACGGGUUCGGUGACCGCCCCCAAGGGUUGCCAUUUGUACGGGUUCGGUGACCGCCCUCAAGGGUCCCUUGGUGGAAUCACGGCAUCUUACCUUGUGCGAGGGCGUGAGGAGGUUACGGUGACCCUGGUGGCGAGGAUUGUGCCUCCACACCGCUCCAAACGGAGAUUAGCAUCCGCAGAUGUGAACUUCAGGAUACAUCGUCGUCUCCGCGUGUCUCGGUUAUCUCUUACCCGAGCCCUUUACUUAUGAACUUUACUUUGUGAUAGCUAUAGUGUUUCAUUUUAUAUAUCUUGCUAUCACUUACUUAUUUAUCUUGCUUAGCAUAAGUUGCUUGUGCACAUAGGUGAGCCUAGUUGUUGUAGGUUUUGUGCUUGACAAAUUAACUGCUAGGUUUAUUCCGCAUUUGUUCAAGCCUCAAACAUAAUUAUUUUAAAGCGCCUAUUCACCCCCCCCCUCUAGGCGACAUCCACGAUCUUUCACCCUGACUAUGAAUCUUCUACCUGAUAAACAUAGAAAAUUCAUAGUAAGAGUCCAUAUCCUUAACAAAGGAUGCAAUGAUAUCAGAAGCUUAUCCCUUUCAGAUGACCCGGAUAUUUAAGCUGGUCGACUAGCUCAUCAAUCGGCGAGAUGGGGCUAAUACGGGUGCGAAAUGUUAAGUAUGAGCAAUUUUCGGUGCCCAGACAGCCCAAGACGGACAGGAUGAUCGACGUGCAUGGCCUGCAUGUAACAAAUGUUUUGAAAAUAGGAUACGUGAUUGUAAAUUGUUAAAUUUGAGGCACGACCGGUCACUGUCCGCGGGCGUUUGAGGUUCCAAAUUUGCAACCUCCGGCUGUAGAUGCUUUGAGUAGGUGAUCUUUUGAAUUUUUUUAAAAUUCAUGUUUUUCUUUGUUUAUUUUUUGUUUUUUAUUCUUUAAGGUGACACCAUCAUAAGUAUGGGCGGCGCAACGUGUUGGCCGUCCGCCGCCUUGACGGUCAUUUCAUCCGGCGUAAUCUAGCUGCAUGGAUCUUUCCUCGCCAUUACAACAAAGGCAUUGCUGCAGUAUCCUUGUUUGCAAGAGACCAUAUGUUGCGAAAACAUUCACAACAGAGGUUCUGUUACAGAAUUAUUAUUUUCCCGUCUUAACUUUUUGCAACAUGGGUAUUGUUGCGGAACGACUUUGGCAACACAGAUUAUGUUGUACAGAUGAUGUUGCUGAAAAAUUGUUAAGGUGGCAGAGGUGCGCGGAUUGAGCCAGGAGAAUUGAUGCCGCAAAUCAAGUGUUUUGCAACACCUAUUGAGUUGCAUUAAGAUGUACGCUCCGCACCAUACAAUGGACCUUGGAUCGGACGGCUGCAUGAGUGGUCAUGGAUGGCAACGAGCUCGACCUCAGAUCUAGAUAUGGUUUGCAACAACAUGGGUAAUUUGUGUUAGGUUUUCUUUAGGGAGUCUUUGUGUUUGGUUUGGUCGGCAAGGCGGCGGUGUUGACCUAGUGUAGAAAUAAUGUCUCUCCGCCCUAUCCCCGUUAUGGGGGCGAGCUUAUCACCCUCAGAGGGUAUGUGGAGUUGUGUCUCUGGGGCACCUUCUGGGAUUCAGUCGGUUUAAGUUUUCGGCAGAUAUGCCUGAAAUUGGCUGGCUUUUGUGGUCUUCGGUGUUUCCACAAGCACUUAUCAUUGGUUUCUUCUCCGGGGCGGCGUUUUGCUUUGUAGUUUGUGGUCGUCGACGUCUCCUGUUCUUUAUUGACGACUUCACAACGAUGCUUCUACAAGCUACUAGGUUUGAAAACUUUGAUCCGCCAAGGUAGAGGCUCAGAGGUGACAACAAGUUGUGCUCAUUGCGUGCCGCCGGUGGAUACAGGAGGACGAAGACUUCGUCACCCCCAAGACUUUUGAAGACAAAAAGUUUGUAAUGGUGCGUUUGUAAGGACCUAUGAUACUUAAUAUAUGCAUUAGGCCUUUCCGCGAAAAAGGUAACGCCGAUGCAAAAAUACAAGCGUGUGUACGUGUCAUGAACGACCAAAAAAUUUAUAUCGAAUAAAAAUAAAAACAUGUUGUGACUUUAUGUAUAGGUAGUACUUUCAUGUUACUAUAGACCGACAUCCAUCUACAGAUAAAUGUAGCCAGUGGCAGAACCAAGAUUGAAGCAAAUCCCGGGACAAUUUUUUUUUCUGGCACCAUGUAUGAAUAUUGGCACCUAUAAGCAACCCAAGAAUACCUCAUAACAUUCCUAAAAAUUGAGCCUUAUUUUGUAUGCUUUUGCUGGGUGACGACUGAUGUUGCUCGUGACUGUAAAAACAUUAAAAAGAAUCAAUGGCAUAUACAUACAUGUCGGCCUGGAAUCUUGUUAUCCAAGGCUGCACUAAAAAAUGAUUCCAUGCUGAUGACUGUAAAAUCAUUAAAUAAAGAUGCAUUUUUCUUCUGCGAAGUUGUCUUUGGCGAUUUCGGCAAUCUAAAAAUAUUGUGUAGGCUCAGUAUCUUGGAGGUGCUCACAGGGGUCAAUGCAUUUGUGGUCAUUACCUAAGCCGGUUGCCUCCUCCCCAACAAAAGUCUAGGGUUUCUCUGCCUCCCGCCGGCGCCACCGUCAGUCCGCCUCAUCUCCUUUGGCCUCGGGGCAUGUCAGCGCGGUGGAUCUCGGCCCUUGCCGGCCCGAGGGCUCUGUUUUCAGUUGUUUCUUUGUGUUUUGUUAUGGUUUGUGGCCUGCUCAGUAAAACGAGACCGCGGUGGCUCCUUGAAGAUGGAAUAAGAUUCUCCGCGCCUAGCCCCGUCCCGAUGGUGUGUCUAACAUCACCGGUGGGCGUGUGGAGGUGUGUCUCUGACGGAUCUAUCCUUGAUGGAUUUGCUUGGAUCUGGUCGUAGUUUGUCUACGUUCAUGUGUUUUUAGAUUGGAUCCUUUCGACCUAUGCUACACUUCAUCAGCGACGGUUGUUAUUCUGCUACAUUGGUCCUAUGGGGCCUUAGCACAACGACCUCCUGACAAUGUACUACAACAAGUUUACCCGGCUCCGACGAGGGAGGGAUAAUGAUGGCGGCGCACCUUUGGCUCGCUUCAGUGCUUGUAGUCGUCACUAGGUGGUCCACGGAUUUGGAUGUAAUUUUUAUUAUUUCUGUUGUUUGUUGUACUGCCUUUUUCGAAGAUGAAUAAAUUGGAAGUUUUCUAAAAAAAUCAAUGCAUCUGUACUAUGUUAAAAAAUAUGCACCUUUGAUCUGAUCAUAUUUGUGUAUAUUAUCAUUUUGGCAUCCAAUCCUGCCCUAGCCAGUACAAAAGAUUCCACGCUGACUUUGGAAUUUUCAAGGUCAACUUCUACUGCAACACAUACUUGUAUAUACUUGCGGGCAGGGAAGGGAAAGCGUAACUCAGAGCAGGUCAGUUUGUAGUAAGCGGCAAACAGAAAUGGCAAACGAUUCUUCGCGCGUCCGCGUGGUUCGCAGGAGCACCGUCAAGGCCUCCGUCACGCGGCCCGACGCCGUGCUUCCCGUCUCCAACCUCGACCUGCUGUACUACCCCAUGCCGCUCUCGAUGGUCUGCGCCUACCGCAGGCCCUCGUCCGGCGGUGGCUUCGUCGACGUCGUCGCCGCCUUCGAGGCCAAGCUGUCGUCCCUGCUGGACCACUUCUUUCCCCUCGCCGGCCGCAUCGUGGCUAACCCGCGCUCAGGGCUCCCGGAGGUGCACUGUGACAACCAGGGCGCGGAGCUAGUCGUCGGCGAGGUCGGCCUGGCGCUGGGCAGCCUGGACUUCGGCGACCUGGACGCGUCGCUGGCGAGAGUCGGCGUCCCCGUCCAGUACGACGCGGACAUCGCGCUGUCGGUGCAGCUCGUUUCGUUCUCCUGUGGAGGGUUCGUCGUGGUGUGGGGCACCAACCACGGCCUCGCGGACGGGUGCGCGCUGUGCAUGAUCGUUGACGCGUGGUCUGAGCUCGCGCGGUCUGGGACGGUCGUCGCCGCCGCCCCGAACUACGACCGCUCCGUGUUCCGCCCUCGCGCUGCCCCGUCGUACGGCCCUUCGGUGGGCGAGCUGUUCAUGCCGUUGGUGAGCGAGCGUCUCGUCAACGCCCUCACGGCCGGGGGCUCCUUGGUCGGCCGCACCUACUACGUCGAGGAGCGGGACCUCGCCAUGCUGCGCGCGCAAGCGAGCGGCGACGGGGAGCGCGGCGCGAGCCGCGUCGAGGCGGUGUCUGCGUACUUGUGGAAGGUGUUCGCCACCACCGUUGGCUCGUCCGACGAGAGUUGCCGCAUGGGCUGGUGGGUGAACGGGCGACGGCGUCUCACCACCACCCCGGAGGAAGCCAUGCGCAACUACGUCGGCAACGUCACGACGUUCGCGGUGGCGGAGGCGACCGUGGAGGUUAUCCAGCGGCGGCCGCUCCCGGAGAUCGCGUCGAUGGUGCGCGGGUCGAUCAGGUCGACGGCCACCGACGAGCACUUCCAGGAGCUAGUGGACUGGGUGGAGGAGCACAAGCGCAAGGGCAAUGGCAAUGGCAAGGCUGCGGUCAAGUUCGUGGAGACAGCAACCGCCGGGCUGGGCAGCCCGGCGAUGGGCGUGACGUCGUUCGCGUCCUUCAGCGUCGACACGGACUUCGGAUUCGGGCACGCCGCCGUAGCGAUGCCUACGUGGGUGGACUGCGGGAGGCUGUGCUCCGGCUUCGUGAAGAUCAUGGCGCGUCCGGGGAGUGACGGUGGUGGUGGUGGUUCCUGGAUCUUGGGCAUGUCCGUUUGGCCGAAGCUCGCCGCGGCGCUCGACUCGGACGAGCAGCGCAUCUUCAAGCCUCUCACCGCCGAGUAUCUCGGCCUCAUGGCUGCAGCAAAUUAGUAUAGCCGGCUCCUGGCUCAUUUAUAUUAAUAUAAGAAUAAGUGGGCCAGCGAUUCACACAAAUAAACCACAGGUUCUGUUUUCAGAUCUUGUGGUGGCAGUAUUUGUGUGAUGGGUCCACACAAGUUUUUGGUUACUGAAUUGGCGGGUGAUGGAUACACACUCACACCGCGCUUAUAUACAAUCAAAAUUGCUAAAUACUUGGCCUAUACAAUAAAAACAGGGAUUUGUGGUGAGUAAAUAGAAGCAACUACUAGUCCGGAUCGUCUGAUCGGAGAGGGAUGAGAUGAGACAAUUUUUUUUUUAGAAAAAGAGGAUGACCCCCGGUAUGCAUCUGGGCGAUGCAUACGGCCAUUUUAUUAAUUAUUCUCAUAAGACCUUACAAAGUCAUACAACAGCAAGACUAAAGCCAUCGUGUAAGCAACGACUGUCGGUACACCUAUCCAAUUGAUGAAGGGACGCAGGUAGUCUGGGCCUAAUACCACACAGGCAUCGCAGCCAAACCUAAACAUCUAAGACAUGGGGUCGCAACCAGGUCGCCUGCCGGGUAUGGGGCACCUACCAGUCCGGCGCACUCCUCAACCAGGACGCUUGCUGGUAUGAUGCCGCCGCAGCCACCUGCCACCAAACUAUCUUCAGAGCUGUACUGUUGCAUGAACAGUGCCAGGUCUCUCUACCAUCGACGCCAACACGACGCCCAACAACGUCGUCCUCCUGCGCGAGUCCAUCCUCCCACUGCGAACUCCGAAUCUGCACUGCACCAUGCCGUCAAGAUCCGUCGCCAUCAGUGUGUAGGAUGAAGCACCGCUCCACCAAAGAAUCCAUCGUCUGGUCCCUCGAUCACGUGUGUACCUCCAAGAAUGACGCCCCCAAGGGAGGAACGACACCGGAGCGCAGUCGUCAUCCGAUCAUUCGAUCUAGGAUUUCCCCCGGAGGUACCAGAGAGUGGCUUUGAACUUCUCCACGGCGAUGCCUUCAAGAAGGGAACGACGGAGAUAGCGCCGCCACCGCCGGCCUUAGCAGAAGCCGAAGGCAAGUUUUCACCUAGAUAAGUUCGAAGGGAUCCAACUCUCGUGCACGGGCCACCGUCACCACCAGCACCACCAGGCAGACCCUGGAGUACCGGCAGAUCAGCGAGCCGCCGCACCACCGCAUCCAGAUCGCCGGCCACGCCGGGCCGCCGUCAUCCCCCGCGCCGUCCGGGUCAGAGACGGAGCCGCCGACCGCGCACAGGGAUCACCGCCGCUUGCACACGCCGGAGCGCCGCUGAGAGCCCAGCGCCUGCCAUCCGCCGCCCGAGCACUGUCGCCACCGUGGAGCCAUCAGAUCGGGGAGGAAGAUGUCGCACGCCGCCACCCUCACAGACCCCGCCGCACGCCCGAGCGCCGACGCCACCGGAGGUGCCAUCAGAUCGGGAGGAGGAGGAGCCCGCGCCUCGCCGCCCCGCGCAGACCACGCCGCCGCCAGCGCCGNNNNNNNNNNNNNNNNNNNNNNNNNNNNNNNNNNNNNNNNNNNNNNNNNNNNNNNNNNNNNNNNNNNNNNNNNNNNNNNNNNNNNNNNNNNNNNNNNNNNNNNNNNNNNNNNNNNNNNNNNNNNNNNNNNNNNNNNNNNNNNNNNNNNNNNNNNNNNNNNNNNNNNNNNNNNNNNNNNNNNNNNNNNNNNNNNNNNNNNNNNNNNNNNNNNNNNNNNNNNNNNNNNNNNNNNNNNNNNNNNNNNNNNNNNNNNNNNNNNNNNNNNNNNNNNNNNNNNNNNNNNNNNNNNNNNNNNNNNNNNNNNNNNNNNNNNNNNNNNNNNNNNNNNNNNNNNNNNNNNNNNNNNNNNNNNNNNNNNNNNNNNNNNNNNNNNNNNNNNNNNNNNNNNNNNNNNNNNNNNNNNNNNNNNNNNNNNNNNNNNNNNNNNNNNNNNNNNNNNNNNNNNNNNNNNNNNNNNNNNNNNNNNNNNNNNNNNNNNNNNNNNNNNNNNNNNNNNNNNNNNNNNNNNNNNNNNNNNNNNNNNNNNNNNNNNNNNNNNNNNNNNNNNNNNNNNNNNNNNNNNNNNNNNNNNNNNNNNNNNNNNNNNNNNNNNNNNNNNNNNNNNNNNNNNNNNNNNNNNNNNNNNNNNNNNNNNNNNNNNNNNNNNNNNNNNNNNNNNNNNNNNCCCCCUCUAUUCUUGCACUAGCAAGAGCGUUGUUUCUAUUGUAGACGCUCCCAAAUGUUCUUAAUGGUGUUUUUUUAUUCAUGAUUUGAAUUGUCGGUUCAAGAUGGAAAUCAUGUUUCUUGACGACGCAGGAAUCUGUAUUUUUUUUCUAUCCAAUAGUUUUUUUCUUGGUCCACUGAUAUACACAAACACGCAUUAAUGUGGCAGGUGUUGUGUGUUUAUGGAGUGCUGCGAUGGUGGUGUGGUGAUGGCCACCGCAAAGUCAUUUUGUGUAUUAACGUUACCUAGCGGUACAUGUGCCACCAUUCAUUUCUUUGAGAUCUGUGCGCCUGAACCCACUGCGGUUGUAUAUGUUUGUAUUACACACACCAUCAUUUACGUAUUUCAGAGUCAAAUCACUGCACGGGUUCUAUCAUAGUCAGAAAAAUGACACAUGCAUUACAUAUCUUUCUCUCUUUUCUAACUCAAGCGCUCUCUCUCUCUCUCUCUCUCUCUCUCUCUCUCUCUCUUAAAUCCAUCACUUUAAUAUUUUUCCCAUAAUUUGGAUGAUUAAUAUUUGUUAAACAAAAAAUUAUGUUUCUGAUUUUUUUAUAUAGUUGAAGUCCUUGCGCUAAGACCUUCAUAACAAGAUCAAACAUCGAUACAGUUGUAACACGUUUAGUUAUUGACAUUUCAUAUUUAAUAUGAAAUAAACCCAUUUCACUAGAAAAAUGUGAAACCAACCUAUUUCACUCGAAAACUAUUUACCACAAAUAUUAAAUUGAAAUGUCAAUUUGUGAAAUUGAUUAUUUUAAAAUGUGAAACAUUUUAUUUCAAAAGAGUGAAAUAUCUUAUUUAGAAUAUGUGUAAUUGAAAUAGAUGUCAUUUUUGUGAAACAAAUAGUGAAAUGUGGGUUCUCAAAUGAAAAUAAUAUGAAACUAAUUAUUUUAAAUUGUGUGAAAGUUUAUAUCAAAAGAUUUAAAUAUGAGAUUUCAUAAAUGUACAAUUGAAAUAGACGUGAUUUUUGUGAAAAGAAGCCAGUGGAAAGUGAAAUGUGUCUUCCAAAAAUGAAAACAAUAUGAUAUUAAAAUGUUUUCUUAUGAACUGGUUUGUUGGAAAUGUGUAAUAGUUCAUUUUAUAACAGUUAAAUAUGUUAUUUCCAAAAUGUAGAAUUGAAAUAGAUAUGAGUUUUAUGAAACAAGUAGCGAAAAGUGAAAUGUGGGUUCUGAAAUAAAAACAAUAUGAAAUUGAAAUAUCAAUGAUGGCAGUACAACGAACACCAGAAAUAAUAAAAAUUUACAUCCAGAUUCAUAGACCACCUAGCGACAACUGCAAGCACUGAAGCGAGCCGAAGGCACACCGAUGUCAUCGCCUCUCCCUCGCCCGAGCCUGGCACAACUUUGUUGUAGUACACAGUCGGAAAGUCAUCGUCCUAUGACCCCAUAGGACCAACACACUAGAACAUUAACCGCCGCCGAUGAAGAAAAGCUUAGAUUGGAAGGAUUCAACCAGAAGAUACAUGAACAAAGACGAACAAAGACCAAAUCUGAACAGAUCCACCAAAAACAACCACCAACCGAAUCAACAACCCGUGGCAGCCAAAACAGAAGUAGCCCAAGUCGACUACAGAGACCUGGGGGGGGGGGGGGCUUGGCUUCAACGGCACGUGGCGGCCGCCCCCCUCUAGGCUGGACCUGUCAUUGGAGAGUGUGAGCACAGUGUCCCAAGCGGCUUCAAGGUUUUCUCAAGGUUUUUGUCCCUCAUUUACUAUACGACCAGCUUAUGUGCAAUAUGUAUUACUACCACAGCUCUAUCAGUUCUGCAAGGGAGGGUACUUUCCAAGCCAAGGUAGGGAUCAAGAGUGUGGGGGGUAAAUUGAAGGAAAUAUGCCCUAGAGGCAAUAAUAAAGUUGUUAUUUGUAUUUCCUUAAAUCAUGAUAAAUGUUUAUUAUUCAUGCUAGAAUUGUAUUAACCGGAAACUUAGUACAUGUGCGAAUACAUAGACAAAAUAGAGUGUCCUUAGUAUGCCUCUACUUGACUAGCUCGUUAAUCAAAGAUGGUUAAGUUUCCUGACCACAAACAUGUGUUGUCAUUUGAUGAAUGGGAUCACAUCAUUAGAGAACGAUGUGAUGGACAAGACCCAUCUGUUAGUUUAGCAUAAUGAUCGUUUAGUUUUAUAGCUAUUGCUUUCAUCAUGACUUAUACAUGUUCCUCUAACUAUGAAAUUAUGCAACUCCCGAAUAUUGGAGAAACACCUUGUGUGCUAUCAAACGUCACAAGGUAACUGGGUGAUUAUAAAGAUGAUCUACAUAUGUCUCUGAAGGUGUUUAUUGGGUUGGCAUAGAUCGAGAUUAGGAUUUGUCACUCCGUGUAUAGGAGAGGUAUCUCUGGGCCCUCUCAGUAAUGCACAUCACUAUAAGCCUUGCAAGCAAUGUUAUUAAUGAGUUAGUCACGGGAUGAUGCAUUAUGGAACGAGUAAAGAGAGUUGCCAGUAACGAGAUUGAACUAGGUAUGAUGAUACCGACGAUCGAAUCUCGGGCAAGUAACAUACCGAUGACAAAGGGAACGACGUAUGUUGUUAUGCAGUUUAACCGAUUAAGAUCUUCGUAGAAUAUGUAGGAGCCAAUAUGAGCAUCCAGGUUCGCUAUUGGUUAUUGAACGGAGAUGUGUCUCGGCCAUGUAUACAUAGUUCUUGAACCCGUAGGGUCCGCACGCUUGACAUUCGAUGAUGAUUUGUAUUAUGAAUUAUGUGAUUUGAUGACCGAAGUUUGUUCGGAGUCCCAGAUGAGAUAAUAGACAUGACGAGGUGUCUCGAAGUGGUCGAGAGGUAAAGAUUCAUAUAUAGGACGAUGGUAUUUCGACACCGGAAGUGUUCCGGGUGAUACCGGGUCACCGGAAGACGUUCCGGGCAACCCCCUGAAAGAUAUGGGCUUAAUGGACCAAGUAAGGGAACACACCAGCCUACAAGGGGCUGGUGCGCCCCCUAUAGGGUCAGCCACGUGGGGAGAAAGGGAAAGGAGAGGAGGAAAAGGGAAGUAUGAAGUAGGACUCCUACUUCCUUCCCAUCCCCCUCCUUCAUUUCCCCCUUGUCCAAAUAUGGUAGGGGGGGGGGGGUUUGGACUAGGGGCCCAGGUAGGAUUCCUCCUACGUGGGCGCGCCCUAGGCUGCCUCCCUCUCUCUCCCUCCUUUAUAUACGUGGGGAGGGCACCCUAGAACACACAUCAAUUGUUUCUAGCCGUGUGCGGCGCCCCCCUUCACAGUUAACACCUUGGUCAUAUCGUUGUAGUGCUUAGGCGAAGCCCUGCGCCGGUAACUUCCUCAUCACCGUCGGCACGCCGUCGUGCUGAUGGAACUCUCCCUCGCCCUCAACUGGACCAAGAGCUCGAGGGAUGUCAUCGUGCUUAACGUGUGAUGAACACGGAGGUGCCGUACAUUCGGUACUUGGAUCGGUUGGAUCGUGAAGACGUUUGACUACAUCAACCGUGUUAGUAAACGCUUCCACUUUCGGUCUACGAGGGUACGUGGACACACACUCCCGCUCGUUGCUAUGCAUCUCCUAGAUAGAUCUUGCAUGGUCGUAGGUAAUUUUUUUUGAAAUACGGCGUUCCCCAACAUAAAUUACCUCGUGGCGCCCUCUCUCUCCCUCGAAUCAUCCCAAAUGUCGGAACCGGAGCAUCGUUGGCGUUCCGGGAACUUUCUUAUCAUGGCUUACCCUGAUGAUUACAGGCACUUAAAGUGACCAUGACAAAAGAAGGAUUUAUGGAAGAUACGGGGGUUUUGAAUGGGUUGUUUAGGUAGUCAUGUCCAAAACUAAGCGUCAGGCCAACCCUCUUGUGUUUGCUAAACUCUCCUGGUUGUCCAUUUACCCGAGUCAUGUCCUUCUUCUUUUAUGAAUAUACGUGUGAAUAUUUUAUUGUCAAACACAACUAUAUUGAUCUUUUUUAUUGACUUUUAAGUUCUCAUAAAUAAAAAAAAGGAAAACCCUGGUUUUGGUGGGCCGCACUGACGGGGCCCCUUUAGCUUGGCAAACCACGUUGAACCAGUGCGCGUGGGCCAUUGGGCCGCCGCACGAAAACAUGGCAUGAUGCGGGAUGAGGCAAGCGACUCCCUCCAUAUAUAGCAGUGCCACUCCGACAAACCCUAACCAGGCUAACCCGGUUGGUGGCGUCGACAACGGGGAGCAGUGGUCGAGGUUUCUGCUUCCUCUUAGACGGUCCAUCAGCAACGAUUGCGCGUGUGCUCUGGGACACUUUUCCCGGCGAGCAUGCACCGCUGCCUCGGCCAUCCCCGGAGUCGAAACGCAGAAGAAGGGAGCAGGUCCUCUGGUUGAAUUUGUCCAUAGCAUCAUCCAUCCUACCCUUCAACGGUGGUUGCUGAUUCCCCACGGUGGGUAAGAUGGUUGAUGCUAUGGAUAACUUCAAACCAGAUUAUAGUUGUGACAUGCCCCAUCCGUCAGAAGUUUCUUCUAUCACUGCCGCUGCCCUGCGCCACCCACAAAACAAAGACAAGGAACGCAGAAGCAGGGAGCCAAUCCUCUGGUUGAAUUUGUCCAUAGCAUCAACCAUCCAGCCAUUUAACUGUGGUAGCUGUUGCUUUUUUGCACGAUGGCUGGCGCUGCGGAUAAAUUCAACUCAAUAUAUGGAGGGAAACCCCAGCGCCUGCGAGCUGCUGACGCGUGCCUGCGUUUUAGUACCAGUUGGUGUUACCAACCGUGACUAAAGGUCCUCCUGUCUAGACGCCCCACAAUGGCCACGUGGAGCUUCUUUGGUCCCGGUUCGUAACCCAGCCGGGACUAAAAGUGAGAGGCUUUAGUCCCGAUCAUUUUGUCCCGCUUGCACAACCGGGACUAAAGGCCCUUUGGAACCGGGACAAAUGCCCUGUUUUCUACUACACCAGAACAGCAACCGCCACUGAUGAAAAAAAAUUUAGAUCGGAAGGAUUCAACCAGAAGAUACAUAAACAAAGACGAAUAAAGACCAGAUCCGAGCAGAUCCAUCAAAGACAACCACCGAACGAAUCAACGACCCGUGGCAGCCAAAACAGAAGUAGCCAAAGCCGACUACAGAGACCUGGGGGGCCUUGGCUUCAACGGCCCGUGGCCGCCGCCCCCCUCUAGGCUGGACAUGUCAUUGGAGAGUGUGAGCACAGUGUCCCAAGUGGCUUAAAGGUUUCCUCAAGGUUUUUGUCCCUCGUUUAUUAUGCGACUAGCUUAUGUGCAAUAUGUAUUACUACCAUGGCUCUCUCAGUUCCGCAACGGAGUCUACUUUCCAAGACAAGGUAGGGAUCGAGAGUGUGGGGGGUAAAUUACCUUAGAGCGCCCUCACUCUCCCUCGAAUCAUGCCCAAUGUCGGAGCCGGAGCCGGAGCCAGAGCCGGAGUAUCAAUGGCGUUUUGGGAACUUCUUAUCAUGGCUUACCCUGAUGCUUACAUGCACUUAAAAUUGUCGUGGCAUAUAUUUGAAUGAAGGAUUUAUGGAAGAUACAGGAGGCUCGAAUAGGCUCUUUUGGUUGUCGUGUUUAAACCUAAGGGUUAGGCCAACCCUCUUGUGUUUGCUAGACUCUCAAAUAUAUGUGUGAAUAUUUUAUUAUCACACACAACUAUAUUUAUCUUUUUUUAUUGAUUUACUUAAUUAUAAUAUAAAAAAAUAUUAAGAUUAAAACCAACACAUCUUCAUGAAAAAGGAAAAGCCUACUAGUUUUAAUGGGCCGCACUGAUGGGGCGCCUUUAGGUCGGCAACACGUGGGCUGUUGUGCCGUCGGUCCAAAACAUGGUGUGAUGCGGGAGGGGAUGGGGCGAGCGCCUCCGUCCAUAUAUAGCAGCGCCCCUCCGACAAACCCUAACCAGGCUAACCCGAUUGGCGGCGGCGUCGACGGGGAUCGUUGCAGCGGUCGAGGUUUGUGUGCGCCCUCUCGCUUCUUCUCCGACCGCCCCUCCGCCACGGAUCGCGCGCGCACCACCUGUUCGACCGAUGGCAGAGCGCCGCUGCCUCCGCCGUCCUCUGGUUCGUGCGCCCUCUCGCUUCCUCUCCGACGGCCCCUCCUCUCUGGCUCUCUCUCCCUGGCUCCCGAGCGUCGCAUCACCCCCGGAGUCGACACGCAGAAGAAGGGAGCAGGUCCUCUGGUUGAACUUGUCCAUAGCAUCAUCCAUCCUACCCUUGAACGCUGGUUGCUGAUUCCCCACGGUGGGUAAGAUGGCUGAUGCUAUGGAUAACUUCGAACCAGAUUAUAGUUGUGACAUGCCCCGUCCGUCGCAAGUUUCUUCUAUCGCUGCCGCUGCCCUCCGCCACCCCCAAAACAAAAACAAGGCACGCAGAAGCAGGGAGCCAAUCCUCUGGUUGAAUUUGUCCAUAGCAUCAGUAAUCCUGCCAUUUAACUGUGGUAGCUGUUGCUUUUCUGCACGAUUGCUGGUGCUACGGAUAAAUUCAACUCGAUGGUUGUGACAUGCCCGAUUCCAUUUAAAGAAGCUUGGUUGAAUCAGCUGGCUAUCAGGCAGGUUUGAAGCAGUCACCCGGAUGAAAUCUUCAUAUGUAUCCUGCCAUUAACUAUGACAGACUCUUUUUGCUAUGGACGUAUUCCACCGGAUGAUACACAUUCGACCGCCACUGCAGACGGUUUCCUUUAGUUGCCUGAUUCAUGGUUAUUGUACUCAUGCUGACUCUGGUUUUAAUCUGCCUUGCUCAACUUACAUGGUGUCCUACAACAUGGUUAUGUAUGAUGUCUUUCAUGUUCUGUUUGCUGUGGUGAAUUCUGCCUAUAAUUUGUUGCAGAGAACUUGUGGUCAUCUACCCUUUUUAGAUUUAUAAAUUUGCAUACUAAAGAAUUCUAAAUAACCUUUGGAUACAAUACAUUUAAGAUUUUGAUUCCCAGUAAAACAAAAUGUAUCAAAUUUGUACCGUUCUAUAAUAAACUGAAAACUUAAGGGUCUUUUCCAUCAAUGGAAAUUAUUAUUUAGUCCUGAGCAAUGUUUUUUGAGCACCCUCUGUUUCUCCUGGGUAUUAAUCUAAGGUUGCAUCUUGGAUACCUCCUUAGGUCAUGUUUCGGAGGAGCAUUUGAAACUCUUAUGCAUGUUUGGCAUUAAAAGGAGCUUGGCAUUCACUUUCUCAGUUUUCAGUGAUGGCCUUCUAAAUUAGCACAGAAAAGGAAAACUAUUCUUGUAACUUGCCAGCUAUUGUAAUUUUGGAAUAGGGUAUGCUUGUCAGUUGAACACUUUCAUAUACCAUAUAGUCGAUGUUAAUUUCUGUUGUUGUUUGUCAAAGUAUCUAUCUCUAAGAGGUUCAUCUUUGUUCCAAUCCAAGGGCACAACAAGUAGCUUUGACUGCAUUUCUAAAAUGAUCGAUUUCCUUCACCAGUGGAAGCUUCUUAAUGCUGCUAGAGAUCGGAAUGCGUUCUUGGACAUGCCUCUAGGAUCCGAGCAACGCUUGCUGCUCUUCCAUAUUCGGCUACUUAGGGCAUCUCCAGCCGCGCCCCCAGGAAGGCCUCCCCAGGCGAUUUUUUCGCGCCGGCGCCGAAAAAAAGCCCCAGUCGCGCCCCCAGGAGCCCGAAUUUCGCCGGCUUGGGCCGAAAACAGCGCCGGCGGACCCAGCCCGAACUCGGCGCGCUGGGGGCGCCGGGGCGAGCUGUUUUGGCGCGAAAAAGACGCGGGCCAGCUACGUCCGCGACUCGGCGCCUCGUCUUCCCCCAACGGCCUCGGUUACCGCGGGGAAUCAAUGGCAAAGGCUGCCGCCGGUCAGCCUUGUCAUUGAUUCCUCACGGGUGGCGCUUCACGGGACGGAGCCGGGGCUGGCGCCGGUGAAGGCGGAGUUCGACGACGACGACGCGGCCCUAGAAUGGGCGCGCCAGGACUCCAUUGCGAUGGAGAAGGCGCGCCGGGAGAAGGUGAAGGAGCGCCAGCGCGCCGCCCUGCGCCGCUUCGAGGAGCGCCGACGCGGCCGCGAUGAAGACGGGGUCGUCGUCCUAUGCGACAGCGACGAAACGACGACGAUGCGCCGCCGCCAGUCCGCCAUGGCGACGCCGGGUCCAGCAGGGGCGCCCGCGUCAAGGAGGAGAAGGCCGACGACGACGAUGGCGGCGACGACUUCAGCCCCUUUCUUUUUUAAAUUAGGUUAAUGUAAUGAAAAUGCGCGAAUUUCGCUGAAAUUUGCCAUGUUUAGCCAAAAUUUAACUACUUUUUAUCAUAACUUCGCCGAACGGUCCUUUUUUUUAAUACGCGCCUGGGGCCGGCCCUGGGGGCCGACGGCUGGGGACCGACUCGCCCGGGGCCAUUUUUUGCGCCGGCUCACCCCCAAGCGGCGCUUUUAGACGCCCCCUGGGGGGCCAACGGCUGGAGAUGCCCUUAAUUCCUGGGGCCAUGUGUCGUAUGCUGUAACGGAGGCUGCUCUGCCAUUUUCGAUAUGUAUUGCUCUGUUUGCCCAUAACAGAUUUUCUCCGAAUUAGUUCUGGAAUGAGUUACCACUUUUUGUCUUUCUGACACGUUGGCUUCUUCACUAAGUGUAUAUGUGGACCCACCAUUGUAGCACGUCUGAAAGCUUAGUUGAUCAAUACUGAAACACGCAUCUGAUUAUCAUGGAAAGGAAUACUCGAACUCAAAUCCAUAGGCCGUCCAAACACCGGUGGUCUAGUUGUAGAAUACUACCCUGCCACGGCACAUACCCGUGUUCGAUUCCCUGCUGGUGCACUUUUCAUUUUUUUUCUAUUUCCGUUGGCCUUGUGGCAUUUCAAAAUAAUUUACACUUAUUCAUACAGUUUUGUACAUAUUAAAGUUUCCAGCGUUUGCCACACAAAUUGAAUUUCUAUUUCCGUUGGCCUUGUGGCAUUUCAAAAUAAUUUACACUUAUUCAUACAGUUUUAUACAUAUUAAAGUUUCCAGCGUUUGCCACACAAAUUGAAGAAACUGUUUGAGGGGGUCGUUGAAUUAACGACAAAAAAAACACAUUUUUUUAAAUUACCCAACUCAUACCUAGCAUUUUUUAGGGGAAUGCCAAACUUUAUUGAUCAAAGGGAAUGUUCACAGGUAUUCAAAUAGGGUCAUGACGAGAAAACCACAUGUAGCGAUCAGGACCGAGUGAAAGGAAAACAUUGUCAAGAUAUUAACUUACUUCAUUUAUAUGAUCAUCAACAGCCCCGCGUCGCUCCCGUGUAGGCGACUCGGGAGGCAACCCGAACCCUAGCCGCCGCCAUGACAAAUCUAUUGCCCCUCUUCUCCUCCGCUAUCGGAGGACACUGCGGAUGAAACCAUGUGGCCGAUGACUGCAGCGGGGACCUUGCUUGCGGCAUGGGUGGCUCUUGGGUACGAUGAUGACCUUCUCGUGUACAGCGGCGGCGGCGCAGGGCGUUGGUGAUCGGAUCUGGCAUGGACGGCUCCGGCUGGCUGCUUCAUCGUUGGCGUGGUGAUGACUGCUUGGGCGCGGUGUAGCGGGCAUGGGUGGCGGUGGUUCUUCACCGCGGCGCAGGUCUGCUAUGGUCGUGGCAGAAUUAUGCUGGUUGUUCCAAUGGGUGUACUACUCUAGUACACGUUCUGGAAUGAACCAAUUGCUACCUAGAUGCUAGCUUUUCACGGUGUCUCGAAAACGUCUUAUAUUUUGAUAGAGAGGGAGUAUGUAUCUAUAUGUUGUGAAAAUUUCCAUGCAUCGUUUUCAUACAAAUUAUUGGCAUGUGUUUCAAUGUCAUUUGGCUAAAAAAAUGUAUUGUUUUCUGUUCGCCUCACAGAUUUUCUUGCUCACCUCAAGAUCGGGUUGUAUUUCUAAAUUUGGUAUAGGAUCUUUUGUUAUUGUUUUGCAGUGGAAUUUUGUUGAAGGAUGUAUAUAUGGACAUGGAUGGGUGUAAAUUGACUCAUCAAGCAUCUAACCUUCUGCUCGGCCUGUUCUGGAUUAGUUCCUGUCGAAUUAUGUACCAAGAUAGAGGUUUCUAGAUGAAUGUAUAUAUGGUCAGCACUAAUAAAUACGUUAAAACAUGGUGUCUUUGUUUCCAGUUAUUAAAGGAUUGCGAAGACUAAAACUGUUACGUUUUCCAAAUAAAAUAAACAUCAACUGUUACCCGGUUACCCGGGUUCGGUUCCUGGCUGGUGCAACUCUUUCAAUUUUGUUUAUUUCUGUUGGCCUUGCAUGCGUUUAUAUAAUUUUAAUUAAUUCACAUACUAAUAAUGUCAUUUGUCAAAACAGUGUUGCUAUAACUUACAUACUAAUAGUUCUUGUUUUUUAGUUUCAUUUCCCUUGGCCGUGUCACUUGCAUUGAUAUUAUUUUAAUUUACACACUAAUAAUUUCACUUGUCGAAAUAGUGUUGCUAUAACUUACAUACUAAUAGUUCUUGUUUUUUAGUUUCAUUUCCCUUGGCCGUGUCACUUGCAUUGAUAUAAUUUUAAUUUACACACUAAUAAUCGAAACACUGUUGCUAUAACUUACAUACUAAUGUCACUUGUUCAUACAAUUUACCUAUGCUAAAGUUCCAUGCAUUCCGCAUGCAAAUUGAGAAAACCGUUUGAAAGAGUUGUGGAAUUAAUGAGUGGACAAAAGAAUAUCGUUUAAAAAAAAUCCUAACUCGCGGCUAAACGAUUUUCAUUUGGUGGAAAAUCAUGUUUUCUCCCCUUAGACUCAAUUCAACCUGGCGUGUACCUCAGCAUCCAGCUGGCCUUUUUUGGGUUAUCGAUUGUUGUUUUUGGUUUACUAAGUUGCUGGGUCUCUUCCUGACUGACCCUCUUGUCCAGACGGAGCGUCUUUUUUCCUUAGAAAAAAAUAUGUCAAGGCGAACCGCGUGCCAUUUGCCCUUCUCCGACCCAGAGUAGGAGCUGUUGGGAAACAAUAGUACCCAUCGCAGGGCAUCGUUGCCGCAGUGUGGCCCCGCAAUGUCGCAGCUCCGACUUCAUGCUCAAGAGCAUGCCAAACGGCCGCAAGACGAAGGCAAGCCAUGAACCUACUCAUCUUGCAACCAUCAUCGUCACCACACAAGUCGCAACACCACUUCCGCAUCGCCAGUCGGGCACCUGCCGACCAGGAUGUCAUGCACGUCCAGCCCCGAGGAAGCGUAGGAGAGAUCGAGGUCUUCAAUACGGCGCCCAUAAGAGGGAGAGCGGCUUUGAAAACGCCAUUGCUACUCGCCAAACUGAAAUUGCUAUUUUAUCCAAAGAAAUUGAACAUCAAAGCACCAGUGGUCUAGUGGUAGAAUAGUACUGUGCCACGGUACAGACCUGGGUUCUAUUCCCGGCUGGUGCAUCUUGUUUUUUAUUUUCAUUUCCCUUCGCCUGACAAUGAUUCAACACCAACAACAAUCCAAGCUCACCACCUUUGUCAAUGGGACAUCCGGUUGACAAUCCCUCGCCCCAUUCCCACUCAAAUACAUUCUUUAAUUUUCUAGGGAUGACAACGCCUCAUAUUUGGUUUCUAUUAUUGGACAUUCCACCGAUUCAUGUCCCCGUAUUAUCAAUGAUCAUAUGCGCAUUAUAUCUGUUGCCACAAUAGAGGGAAAUAAUGUCAUGGAAAUCAAUCAACCACCGUCACAUGAAGCAAGUUCUAGUAUAGUUUAUCGAAAAUUAUUCUUCAAUGGAAUCCUAUUUCAUAUCAUUAUAGUUAAAAUUUUGUACUAAAAAUUGAACCAAGAUUGUUAAAAUUAUUACACCUUACAAGUUUUCACAGUAGUUCAAAUUGACGACAGAAUCCUUAUUACAAAUCCUUAAAGUUCAAAGUUUAUGACUUGCAUUCAAGUUCAAAUUCAAAUCUUUGCCUUUCUCCUUGUGCUUCGGGAUGGGUUAACCGUCUUGCUUCUGGUUUCCCUGGCUGGGAUAUUUUAUGCUUUUGGUAAAUCGGUAAGAGACAUCAUAAAUUGCACUAUAUCCAAUAAAGUACUAUUAUGACGUUCGGACACACCAUUAAGCUGUGGUGUUCCAGGUGGCAUGAGUUUGUGAAACUAUUCCACAUUGUUUUAAUUGAAGACCAAACUCGUAACUCAAAUAUUUGUCUCCGCGAUCAAAUUGCAGAAACUUUAUUUUCUUGUUACGAUCAUUCUCCACUUCACUCUGAAAUUCUUUAAACUUUUCAAAUGUUUCAGACUUGUGCUUCAUUAAGUAGAUAUACUCAUAUCUGCUCAAUUCAUCUUGUGAAGGUCAGAAAAUAACGAUACCCGCCACGAGCAUCAACACUCAUUGGACCGUAUACAUCGGUAUGUAUUAUUUCCAUCAAGUCAGUAGCUCAUUUCAUUGUUCCGGAGAACGGAGUUUUAGUCAUCUUGCCCAAAAGGCACGGUUCGUAAGCAUCAAAUGAUUUAUAACCAAGAGAUUCCAAAAAUCCAUCUUUAUGGAGUUUCUUCAUGCGCUUGACACCGAUAUGACCCAAACGGCAGUGCCACAAAUAAGUUGCACUAUCAUUAUCAACUUUGCAUCUUUUGGCAUCAAUAUUAUGAAUAUGUGUAUUACUACGAUCGAGAUCCAACAAACUAUUUUCAUUGGGUGUAUGACCAUCGAAGGUUUUAUUCAUGUAAACAGAACAAAUAUUAUUCUUUGACUUUAAAUGAAUAACCGUAUCGCAAUAAACAUGAUCAAACCAUAUUCAUGCUCAACGAAAACGCCAAAUAACAUUUAUUUAGGUUUAACACUAAUCCCGAAAGUAUAGGGAGUGUGUGAUGAUGAUCAUCAAUCUUGGAACCACUUCCAACACUCAUCGUCACUUCCCCUUCAACUAGUCUCUGUUUAUUCUGUAACUCCUGUUUCGAGUUACUAAUAUUUAGCAACUGAACAAGUAUCAAUUACUCAGGGGCUACUAUAAACACUAGUAAAGUACACAUGAAUAACAUGUAUAUCAAAUAUACCCUUGUUCACUUUGCCAUCCUUCUUAUCCACCAAAUAUUCAGGGCAUUUCCGCUUCUAGUGACCAUUUCCUUUGCAGUAUAAUCACUCAGUUUCAGGCUUUGGUCCAGCUUUGGGCUUCUUCGCGGGACUGACAACUUGCUUGUCAUUCUACUUGAAGUUCCCUUUCUUUCCCUUUGCCCUUUUCUUGAAACUAGUGGUCUUGUCAAUCAUCAACACUUGAUGCUCUUUCUUGAUUUCUACCUUCGUCGAUUUCAGCAUCACGAAGAGCUCGGGAAUCGUUUUCGUCAUCCCUUUAUAGUUUACCACGAAGUUCCAGUAACUAGGUGAUGGUGACUAGAGAACCCUACCAAUCACUAUCUUAUCUGGAAGUUUAACUCCCACUUGAUUCAAGCGAUUGUAGUACUCAGACAAUCUAAGUACUUGCUCACUAGUUGAGCAAUUCUCCUCCAUCUUUUAGGCGAAGUAUUUGUCAGAGGUCUCAUACCUCUUGACAUGGGCAUGAGUCUGAAAUACCAAUUUCAUCUCUUGAAACAUCUUAUAUGUUCCAUGAUGUUUCAUAAACGUUUUUGUAGUCCCGGUUCAAAGCCAUAAAUCAUGGUGCACAAAACUAUCAAGUAGUCAUCAUAUUGAGCUAGCCAAACAUUCAUAACUUCUGCAUCUGCUCCUUCAACAGGUCUGUCACCUAGCGGUGCAUCAAGGACAUAAUUCUUCUGUGCAGCAAUGAGGAUAAACCUUAGAUCACGGAACAAGUCCGCAUCAUUGAUACUAACAUUUUUCAACUUAGUUUUCUCUAGAAACACAUAUAAAAACAUAGGGAAGCAAAAACAUAGGGAAGCAACAACGUGAGCUAUUGAUCUACAACAUAAUUUGCAAAAAAACUACCAGGACUAAGUUCAUGAUAAAUUAAAGUUCAAUUAAUCAUAUUACUUAAGAACUCCCACUUAGACAGACAUCUCUCUAGUCAUCUAAGUGAUCACGUGAUCCAAAUCAACUAAACCAUGUACGAUCAUCACGUGAGAUGGAGUAGUUUUCAAUGGUGAACAUCACUAUGUUGAUCAUAUCUACUAUAUGAUUCACGCUCGACCUUUCGGUCUCCGUGUUCCGAGGCCAUAUCUGUAUAUGCUAGGCUUGUCAAGUUUAACCUGAGUAUUCCGCGUGUGCAACUGUUUUGCACCCGUUGUAUUUGAACGUAGAUCCUAUCACACCCGAUCAUCACGUGGUGUCUCAGCAUGAAGAACUUUCGCAACGGUGCAUACUCAGGGAGAACACUUCUCCUAAUGAUGUGAUCCCGUUAAUCAAAUGACAACUCUUUUGUCCAUGGCUAGGAAACAUAACCAUCUUUGAUAAACGAGCUAGUCUAGUAGAGGCAUACUAGUGACACUAUGUUUGUCUAUGUAUUCACACAUGUAUUAUGUUUCUGGUUAAUACAAUUCUAGCAUGAAUAAUAAACAUUUAUCAUGAUAUAAGGAAACAAAUAAUAACUUUAUUAUUGCCUCUAGGGCAUAUUUCCUUCAUAGACAUGACCUAGAACUAUUUCCGGUCAAUAACCAAUAGCGGAACCUGGAUGCUCAUAUUGGCUCUUACAUAUUCUACGAAGAUCUUUAUCGGUCAAACCGCAUAACAACAUACGAUGUUCCCUUUGUCAUCGGUAUGUUACUUGCCCGAGAUUCGAUCGUCGGUAUCCAAUACCUAGUUCAAUCUCGUUACCGGCAAGUCUCUUUACUCGUUACGUAAUGCAUCAUUCCAUAACCAACUCAUUGGUCACAUUGCUUGCAAGGCUUAUAGUGAUGUACAUUACCGAGAGGGCCCCGAGAUACCUCUCAGACAAUCAGAGUGACAAAACCUAAUCUCGAAAUACGCCAACUCAACAUCUAUCUUUGGAGACACCUGUAGAGCUCCUUUAUAAUCACCCAGUUACGCUGUGACGUUUGGUAGCACACAAAGUGUUCCUCCGGUAAACAGGAGUUGCUUAAUCUCAUAGUUGUAGGAGCUUUGUAUAAGUCAUGAAGAAAGCAAUAGCAACAUACUAAACGAUCAAGUGCUAGGCUAACGGAAUGGGUCAAGUCAAUCACAUCAUUCUCCUAAUGAUGUGAUCUCUUUAAUCAAAUGACAACACAUGUCUAUGGUUAGGAAACACAACCAUCUUUGAUUAAUGAGCUAGUCAAGUAGAGGCAUACUAGUGACAUUAAGUUUGUCUAUAUAUUCACACAUGUAUGAUGUUUCCGGUUAAUACAAUUCUAGCAUGAAUAAUAAACAUUUAUCAUGAUAUGAGGAAAUAAAUAAUAACUUUAUUGUUGACUCUAGGGCAUAUUUCCUUCAGUCUCUGACUUGCACUAGAGUCAAUAAUCUAGAUUACACAGUAAUGAUUCUAACACCCAUGGAGUCUUGGUGCUGAUCAUGUUUUGCUCAUGGAAGAGGCUUAGUCAACGGGUCUGCUACAUUCAGAUCCGUAUGUACCGGCGCGACACCUUGAUCUCCAUCGUAGCAUCGUUGUCGUUACGCCAUCUAUUGCUUCUACGACUAUCGCUACCGCUUAGUGAUAAAGUAAAGCAAUUACAGGGCAUUUGCAUUUCAUACAAUAAAGCGACAACCAUAUGGCUCCUGCCAGUUGCCGAUAACUUCGUUUACAAAACAUGAUCAUCUCAUACAAUAAAAUAUAGCAUCACGUCUUGACCAUAUCACAUCACAACAUGCCCUGCAAAAACAAGUUAGACGUCCUCUACUUUGUUGUUGCAAAUUUUACGUGGCUGCUACGGGCUGAGCAAGAACCGUUCUUACCUACGCAUCAAAACCACAACGAUAGUUCGUCAAGUUAGUGAUGUUUUAACCUUCGCAAGGACCGGGCGUAGCCACACUCGGUUCAACUAAAGUUGGAGAAACAGACACCCGCUAGUCACCUAUGUGCAAAGCACGGCGGUAAAACCAGUCUCGCGUAAGCGUACGCGUAAUGCCGGUCCGGGCCGCUUCAUCCAACAAUACCGCUGAACCAAAGUAUGAUAUGUUGGUAAGUAGUAUGACUUGUAUCGCCCACAACUCACUUGUGUUUUACUCGUGCAUAUAACAUCAACGCAUAAAACCUGGCUCGGAUGCCACUUUUGGGGAACGUAGUAAUUUCAAAAUUUUCCUACGCACACGCAAAAUCAUGGUGAUGCAUAGCAACGAGAGGGGAGAGUGUUGUCCACGUACCCUCGUAGACCGUAAGCGGAAGCGUUAUGACAACGCGGUUGAUGUAGUCGUACGUCUUCACGAUCCGACCGAUCCAAGCACCGAACGUACGACACCUCCGAGUUCAGCACACGUGCAGCUCGAUGACGAUCCCCGGACUCCGAUCCAGCAGGGUGUCGGGGAUGAGUUCCGUCAGCACGACGGCGUGGUGACGAUGAUGAUGUUCUACCGAUGCAGGGCUUCGCCUAAGCACCGCAAUGAUAUGACCAAGGUGGAAUAUGGUGGAGGGGGGCACCGCACACGGCUAAGGAACGAUCACGAAGAUCAACUUGUGUGUCUAGAGGUGCCCCCUUGCCCCCGUAUAUAAAGGAGGGAGGGGGGAGGUGCGGCUGGCCCCCUAGGGGUGCGCCUAGAGGAGUCCUACUCCCACCGGGAGUAGGACUCCCCCCUCUUGCCUUGGUGGAGACGGAAAGGGGGUAGGGGAAAGAGGAAAGGGGGCGCCGCCCCCCUUCCUUGUCCUAUUCGGACUAGGGGGGGAGGGGGCACGCGGCCUACCCUGGCCGGCCCUCCUCUUCUCCCUCAUGGCCCAUGUAGGCCCAAUAACCCCCGGGGGGGUUCCGGUAACCCCCCGGUACUCCGGAAAAAUCCCGGUUUCUCCCGGAACGAUUCCGAUAUCCAAAUAUAGGCUUCCAAUAUAUCAAUCUUUAUGUAUCGACCAUUUCGAGACUCCUCGUCAUGUCCGGGAUCACAUCCGGGACUCCGAACAACCUUCGGUACAUCAAAACAUAUAAACUCAUAAUAAAACUAUCAUCGUAACGUUAAGCGUGCGGACCCUACGGGUUCGAGAACUAUGUAGACAUGACCUAGACCUAUUCUCGGUUAAUAACCAAUAGCGGAACCUGGAUGCUCAUAUUGGCUCCCACAUAUUCUACGAAGAUCUUUAUCGGUCAAACCGCAUAACAACAUACGUUGUUCCCUUUGUCAUCGGCAUGUUACUUGCCCAAGAUUCGAUCGUCGGUAUCUAAUACCUAGUUCAAUGUCGUUACCGGCAAGUCUCUUUACUCGUUACGUAAUGCAUCAUUCCGUAACUAACUCAUUAGCUACAUUGCUUGCAAGGCUUAUAGUUAUGUGCAUUACCGAGAGGGCCCAGAGAUACCUCUCCGUCAAUCGGAGUGACAAAACCUAAUCUCGAAAUACGCCAACCCAACAUGUACCUUUGGAGACACCUGUAGAGCUCCUUUAUAAUCACCCAGUUAUGUUGUGACGUUUGGUAGCACCCAAAGUGUUCCUCCGGUAAACGGGAGUUGCAUAAUCUCAUAGUUACAGGAACAUGUAUAAGUCAUGAAGAAAGCAAUAGCAACAUUCUAAACGAUCAAGUGCUAGGCUAACGGAAUGGGUCAUGUCAAUCACAUCAUUCUCCAAAUGAUGUGCUCCCGUUAAUCAAAUGACAACACAUGUCUAUGGUUAGGAAACAUAACCAUCUUUGAUUAAUGAGCUAGUCAAGUAGAGGCAUACUAGUGACAUUUAUGUUUGUCUAUGUAUUCACACAUGUAUCAUGUUUCUGGUUAAGACAAUUCUAGCAUGAAUAAUAAACAUUUAUCAUCAUAUGAGGAAAUAAAUAAUAACUUUAUUAUUGCCUCUAGGGCAUAUUUCCUUCAGUCUCCCACUUGCACUAGAGUCAAUAAUCUAGAUUACACAGUAAUGAUUCUAACACCCAUGGAGUCUUGGUGCUGAUCAUGUUUUGCUCGUGGAAGAGGCUUAGUCAACGGGUCUGCAACAUUCAGAUCCGUAUGUAUCUUGCAAAUCUCUAUGUCUCCCACCUGGACUUGGUCCCGGAUGGAAUUGAAGCGUCUCUUGAUGUGCUUGGUCCUUUUGUGAAAUCUGGAUUCCUUCGCCAAGGCAAUUGCACCAGUAUUGUCACAGAAUAUCUUCAUUGGUCCCGAUGCACUAGGUAUGACACCUAGAUCGGAAAUGAACUCUUUCAUCCAGACUCCUUCAUUUGCUGCUCUGAAGCAGCUAUGUACUCCGCUUCACAUGUAGAUCCUGCCACGACGCUUUGUUUAGAACCGCAGCAACUUACAGCUCCACCAUUUAAUAAAAACACGUAUCCGGUUUGCGAUUUAGAAUCGUCCGGAUCAGUGUCAAAGCUUGCAUCGACGUAACCAUUUAUGACUAGCUCUUUGUCACCUCCAUAUACGAGAAACAUAUCCUUAGUCCUUUUCAGGUAUUUCAGGAUGUUCUUGACCGCUGUCCAGUGAUCCACUCCUGGAUUACUUAGGUACCUUUCCGCCAAGCUUAUUGCUAAGCAUACGUCAGGUCUGGUACACAGCAUUGCAUACAUGAUAGAGCCUAUGGCUGAAGCAUAGGGAAUAUUUUUCAUUUUCUCUCUAUCUUCUACUGUGGUUGGGCAUUGAGUCUGACUCAACUUCACACCUUGUAAUACAGGCAAGAACCCUUUCUUUGCCUGAUCCAUUUUGAACUUUUUCAAAACUUUAUCAAGGUAUGUGCUUUGUGAAAGUCCAAUUAAGCGUCUUGAUCUAUCUCUAUAAAUCUUGAUGCCCAAUAUGUAAGCAGCUUCACCGAGGUCUUUCAUAGAAAAACUUUUAUUCAAGUAUCCCUUUAUGCUAUCCAGAAAUUCUAUAUCAUUUCCAAUUAAUAAUAUGUCAUCUACAUAUAAUAUCAGAAAUGCUACGGAGCAUCCACUCACUUUCUUGUAAAUACAGGCUUCUCCAAAAAGUCUGUAUAAAACCAUAUGCUUUGAUCACACUAUCAAAGCAUUUAUUCCAACUCCGAGAUGCUUGCACCAGUCCAUAAAUGGAUCGCUGGAGCUUGCACACUUUGUUAGCACCUUUUGGAUCGACAAAACCUUCUGGUUGCAUCAUAUACAACUCUUCUUCCAGAAAUCCAUUCAAGAAUGCAGUUUUGACAUCCAUUUGCCAAAUUUCAUAAUCAUAAAAUGCAGCAAUUGCUAUCAUGAUUCGGACAGACUUAAGCAUCGCUACGGGUGAGAAAGUCUCAUCGUAGUCAACCCCUUGAACUUGUCGAAAACCUUUCGCAACAAGUCGAGCUUUAUAGACAGUUACAUUACCAUCUGCGACAGUCUUCUUCUUAAAGAUCCAUUUAUUCUCAAUGGCUUGCCGAUCGUCGGGCAAGUCAACCAAAGUCCAUACUUUGUUCUCAUGCAUGGAUCCCAUCUCAGAUUUCAUGGCUUCUAGCCAUUUUGCGGAAUCUGGGGUCAUCAUCUCUUCCUCAUAGUUCGUAGGUUCGCCAUGGUCAAGUAACAUGACUUCCAGAAUAGGAUUACCGUACCACUCUGGUGCGGAUCUUACUCUGGUAGACCUACGAGGUUCAGUAGAAACUUGAUCUAAAGUUUCAUGAUCAAUAUCAUUAGCUUCCUCACUAAUUGGUGUAGUUGUCACAGGAACUGGUUCUUGUGAUGGACUACUUUCCAAUAAGGGAGCAGGUACAGUUACCUCAUCAAAUUCUACUUUCCUUCCACUCACUUCUUUCGAGAGAAACUCCUUCUCUAGAAAGGAUCCGAAUUUAGCAACGAAAAUCUUGCCCUCAGAUCUGUGAUUGAAGGUGUACCCAACAGUCUCUUUUGGGUAUCCUAUGAAGACACAUUUCUCCCAUUUGGGUUCGAGCUUAUCUGGUUGAAGUUUCUUCACAUAAGCAUCGCAGCCGCAAACUUUAAGAAACGACAACUUUGGUUUCUUGCCAAACCACUGUUCAUGAGGUGUCGUCUUAACGGAUUUUGAUGGUGCCCUAUUUAACGUGAAUGUGGCCGUCUCUAAAGCAUAACCCCAAAACGAUAGCGGUAAAUCAGUAAGAGACAUCAUAGAUCGCACCAUAUCUAGUAAAGUACGAUUACGACAUUCGGACACACCAUUUCGUUGUGGUGUUCCGGGUGGCGUGAGUUGCGAAACUAUUCCGCAUUGUUUCAAAUGUAAACCAAACUCGUAACUCAAAUAUUCUCCUCCACGAUCAGAUCGUAGAAAUUUUAUUUUCUUAUUACGAUGAUUUUCCACUUCACUCUGAAAUUCUUUGAACUUAUCAAAUGUUUCAGACUUGUGUUCCAUUAAGUAGAUAUACCCAUAUCUGCUCAAAUCAUCUGUGAAGGUGAGAAAAUAAUGAUACCCGCCGCGAGCCUCAAUAUUCAUUGGACCACAAACAUCAGUAUGUAUGAUUUCCAACAAAUCAGUUGCUCGCUCCAUAGUUCCAGAGAACGGCGUUUUAGUCAUCUUGCCCAUGAGGCACGGUUCGCAAGUACCAAGUGAUUCACAAUCAAGUGAUUCCAAAAGUCCAUCAGUAUGGAGUUUCUUCAUGCGCUUUAUACCGAUAUGACCUAAACGGCAGUGCCACAAAUAAGUUGCACUAUCAUUAUCAACUCUGCAGCUUUUGGUUUCAACAGUAUGAAUAUGUGUAUCACAACUAUCGAGAUUCAAUAAAAAUAGACCACUCUUCAAGGGUGCAUGACCAUAAAAGAUAUUACUCAUAUAAAUAGAAUAACCAUUAUUCUCUGAUUUAAAUGAAUAGCCGUCUUGCAUCAAACAAGAUCCAGAUAUAAUGUUCAUGCUCAACGCUGGCACCAAAUAAUAAUUAUUUAGGUCUAAAACUAAUCCCGAUGGUAGAUGUAGAGGUAGCGUGGCGACUGCGAUCACAUCGACUUUGGAACCAUUUCCCACGUGCAUCGUCACCUCGUCCUUAGCCAAUCUUCGCUUAAUCCGUAGUCCCUGUUUCGAGUUGCAAAUAUUAGCAACAGAACCAGUAUCUAAUACCCAGGUACUACUGCGAGUAUUAGUAAGGUACACAUAAUAACAUGUAUAUCACAUAUACCUUUGUUUACUUUGCCAUCCUUCUUAUCCGCCAAAUACUUGGGGCAGUUCCGCUUCCAGUGUCUAGUCUUCUUGCAGUAGAAGUACUUAGUCUCAGGCUUAGGUCCAGACUUGGGUUUCUUCUCUUGAGCAGCAACUUGUUUGCUGUUCUUCUUGAAGUUCCCCUUCUUCUUCCCUUUGCCCUUUUGCUUGAAACUGGUGCUCUUGUUGACCAUCAACACUUGAUGCUCCUUCUUGAUUUCUACCUCCGUGGCUUUUAGCAUUGCGAAGAGCUCGGGAAUAGUCUUGUCCAUCCCUUGCAUAUUAUAGUUCAUCACGAAGCUCUUGUAGCUUGAUGGCAGUGAUUGAAGAAUUCUGUCAAUGACAUUAUCAUCAGGAAGAUUAACUCCCAGUUGAAUCAAGUGAUUAUUAUACCCAGACAUUUUGAGUAUGUGUUCACUGACAGAACUAUUCUCCUCCAUCUUGCAGCUAUAGAACUUAUUGGAGACUUCAUAUGUCGGAGUAAUGGGCCACGGGUAGGCUGACCCGAGCCCCAGAACCUUUCAAGACAUCGGGGCAGGCCGCGCCCCUCAAAGUCGAGUCUCAGAUGGCGACUCCCAGAUGAACCGAGUCUCAGAUGACGACUCCCAGAAAGCCGAGUCUCAGAUGACGACUCCCAGAUGAACCGAGUCUCAGAUGACGACUCCCAGAUGAGCCGAGUCUCAGAUGACGACUCCCAGAUGAGCCGAGUCUCAGAUGACGACUCCCAGAUGGGCCGACUCAUGGCCGGCGACUCCCAGAUGGGCCGACUCAUGGCCGGCGACUUCCAGAGGAGCCGGCUAUGGAGAGUCGGCCCACGACUCUACACUCAUUACGGGUGCGACCACGGCGUGGCCGUCACCUCCUGCUUGCGAGGAGCCGGUGUGGCUACAGUGUGCCGUACCGCCGGAGAUCUCCAGCGUGGCUCGGCACUGUAGCCAUGCCAGACCUGACCUCGGCCAAUGUGCGCGGCGCACUGUGGCCACGAUGGCCUACCUAUACGGCUCAGAGGCGGCGGACUCGCCAGUCAGUGAGAGCUAGAAGACGACGGAUACACUCCGAAGGCGGCCCCGUGGGAGUCGGCUCCCCGGAGUCGGCCAGCCCCUCUCACGGGUCCCACGCGCCAUUAACCAGACAAGAUGGGGAGCAACGACAGUGAUCGCCUGAUAGACGGCGGCACUGUUGCCACGACCCAAUGACCAAGCCUGCGCCAUCAGAGGCACGGCUACAGUGUCGAGCUCGCCGGCGGGGCCCGCAAGUCGGCGGGCCCCGUUAGUCGGCGGAGAAGACAACGACCUGUGAGACAGACGGCUGGGACCCGUGCCCAGCCGGAUUACCAUUGUAUCCCCGGGGGGUAGGCCUAUAUAAACACCCCGGGGCACCCAUGCAAAGGGUUCGCUGCCAUUAGCCUUAGACCCGAUCGUAUAGGAAGAAGAGGGCUAGCUUUGCCUCCUUCUACCUCCAGAAUACAGCUCUAGGAGCAACCUUGUAGUCACUAUGCCUUAGUGAUCAUGCAGAGACCCUGCAGAGCAGCAGUAGGGGUGUUAUCUCCCCGGAGAGCCCCCGAAGCUGGGUAAGAUUCGCCGGCGUGCAUGCCUUCGCCUAAUCCCGUUUCCUAGCACCGGCGACGUUCUACUCGCUCCCACCAUGAUAAGCCAUCCUUUGGCAUACGUCGCACCCAACCCCCGACAUCAUAUCUCUCAAUCCGGGCAUUUGCUUGAAAUAUUAACUUCAACUCCUGGAACAUCUCAUAUGCUCCAUGACGUUCAAAACAUCGUUGAAGACCCGAUUCUAAGCCGUAAAGCAUGGCACAUUGAACUAUCGAGUAGUCAUCAGCUUUGCUCUGCCAGACGUUCUUAACGUCGUCAGUUGCAUCAGCAGCAGGCCUGGCACCUAGCGGUGCUUCCAGGACGUAAUUCUUCUGUGCAGCAAUGAGGAUAAUCCUCAGGUUACGGACCCAGUCCGUGUAAUUGCUACCAUCAUCUUUCAACUUUGCUUUCUCAAGGAGCGCAUUAAAAUUCAACUGAACAACAGCACGAGCCAUCUAUCUACAACAAACAUAGACAAGCAAAAUACUAUCAGGUACUAAGUUCAUGAUAAAUUUAAGUUCAAUUAAUCAUAUUACUUAAGAACUCCCACUUAGACAGACAUCUCUCUAGUCAUCUAAGUGAUCACGUGAUCCAAAUCAACUAAACCAUGUCCGAUCAUCACGUGAGAUGGAGUAGUUUCAAUGGUGAACAUCACUAUGUUGAUCAUAUCUAAUAUAUGAUUCACGUUCGACCUUUCGGUCUCCGUGUUCCUAGGCCAUAUCUGUUAUAUGCUAGGCUCGUCAAGUUUAACCUGAGUAUUCCGCGUGUGUAACUGUUUUGCACCCGUUGUAUUUGAACGUAGAGCCUAUCACACCCGAUCAUCACGUGGUGUCUCAGCACGAAGAACUUUCGCAACGGUGGAUACUCAGGGAGAACACUUCUUGAUAAUUGUCAUUGUAACGUUAAGCGUGCGGACCCUACGGGUUCGAGAACUAUGUAGACAUGACCUAGAACUAUUCUCGGUCAAUAACCAAUAGCGGAACCUGGAUGCUUAUAUUGGCUCCCACAUAUUCUACGAAGAUUUUUGUCGGUUAAACCUCAUAACAACAUACGUUGUUCCCUUUGUCAUCGGCAUGUUACUUGCCCGAGAUUCGAUCGUCGGUAUCUAAUACCUAGUUCAAUCUCGUUACCGGCAAGUCUCUUUACUCGUUACGUAAUGCAUCAUUCCAUAACUAACUCAUUAGCUACAUUGCUUGCAAGGCUUAUAGUGAUGUGCAUUACCGAGAGGGCCCAGAGAUACCUCUCCGACAAUCGGAGUGACAAAACCUAAUCUCGAAAUACGCCAACCCAACAUGUACCUUUGGAGACACCUGUAGAGCUCUUUUAUAACCACCCAGUUACGUUGUGACGUUUGGUAGCACCCAAAGUGUUCCUCCGGUAAACAGGAGUUGCAUAAUCUCAUAGUUACAGGAACAUGUAUAAGUCAUGAAGAAAGCAAUAGCAACAUACUAAAUGAUCAAGUGCUAGGCUAACGGAAUGGGUCAUGUCAAUCACAUCAUUCUCCUAAUGAUGUGAUCCCAUUAAUCAAAUGACAACACAUGUCUAUGGUUAGGAAACAUAACCAUCUUUGAUUAAUGAGCUAGUCAAGUAGAGGCAUACUAGUGACGUUUAUGUUUGUCUAUGUAUUCACACAUCUAUCAUGUUUCCGGUUAAUACAAUUCUAGCAUGAAUAAUAAACAUUUAUCAUGAUAUGAGGAAAUAAAUAAUAACUUUAUUAUUGCCUCUAGGGCAUAUUUCCUUCAUUUGUCACCUCCAUAAACGAGAAACAUAUCCUUAUUCCUUUUCAGGUAUUUCAGGAUGUUCUUAAACGCUGUCUAGUGAUCCACUCCUGGAUUACUUUGGUACCUCCCUGCUAAACUUAUUGCUAAGCAUACAUCAGGUCUGGUACACAGCAUUGCAUACAUGAUAGAGCCUGUGGCUGAAGCAUAGGGAACAUAUUUCAUUUUCUCUCUAUCUUCUGCUGUGGUCGGGCAUUGAGUCUGACUCAACUUCACACCUUGCAAUACAAGUAAGAACCCUUUCUUUGCCUGAUCCAUUUUGAACUUUUUCAAAACUUUAUCAAGGUAUGUGCAUUGUGAAAGUCCAAUUAAAUGUCUUGAUCUAUCUCUAUAGAUCUUGAUGCCCAAUAUGUAAGCAGCUUUACCGAGGUCUUUCAUUGAAAAACUUUUAUUUAAGUAUCCCUUUAUGCUAUCCAGAAAUUCUAUAUCAUUUCCAAUUAACAAUAUGUCAUCUACAUAUAAUAUCAGAAAUGCUACGGAGCUCCCACUCACUUUCUUGUAAAUACAGGCUUCUUCAAAAGUCUGUAUAAAACCAUAUGCUUUGAUCACACUAUCAAAACUUUUAUUCCAACUCCGAGAUGCUUGCACCAGUCCAUAAAUGGAUCGCUGGAGCUUCCACACUUUGUUAGCACCUUUUGGAUCGACAAAACCUUCCGGUUGCAUCAUAUACAACUCUUCUUCCAGAAAUCAUCGUGCACACAAAAAUAGUUCACUGUGUAGUAAAAAAAAGGUAGACAUGUAUUCUUUCAAAGGCAAAAGAAAAUACAGGAAAAUAGAAAAAAAUGAAAACAUCAUGGAAUCUUUCCAAAACUGGCCAAAACUGAUAGAAGGUUCCACAAACAUGUCUAUACAAGCUUCCAAAAAACGCAAAAUCUCUAGCUAACACAAUUACUGGGCCGGUGCACCAUGUCGAUCUCCAUAGGCAAGCAUAAGUUAUGUCUCAGAUUAAGCGCUUUUAGCAAUUGCUGUAGGAGAGGCCCAGGAGCAGAUGGACCGUGUGGCCUAGCAUUGUAGGCGUCAAUUCCUAGCACAAUCAGAUGCACAUGAAGGUUGAGGCCUAGUGCCCCAGCUGGCACUAGUGAUAUACAACUGAUGUAUUUCCUGUAAAAAUUGUAUCAACCAAGUUCUCAUUGAGGUGUACUUGUCUUUCAGUGUUGUGGAUAAAUCCCCAAGCUUGCUUUUCUAGAAGAGCCUGAUUAAAAGUUCUCAUGUCUCUCAAACCCAUGCCUCCCAUAGUUUUCUGAAGAAUCUUUUUGUCCCAAGCAAGCUAGGGCAUCUUUCUUUUACCCUUCUUCACUCCCCACAUGUAGGAUCUUCACCGGCACACAACCUUGCAAACAAUGGAGACCGCUGUAGCACAUUGAUGUCACUGUGACUUCUGAGACAUUGGCAUGCUAAAGAAAGAGUGACAAAUCUUGUGGUCUUCAUGCAAGUGCUUCAAUAUUGAUGUGGGAAUUUUAUGAUGGCCCUAGUAUUUCCUUUGUUCGGUAUAUGGGCAGUUCUUACAUUUUUAGUGCAUGCAAUCUUGGGAUCCGAGCAUACCUAGAAACGCUCUUGAUUCUCUAAGUACCAUGAGCCUUGUUGUGUCUUUGGCAUUUUGUUCUCCGAAGUUCCUGGGUUCAACACCUUGACCAUUGCGGUUGAAAAUCUAACAAUUGCCUUUAGGCUUGUGCUCUCAGAUAUCUAAAGAUAUUAAUCCCAUGAAUUUGCGGUUGCGCCAUACACAAGUAUGCUCAUAGAAGCCAUGCACUCCUGGAGACCAAAAAACUGUAUCUUCAACAACUUGAAGUAAACAUCAUAACACCCGACACCUUGCAUGAUAUGCAAGAACAAUGGUCGUUGUAUCCGGAACCAACAUAAAAUAAGUGUUAGAAUAGCGCAUCAGGGGCAAAUUAGUCCUCCAGAACAUGCCCAUGUGCGCAAUGUCGGUUCAACGCUUGAUGUCCCAACGUUGAACUCUUGAAGUUGAGAACAUGCUCAUCCACACGGUUUGUUACUUUAAUAAUUGCCAUCAUGUCCGGUCCAUAGCCAUCUUCCUCAUACGAUGAAGGCAAAUCCAUGAAUUCAACUUAGAAGUACUCCUCUUCAUAAUCCAUUGUGUUUGCGUCACAGGAAAAAAAGACAAUGCCUAGAAAUUUCGCUACGGCAUUUGACCAACCAGUUGCCAUGCACGGCCUCAUCCAUGGAUGCCGUCAACUGGAGUGUAGGGUACGUGGGCUAUGAAUGAAUCUGCCGGAGUGUGGCGGUGGCAUAGAACUAGGCGAGUAGACGCAUGGAUGGAGCGGUAGAGGUCUGUUAAUGCCUGGUCAGUAGUGGGAAUGGGGGUACUGGGGCAUCGUUGUUCUCAAGGAGCCGAUGAGGAGGGCAGGAUUGUGAAAAUAUGCAGGCUCUGGAUGAGGUCUGGGGUAGGUUCGGUGUGUCGGAGUCCGCUGUGGCGGAAGUAUGGACUCCCCCAAAGCUCACUCGAUCUGGGUCGGUCUGUGGGAUUUCGAACCCCCGGACCGAUUCGUUCCAAUUUGGUUGUCCACGGUUGAUGCCUAAAAGUGUCCAAACAACCCGGUUCAAACAUUUGCGAGCGUUUGUAGUCUAAAGCUAAGCUCAUGCUUCAUAGGAUAGCGUUUGUUUUCUGUUUAAGUAAGUGCUUGCAUGCGGUCAAUGUGACACACCCAUGCAGCUAGAUAGUGGGACGGUGCGCCAUGCGAGCACAAGUUAUUUCUCAAAACAAGAGAAUUUUAGCAUUUGAGGUAGGAAGGACAAGGAGAAGAUGGACCGUGUGGCCUAGCAUUGUAGUCGUUGUUUCCUAGCCCAAUCUGAUGUACCUAAAGGCGAAGGCCUAGUGCCCCAGCUGGCACUAGUGCCAUACAACUGACACAUUUUCUAUAAAAACUGUAUCAACCAAGUUCUCAUUGGGGUACUACUUCUCCAUCAGUAGUCGUGCCACAAGACUAUCCAGAUUCUGGAUUAAUCUCCAUGCUUGCUUGGCUAGAAGAGCCCGAUUAUAAGUUCUCAUGUCUCUAAAACCCAUGCCUCCCAUAGAUUUGGAAGGAUCUUCUUGUCCAAAGCGAGCUAGGCCAUCUUUCUUUUAACCUUCCCGACUUCCCACAUGUAGAAUCUUAGCCCGCACACAACACUGCUAACAAUGGAGACCAAUGCAACACGUUGGUGUCAUUGUGACUUGUGAGACCCUGGCAUGCCAAACAAAGAUUGUCAAAUCCCAAAAUCUUCUGAUGCAAAUGCUUCAAUAAUGACGGUGGGAGUUUUAUUAUGGCCCUAGUAUUUCCUUUGUUGAGUACACGAGUAGUUCUUCCAUUUUGUGUGCAUGCAAUCUUUGUCUCCAGAAGUGUUAGAAUAACACAUCAGGGGCAAAGUAGUCCUCGUACAGAUAAACAUGCCCAUGUGACUACCAUCGAUUCAACGCUUGAUGUCCAAACAUGAAGUUGACAACAUGCUCCUCCGCACGCUUUAUUUCUUCAAGAAUCGCCAUCAUCGCCUCCAUUUGAUACCCAUCUUCCUCAUCUAACGAAGGCAAAUCCAUGAAUUCAACCUAGAAGUACUCCUCGUCAGAAUCCAUUGUGUUUGUGUCAAAGCAAAAAACAACAACACCAAGAAAUUUCGCUAUGGCAUUUGACCGACCAGUUGUCGUGCACUGCCUCCGCAAUGGAUGUCGUCGACAGGGGCGGAGGGUACAUGGGCUAUGGCCAAAUCCAGCGGAUUGCAGUAGCGGCAUAGGCCUAGGCGAGCAGACGCAUGUGUAGAGCGGCAGAGGUCUGUCAAGGCAUGGUCAGUGUCAGUUGGGAAUAUGCAGGCUCUGGGUGAGGUUCAGGGUGUUGGAGUCCGCGGUGGCGGGAGUCUGGACUCCCCAACUCCCUCGAUUUGGGGCAUGUAUGUGGGAUUUCAAACACCCGGACCGACCCGUUCCAAUUUGGUGGUCUGUGGUUGGUGUCUAAAAGUCUCCGAACAUUUGCGACCGUUUUGGUGUCCGCGUUGAAGAUGCCCUUACGAGUAGAACAUGCAUCAUCUCAAAGAGAGUCAUGAAACCAAGUUUCAAAGAAAACAUCGUGGAAACCAUGUUUGGAAGUUUCAAAAAAAUCUGGAAAAAUGGGAUAUUAAGAGGGUGUUGUUCUAUUGACAUGCGAAAUUCCAAGUUCAAACACAUUACCAUUUAUGAGCUAUAAAAAGAACACAUUCAGAUAUUAAUCUUGAUGUUUACUGUUUGGCAAUAUUCAAUGUUGAUUUUGUUUUUCUUCUGUACCUCAUAAACUGCAAUGUGUUUGAACUUGGGAAUUUCACAUGCUAAUAGAACAUCACCCUACUAUAUCGCUUGGUUUUUUAAGAAUUUUUUUGAGACUUUAAUACAUAGUUUCCGCAUGGUUUUCAUUGGUUUCCACCCGAACUUUGUUUUCAUGUGAUAGUCUAUCCUUCUUCAAAAGAAAAAUAAAAGGUAGAAGCUGCCACGCAUGCACAGCCCGGAGAUACAACCACAUUGUUAGACAACUUCAACAUACUUUUAUUCCACGUACAUAUGCAUGCACAUAUAUAUGCAUGGCUGGGACAGUAUUAAUUUUAACCACACAACACCGCACACUUAUACGAUUACCUAGUGAACACUGUUGCAUGCAUGCAUGCCUGCAGGAAACUCUAGCAUGAAACAUGCACGAGACUGAGAUAUAAGAUGAACUGGAACGCAAACUUGCAAAGAGCACAGAUGAUCGAUCAGCGCCGGCAGGUGUAGUUUGAUUCGCAUGGAAUCUUGCACUGGUUGAGGAGGGCGACGACGUCGACGUGGAUCAGCCCGUGGAGGACGACCACGUCACAGAGGCACGCGGCAGCGCCCAGGCCGGCCAACUCGCCCAGCAGCUGGCAGCACGGUUCAUACGGCGACACGCCGAGGCUGACAAUCGGCACGCUCAGCAGGCUCAAGCACACGCCCAGAUCCGGGCACGAGCCACCGCUGGUUGAUGGUGGUGGCGGUGACGGCGGCGGUGGGGGCGGCGGGCAUGACGGAGGUGGUGGUGACGGCGGUGGGGUCUGGCAGUUGUAUCCGCCGCAACCGUGCACGAUGGAGACCGUCAGUGCCAUGGCAAGGAGGAGGAGGACGAGCUUGCACGAGGGCGUCAUUGCGAGAGCUUUGAUUGAGGGGAAGCUAGUGAGACGUGUAUGUGAUUGUGGUGCUGUAUAUGUCUUUGGGUUGUUGUGGGGUGGUAUUUAUAGCCGGAUUGUACAUGAUGCAAGAGGGUGUGUUACGAUCGAAUUUGACUCUAGCCAACUUAAACCACAAAGCACGUACGUGUACCCUCAUGGAUCGAUGCUCUGACCCUAGGUACCUUUUUUUACAACAGGCCACGCUGCUUAAGUACAGGUGCCCUCAUGGCCGGCACUAGCUCUCAUUAUUGUGAACAUACAGUACAGCUGUACACGCAUGCAUGUGCAGAGCGAGCGAUAAGCUAAAGCGGGGCCAAGUCAACUAUAUGCUCCAUAGCAUAGCUUUGGCUCCUCUCCUCAUACGUGGCACAAAAUUGGUAGUAGCCUCCCCCGGAUAGGAUUCUAACAAUCCGGGACUAGCUACUAUAGAUGUGAUUUGGUAUAAUUUGAUUUGGAUUUUCCUUGAUCGAUGCACACAGGUGGACUAAUUAGGUAGGUACGCAUGUAGCGAACCAACCUAUGGGCUAUGGUUAGAUGGUUAGAGAGACUGUGAUAUACCCAGCCCACCAGGUUUAAAUCUUGGUGCUCGCAUUUAUUCCUACGAUGACUUCGUAAAUUUCAAGAUGAUAAGCCGGCAUCUGCUUAGUCUUUCGGAGGUGCUCAUAGGGGUAGGAUGUGCGUGCAGGGGCGGACGCACGUUAAAAACCGUGGGGGCAGAUGCUCCCACUCGAUUUUGACAUACGCUUUAUAUACUGGUCCUGCCUAUGUGAGUGUGCCCCCGCUUGGCCCAAUACAUUUACCCCCACUCAGCCCAGUUAUUUUUUUAUUUUCAAAGCUACAUUACGCCAAAUUUGUAAAUGCAGCCCAUCAUCAAAGAACUAGCAGACUUAAGAGAUACUAGGCUACACCCAAUAUUUUAAUCGUUAUGUCUCGACCAUUUCGAGACUCCUCGUCACGUCUGUGAUCUCAUCCAGGACUCCGAACAAACUUCGGUACAUUAAAACACAUAAACUCAUAAUACUGAUCGUCAUCAAACGUUAAGCGUGCGGACACUACGGGUUCGAGAACUAUGUAGACAUGAUCGAGACUCACUUCCGGUCAAUAACCAAUAGCGGAACUUGGAUGCUCAUAUUAGUUCCUCAUAUUCUACGAAGAUCUUUAUCGGUCAAACCGCAUAACAAUAUACGCUGUUCCCUUUGUCAUCGGUAUGUUACUUGCCUGAGAUUUGAUCGUUGGUAUCUCAAUACCUAGUUCAAUCUCAUUACCGGCAAGUCUCUUUACUCGUUUCGUAAUACUUCAUCCCGCAACUAACUCAUUAGUUAUGAUGCUUGCAAGGCUUAUAGUGAUGAGUAUUACCAAGAGGGCCCAGAGAUACCUCUCCGAAACACGGAGUGAUAAAUCCUAAUCUUGAUCUAUGCCAACCCAACAAACACCUUCGGAGACACCUGUAGAGCACCUUUAUAAUCACCCAUUUACGUUGUGACGGUUGGUAGCGCACAAAAUGUUCUUCCGGUAUUCGGGAGUUGUGUAAUCUCAUAGUCUGAGGAACUUCUAUAAGUCAUGAAGAAAGUAGUAGCAAUGAAACUGAAACGAUCAUAAUGCUAAACUAACAGAUGGGUCAUGUCCAUCACAUCAUUAUCCCGUUCAUCAAAUGACAACACAUGUCUAUGGUUAGGAAACAUAACCAUCUUUGAUUAACGAGCUAGUCAAGUAGAGGCAUACUAGCACUACAAGAAAUAUGUCAACUUGCGACCUUGACUAUUGGUCACUAAAUGGUCAUUAUUUUCCAUUUGUGACCUUUUUGUGGCCAAAAACAGAUGGUCAAAAGCUGGCGGUCGUAAACUGAAAUUAACGACCUUCUCUAUGAGAAGGUCGUAGAUAUUUACGACCAAAAUAUGCCUACUGUUUUGUUUUGGUCACUAGCAACCUCCACAGGCCACGUAGGCAUCCAACAUGGUAAGCUGAUGUGGCACAAGAAUCAGCCCGGUCCAUUUCGGUGCUUUAGAUGGGCCGAGCCCAUUAAUUCAUCCUUUUUAAUAUAUAUUUUCUGUUAAUUUUCGCUAGCUACAUGGGCUUGGGCCAUUGAUUCGGCCUUUUUUGCUUUCUGAGAUACGACCUUUUCACAUUCUAUAUAAUUUUGGUUUUCGGGUUUUCUUUUUUUGUUUUGUUACAUUCAAUAUUCAGAUUAUUGUACUCAACUGGGUUUUCGAUUCAGGUUUUAAAUUUUCACAACUUGUAACUCAAUGAUAUACCAAGCAGAGAACGCAUUAAAAAUAUAUUCAAAUAACAACCAAAUCACCGAUAUACCAAACAAGUUUAUUACAUUCCACCAAUCACAAUAUAACCAUACAAUAUUACACCAAUCACAGUAUAGCACUCUAUAGAUAAAACGCUCAACAAGUACACGCACAUCUCCAACAGCUUAGCGCCUUGAACCUGCAAAACAUCACAUCGAACCACAUAUUAACGAUCAAAUCAAUUCACCCCUUGACGGCAAUAAAAAACUGUGCUCAUGUAUGAACGAAAAUAAAAUAAACAAUCUUUGAGGCCAUAGCAUGUGCUACAAAAAUCUUAACAAAUGCAUAGAUAUCCACACGGAGCACAUCCUACAUGCACCCAGCAUCAGGCAUAUGUUCAAGAAGAUAAGUAAUUUGAGAUGGAAACAAGUACAUCUAACAAUCUAACAUGUGUAGUAGCACCAACAAAAAGAGCGAGACAUGGAAGAAUUUACAAGAACAGUAACCUGGGAGUCCAAUUACAUGUACAUGAGCUACUGCUGCUAGUGUAUAUAGAACCAAUCAAGCUGCUGGUGUAGGAGCAGAGCAUGAGUCCAACAGAGCCACAUAGGAGCAAACAACAGAGCCACAUAGGAGCAAACAACAGAUUAAGCACUGCUCCUAACCAACUUAGCAAAUCCAGAGCAACCCCAUACCACCAGAGCAUCACAGGAGCACAUAUAUAAAUCAAGUACACAUGGGCAGCUACUGACAGACCCUAGAACCGCAUGAAUUUAUCACCAGAGAGCUCCAGUAGGAGUUGAUGCUUGGUUACAACAUCUAGCAGCAACUAGCAGAGCCCCACAUCCAACCCAAAUCAUGGCCAAGGCCAUGCAUGAGCUAUAUCAGAGAAGAAGGAACGGGGAGGAGCUCACCAAAGGAAGGUUGUAGCCAUAGCAGAGGCUCAACCACACCACGGCUGUGGUGCGACCAUCACCACAUCGAGGAGAGGGUUUGGAAGCCGCCGAAGCACCACCGCGGCGACCAGGGAAAGCGCUGGGCAUAGUGGCGCCACCCCAGGGACAUCACCGCACGGACAUCACCGGCCUCGCCCUGUUUCAAGACUCGAUCAAUUCUGAAGAAACCACUUCGUCGUCAGACACAUACAUACAUACAAGAUGCAAAAGAAGAAGAAACAUAGCAGGGACCUGGUCGAUCAUGAGAUAGUGUUCAUAUCAUUAGGAAGAAAUAGGCCAUUGUAUAGCUCUCAUAAACAGAUCUGCUACUAUGCACAACACAAGCACCCACUUGCACUUGGUAUAUUUCUGUAUCUAGGACACCCAACACUCACAACACUUGGGCUAGUCUAAUGUAUAGACUUGUUUGCAAUAGGAGCCAAUGGAACUGAAACACAAGUAGCACAUGAACAAACAGCGAAAGAAAUAGAAGGACGACCUUGUGUGGUGGCCGGGGUGGACGAGGGUGUCCUCCUAGUCAGCUCAGGCGUCCUCCUGCACCAAAUCAAACAGAAAAAUCUUGAAGCAUGUCGAAUAACUAAACGUACGUGUAUAUAUAUAUAAUAUAGAAGCAAUAGAAGCACAUAUAUAUCCUAUUUCUUCCACAAAGUGUGUAUAUAGAUAGGUCAGAUUUUUGAAUGCAUUGUUGUUGUAAAAAACAAAUAUGUUGUUGAGGAAUUUGACUAGAUUUUAGAUAUGUUAAGCAGAGGCAAGAUUUUAGAUAUGUUAAGCAGAGGCAAGAUAUGCUCCAGCAGCCUGACCACUGAUGUCAGUUAGUUUCAGCAAACAUCAAAUUUUUUGCUUGCUUGGUUUUAUUAUCAUCAGCCUGCAACUCUGCAUUAAGGCUUUCCUUUUGUUUUUGGUGUUGUUUGCUAUGUCAGGUUGAAAUGAAGAUGGCAACCAGACCAACUUAAAACCAACUAUAUACAUGGUGUUAUUUCAAGUGUAAGCAGACUGAAAAUCUGACAUUGUUCGUCAUCACACCGUAUUGUGCUGCAAGUAAACUGUGUGUCUAGUUCUUGUGAAGUGUGUUAAUGUUGCUCCUACCUGACUAGCUCCUAGAGCUUUGGAUUCACAUGAUGCGUUGUGUACUCGCCGUGAAAAGAUCAGUGCAUGAUUAUUGAUCAACAUAACAACUCUAUGUACUCCCUCUGAUCCGAAUUAUGUUGUAGUAGUUGCGUCAAUUAUUUCAGAUAGGAGGGAGUAACAGUUCUUUUUGAAAAGAAAAGAAAAACCUAUGCAACAGUUGUUGUGAUGUCCUGUGAGCUCUGCUCUGAACAAGUAACCAUCAACAGACUGCAGAACCUGUGUGACAGGGAUCGCGCAUCUCACAAUCCGGCACCAGUUACUAACUACCAGCAUCAGCAGAAAACCAAUAGCUGCACGUGUAACUCGCUGCCCUCACGGGCAAAAGCACGAACAAAUUCGGAGCGCGGAAAGGCUCAUGCGUUUCUGCACGGGAAAAUCGGCCGGAGAAAGGUACUGCUUUAUGGUUGGGUAGCGAGGAGGGGAGGGGGCGAGGCACUCACGCAGUGGUCGCGAUAGAGACCCACUGCGUCGUGGGCGGGGUGAGGUACGCCGACGCGCUGUAGACGAUGCCGCUUCCCUGGCUCCGGCACGGCCGCGCCGCGCCCGUUCCUAGGGGCCGCGGCCUCAGCCGCAGAGCGGCGCAUCCCCUGGAUACACAUAGAUGUUAGAUCACCCACCGGCGCGGUGGGUAAGCGAAUCACACGGACGGAAGGAGAGCGCGCGCUGAAGGAACCCGGCAAGCAGCCUCACCUGAGCGCGGCCGUCCGCGGGGCGGGGGAGUAGCCCGCAUUCCGGGCGGGCCGGGCCGCCCGCAGCGGCACGGAGCAGGGCGUCGUGGUGGGGAUCGCGAGGCGCAGUGAGAUGGACAUGGUCGCGGUCCCUCUCUCUCUCGGCCGACCGGGUUCGUCGGAGCUGGAAGCCUCGCUGGUGGAUGAUUGGCACUAGCCUCACCGAAGAUGGCAACCACAGAUGAGGGAGGUUUGGGUGCAGCGUGACGGAAGGAGGGUGCCGCCACCGGUGACGGGAGGGAUGAGGUCGGCGGCGGUGGGUGAGGAGGACGACGAGGUCGGCGGUGGGGAGAGGACUGGAUCGGGAGGNNNNNNNNNNNNNNNNNNNNNNNNNNNNNNNNNNNNNNNNNNNNNNNNNNNNNNNNNNNNNNNNNNNNNNNNNNNNNNNNNNNNNNNNNNNNNNNNNNNNNNNNNNNNNNNNNNNNNNNNNNNNNNNNNNNNNNNNNNNNNNNNNNNNNNNNNNNNNNNNNNNNNNNNNNNNNNNNNNNNNNNNNNNNNNNNNNNNNNNNNNNNNNNNNNNNNNNNNNNNNNNNNNNNNNNNNNNNNNNNNNNNNNNNNNNNNNNNNNNNNNNNNNNNNNNNNNNNNNNNNNNNNNNNNNNNNNNNNNNNNNNNNNNNGGGAGGGGGCCGGGGGCGGGGAGGAGGUGGCGGCGGCGCGAGGAGAUGGGGACGACGGAGGAGGGGUGCGAUGGGAUCUAACCGGAAGAGACUGGGUGGUGGAAGGGAGGGGCAAUGGAGGAGGAAUCUAGAUCGGGAAGGGGGAGGCGGCGAGGAGAUGGGGACGAGGGAGGAAGGGGGCGACGGGGGUAGGGGUCGAUCUAAGCUAGGGUUUGGGCUACGGGUGGGGGGUAUCUCCUUUUUUUUCUGUAGAUGAAUGGAUGGAUGUGGGAUGGAGAGAUGGAUGGAUGGAUGGAUGGACGCCAUGUCAUCGAUCCUUGGACAGAGUUAUGAUUGGUUCAGAAAAUCAGUGAUGUAAAAUAGUUUUCAAAUACUACAAAUAGAGGGAUUUUAUUAAGUAUCUAUCAAAAAUAUUUUUCAAAAGGGCACCACACAAACUUUCACUAGAGUUAGACCACAUUUUAUGGAUUAGAACCAAUUUGUAUGCAUUUUUCAUAUUUCUAGCUAUUUUUAAUCAUUUUCCGAGUGGCAAAAAUAUUUUUUUUGAAGAACCUACCAAAUAAUUGUUGCAAAAUUGCACCAAAUAAAUUUUCUAAAAUAUUAGGCCAUAUUUAAUACAUAAUUGACCAAAUGGUUGGAUGUCAAAAGUUUUUAUCCACCUCUCGUGAAAAAGACAAAUUUCUGCCGGUUCAGUUGGAAGCGGGUCAAAUUUGAACUGCAGCUGCCUCAUAGUUUGCUCUUUAUUUUUUUCAAAAAAUCAUUUUUAGGUACAAAAUUAUCUAUCUAAUCAUAGAAACACCAAAAAAAUUCCAAGAUUCAACCACUAGCUAGGAACGGUCACUCUCGUCGUUUUGGCCGCAUUUUGAAACGAGCAUAAAAAAUUCAAAAAAAAUCAAAAAAUUGGAAAACCUUCGCAUUAUUUCAUCAUGUGUGGCCAAGUUACUGGCAAAAAUUAUAAACUUGUAAUACGGCAAUUAUUUUAUAAAAGUGUUCUCAGAAAUGAGCUAUCAUGCAUGAAGAUUCAUGGCUUUCAAGCCAAAUGAUCAAUCUUAUGGCCACAUUCAUGGCAUAGUUUGUUAAAAUGAUCUCAUAUUGUGCAAAAGGGUGAAUAUUGGAAUUCCAAACAAUGUUGCCUAAGAGAGUUUUCAUUUUCUUUGCACGGAAAAUUCAUUUUCCAUUUUUCGAGUGCCCGAAAUGAGGUUUUUUUGUGAAGUACCUACCAAAUAAUUAUUACAAAAUUGCACCAAAUCAAUUUUCUAAAAUACUAGAACAUAUUUAAUGCACAAUUGACUAAAUGGUCGGGUGUAAAAAGUUUUGAUCCACCUCUGGUGAAAAAGACAAAUUUCCGCCGAUUCAGUAGGAAGCGGGUCAAAUUUGAACUGUAGCUGCCUUAUAGUUUGCUCUUUAUUUUUUCCAAAAAUCAUUUCUAGGUACAUAGGUAUCUAAUUAAUCAGAUAAGCACCAAAAAAAUUCCAAGAUUCAACCACUAGCUAGGAACGGUCAUUCCCGCCGUUUUGACCGCAUUUUGAAACGGGCAUAAAAACUUCAAUAAAAACCAAAAAAUUGGAAAACCUUCGCAUUGUGUCAUCAUAUGUGGCCAAGUUCCCAGCAAAAACAAUAAACUUGUAAUACGGCAAUUCUUUUAAAAAAGUGUUCUCAGAAAUGAGCUAUCAUGCGUGAAGAUUCAUGGCUAUCAAGCCAAAUGAUCAAUCUUAUGGCCAUAUUCAUGGCAUAGUUUGUUCAAAUGACCUCAUAUCAUGCAAAAGGGUGAAACUUGGAAUGAAAAACAAUGUUGCCUAAGAAAGUUUUCAUUUUCUUUGCACGAAAAAUUCAUUUUCCAUUUUUCCGAGUGCCCAAUAUGAGUUUUUUUGUGAAGGACCUACCAUAUAUUUGUUGCAAAAUUGGACCUAAUCAAUUUUAUUAAAUACUAGGACAUAUAUAAUGCACAAUUGACUAAAUGGUUGGGUGUCAAAAGUUUUGAUCCACCUCUGGUGAAAAAGACAAAUUGCCGCUGAUUCAGUAGGAAGCGGGUCAAAUUUGAACUGCAACCGCCUUAUAUUUUGCUCUUUAUUUUUUCCAAAAAUUAUUUCUAGAUACAUAGGUAUCUAUUUAAUCAGAUAAACACCAAAAAAAUUCCAAGAUUCAACCACUAGCUAGGAAAGGUCAUUCCCGUCGUUUUGACCGCAUUUUGAAACGGGCAUAAAAAAUUCAAAAAAAAAAUCAAAAAAUUGGAAACCUUCGCAUUGUGUCAUUAUAUGUGGCCAGGUUCCCUGCAAAAAUAAUAAACUUGUAAUACGGCAAUUGUUUUAAAAAAGUGUUCUCAGAAAUGAGCUAUCAUGCGUGAAGAUUCAUGGCUAUCAAGCAAAAUGAUCAAUCUUAUGGCCACAUUCAUGGCAUAGUUUGUUCAAAUGACCUCAUAUCGUGCACAAGGGUGCAUCUUGGAAUGACAAACAAUGUUGCCUAAGGAAGUUUUCGUUUUCUUUGCACGAGAAAUUCAUUUUCUAUUUUUCCGAGUGCCCAAAAUGAGUUUUUUUGUGAAGGACCUACCAUAUAUUUGUUGCAAAAUUGGACCUAAUCAAUUUUAUAAAAUACUUGGCCAUUUAUAAUGCAAAAUUGACAAAAUGGUUGGGUGUCAAAAGUUUUGAUCCACCUCUGGUGAAAAAGAUAAAUUCCCGCCGAUUCAGUAGGAAGCGUGUCAAAUUUGAACUGUAGCUGCCUCAUAGUUUCCUAUUUAUUUAUUCCAAAAAUCGUUUCUAGUUACAUAAGUACCUAUUUAAUCAUAAAUACAUGGUUUGGUGGCGAUACAUCGAGGUUUGGACGGUGGCCGAGGGCUCCAACUCUAAAGCGCGUAAACUAGCAUGCCCGCCGCGUGGUCACCGCGUGACCAUGGCGUUGCGAUGUGUUCUGGGCGGCCUAGGCAUGUCUACUGGGUUGGGCACUCCCCAGGUAGGUGCUAGGAAUAAAAUCAGAACAUAAGAUUCUCACGAGGAGACCGAUCGAUGCUCAAACAUAAAUAAGCAGCCAAGUGUUUGAUUAGCGGUACAGGAAAUGCACAUGGCUAAUGUGCGUGAGCUUUGGCUGAGGAUGAUCAGUUACUAAGAAGACCGUCUUCACAAAUUUUCAGCUCAAAAGGAGGACCCUAGGUGGUACUUGCUUUGCAAAGUACCACACUGGACAUAAAUACGAAUGUUGAAGUUGGGCUCAAAAUAAUGAAUGGAUUGAGCUGACAUUUGGUGCAGGAUGGUUAUUUGGGCAUAGGAAAGCACUGUAGAAAAUGGAUACCAUUUGGACAUGCCAAAGUGGUACUUCCUUCACAAAUGUUUUUUUGAACAGAAUUGGAAAAUGAAUAUUUUUGAAUUAUUUUUGAACUAGGCAAGGAAGUUUUUUUUACAUAUUUGAUGAAGAUAUGACACAAAUAAUUUAUGAGAUUUUUUUGGGAAUUUUGGGAAUGAUAGAAAUAUAGGUUGCUUCACAACCUAGGGCAAAAACUGCCACAUGGACAUGACACAUAGGCAAAACUGAUGAGGUGGCGCCUAGUCAUAGCAACCCACCACAAUUUACAAGGUUAUGACCAUCUAUAUUGGUCAUGAUCAGCUAGAAAUAAGGCAGCGGGCCAGUGCUAUCUGCUUUAUGACCAUUUCGUGUAAGGAAAUUACGACCUUUCUGACCAAAAUAGUCGUUAUAGUUUAGGGUUUGGAGCCCCCCGAACAGCUUUUGACCAAUUGGUUUGAAAUGGUCAUAGAUCUAUGACUAAUUCUUCUAGGGUCGCUGACAGAAGGUCACUAGUUGACAUAUUUCUUGUAGUGUAGGGACACUAUGUUUUGUCUAUGUAUUCAUACAUGUACUAAGUUUCCAGUUAAUACAAUUCUAGCAUGAAUAAUAAACAUUUAUCAUGAAAUAAUGAAAUAAAUAAUAACUUUAUUAUUGCCUCUAGAGCAUAUUUCUUUCAGAUGCUUGCUUUUGGAUUUCUUCUGCUUCUUCUUCUUCUUUGAUCAAGGGAUAGGUUCCGGGUUGGGAUCCUCAGAUUAGUAGGGUGGAAGUCGUUCUUCUUUUCCGUUUGAUUUUAUCCGUAGUCGGAUCCUUCUCUUCUGUAUGAUGAUUUCUAUGUAUACAUGUAUUCAUGUAUUUAUGUAGUAGUUUGUGGCGAGUGUAAGCAUGUAUCUCGUAUUCUCAUCUAUUCAGUACAUGGUAUGUUAUAAUUAUAUCCACCUUGCUAUGCGCUCGAAAUGCGGUUGUGCACCAAUCACGAGUUCAUCACGUGAUCGGGAUAGAAUCGCAUCUUGGGCGCUACACAGCCGUAGGGGUAAAUUCUAAAACCCUCAAUACCCUAGCCAGCUGCUAGCUAUAAUUAGCUACAAAAAUUGCUGGCGGCGUCGACUAACUACUGAUUCCCUUGCUAGCUAGUUACCCACGCAUACCGGCAUACGCCCACCGGCUGGCGACAGGGUGGAGUUGGGCUACGGCGGAAUCAAGGCUAAAGGAACGAUGGUUGGUUUGCCGGUCGACAGCCAUGCCACCGCCUCUCCCGACGACGGCCAGGGGAAGAAGGAAACGUGGUACAAGCAAGCUGCCAAGUUAGCCCGGGCCAUCCUAAAAGAGGACAGGCAUCGCCAGUGGGCGAUACUACUGGCUCGGCACAGAGUGCAGCGGAUAGUGCGGGAAAUGGAGCAAGAACCACGACGACGCAAGGACAACUGCAGCAGUGUUGGCCACCGCACAAGGUGCAGGUUUAUGUCACUGAUGGAGGAGGGCGCAGCGCCGGACGUCGCCAUGGCAUGCCUGGGAGCCGUGACGGCAGCCCUGACGGGAGCCAACGUCAUCUCGCCGGACGUCGCCGGGGUAGACCCGGCGGUCGCGGUAGCCCUGGUGAACGCUGCGUUGGAGGCAGUACCGGCGAUCCCCGAUGUGGAGGCUGCCCCAGCCUCGAUCGAUCAAGGUGUGUAGGUUAUCUACUUGACGGCCUCCGCUCCUCCUGGGCCCAGGAUCGACACGCUGAUGGACGAUGGUAGCUGUGCGUGUUGGGUCGGUGUCAGGUGCACACUAGCUCUUUUGUACAUCUGCGGUUUGUUAUAUUCUUGUAAAUUAGCGAGCUAAUGGUUUGUAAAUUACUCGCUGAACUACAUACUGGACCAAUAAUUCGAGCAUGUCAAAUAUGUCAACUGUAUGGGCUGACCUAUCUGUAUAUUAUUUGAAUUUGCAAUAUGGACAAUAAAUAUAUAAAUGCUAUCUGGACAUCGGUGAUGGUCGCCAUGUCGAAAACAUGGACAUCUCUACUCUACCAGGCACACGCUUAAUAUGAAUGAACUGUGAAUGAUACUAAUACUUCCUAUGAAAAUUUAAGAACUUGGUUAAGAAAAUUUGAGUAACAUAUAUAUAUAUAUAUAGGGGUGAUACUAUUUUGUUUUGUUUUGCAAUUUAUCUUAUUAUGGACCAGAGAUUUAAUCCUUCCAAAUAACAACUGAGGGGAUUGACAACCCCCUUUUUCGCGUUGGGUGCAAGUAUUUGCUUUUAUGUGUGCAUUUGUUGUUCACGAUGCUUUGUGUGAUUCUCCUACUAGAUUGAUAACCUUUGUUCUUAACCGAGAAAAAUAUUUAUCUUUACUGUACUGCUUCAUCCUCUCAUCUUCGAGGAAAUCCCAACACAGCUCACAAGUACUAGUAAGAAUUUCUGGCGCCAUUGCCGGGAUACAUCAUUAAAACCAAUCAAGUACCUUCACACAAACUAUCAUCUGCUUACUCUUAUUUCUAUUUGCCUUUGCUUCUCAAUUUCAUAUCCCCCACUUCUCAUAAAAAAAUACAAAAAAUAUAUUUUCUAUGCUAUUUUUCUCGUUUGCUUGCUUUGUCGCGAUGUCUCAGGAUAAAAUAUUUGAUCCUUAUUAUAAAAGGUUGGCAUAAAUUGAGAACAUCACUAAAAACUUUAUGUUUUCACAAUUUGAGCAUAAUAGACUCUUCAGUGAGGAAUUUAAAGAACAUUCUACCUUGCUGGAUGCUAUUAGUUCACAUCUAUGAUUAUUCUUAUAACUAACUAAUGAUGUGACCUCAAAGUAUAUAAAUCGGUUGGGUCUAUUCAACACAGGUGUUCUUCUAACAAUGUGCCCUCAAUGUGGUCGGCAUGCUCGUUACAUUAGUUAGCCCAUGAUCUGGAAAACAGAAACCAUCAUGCAACACUUGAUCUAGUAUUAGAGGCGAGACUAGGAAUCUAUUUUACCGUUUAUUAUUCCAUACAAGGGAAUGAUUUUUCCUCUCGGCCUCUUGGAUAUACACACUCAAGAACCGUUUCAACUAAAGCAAAAAAUAUAAAAAUUAAUUACGAAUAUGGAAAUAAACAGUAACAAUUAUAAUUGUCUCUAAGGCAAAUUUCCUUCAACAUCGACCCUCCCGAGUUGUCUACCUCUAUACCAUCUGGUGCUGCCUGGGGUUGGAGGACCUCGUGCUGAUGGGUGUCCAUCAAGACCUGAGAGCCACGAGCUGACGGUGGGCUGAGCUGGGUCGCCAGUAGGCCAUUGUCAAGCCGCUCCUCUGCAGGUUGCCGUAAUGGGUAGGGAGCUGACAUGGUGGCAUCACACUUAGCUCGCCUCACACUGCUACCAGUGCUCAUGCGGGCUAUCGCCUGCAAUCCAACAAGUCAAGACCCUAUAAGCUAGCUUAUCUACUAAGGAAACUUGCCAUGCAAGUGCCUUCCUCUGCAAGGUAUUUUUGAGAUAAGCUUUUUGUGGUGAAGUAGCCUGGUGAACAAGGAGUCUAGCAAACUUGUGAAGCAAGAUUACUUAUGGGCUAAGAAAAAGAUUGCUCUAUAUAGCCUCCCUUGGGAGUGUAUUAGACACAACAACACCGCAAAUGUGCGAAGUAGCUCAUUUGAUCUUGUACAAGAAUUCACAAAGUUUAAUGAGAAAGAUCUCCAAGAAUCGCACCCUACAUAUUGUGUUCAUUUUGUGAAGGUUCGGUCAUUUGGGCUUUAUAUAUGAAGCCUGGUGAAAGCUUCGUUUGAAAACAAAAAUUUCCCUCAAUAGUUCGUGUCUCCAGCUAGCCCAUCCUCUCCUUUUGUUCUAUAUACUAAGAGCAUCUACAACCGAACUCGCAAAUACGUAACCCUAAGAGCCCGCGGACGCGCCCAAACGCUACCCCUGACAGCGCCGAUCGGGCCCUCAUAUAUAUUGCUGGACAGCCACACUCCUCAUAUGUAAAGACCCAAAUCCAUGAAAAUCCAUGAAGGUUGGUCAUACAGAUGAAUAGUACACAUAAAGAACAAUUGUUCGUACUGAAAUUAUAUAAUUCAAACAUAAGAAUUAUUUGAAGUGCACAACUCAAACACUAAAAUUCUGGGUUUCCAUUGUAGGUCCACAUAUGCUCCACAACAUUAUUAGGUAGUCGCCCGUGCAUAUUUGAUCUCCAAGAUUCUGAUGCAUCUUCAAAAAAUUCAUAAUAUGGUCUACAUCUUGUUUUAGGUUGUAUCCUUGUUCUCUAUGCUUCGCAAAAUCAUGGGUUCGGGGUUGCCCCUUAACCAUCGUCGUCAACAAUCAUAUUGUACAAAAUAACACAACAUGUCACCAGCUGCCACAAAGUAUCUGAUUUCCACAUAUUGCAGCUCCACAAACAAUACCCCAGUGAGCUUGGAGCACUCCAAAUACCCUCUCUACAUCCUUCCUAGUUGUUUCUUGCAUUGUAACAAAGUGGAUUUGUCUGUUCCCAUGGUGUUGUCCACUGAGGAUAGAUGCCAUCGGCAAGGUCGUAUCCGAUGCCGUAGUCAUGCCCGUUGAUGGUGUAGUUGCACAUCGGCCCAUUGCAAGUGUCCUAGUCACGGAAGAUUGCUAUAGCAUAUUGAUGUUGUUGUGAGAACCAGGUAUGCCAAAGAAAGCACGACUAGUCCACAAGUCCCUUGAUACCACUGCUUCAAAUAUGAUGGUGGUCUCUUUGGUAUGACCCUGGUACAUCCUGCACAAACUCCUGGGGUAGUUAUUCUAUUACCAAUGCAUGCAAUCAACUGAAGCAAGCAUACCGAAAAACUUGUUGCCGCUCCAAUAGACAUCAACCUUUUGGUAUCUUGCACAUUUGGGUCUCUCAUGUACUUUGUUCCAAACAUCAUGGUGAGGGACAAUCUUACAGUGGUCUUAAGGCAUAUGCUCUCCCCCAUCUGGACCAUCUCACCAACGACAUCGGCGGUGAUACCUAAUGUGAAAAUCCUCAGAGCAGUCGUGCAUUUCUGCUUUAGAUAGAACGGGAGUUGUCUGCAAUAAUCUGUGUUGAGCCUGAAGUAGGAAUCACGUGCCUCCAGUCCCUCCACCAUAUGCACAUAUGUAAGUGUCGACGAAAAAUGACUCAAAGAAUGUUGGUUCGGGUUGAAGUGGUCCUUGUAGAGAAGCCGUGAGCCAGUGACCCUAUCCUAGUUAAAACUCCUCUGGCCUUGACCGAACGUUUGAAGUUCAGAAUGUACUCCAUCUCCCUGUCCAUUUCCUCUUGGAUGGUCAUGAUGAUCAUCAUCUUGGUAUCUUCGUUAGACUCCAACAAAUUGAAGAACUCAUUUUGCAUCAGUUAAUCAAGCUCCUUGUGUCCAUACUCCUCACCCUGCGAAGUAUAGAACCCGUUGUUAUGACUAGAAAAGAAUAAAAAAAGAUCGGACAAUUUGUCGAAGAUAUAGAGGGCAAACGCUAGCAGAGGGGCGGCACGGAGAGACGAGGAAAAGGGCUGGUCCGACAACGUCGAAGGGAGGGAGGGAUAUGACGUGACGGCGGACACAUUCGGGCUCCUUGUAUCCAUCCCAGAAAUGGGCUUUAUACGGAGGGUGCCGGUCAGCCCGGACGUAUAGAGCCGGUUUCUGAAGCACAGCCGAGUUGCAAUUUUGACCGGUCACUUGAUUGGAUGUCCGUCCGGACGUGAGUGUGGAAAUAGAUGCUCUGACAGACUAGAUCUACAAAAAUCAUGUUAAAAUAAAGUGCUUGUGGGAUGCACGAUGUGUAACAAAUACUGUUUUUCUUGAUUCUUGUUCCCCGUCGCAUCCCAUCCCAUGUGGCUAAGGCAUGUGGGGUUGUUCUUUCGUUGGCUGGUGCCCCGUAGUGUACUAUUAGAUGGCCCGAAAGAGGUGGGAUCAAUCGUACACACAUCGACUUAGCAACAAACACGCGCACCCUGAAGACGCCCUCCUAAAUCGCUGAUCCAUACGUAGGUAGGUGCGUCUGAUCCAUGGCCACCGCCAAGUCCACGGCAGCUCUGGCAGUACUUGUGCUGGUGGCGUCGCUGGUGUCUGUGGCAGAAGCAUCGGCCUGCCAGGACCUGUUUAAUGGCCGGUGCAGGGGCAUUUCCAGGAGUAUGAGUCGUAUCAGGACUUGCUGCGACCUCGCAGGCAAGACAGACGACACGGACUGCGUGUGCAAGUACAGGGAUCAUUACCCGGAGGCGCUGCAGCCGUUGUUUCGUGCAUCCUGCCCGGCGGGCCGCGGAUGCAAACGGCCUGGAACAUCUUCUGCUUAAUGCAAUGCAGCUCGCCCUUCUGCUUUUGCCUUUCAUUCAGUUUCCUUAGUCUUGUAUUAGAGACGCGCUUUCAUGCUUUUUUUGAUUUGCUUAUCACAUGUGUCACGUGUACGCGCUUCCUUACUCUUGCAUUAGAGGCGUGCACAUUGUCACACUGUUCUUCGAUCAUGAGUUAGCUCUUUCUUAUUUAUUUUAUAUUUACGUGGUCUAUUGUGGCUGGCUUGUGGUGCGUUACACAUUGGUUGGGCUGGCACUUAAUUGUGAUCGUGUUGUUAAUUAUGCUUGCGUUGUUUCCUUCUGUCGGUAUGAUUGACUUGGUGCAAACGGUAUGUGGUAUUACUGGUGAAAGUCUCAUGACUGCCACGUGAUUAUGACGCAACUGCUUCUGGUUGCAUUGCGGGGGCUUCUACCGGAAAACGUCCGACUAACCAUUGUGAAGCUAUGUGCAUUCCUCAAUGCAAUAUCUCAGAAGGUGAUCGAUCCAGAAAUCGUAUCAACGCUAAGGAGUGAUGUGGCGCAAUGUCUUGUCAGUUUCGAGCUGGUGUUCCCACCAUCCUUCUUCAAUAUCAUGACGCACGUCCUAGUUCAUCUAGUCGACGAGAUUGUCAUUCUGGGGCCCGUAUUUCUACACAAUAUGUACCCCUUUGAGAGGUUCAUGGGAGUCCUAAAGAAAUAUGUUUGUAACCGCGCGAAACCAGAAGGAAGCAUCUCCAUGGGCCAUCAAACAGAGGAUGUCAUCGGGUUUUGUGUUGACUUCAUUCCUGGCCUUAAGAAGAUAGGUCUCCCUAAAUCGCGGUAUGAUGGGAGACUGACUGGAAAAGGCACGCUUGGAAGGGACUCAAUAAUAUGUAGGGACGGAUAUUCUUGGUCUCAAGCACACUACACAGUUCUACAGAACUCUACCUUGGUGACCCCGUAUGUCGAUGAACACAAGAAUAGUCUGCGCUCCAAACACCUGGAGCAGUGCGAGGACUGGAUUACAUGUGAGCACAUCAGGACUUUCAGCAGUUGGUUGGAAACACGUCUCAGAGGUGACAGCACUGUUUGUGAUGAGUUGUACUUGUUGUCCAGGGGACCAUCUUCGACUGUAAUGAUUUGGAAAGGAUACGAGAUAAAUGGGAAUACAUUUUACACGAUUGACCAAGAUGAAAAGAGCACCAACCAAAACAGCGGUGUCCGCUUUGAUGCAGCAACCGACAAUGGAAAUGACACAUAUUAUGGUUACAUAGCAGACAUAUGGGAACUUGACUACGGAGUAGAUUUAAGGUCCCUUUGUUUAAGUGCAAGUGGGUCAAUCUGUCAGGAGGCGGGGUACAGGUAGACCCACAGUACGGAAUGACCACAGUGGAUCUGAAAAAUCUUGGGUACACUGACGAACCGUUCGUCCUAGCCAAUGAUGUGGCACAGGUUAUCUAUGUGAAGGACAUGUCUACCAUACCGAGGAAAAGAAAAGAUAAGGAAGCGAAUACAUCAUACAAUGAGCCAAAGCGCCACAUAGUUCUUUCAGGAAAAAGGGACAUUCUGGGAGUGGAGGGCAAGACAGACAUCUUUGAAGAGUAUGAAAAGUUUCAUGAAAUUCCCCCCUUCAAAGUCAAGGCUGACCCAAGCAUCCUGAUAAACGAUGAAGAUUAUCCAUGGUUACGGCGCAAUAAGCAAACGACACAAGCGCAGAAAAAGUGAAGACUUUCUCCCGCAACUAUUAUGAUGAUAACAUGCCAACUUUGUAACAGACGAGUAUGAUACCAUUGUCCGUUUUGUACAUGCACAUGCUAUGCCAACUUUUUCAGAGUUCAUUUGAAAACUAUGAAUUUUAAAACCUCGCCAACCGAAGGGCGCUCACACCGGUUUAUAAAUAAAGCAACAAAGAAAACAAAAAAAGAGUUUCCAAAUUUGAAAACUAAUGGCACUAACAGAAAGUUUAUAAUUUUUCUAAAACUAAAAGCAAAAAGAAUUAAAAAAUAAAGNNNNNNNNNNNNNNNNNNNNNNNNNNNNNNNNNNNNNNNNNNNNNNNNNNNNNNNNNNNNNNNNNNNNNNNNNNNNNNNNNNNNNNNNNNNNNNNNNNNNNNNNNNNNNAAACUAAAAGCAAAUAGAAUUGAAAAAUAAAGCAAAAAACAACAAAAACUAAAUAAUGCAGAAAACAGAACAAAAAACUGAAAAAAAUAAAAAUAGCAACAAUAAGUAUUUUGUUGUAAGUAGAAACAAAAUAAAAUAAAUAAAGCAACAAAGAAAACAAAAAAAGAGUUUUCAGAUUUGAAAACUAACGGCACUAACAGAAAGUUUAUAAUUUUUCUAAAACUAAAAGCAAAAAGAAUUAAAAAAUAAAGCAAAAGACCAAAAGAAAAAUAAACCAAAACCAAAAUAAACUAAAUAAAGCAAGAAAUAAAACAAAAAAACAAAAAAAAUGCCACCUACUGGGCCCCCACGGUCCGAAUACGACUAGAAACCCUAUGGGCCAGGAUUCAGGCCCGUGGAAGGCCCAGUAGGCCCACAGGCACAGAUGGCAGAGUUAGGCCCGAAAGCCUGCUUUAGAGAGGAGCUCGAGAGGGGAGCCGCACCGCAUCUUAUAAACUGGUGCGGCUCCCUCUCAACUAGCGAGGUGGGACUAAACAUUUGGCGCGGGGCAGCACAAGGCCUUUGGUCCCGGUUGGUGGCACCAACCGGGACUAAAGGGGGCCUUUGGUCCCGGUUGGUGGCACCAACCGGGNNNNNNNNNNNNNNNNNNNNNNNNNNNNNNNNNNNNNNNNNNNNNNNNNNNNNNNNNNNNNNNNNNNNNNNNNNNNNNNNNNNNNNNNNNNNNNNNNNNNNNNNNNNNNNNNNNNNNNNNNNNNNNNNNNNNNNNNNNNNNNNNNNNNNNNNNNNNNNNNNNNNNNNNNNNNNNNNNNNNNNNNNNNNNNNNNNNNNNNNNNNNNNNNNNNNNNNNNNNNNNNNNNNNNNNNNNNNNNNNNNNNNNNNNNNNNNNNNNNNNNNNNNNNNNNNNNNNNNNNNNNNNNNNNNNNNNNNNNNNNNNNNNNNNNNNNNNNNNNNNNNNNNNNNNNNNNNNNNNNNNNNNNNNNNNNNNNNNNNNNNNNNNNNNNNNNNNNNNNNNNNNNNNNNNNNNNNNNNNNNNNNNNNNNNNNNNNNNNNNNNNNNNNNNNNNNNNNNNNNNNNNNNNNNNNNNNNNNNNNNNNNNNNNNNNNNNNNNNNNNNNNNNNNNNNNNNNNNNNNNNNNNNNNNNNNNNNNNNNNNNNNNNNNNNNNNNNNNNNNNNNNNNNNNNNNNNNNNNNNNNNNNNNNNNNNNNNNNNNNNNNNNNNNNNNNNNNNNNNNNNNNNNNNNNNNNNNNNNNNNNNNNNNNNNNNNNNNNNNNNNNNNNNNNNNNNNNNNNNNNNNNNNNNNNNNNNNNNNNNNNNNNNNNNNNNNNNNNNNNNNNNNNNNNNNNNNNNNNNNNNNNNNNNNNNNNNNNNNNNNNNNNNNNNNNNNNNNNNNNNNNNNNNNNNNNNNNNNNNNNNNNNNNNNNNNNNNNNNNNNNNNNNNNNNNNNNNNNNNNNNNNNNNNNNNNNNNNNNNNNNNNNNNNNNNNNNNNNNNNNNNNNNNNNNNNNNNNNNNNNNNNNNNNNNNNNNNNNNNNNNNNNNNNNNNNNNNNNNNNNNNNNNNNNNNNNNNNNNNNNNNNNNNNNNNNNNNNNNNNNNNNNNNNNNNNNNNNNNNNNNNNNNNNNNNNNNNNNNNNNNNNNNNNNNNNNNNNNNNNNNNNNNNNNNNNNNNNNNNNNNNNNNNNNNNNNNNNNNNNNNNNNNNNNNNNNNNNNNNNNNNNNNNNNNNNNNNNNNNNNNNNNNNNNNNNNNNNNNNAGAAAAAAGAAGAAAAAGAAGAGGACAAGAAGAAAAGAAUAGAGGAGAAGAAGAAAAAAUAGAAUUUUUUUUCUAUUUUUUCUUCUUCUCCUCUAUUCUUUUCUUCUUCUCCUCUUUUUUUUUCUUCUUUUUCUUCUUCUUCUUUUUCCUUCUUCCUUCUUCCUCUUUUCUUCCUUUUCCUUAUUUUCCUUUCUCGAGGGAUAAGAAGAAAAGAAGAGGAGAAGAAGAAAGAAAGGAAUAGAGGAGAAAGAAGAAACUUUGACACGAGGGGUGGGGGUACCGAUACCCCCUCCCCGAUAACAUUAUUUUCCCAUGUAUAUGUAUGUUGCGUCGUUGUCGAUAUAACGAGGGUGUCGAGGAUCGCCGAGGGGUCGAGGGUCAGGAACUAGGGUAGAGGGUCGAGGGUCGUUAAGGGGUCAAGGGUCGAAGGUUUCAGGGUCGAGGGUUCCUAUAGUGUCAAAGUAUUGAAGAAAUCCAAUAGCUUGUGGGCGUCGAUGCCCACGUCGAUGCCCACGUCACUUGUGGGACAUAGAUGUACUGUUCAAUGCCGACCCCCUCCCGAUAGCUUCAACACGUGGGGGGGGGGGUCGAUAUUACCCCCUCCUAGCUUGAAGCGUUCUCGAGGCCACCCCCUAACCCUUGAAGCGUUGUCGAGGCCACCCCAAACCCUAGAGAAGCAGCGUCGAGAAAGAUUCAAGCGCUAAUUGUUUUCUUUGUAUGGCAGGGCUUGGAGAAAAUUCACCAAAAAAGCUCCGGGACUAUCGAAGAAGCUGCAAUUUAGGCACCCGAAAGUAAGUACUAUAUAAUAGCAUAUUCCAGGCAUCUCCUAGUGAUUCAAGCGCUAGUUUCAUCAAUACCAUUUAGCAUGCGUGCUAAUUAUCAGUUUGAUUGACCUCUAUUUCUUGUAAAGUGGUUGUGGCAGGAACAAGGGAAUGAUUUCUGUGGAUACUACAUUUACGAGUCCAUCCGCCACACGACCUGUGAGCGGGGCUACUCCGACAAACAAUAUGAAGUGCGUAAAUAACAAUAUUCACAAUUUUAUUUUAUUACCAUCAUUUGUGUUGAGUUUCAUUCAUUCAUAUAUAUAUAUAUAUAUAUAUAUAUAUAUGUGUGUGUGUGUGUGUGUGUGUGUGUGUGUAUGUAUUGACCCCCUUCUUAAAAUUAGAUGUUUCGGAUGCGGGAUGAACUCCUAGCACCAGAUCGCAUGCGAGCAAUUCAAGAGGAAUUGGCGGCAUUCUUUCUUGACCACGUGAUCGCUGAAGACGGAGAAUACUAUGUGGACCACGCGUCCGUAUUUUAGGAGAUUAUAUAUUUGUAGAAGAUAAUUAUUGUAUAUAUGUAGCCGGUAGUGUCGGAUAGAUAUACGAGAACUUGUUUGUUCGACCAAUCUCUCGGAGAAGGAGAGGUGGUCGAUAUCACUUCUCUCUGUAUUCAUAUAUGUUCAUGACGAUCUUCUGUUUGCUUACUAGCUAGCUAGCGUGUCUAGCUAGUCCUCUCUAUACGUAUGUAUGUAUGGUACGUAGCGUCGACCAAGCACGGACAAAAGAGAGGACACUUCUCUCUAUUAAUUAGCUAGCUAUAGCACAAUAUAUGAAACACCUAAAUUAACCCCCCAAAACCCCCCCAACCCCCCCCCCCUUUCAAAAAAAAACAANNNNNNNNNNACCCCUUCUUAAAAUUAGAUGUUUCGGAUGCGGGAUGAACUCCUAGCACCAGAUCGCAUGCGAGCAAUUCAAGAGGAAUUGGCGGCAUUCUUUCUUGACCACGUGAUCGCUGAAGACGGAGAAUACUAUGUGGACCACGCGUCCGUAUUUUAGGAGAUUAUAUAUUUGUAAAAGAUAAUUAUUGUAUAUAUGUAGCCGGUAGUGUCGGAUAGAUAUACGAGAACUUGUUUGUUCGACCAAUCUCUCGGAGAAGGAGAGGUGGUCGAUAUCACUUCUCUCUGUAUGCAUAUAUGUUCAUGACGAUCUUCUGUUUGCUUACUAGCUAGCUAGCGUGUCUAGCUAGUCCUCUCUAUAUGUAUGUAUGUAUGGUACGUAGCGUCGACCAAGCACGGACAAAAGAGAGGACACUUCUCUCUAUUAAUUAGCUAGCUAUAGCACAAUAUAUGAAACACCUAAAUUAACCCCCCAAAACCCCCCCCCCUUUCAAAAAAAAACAAAAACCACAGCCACACAAACGCUGACGCGUGGAUGCCUAUUGGUCCCGGUUGGUGCCACCAACCGAGACCAAAGGCCCUCCUGCCUGGGCUCAGGGGACAGGCCACGUGGAGGCCCUUCUGUCCCAGUUCUGGAUUGAACCGGGACUAAAGGGGUCAGGGCAUUAGUACCGACCCUUUAGUCNNNNNNNNNNNNNNNNNNNNNNNNNNNNNNNNNNNNNNACGCUGACGCGUGGAUGCCUAUUGGUCCCGGUUGGUUCCACCAACCGGGACCAAAGGCCCUCCUGCGUGGGCUCAGGGGACAGGCCACGUGGAGGCCCUUCUGUCCCGGUUCUGGAUUGAACCGGGACUAAAGGGGUCAGGGCAUUAGUACCGACCCUUUAGUCCCGAUUCAUGAACUGGGACUAAAGGCCCUCACCAACCGGGACAAUAGGCCCCCUUCUUCUAGUGAUCACAUGCAAUCAAUAUAAGUGAUACGAUAUGGCCAUCAUCAGCUUGUGCUUGUGAUCUCCAUCUCCGAAGCACCGUCGUGAUCACCAUCGUCACCGGCGCGACACCUUGAUCUCCAUCGUAGCAUCGUUGUCAUUACGCCAUCUAUUGCUUCUACGACUAUCGCUGCCGCUUAGAGAUAAAGUAAAGCAAUUACAGGGCGUUUGCAUUUCAUACAAUAAAGCGACAACCAUAUGGCUCCUUCCAGUUGCCGAUAACUUCGGUUACAAAACAUGAUCAUCUCAUACAAUAAAAUAUAGCAUCACGUCUUGACCAUAUCACAUCAUAUAAUUCCCUGCAAAAACAAGUUAGACGUCCUCUACUUUGUUGUUGCAAAUUUUACAUGGCUGCUACGGGCUGAACAAGAACCGUUCUUACCUACGCAUCAAAACCACAACGAUAGUUCGUCAAGUUAGUGUUGUUUUAACCUUCGCAAGGACCAGACGUAGCCACAUUCGGUUCAACUAAAGUUGGAGAAACAGGCACCCGCCAGCCACUUAUGUGCAAAGCACGUCGGUAGAACCAGUCUCGGGUAAGCGUACGCGUAAUGUCGGUCCGGGCCGCUUCAUCCAACAAUACCGCCGAACCAAAGUAUGACAUGCUGGUUAGCAGUAUGACUUGUAUCGCGCAUAACUCACUUGUGUUCUACUCAUGCAUAUGACAUCUACACAUAAAACCUGCCUCGGAUGCCACUGUUGGGUAACGUAGUAAUUUCAAAAAAAUUCCUACGCACACGCAAGAUCAUGGUGAUGCAUAGCAACGAGAGGGGAGAGUGUGUCCACGUACCCUCGUAGACCGAAAGCGGAAGCGUUAUGACAACGCGGUUGAUGUAGUCGUACGUCUUCACGAUCCGAUCGAUCCAAGCACCGAACGUACGGCACCUCCGAGUUCAGCACAUGUUCAGCUUGAUGACGAUCCCUGGACUCCGAUCCAGCAGGAUGUCGGGGAUGAGUUCCGUCAGCACGACGGCGUGGUGACGAUGAUGAUGUUCUACCGACGCAGGGCUUUGCCUAAGCACCGCAACGAUAGGAUCAAGGUGGAAUAUGGUGGGAGGGGGCACCGCACACGGCUAAGGAACGAUCACGAAGAUCAACUUGUGUGUCUAGAGGUGCCCCCUGCCCCCGUAUAUAAAGGAGCCAAUGGGGAGGGGACGGCCGGCCAAAGAGGGCACGCCAAGGAGGAGUCCUACUCCCACCGGGAGUAGGAUUCACACCUUCCAAGUAGUAGGAGUAGGAGUCAAGGAAAGGGGUAAGAGAAGAGAAGGAAGGAGGGGGCGCAGCCCCUCCCCCUAGUCCAAUUCGGACUAGGCCUUGGGGGGCGCCCAGCCUCUCCUCUCUCUUUCCCCUAAAGCCCAAUAAGGCCCAUAUACUCCCGGCGAAUUCCCGUAACUCUCCGGUACUCCAAAAAAUACCCGAAUCACUCGGAACAUUUAUGAACUCCGAAUAUAGUCCUCCAAUAUAUCGAUCUUUACGUCUCGACCAGUUCGAGACUCCUCGUCAUGUCCCCGAUCUCAUCCGGGACUCCGAACUCCUUCGGUACAUCAAAACUCAUAAACUCCUAAUAUAACUGUCAUCGAAACCUUAAGCGUGCGGACCCUAUGGGUUCGAGAACAAUGUAGACAUGACCGAAACACGUUUCCAGUCAAUAACCAAUAGCGGAACCUAGAUGCUCAUAUUGGCUCCCACAUAUCUACGAAGAUCUUUAUCGGUCAAACCGCAUAACAACAUACGUUGUUCCCUUUGUCAUCGGUAUGUUACUUGCCCGAGAUUUGAUCGUCGGUAUCUCAAUACCUAGUUCAAUCUCGUUACCGGCAAGUCUCUUUACUCGUUACGUAAUGCAUCAUUCCGUAACCAACUGAUUGGUCACAUUGCUUGCAAGGCUUAUAGUGAUGUGCAUUACCGAGAGGGCCCAGAGAUACCUCUCAGACAAUCAGAGUGACAAAACCUAAUCUCAAAACACGCCAACUCAACAUCUAUCUUUGGAGACACCUGUAGAGCUCCUUUAUAAUCACCCAAUUACGUUGUGACAUUUGGUAGCACACAAGUGUUCCUCCGGUAAACGGGACUUGCAUAAUCCCAUAGUCAUAGGAACAUGUAUAAGUCAUGAAGAAAGCAGUAGCAACAUACUAAACGAUCAAGUGCGAAGGCUAACGGAAUGGGUCAAGUCAAUCACAUCAUUCUCCUAAUGAUGUGAUCCCGUUAAUCAAAUGACAACUCUUUUGUCCAUGGCUAGGAAACAUAACCAUCUUUGAUAAACGAGCUAGUCUAGUAGAGGCAUACUAGUGACACUAUGUUUGUCUAUGUAUUCACACAUGUAUUAUGUUUCCGGUUAAUACAAUUCUAGCAUGAAUAAUAAACAUUUAUCAUGAUAUAAGGAAACAAAUAAUAACUUUAUUAUUGCCUCUAGGGCAUAUUUCCUUCAUAGACAUGACCUAGAACUAUUUCCGGUCAAUAACCAAUAGCGGAACCUGGAUGCUCAUAUUGGCUCUUACAUAUUCUACGAAGAUCUUUAUCGGUCAAACCGCAUAACAACAUACGAUGUUCCCUUUGUCAUAGGUAUGUUACUUGCCCGAGAUUCGAUCGUCGGUAUCCAAUACCUAGUUCAAUCUCGUUACCGGCAAGUCUCUUUACUCGUUACGUAAUGCAUCAUUCCGUAACCAACUCAUUGGUCACAUUGCUUGCAAGGCUUAUAGUGAUGUACAUUACCGAGAGGGCCCCGAGAUACCUCUCAGACAAUCAGAGUGACAAAACCUAAUCUCGAAAUACGCCAACUCAACAUCUAUCUUUGGAGACACCUGUAGAGCUCCUUUAUAAUCACCCAGUUACGUUGUGACGUUUGGUAGCACACAAAGUGUUCCUCCGGUAAACAGGAGUUGCUUAAUCUCAUAGUUGUAGGAACUUUGUAUAAGUCAUGAAGAAAGCAAUAGCAACAUACUAAACGAUCAAGUGCUAGGCUAACGGAAUGGGUCAAGUCAAUCACAUCAUUCUCCUAAUGAUGUGAUCUCUUUAAUCAAAUGACAACACAUGUCUAUGGUUAGGAAACACAACCAUCUUUGAUUGAUGAGCUAGUCAAGUAGAGGCAUACUAGUGACAUUAAGUUUGUCUAUAUAUUCACACAUGUAUGAUGUUUCCGGUUAAUACAAUUCUAGCAUGAAUAAUAAACAUUUAUCACGAUAUGAGGAAAUAAAUAAUAACUUUAUUAUUGACUCUAGGGCAUAUUUCCUUUAGUCUCUGACUUGCACUAGAGUCAAUAAUCUAGAUUACACAGUAAUGAUUCUAACACCCAUGGAGUCUUGGUGCUGAUCAUUUUUGCUCGUGGAAGAGGCUUAGUCAACGGGUCUGCUACAUUCAGAUCCAUAUGUACCGAAGCGACACCUUCAUCUCCAUCGUAGCAUCGUUGUCGUUACGCCAUCUAUUGCUUCUACGACUAUCGCUACCGCUUAGUGAUAAAGUAAAGCAAUUACAGGGCGUUUGCAUUUCAUACAAUAAAGCGACAACCAUAUGGCUCCUGCCAGUUGCCGAUAACUUCAUUUACAAAACAUGAUCAUCUCAUACAAUAAAAUAUAGCAUCACGUCUUGACCAUAUCACAUCACAACAUGCCCUGCAAAAACAAGUUAGACGUCCUCAACUUUGUUGUUGCAAAUUUUACGUGGCUGCUACGGGCUGAGCAAGAACCGUUCUUACCUACGCAUCAAAACCACAACGAUAGUUCGUCAAGUUAGUGAUGUUUUAACCUUCGCAAGGACCGGGCGUAGCCACACUCGGUUCAACUAAAGUUGGAGAAACAGACACCCGCUAGUCACCUGUGUGCAAAGCACGACGGUAAAACCAGUCUCGCGUAAGCGUACGCGUAAUGUCGGUCCGGGCCGCUUCAUCCAACAAUACCGCUGAACCAAAGAAUGAUAUGUUGGUAAGUAGUAUGACUUGUAUCGCCCACAACUCACUUGUGUUUUACUCGUACAUAUAACAUCAACGCAUAAAACCUGGCUCGGAUGCCACUUUUGGGGAACGUAGUAAUUUCAAAAUUUUCCUACGCACACGCAAAAUCAUGGUGAUGCAUAGCAACGAGAGGGGAGAGUGUUGUCCAUGUACCCUCGUAGACCGUAAGCGGAAGAGUUAUGACAACGCGGUUGAUGUAGUCGUACGUCUUCACGAUCCGACCGAUCCAAGCACCGAACGUACGACACCUCCGAGUUCAGCACACGUGCAGCUCGAUGACGAUCCCCGGACUCCGAUCCAGCAGGGUGUCGGGGAUGAGUUCCGUCAGCACGACGGCGUGGUGACGAUGAUGAUGUUCUACCGAUGCAGGGCUUCGCCUAAGCACCGCAAUGAUAUGACCAAGGUGGAAUAUGGUGGAGGGGGGCACCGCACACGGCUAAGGAACGAUCACGAAGAUCAACUUGUGUGUCUAGAGGUGCCCUCUUGCCCCCGUAUAUAAAGGAGGGAGGGGGAGGUGCGGCUGGCCCCCUAGGGGUGCGCCUAGAGGAGUCCUACUCCCACCGGGACUAGGACUCCCCCCUCUUGCCUUGGUGGAGAAGGAACGAUUACGAUAUCCAAAUAUAGGCUUCCAAUAUAUCAAUCUUUAUGUCUCGACCAUUUCGAGACUCCUCGUCAUGUCCGGGAUCACAUCCGGGACUCCGAACAACCUUCGGUACAUCAAAACAUAUAAACUCAUAAUAAAACUAUCAUCGUAACGUUAAGUGUGCGGACCCUACGGGUUCGAGAACUAUGUAGACAUGACCUAGACCUAUUCUCGGUUAAUAACCAAUAGCGGAACCUGGAUGCUCAUAUUGGCUCCCACAUAUUCUACGAAGAUCUUUAUCGGUCAAACCGCAUAACAACAUACGUUGUUCCCUUUGUCAUUGGCAUGUUACUUGCCCAAGAUUCGAUCAUCGGUAUCUAAUACCUAGUUCAAUCUCGUUACCGGCAAGUCUCUUUACUCGUUACGUAAUGCAUCAUUCCGUAACUAACUCAUUAGCUACAUUGCUUGCAAGGCUUAUAGUUAUGUGCAUUACCGAGAGGGCCCAGAGAUACCUCUCCGUCAAUCGGAGUGACAAAACCUAAUCUCGAAAUACGCCAACCCAACAUGUACCUUUGGAGACACCUGUAGAGCUCCUUUAUAAUCACCCAGUUAUGUUGUGACGUUUGGUAGCACCCAAAGUGUUCCUCCGGUAAACGGGAGUUGCAUAAUCUCAUAGUUACAGGAACAUGUAUAAGUCAUGAAGAAAGCAAUAGCAACAUUCUAAACGAUCAAGUGCUAGGCUAACGGAAUGGGUCAUGUCAAUCACAUCAUUCUCCAAAUGAUGUGCUCGAGUUAAUCAAAUGACAACACAUGUCUAUGGUUAGGAAAUGUAACCAUCUUUGAUUAAUGAGCUAGUCAAGUAGAGGCAUACUAGUGACAUUUAUGUUUGUCUAUGUAUUCACACAUGUAUCAUGUUUCCGGUUAAGACAAUUCUAGCAUGAAUAAUAAACAUUUAUCAUGAUAUGAGGAAAUAAAUAAUAACUUUAUUAUUGCCUCUAGGGCAUUUUUCCUUCAGUCUCCCACUUGCACUAGAGUCAAUAAUCUAGAUUACACAGUAAUGAUUCUAACACCCAUGGAGUCUUGGUGCUGAUCAUGUUUUGCUCGUGGAAGAGGCUUAGUCAACGGGUCCGCAACAUUCAGAUCCAUAUGUAUCUUGCAAAUCUCUAUGUCUCCCACCUGGACUUGGUCCCGGAUGGAAUUGAAGCGUCUCUUGAUGUGCUUGGUCCUUUUGUGAAAUCUGGAUUCCUUCGCCAAGGCAAUUGCACCAGUAUUGUCACAGAAGAUCUUCAUUGGUCCCGAUGCACUAGGUAUGACACCUAGAUCGGAAAUGAACUCUUUCAUCCAGACUCCUUCAUUUGCUGCUCUGAAGCAGCUAUGUACUCUGCUUCACAUGUAGAUCCUGCCACGACGCUUUGUUUAGAACUGCACCAACUUACAGCUCCACCGUUUAAAAAAAACACGUAUCCGGUUUGCGAUUUAGAAUCGUCCGGAUCAGUGUCAAAGCUUGCAUCGACGUAACCAUUUACGACUAGCUCUUUGUCACCUCCAUAUACGAGAAACAUAUCCUUAGUCCUUUUCAGGUAUUUCAGGAUGUUCUUGACCGCUGUCCAGUGAUCCACUCCUGGAUUACUUAGGUACCUUCCCGCCAAGCUUAUUGCUAAGCAUACGUCAGGUCUGGUACACAGCAUUGCAUACAUGAUAGAGCCUAUGGCUGAAGCAUAGGGAAUAUUUUUCAUUUUCUCUCUAUCUUCUACUGUGGUUGGGCAUUGAGUCCGACUCAACUUCACACCUUGUAAUACAGGCAAGAACCCUUUCUUUGCCUGAUCCAUUUUGAACUUUUUCAAAACUUUAUCAAGGUAUGUGCUUUGUGAAAGUCCAAUUAAGCGUCUUGAUCUAUCUCUAUAAAUCUCGAUGCCCAAUAUGUAAGAAGCUUCACCGAGGUCUUUCAUAGAAAAACUUUUAUUCAAGUAUCCCUUUAUGCUAUCCAGAAAUUCUAUAUCAUUUCCAAUUAAUAAUAUGUCAUCUACAUAUAAUAUCAGAAAUGCUACGGAGCAUCCACUCACUUUCUUGUAAAUACAGGCUUCUCCAAAAAGUCUGUAUAAAACCAUAUGCUUUGAUCACACUAUCAAAGCAUUUAUUCCAACUCCGAGAUGCUUGCACCAGUCCAUAAAUGGAUCGCUGGAGAUUGCACACUUUGUUAGCACCUUUUGGAUCGACAAAACCUUCUGGUUGCAUCAUAUACAACUGUUCUUCCAGAAAUCCAUUCAAGAAUGCAGUUUUGACAUCCAUUUGCCAAAUUUCAUAAUCAUAAAAUGCAGCAAUUGCUAACAUGAUUCGGACAGACUUAAGCAUCGCUACGGGUGAGAAAGUCUCAUCGUAGUCAACCCCUUGAACUUGUCGAAAACCUUUCGCAACAAGUCGAGCUUUAUAGACAGUUACAUUACCAUCUGCGACAGUCUUCUUCUUAAAGAUCCAUUUAUUCUCAAUGGCUUGCCGAUCGUCGGGCAAGUCAACCAAAGUCCAUACUUUGUUCUCAUGCAUGGAUCCCAUCUCAGAUUUCAUGGCUUCUAGCCAUUUUGCGGAAUCUGGGGUCAUCAUCUCUUCCUCAUAGUUCGUAGGUUCGCCAUGGUCAAGUAACAUGACUUCCAGAAUAGGAUUACCAUACCACUCUGGUGCGGAUCUUACUCUGGUAGACCUACGAGGUUCAGUAGAAACUUGAUCUAAAGUUUCAUGAUCAAUAUCAUUAGCUUCCUCACUAAUUGGUGUAGUUGUCACAGGAACCGGUUCUUGUGAUGGACUACUUUCCAAUAAGGGAGCAGGUACAGUUACCUCAUCAACUUCUACUUUCCUUCCACUCACUUCUUUCGAGAGAAACUCCUUCUCUAGAAAGGAUCCGAAUUUAGCAACGAAAAUCUUGCCCUCAGAUCUGUGAUAGAAGGUGUACCCAACAGUCUCUUUUGGGUAUCCUAUGAAGACACAUUUCUCCCAUUUGGGUUCGAGCUUAUCUGGUUGAAGUUUCUUCACAUAAGCAUCGCAGCCCCAAACUUUAAGAAACGACAACGUUGGUUUCUUGCCAAACCAUUGUUCAUGAGGUGUCGUCUUAACGGAUUUUGAUGGUGCCCUAUUUAACGUGAAUGUGGCCGUCUCUAAAGCAUAACCCCAAAACGAUAGCGGUAAAUCAGUAAGAGACAUCAUAGAUCGCACCAUAUCUAGUAAAGUACGAUUAUGACAUUCGGACACACCAUUUCGUUGUGGUGUUCCGGGUGGCGUGAGUUGCGAAACUAUUCCGCAUUGUUUCAAAUGUAAACCAAACUCGUAACUCAAAUAUUCUCCUCCACGAUCAGAUCGUAGAAAUUUUAUUUUCUUAUUACGAUGAUUUUCCACUUCACUCUGAAAUUCUUUGAACUUAUCAAAUGUUUUAGACUUGUGUUCCAUUAAGUAGAUAUACCCAUAUCUGCUCAAAUCAUCUGUGAAGGUGAGAAAAUAAUGAUACCCGCCGCGAGCCUCAAUAUUCAUUGGACCACAAACAUCAGUAUGUAUGAUUUCCAACAAAUCAGUUGCUCGCUCCAUAGUUCUAGAGAACGGCGUUUUAGUCAUCUUGCCCAUGAGGCACGGUUCGCAAGUACCAAGUGAUUCAUAAUCAAGUGAUUCCAAAAGUCCAUCAGUAUGGAGUUUCUUCAUGCACUUUAUACCGAUAUGACCUAAAUGGCAGUGCCACAAAUAAGUUGCACUAUCAUUAUCAACUCUGCAGCUUUUGGUUUCAACAGUAUGAAUAUGUGUAUCACAACUAUCGAGAUUCAAUAAAAAUAGACCACUCUUCAAGGGUGCAUGACCAUAAAAGAUAUUACUCAUAUAAAUAGAAUAACCAUUAUUCUCUGAUUUAAAUGAAUAACCGUCUUGCAUCAAACAAGAUCCAGAUAUAAUGUUCAUGCUCAACGCUGGCACCAAAUAAUAAUUAUUUAGGUCUAAAACUAAUCCCGAUGGUAGAUGUAGAGGUAGCAUGCCGACUGCGAUCACAUCGACUUUGGAACCAUUUCCCACGUGCAUCGUCACCUCGUCCUUAGCCAAUCUUCGCUUAAUCCGUAGUCCCUGUUUCGAGUUGCAAAUAUUAGCAACAGAACCAGUAUCUAAUACCCAGGUACUACUGCGAGUAUUAGUAAGGUACACAUAAUAACAUGUAUAUCACAUAUACCUUUGUUUACUUUGCCAUCCUUCUUAUCCGCCAAAUACUUGGGGCAGUUCCGCUUCCAGUGUCCAGUCUUCUUGCAGUAGAAGUACUUAGUCUUAGGCUUAGGUCCAGACUUGGGUUUCUUCUCUUGAGCAGCAACUUGUUUGCUGUUCUUCUUGAAGUUCCCCUUCUUCUUCCCUUUGCCCUUUUGCUUGAAACUGGUGCUCUUGUUGACCAUCAACACUUGAUGCUCCUUCUUGAUUUCUACCUCCGUGGCUUUUAGCAUUGCGAAGAGCUCGGGAAUAGUCUUGUCCAUCCCUUGCAUAUUAUAGUUCAUCACGAAGCUCUUGUAGCUUGAUGGCAGUGAUUGAAGAAUUCUGUCAAUUACAUUAUCAUCAGGAAGAUUAACUCCCAGUUGAAUCAAGUGAUUAUUAUACCCAGACAUUUUGAGUAUGUGUUCACUAACAGAACUAUUCUCCUCCAUCUUGCAGCUAUAGAACUUAUUGGAGACUUCAUAUGUCGGAGUAAUGGGCCACGGGUAGGCUGACCCGAGCCCCAGAACCUUUCAAGACAUCAGGGCAGGCCGCGCCCCUCAAAGUCGAGUCUCAGAUGAUGACUCCCAGAUGAACCGAGUCUCAGAUGACGACUCCCAGAAAGCCGAGUCUCAGAUGACGACACCCAGAUGAACCGAGUCUCAGAUGACGACUCCCAGAUGAGCCGAGUCUCAGAUGACGACUCCCAGAUGAGCCGAGUCUCAGAUGACGACUCCCAGAUGGGCCGACUCAUGGCCGGCGACUCCCAGAUGGGCCGACUCAUGGCCGGCGACUUCCAGAGGAGCCGGCUAUGGAGAGUCGGCCCACGACUCUACACUCAUUACGGGUGCGACCACGGCGUGGCCGUCACCUCCUGCUUGCGAGGAGCCGGCGUGGCUACAGUGUGCCGUACCGCCGGAGAUCUCCGGCGUGGCUCGGCACUGUAGCCAUGCCAGACCUGACCUCGGCCAAUGUGCGCGGCGCACUGUGGCCACGAUGGCCUACCUAUACGGCUCAGAGGCGGCGGACUCGCCAGUCAGUGAGAGCUAGAAGACGACGGAUACACUCCGAAGGCGGCCCCGUGGGAGUCGGCUCCCCGGAGUCGGCCAGCCCCUCUCACGGGUCCCACCCGCCAUUAACCAAACAAGAUGGGGAGCAACGACAGUGAUCGCCCGAUAGACGGCGGCAGUAUUGCCACGACCCAAUGACCAAGCAUGCGCCAUCAGAGGCACGGCUACAAUGCCGAACUCGCCGGCGGGGCCCGCAAGUCGGCGGGCCCCAUUAGUCGGCGGAGAAGACGGCGACCUGUGAGACAGACGGCUGGGACCCGUGCCCAGCCGGAUUACCAUUGUAUCCCCGGGGGGUAGGCCUAUAUAAACACCCCGGGGCACCCAUGCAAAGGGUUCGCUGCCAUUAGCCUUAGACCCGAUCGUAUAGGAAGAAGAGGGCUAGCCUUGCCUCCUUCUACCUCCAUAAUACAGCUCUAGGAGCAACCUUGUAGUCACUAUGCCUUAGUGAUCAUGCGGAGACCCUGCAGAGCAGCAGUAGGGGUGUUAUCUCCCCGGAGAGCCCCCGAAGCUGGGUAAGAUUCGCCGGCGUGCAUGCCUUCGCCUAAUCCCGUUUCCUGGCACCAGCGACGUUCUACUCGCUCCCACCAUGAUAAGCCAUCCUUUGGCAUACGUCGCACCCAACCCCCGACAUCAUAUCUCUCAAUCCGGGCAUUUGCUUGAAAUAUUAACUUCAACUCCUGGAACAUCUCAUAUGCUCCAUGACGUUCAAAACAUCGUUGAAGACCCGAUUCUAAGCCGUAAAGCAUGGCACAUUGAACUAUCGAGUAGUCAUCAGCUUUGCUCUGCCAGACGUUCUUAACGUUGUCAGUUGCAUCAGCAGCAGGCCUGGCACCCAGCGGUGCUUCCAGGACGUAAUUCUUCUGUGCAGCAAUGAGGAUAAUCCUCAGGUUACGGACCCAGUCCGUGUAAUUGCUACCAUCAUCUUUCAACUUUGCUUUCUCAAGGAGCGCAUUAAAAUUCAACUGAACAACAGCACGAGCCAUCUAUCUACAACAAACAUAGACAAGCAAAAUACUAUCAGGUACUAAGUUCAUGAUAAAUUUAAGUUCAAUUAAUCAUAUUACUUAAGAACUCCCACUUAGACAGACAUCUCUCUAGUCAUCUAAGUGAUCACGUGAUCCAAAUCAACUAAACCAUGUCCGAUCAUCACGUGAGAUGGAGUAGUUUCAAUGGUGAACAUCACUAUGUUGAUCAUAUCUAAUAUAUGAUUCACGUUCGACCUUUCGGUCUCCGUGUUCCGAGGCCAUAUCUGUUAUAUGCUAGGCUCGUCAAGUUUAACCUGAGUAUUCCGCGUGUGUAACUGUUUUGCACCCGUUGUAUUUGAACGUAGAGCCUAUCACACCCGAUCAUCACGUGGUGUCUCAGCACGAAGAACUUUCGCAACGGUGGAUACUCAGGGAGAACACUUCUUGAUAAUUUUUAGUGAGAGAUCAUCUUAAAAUGCUAUCGUCAAUGAAAGCAAGAUAAGAUGCAUAAAGGAUAAACAUCACAUGCAAUCAAUAUAAGUGAUAUGAUAUGGCCAUCAUCAUCUUGUGCUUGUGAUCUCCAUCUCUGAAGCACCGUCGUGAUCACCAUUGUCACUGGCGCGACACCUUGAUCUCCAUCGUAGCAUCGUUGUCGUUACGCCAUCUAUUGCUUCUACGACUAUCGCUACCACUUAGUGAUAAAGUAAAGCAAUUAUAGGGCGUUUGUAUUCCAUACAAUAAAGCGACAACCAUAUGGCUCCUGCCAGUUGCCAAUAACUUCGGAUACAAAACAUGAUCAUCUCAUACAAUAAAAUAUAGCAUCACGUCUUGACCAUAUAACAUCACAACAUGCCCUGCAAAAACAAGUUAGACGUCUUCUACUUUGUUGUUGCAAAUUUUACAUGGCUGCUAUGGGCUGAGCAAGAACCGUUCUUACCUACGCAUCAAAACCACAACGAUAGUUCGUCAAGUUAGUGCUGUUUUAACCUUCGCAAGGACCGGGCGUAGCCACACUCGGUUCAACUAAAGUUGGAGAAACAGACACCCGCUAGUCACCUGUGUGCAAAGCACGGCGGUAAAACCAGUCUCGCAUAAGCGUACGCGUAAUGUCGGUCCGGGCCGCUUCAUCCAACAAUACCGCUGAACCAAAGUAUGACAUGCUGGUAAGCAGUAUGACUUGUAUCGCCCACAACUCACUUGUGUUCUACUCGUGCAUAUAACAUCAACACAUAAAACCUGGCUCGGAUGCCACUGUUGGGGAACGUAGUUAUUUUCAAAAUUUUCCUACGCACACGCAAGAUCAUGGUGAUGCAUAGAAACAAGAGGGGAGAGUGUUGUCCACGUACCCUCGUAGACCGUAAGCAGAAGCGUUAUGACAACGCGGUUGAUGUAGUCGUACGUCUUCACGAUCCGACCGAUCCAAGCACCGAACGUACGGCACCUCCGAGGUCAGCACACGUUCAGCUCGAUGACGAUCCCCGGACUCCGAUCCAGCAGGGUGUCGGGGAUGAGUUCCGUCAGCACGACGGCGUGGUGAUGAUGAUGAUGUUCUACCAACGCAGGGCUUCGCCCACUGGGAGUAGGACUCCCCCCUCUUGCCUUGGUGGAGAAGGAAAGGGGGGAGGGGAAAGAGGAAAGGGGGGCGUCGCCCCCCCUUCCUUGUCCAAUUUGGACUAUGGGAGGAGGGGGCGCGUGGCCUGCCCUAGCUGGCCCUCCUCUUCUCCCUCAUGGCCCAUGUAGGCCCAAUAACCCCCCCGGGGGGGGGUCCGGUAACACCCCGGUACUCCGGAAAAAUCCCGGUUUCUCCCGGAACGAUUCCGAGAUCCAAAUAUAGGCUUCCAAUAUAUCAAUCUUUAUGUCUCGACCAUUUUGAGACUCCUCGUCAUGUCCGGGAUCACAUCCGGGACUCUGAACAACCUUCGGUACAUCAAAACAUAUAAACUCAUAAUAAAUUUGUCAUUGUAACGUUAAGCGUGCGGACCCUACGGGUUCGAGAACUAUGUAGACAUGACCUAGAACUAUUCUCGGUCAAUAACCAAUAGCGGAACCUGGAUGCUCAUAUUGGCUCCCACAUAUUCUACGAAGAUCUUUAUCGGUUAAACCGCAUAACAACAUACGUUGUUCCCUUUGUCAUCGGCAUGUUACUUGCCCGAGAUUCGAUCGUCGGUAUCUAAUACCUAGUUCAAUCUCGUUACCGGCAAGUCUCUUUACUCGUUACGUAAUGCAUCAUUCCAUAACUAACUCAUUAGCUACAUUGCUUGCAAAGCUUAUAGUGAUGUGCAUUACCGAGAGGGCCCAGAGAUACCUCUCCGACAAUCGGAGUGACAAAACCUAAUCUCGAAAUACGCCAACCCAACAUGUACCUUUGGAGACACCUGUAGAGCUCUUUUAUAAUCACCCAGUUAUGUUGUGACGUUUGGUAGCAUCCAAAGUGUUCCUCCGGUAAACAGGAGUUGCAUAAUCUCAUAGUUACAGGAACAUGUAUAAGUCAUGAAGAAAGCAAUAGCAACAUACUAAAUGAUCAAGUGCUAGGCUAACGGAAUGGGUCAUGUCAAUCACAUCAUUCUCCUAAUGAUGUGAUCCCAUUAAUCAAAUGACAACACAUGUCUAUGGUUAGGAAACAUAACCAUCUUUGAUUAAUGAGCUAGUCAAGUAGAGGCAUACUAGUGACGUUUAUGUUUGUCUAUGUAUUCACACAUGUAUCAUGUUUCCGGUUAAUACAAUUCUAGCAUGAAUAAUAAACAUUUAUCAUGAUAUGAGGAAAUAAAUAAUAACUUUAUUAUUGCCUCUAGGGCAUAUUUCCUUCAUUUGUCACCUCCAUAAACGAGAAACAUAUCCUUAGUCCUUUUCAGGUAUUUCAGGAUGUUCUUAAACGCUGUCUAGUGAUCCACUCCUGGAUUACUUUGGUACCUCCCUGCUAAACUUAUUGCUAAGCAUACAUCAGGUCUGGUACACAGCAUUGCAUACAUGAUAGAGCCUGUGGCUGAAGCAUAGGGAACAUCUUUCAUUUUCUCUCUAUCUUCUGCUGUGGGGUCGGGCAUUGAGUCUGACUCAACUUCACACCUUGCAAUACAGGCAAGAACCCUUUCUUUGCCUGAUCCAUUUUGAACUUUUUCAAAACUUUAUCAAGGUAUGUGCUUUGUGAAAGUCCAAUUAAAUGUCUUGAUCUAUCUCUAUAGAUCUUGAUGCCCAAUAUGUAAGCAGCUUUACCGAGGUCUUUCAUUGAAAAACUUUUAUUUAAGUAUCCCUUUAUGCUAUCCAGAAAUUCUAUAUCAUUUCCAAUUAACAAUAUGUCAUCUACAUAUAAUAUCAGAAAUGCUACGGAGCUCCCACUCACUUUCUUGUAAAUACAGGCUUCUUCAAAAGUCUGUAUAAAACCAUAUGCUUUGAUCACACUAUCAAAACUUUUAUUCCAACUCCGAGAUGCUUGCACCAGUCCAUAAAUGGAUCGCUGGAGCUUCCACACUUUGUUAGCACCUUUUGGAUCGACAAAACCUUCCGGUUGCAUCAUAUACAACUCUUCUUCCAGAAAUCAUCGUGCACACAAAAAUAGUUCACUGUGUAGUAAAAAAAAGGUAGACAUGUAUUCUUUCAAAGGCAAAAGAAAAUACAAGAAAAUAGAAAAAAAUGAAAACGUCAUGGAAUCUUUCCAAAACUGGCCAAAACUGAUAGAAGGUUCCACAAACAUGUCUAUACAAGCUUCCAAAAAACGCAAAAUCUCUAGCUAACACAAUUACUGGGCCGGUGCACCAUGUCGAUCUCCACAGGCAAGCAUAAGUUAUGUCUCAGAUUAAGCGCUUUUAGCAAUUGCUGUAGGAGAGGCCCAGGAGCAGAUGGACCGUGUGGCCUAGCAUUGUAGGCGUCAAUUCCUAGCACAAUCAGAUGCACAUGAAGGUUGAGGCCUAGUGCCCCAGCUGGCACUAGUGAUAUACAACUGAUGUAUUUCCUGUAAAAAUUGUAUCAACCAAGUUCUCAUUGAGGUGUACUUGUCUUUCAGUGUUGUGGAUAAAUCCCCAAGCUUGCUUUUCUAGAAGAGCCUGAUUAAAAGUUCUCAUGUCUCUCAAACCCAUGCCUCCCAUAGUUUUCUGAAGAAUCUUUUUGUCCCAAGCAAGCUAGGGCAUCUUUCUUUUACCCUUCUUCACUCCCCACAUGUAGGAUCUUCACCGGCACACAACCUUGCAAACAAUGGAGACCGCUGUAGCACAUUGAUGUCACUGUGACUUCUGAGACAUUGGCAUGCUAAAGAAAGAGUGACAAAUCUUGUGGUCUUCAUGCAAGUGCUUCAAUAUUGAUGUGGGAAUUUUAUGAUGGCCCUAGUAUUUCCUUUGUUCGGUAUAUGGGCAGUUCUUACAUUUUUAGUGCAUGCAAUCUUGGGAUCCGAGCAUACCUAGAAACGCUCUUGAUUCUAUAAGUACCAUGAGCCUUGUUGUGUCUUUGGCAUUUUGUUCUCCGAAGUUCCUGGGUUCAACACCUUGACCAUUGCGGUUGAAAAUCUAACAAUUGCCUUUAGGCUUGUGCUCUCAGAUAUCUAAAGAUAUUAAUCCCAUGAAUUUGCGGUUGUGCCAUACACAAGUAUGCUCAUAGAAGCCAUGCACUCCUGGAGACCAAAAAACUGUAUCUUCAACAACUUGAAGUAAACAUCAUAACACCAGACACCUUGCAUGAUAUGCAAGAACAAUUGUCGCUGUAUCCGGAACCAACAUAAAAUAAGUGUUAGAAUAGCGCAUCAGGGGCAAAUUAGUCCUCCAGAACAUGCCCAUGUGCGCAAUGUCGGUUCAACGCUUCAUGUCCCAACGUUGAACUCUUGAAGUUGAGAACAUGCUCAUCCACACGGUUUGUUACUUCAAUAAUUGCCAUCAUCUCCGGUCCAUAGCCAUCUUCCUCAUAUGAUGAAGGCAAAUCCAUGAAUUGAACUUAGAAGUACUCCUCUUCAUAAUCCAUUGUGUUUGCGUCACAGGAAAAAAAGACAAUGCCUAGAAAUUUCGCUACGGCAUUUGACCAACCAGUUGCCAUGCACGGCCUCAUCCAUGGAUGCCGUCAACUGGAGUGUAGGGUACGUGGGCUAUGAAUGAAUCUGCCGGAGUGUGGCGGUGGCAUAGAACUAGGCGAGUAGACGCAUGGAUGGAGCGGUAGAGGUCUGCUAAUGCCUGGUCAGUAGUGGGAAUGGGGGUACUGGGGCAUCGUUGUUCUCAAGGAGCCGAUGAGGAGGGCAGGAUUGUGAAAAUAUGCAGGCUCUGGAUGAGGUCUGGGGUAGGUUCGGUGUGUCGGAGUCCGCUGUGGCGGAAGUAUGGACUCCCCCAAAGCUCACUCGAUCUGGGUCGGUCUGUGGGAUUUCGAACCCCCGGACCGAUUCGUUCCAAUUUGGUUGUCCACGGUUGAUGCCUAAAAGUGUCCAAACAACCCGGUCCAAACAUUUUUGAGCGUUUGUAGUCUAAAGCUAAGCUCAUGCUUCAUAGGAUAGCGUUUGUUUUCUGUUUAAGUAAGUGCUUGCAUGCGGUCAAUGUGACACACCCAUGCAGCUAGAUAGUGGGACGGUGCGCCAUGUGAGCACAAGUUAUGUCUCAAAACAAGAGAUUUUUAGCAUUUGAGGUAGGAGAGGACAAGGAGAAGAUGGACCGUGUGGCCUAGCAUUGUAGUCGUUGUUUCCUAGCCCAAUCUGAUGUACCUAAAGGCGAAGGCCUAGUGCCCCAGCUGGCACUAGUGCCAUACAACUAACACAUUUUCUAUAAAAACUGUAUCAACCAAGUUCUCAUUGGGGUACUACUUCUCCAUCAGUAGUCGUGCCACAAGACUAUCCAGAUUCUGGAUUAAUCUCCAUGCUUGCUUGGCUAGAAGAGCCCGAUUAUAAGUUCUCAUGUCUCUAAAACCCAUGCCUCCCAUAGAUUUGGAAGGAUCUUCUUGUCCAAAGCGAGCUAGGCCAUCUUUCUUUUAACCUUCCCGACUUCCCACAUGUAGAAUCUUAGCCCGCACACAACACUGCUAACAAUGGAGACCAAUGCAACACGUUGGUGUCAUUGUGACUUGUGAGACCCUGGCAUGCCAAACAAAGAUUGUCAAAUCCCAAAAUCUUCUGAUGCAAAUGCUUCAAUAAUGACGGUGGGAGUUUUAUUAUGGCCCUAGUAUUUCCUUUGUUGAGUACACGAGCAAUUCUUCCAUUUUGUGUGCAUGCAAUCUUUGUCUCCAGAAGUGUUAGAAUAGCACAUCAGGGGCAAAGUAGUCCUCGUACAGAUAAACAUGCCCAUGUGACUACCAUCGAUUCAACGCUUGAUGUCCAAACAUGAAGUUGACAACAUGCUCCUCCGCACGCUUUAUUUCUUCAAGAAUUGCCAUCAUCGCCUCCAUUUGAUACCCAUCUUCCUCAUCUAACGAAGGCAAAUCCAUGAAUUCAACCUAGAAGUACUCCUCGUCAGAAUCCAUUGUGUUUGUGUCAAAGCAAAAAACAACAACACCAAGAAAUUUCGCUAUGGCAUUUGACCGACCAGUUGUCGUGCACUGCCUCCGCAAUGGAUGUCGUCGACAGGGGCGGAGGGUACAUGGGCUAUGGCCAAAUCCAGCGGAUUGCAGUAGCGGCAUAGGCCUAGGCGAGCAGACGCAUGUGUAGAGCGGCAGAGGUCUGUCAAGGCAUGGUCAGUGUCAGUUGGGAAUAUGCAGGCUCUGGGUGAGGUUCAGGGUGUUGGAGUCCGCGGUGGCGGGAGUCUGGACUCCCCAACUCCCUCGAUUUGGGGCAUGUAUGUGGGAUUUCAAACACCCGGACCGACCCGUUCCAAUUUGGUGGUCUGUGGUUGGUGUCUAAAAGUCUCCGAACAUUUGCGACCGUUUUGGUGUCCGCGUUGAAGAUGCCCUUACGAGUAGAACAUGCAUCAUCUCAAAGAGAGUCAUGAAACCAAGUUUCAAAGAAAACAUCGUGGAAACCAUGUUUGGAAGUGUCAAAAAAAUCUGGAAAAAUGGGAUAUUAAGAGGGUGUUGUUCUAUUGACAUGCGAAAUUCCAAGUUCAAACACAUUACCAUUUAUGAGCUAUAAAAAGAACACAUUCAGAUAUUAAUCUUGAUGUUUACUGUUUGGCAAUAUUCAAUGUUGAUUUUGUUUUUCUUCUGUACCUCAUAAACUGCAAUGUGUUUGAACUUGGGAAUUUCACAUGCUAAUAGAACAUCACCCUACUAUAUCGCUUGGUUUUUUAAGAAUUUUUUUGAGACUUUAAUACAUAGUUUCCGCAUGGUUUUCAUUGGUUUCCACCCGAACUUUGUUUUCAUGUGAUAGUCUAUCCUUCUUCAAAAGAAAAAUAAAAGGUAGAAGCUGCCACGCAUGCACAGCCCGGAGAUACAACCACAUUGUUAGACAACUUCAACAUACUUUUAUUCCACGUACAUAUGCAUGCACAUAUAUAUGCAUGGCUGGGACAGUAUUAAUUUUAACCACACAACACCGCACACUUAUACGAUUACCUAGUGAACACUGUUGCAUGCAUGCAUGCCUGCAGGAAACUCUAGCAUGAAACAUGCACGAGACUGAGAUAUAAGAUGAACUGGAACGCAAACUUGCAAAGAGCACAGAUGAUCGAUCAGCGCCGGCAGGUGUAGUUUGAUUCGCAUGGAAUCUUGCACUGGUUGAGGAGGGCGACGACGUCGACGUGGAUCAGCCCGUGGAGGACGACCACGUCACAGAGGCACGCGGCAGCGUCCAGGCCGGCCAACUCGCCCAGCAGCUGGCAGCACGGUUCAUACGGCGACACGCCGAGGCUGACAAUCGGCACGCUCAGCAGGCUCAAGCACACGCCCAGAUCCGGGCACGAGCCACCGCUGGUUGAUGGUGGUGGCGGUGACGGCGGCGGUGGGGGCGGCGGGCAUGACGGAGGUGGUGGUGACGGCGGUGGGGUCUGGCAGUUGUAUCCGCCGCAACCGUGCACGAUGGAGACCGUCAGUGCCAUGGCAAGGAGGAGGAGGACGAGCUUGCACGAGGGCGUCAUUGCGAGAGCUUUGAUUGAGGGGAAGCUAGUGAGACGUGUAUGUGAUUGUGGUGCUGUAUAUGUCUUUGGGUUGUUGUGGGGUGGUAUUUAUAGCCGGAUUGUACAUGAUGCAAGAGGGUGUGUUACGAUCGAAUUUGACUCUAGCCAACUUAAACCACAAAGCACGUACGUGUACCCUCAUGGAUCGAUGCUCUGACCCUAGGUACCUUUUUUUACAACAGGCCACGCUGCUUAAGUACAGGUGCCCUCAUGGCCGGCACUAGCUCUCAUUAUAGUGAACAUACAGUACAGCUGUACACGCAUGCAUGUGCAGAGCGAGCGAUAAGCUAAAGCGGGGCCAAGUCAACUAUAUGCUCCAUAGCAUAGCUUUGGCUCCUCUCCUCAUACGUGGCACAAAAUUAGUAGUAGCCUCCCCCGGAUAGGAUUCUAACAAUCCGGGACUAGCUACUAUAGAUGUGAUUUGGUAUAAUUUGAUUUGGAUUUUCCUUGAUCGAUGCACACAGGUGGACUAAUUAGGUAGGUACGCAUGUAGCGAACCAACCUAUGGGCUAUGGUUAGAUGGUUAGAGAGACUGUGGUAUACCCAGCCCACCAGGUUCAAAUCUUGGUGCUCGCAUUUAUUCCUACGAUAACUUCGUAAAUUUCAAGAUGAUAAGCCGGCAUCUGCUUAGUCUUUCGGAGGUGCUCAUAGGGGUAGGAUGUGCGUGCAGGGGCGGACGCACGUUAAAAACCGUGGGGGCAGAUGCUCCCACUCGAUUUUGACAUACGCUUUAUAUACUGGUCCUGCCUAUGUGAGUGUGCCCCCGCUUGGCCCAAUACAUUUACCCCCACUCAGCCCAGUUAUUUGUUUAUUUUCAAAGCUACAUUACGCCAAAUUUGUAAAUGCAGCCCAUCAUCAAAGAACUAGCAGACUUAAGAGAUACUAGGCUACACCCAAUAUUUUAAUCGUUAUGUCUCGACCAUUUCGAGACUCCUCGUCACGUCUGUGAUCUCAUCCAGGACUCCGAACAAACUUCGGUACAUUAAAACACACAAACUCAUAAUACUGAUCGUCAUCAAACGUUAAGCGUGCGGACACUACGGGUUCGAGAACUAUGUAGACAUGAUUGAGACUCACUUCCGAUCAAUAACCAAUAGCGGAACUUGGAUGCUCAUAUUAGUUCCUCAUAUUCUACGAAGAUCUUUAUCGGUCAAACCGCAUAACAAUAUACGUUGUUCCCUUUGUCAUCGGUAUGUUACUUGCCUGAGAUUUGAUCGUUGGUAUCUCAAUACCUAGUUCAAUCUCAUUACCGGCAAGUCUCUUUACUCGUUUCGUAAUACUUCAUCCCGCAACUAACACAUUAGUUAUGAUGCUUGCAAGGCUUAUAGUGAUGAGUAUUACCGAGAGGGCCCAGAGAUACCUCUCCGAAACACGGAGUGAUAAAUCAUAAUCUUGAUCUAUGCCAACCCAACAAACACCUUCGGAGACACCUGUAGAGCAUCUUUAUAAUCACCCAUUUACGUUGUGACGGUUGGUAGCGCACAAAAUGUUCUUCCGGUAUUCGGGAGUUGCGUAAUCUCAUAGUCUGAGGAACUUUUAUAAGUCAUGAAGAAAGCAGUAGCAAUGAAACUGAAACGAUCAUAAUGCUAAACUAACAGAUGGGUCAUGUCCAUCACAUCAUUAUCCCAUUCAUUAAAUGACAACACAUGUCUAUGGUUAGGAAACAUAACCAUCUUUGAUUAACGAGCUAGUCAAGUAGAGGCAUACUAGCACUACAAGAAAUAUGUCAACUUGCGACCUUGACUAUUGGUCACUAAAUGGUCAUUUUUUUCCAUUUGUGACCUUUUUGUGACAAAAAAUAGAUGGUCAAAAGCUGGCGGUCGUAAACUGAAAUUAACGACCUUCUCUAUGAGAAGGUCGUAGACGUUUACGACCAAAAUAUGCCUACUGUUUUAUUUUGGUCACUAGCAACCUCCACAGGCCACGUAGGCAUCCAACAUGGUAAGCUGAUGUGGCACAAGAAUCAGCCCGGUCCAUUUCGGUGCUUUAGAUGGGCCGAGCCCAUUAAUUCAUCCUUUUUAAUAUAUAUUUUCUGUUAAUUUUCGCUAGCUACAUGGGCUUGGGCCAUUGAUUCGGCCUUUUUUGCUUUCUGAGAUACGGCCUUUUCACAUUCUAUAUAAUUUUGGUUUUCGGGUUUUCUUUUUUUGUUUUGUUACAUUCAAUAUUCAGAUUAUUGUACUCAACUGGGUUUUCGAUUCAGGUUUUAAUUUUUCACAACUUGUAACUCAACGAUAUACCAAGCAGAGAACACAUUAAAAAUAUAUUCAAAUAACAACCAAAUCACCGAUAUACCAAACAAGUUUAUUACAUUCCACCAAUCACAAUAUAACCAUACAAUAUUACACCAAUCACAGUAUAGCACUCUAUAGAUAAAAUGCUCAACAAGUACACGCACAUCUCCAACAGCUUAGCGCCUUGAACCUGCAAAACAUCACAUCGAACCACAUAUUAACGAUCAAAUCAAUUCACCCCUUGACGGCAAUAAAAAACUGUGCUCAUGUAUGAACGAAAAUAAAAUAAACAAUCUUUGAGGCCAUAGCAUGUGCUACAAAAAUCUUAACAAAUGCAUAGAUAUCCACCCGGAGCACAUCCUACAUGCACCAAGCAUCAGGCAUAUGUUCAAGAAGAUAAGUAAUUUGAGAUGGAAACAAGUACAUCUAACAAUCUAACAUGUGUAGUAGCACCAACAAAAAGAGCGAGACAUGGAAGAAUUUACAAGAACAGUAACCUGGGAGUCCAAUUACAUGUACAUGAGCUACUGCUGCUAGUGUAUAUAGAACCAAUCAAGCUGCUGGUGUAGGAGCAGAGCAUGAGUCCAACAGAGCCACAUAGGAGCAAACAACAGAGCCACAUAGGAGCAAACAACAGAUUAAGCACUGCUCCUAACCAACUUAGCAAAUCCAGAGCAACCCCAUACCACCAGAGCAUCACAGGAGCACAUAUAUAAAUCAAGUACACAUGGGCAGCUACUGACAGACCCUAGAACCGCAUGAAUUUAUCACCAGAGAGCUCCAGUAGGAGUUGAUGCUUGGUUACAGCAUCUAGCAGCAACUAGCAGAGCCCCACAUCCAACCCAAAUCAUGGCCAAGGCCAUGCAGGAGCUAUAUCAGAGAAGAAGGAACGGGGAGGAGCUCACCAAAGGAAGGUUGUAGCCAUAGCAGAGGCUCAGCCACACCACGGCUGUGGUGCGACCAUCACCACAUCGAGGAGAGGGUCUGGAAGCCGCCGAAGCACCACCGCGGCGACCAGGGCAAGCGCUGGGCAUAGUGGCGCCACCCCAGGGACAUCACCGCACGGACAUCACCGGCCUCGCCCUGUUUCAAGACUCGAUCAAUUCUGAAGAAACCACUUCGUCGUCAGACACAUACAUACAUACAAGAUGCAAAAGAAGAAGAAACAUAGCAGGGACCUGGUCGAUCAUGAGAUAGUGUUCAUAUCAUUAGGAAGAAAUAGGCCAUUGUAUAGCUCACAUAAACAGAUCUGCUACUAUGCACAACACAAGCACCCACUUGCACUUGGUAUAUUUCUGUAUCUAGGACACCCAACACUCACAACACUUGGGCUAGUCUAAUGUAUAGACUUGUUUGCAAUAGGUGCCAAUGGAACUGAAACACAAGUAGCACAUGAACAAACAGCAAAAGAAAUAGAAGGACGACCUUGUGUGGUGGCCGGGGUGGACGAGGGUGUCCUCCUAGUCAGCUCAGGCGUCCUCCUGCACCAAAUCAAACAGAAAAAUCUUGAAGCAUGUCGAAUAACUAAACGUACGUGUAUAUAUAUAUAAUAUAGAAGCAACAGAAGCACAUAUAUAUCCUAUUUCUUCCACAAAGUGUGUAUAUAGAUAGGUCAGAUUUUUGAAUGCAUUGUUGUUGUAAAAAACAAAUAUGUUGUUGAGGAAUUUGACUAGAUUUUAGAUAUGUUAAGCAGAGGCAAGAUUUUAGAUUUGUUAAGCAGAGGCAAGAUAUGCUCCAGCAGCCUGACCACUGAUGUCAGUUAGUUUCAGCAAACAUCAAAUUUUUUGCUUGCUUGGUUUUAUUAUCAUCAGCCUGCAACUCUGCAUUAAGGCUUUCCUUUUGUUUUUGGUGUUGUUUGCUAUGUCAGGUUGAAAUGAAGAUGGCAACCAGACCAACUUAAAACCAACUAUAUACAUGGUGUUAUUUCAAGUGUAAGCAGACUGAAAAUCUGACAUUGUUCGUCAUCACACCGUAUUGUGCUGCAAGUAAAUUGUGUGUCUAGUUCUUGUGAAGUGUGUUAAUGUUGCUCCUACCUGACUAGCUCCUAGAGCUUUGGAUUCACAUGAUGUGUUGUGUACUCGCCGUGAAAAGAUCAGUGCGUGAUUAUUGAUCAACAGAACAACUCUAUGUACUCCCUCUGAUCCGAAUUAUGUUGUAGUAGUUGCGUCAAUUAUUUCAGAUAGGAGGGAGUAACAGUUCUUUUUGAAAAGAAAAGAAAAACCUAUGCAACAGUUGUUGUGAUGUCCUGUGAGCUCUGCUCUGAACAAGUAACCAUCAACAGACUGCAGAACCUGUGUGACAGGGAUCGCGCAUCUCACAAUCCGGCACCAGUUACUAACUACCAGCAUCAGCAGAAAACCAAUAGCUGCACGUGUAACUCGCUGCCCUCACGGGCAAAAGCACGAACAAAUUCGGAGCGUGGAAAGGCUCAUGCGUUUCUGCACGGGAAAAUCGGCCGGAGAAAGGUACUGCUUUAUGGUUGGGUAGCGAGGAGGGGAGGGGGCGAGGCACUCACGCAGUGGUCGCGACAGAGACCCACUGCGUCGUGGGCGGGCUGAGGUACGCCGACGCGCUGUAGACGAUGCCGCUUCCCCGGCUCCGGCACGGCCGCGCCGCGCCCGUUCCUAGGGGCCGCGGCCUCAGCCGCAGAGCGGCGCAUCCCCUGCAUACACAUAGAUGUUAGAUCACCCACCGGCGCGGUGGGUAAGCGAAUCACACGGACGGAAGGAGAGCGCGCGCUGAAGGAACCCGGCAAGCAGCCUCACCUGAGCGCGGCCGUCCGCGGGGCGGGGGAGUAGCCCGCAUUCCGGGCGGGCCGGGCCGUCCGCAGCGGCACGGAGCAGGGCGUCGUGGUGGGGAUCGCGAGGCGCAGUGAGAUGGACAUGGUCGCGGUCCCUCUCUCUCUCUCGGCCGACCGGGUUCAUCGGAGCUGGAAGCCUCGCCGGUGGAUGAUUGGCACUAGCCUCACCGAAGAUGGCAACCACANNNNNNNNNNNNNNNNNNNNNNNNNNNNNNNNNNNNNNNNNNNNNNNNNNNNNNNNNNNNNNNNNNNNNNNNNNNNNNNNNNNNNNNNNNNNNNNNNNNNNNNNNNNNNNNNNNNNNNNNNNNNNNNNNNNNNNNNNNNNNNNNNNNNNNNNNNNNNNNNNNNNNNNNNNNNNNNNNNNNNNNNNNNNNNNNNNNNNNNNNNNNNNNNNNNNNNNNNNNNNNNNNNNNNNNNNNNNNNNNNNNNNNNNNNNNNNNNNNNNNNNNNNNNNNNNNNNNNNNNNNNNNNNNNNNNNNNNNNNNNNNNNNNNNNNNNNNNNNNNNNNNNNNNNNNNNNNNNNNNNNNNNNNNNNNNNNNNNNNNNNNNNNNNNNNNNNNNNNNNNNNNNNNNNNNNNNNNNNNNNNNNNNNNNNNNNNNNNNNNNNNNNNNNNNNNNNNNNNNNNNNNNNNNNNNNNNNNNNNNNNNNNNNNNNNNNNNNNNNNNNNNNNNNNNNNNNNNNNNNNNNNGGAGAUGGGGACAAGGGAGGAGGGGUGCGAUGGGAUCUAACCGGAAGAGACUGGGUGGUGGAAGGGAGGGGCAACGGAGGAGGAAUCUAGAUCGGGAAGGGGGAGGCGGCGAGGAGAUGGGGACGAGGGAGGAAGGGGGCGACGGGGGUAGGGGUCGAUCUAAGCUAGGGUUUGGGCUACGGGUGGGGGGUAUCUCCUUUUUUUUCUGUAGAUGAAUGGAUGGAUGUGGGAUGGAGAGAUGGAUGGAUGGAUGGAUGGACGCCAUGUCAUCGAUCCUUGGACAGAGUUAUGAUUGGUUCAGAAAAUCAGUGAUGUAAAAUAGUUUUCAAAUACUACAAAUAGAGGGAUUUUAUUAAGUAGCUAUCAAAAAUAUUUUGCAAAAGGGCACCACACAAACUUUCACUAGAGUUAGACCACAUUUUAUGGAUUAGAACCAAUUUGUAUGCAUUUUUCAUAUUUCUAGCUAUUUUUAAUCAUUUUCCGAGUGGCAAAAAUAUUUUUUUUGAAGAACCUACCAAAUAAUUGUUGCAAAAUUGCACCAAAUAAAUUUUCUAAAAUAUUAGGCCAUAUUUAAUAGACCAAAUGGUUGGAUGUCAAAAGUUUUCAUCCACCUCUCGUGAAAAAGACAAAUUUCUGCCGGUUCAGUUGGAAGCGGGUCAAAUUUGAACUGCAGCUGCCUCAUAGUUUGCUCUUUAUUUUUUUCAAAAAAUCAUUUUUAGGUACAAAAGUAUCUAUCUAAUCAUAGAAACACCAAAAAAAUUCCAAGAUUCAACCACUAGCUAGGAACGAUCACUCCCGUCGUUUUGGCCGCAUUUUGAAACGGGCAUAAAAAAUUCAAAAAAAAUCAAAAAAUUGGAAAACCUUCGCAUUGUUUCAUCAUGUGUGGCCAAGUUACUGGCAAAAAUUAUAAACUUGUAAUACGGCAAUUAUUUUAUAAAAGUGUUCUCAGAAAUGAGCUAUCAUGCAUGAAGAUUCAUGGCUUUCAAGCCAAAUGAUCAAUCUUAUGGCCACAUUCAUGGCAUAGUUUGUUAAAAUGAUCUCAUAUUGUGCAAAAGGGUGAAUAUUGGAAUUCCAAACAAUGUUGCCUAAGAGAGUUUUCAUUUUCUUUGCACGGAAAAUUCAUUUUCCAUUUUUCGAGUGCCCGAAAUGAGGUUUUUUUGUGAAGUACCUACAAAGUAAUUAUUACAAAAUUGCACCAAAUCAAUUUUCUAAAAUACUAGAACAUAUUUAAUGCACAAUUGACUAAAUGGUCGGGUGUAAAAAGUUUUGAUCCACCUCUGGUGAAAAAGACAAAUUUCCGCCGAUUCAGUAGGAAGCGGGUCAAAUUUGAACUGUAGCUGCCUUAUAGUUUGCUCUUUAUUUUUUCCAAAAAUCAUUUCUAGGUACAUAGGUAUCUAUUUAAUCAGAUAAGCACCAAAAAAAUUCCAAGAUUCAACCACUAGCUAGGAACGGUCAUUCCCGCCGUUUUGACCGCAUUUUGAAACGGGCAUAAAAACUUCAAUAAAAAUCAAAAAAUUGGAAAACCUUCGCAUUGUGUCAUCAUAUGUGGCCAAGUUCCCAGCAAAAAUAAUAAACUUGUAAUACGGCAAUUCUUUUAAAAAAGUGUUCUCAGAAAUGAGCUAUCAUGCGUGAAGAUUCAUGGCUAUCAAGCCAAAUGAUCAAUCUUAUGGCCAUAUUCAUGGCAUAGUUUGUUCAAAUGACCUCAUAUCAUGCAAAAGGGUGAAACUUGGAAUUAAAAACAAUGUUUCCUAAGAAAGUUUUCAUUUUCUUUGCACGAAAAAUUCAUUUUCCAUUUUUCCGAGUGCCCAAUAUGAGUUUUUUUGUGAAGGACCUACCAUAUAUUUGUUGCAAAAUUGGACCUAAUCAAUUUUAUUAAAUACUAGGACAUAUAUAAUGCACAAUUGACUAAAUGGUUGGGUGUCAAAAGUUUUGAUCCACCUCUGGUGAAAAAGACAAAUUGCCGCUGAUUCAGUAGGAAGCGGGUCAAAUUUGAACUGCAACCGCCUUAUAUUUUGCUCUUUAUUUUUUCCAAAAAUUAUUUCUAGAUACAUAGGUAUCUAUUUAAUCAGAUAAACACCAAAAAAAUUCCAAGAUUCAACCACUAGCUAGGAACGGUCAUUCCCGCCGUUUUGACCGCAUUUUGAAACGGGCAUAAAAAAAUCAAAAAAAAAUCAAAAAAUUGGAAAACCUUCGCAUUGUGUCAUUAUAUGUGGCCAAGUUCCCUGCAAAAAUAAUAAACUUGUAAUACGGCAAUUGUUUUAAAAAAGUGUGCUCAGAAAUGAGCUAUCAUGCGUGAAGAUUCAUGGCUAUCAAGCAAAAUGAUCAAUCUUAUGGCCACAUUCAUGGCAUAGUUUGUUCAAAUGACCUCAUAUCGUGCACAAGGGUGCAUCUUGGAAUGACAAACAAUGUUGCCUAAGGAAGUUUUCGUUUUCUUUGCACGAGAAAUUCAUUUUCUAUUUUUCCGAGUGCCCAAAAUGAGUUUUUUUGUGAAGGACCUACCAUAUAUUUGUUGCAAAAUUAGACCUAAUCAAUUUUAUAAAAUACUAGGCCAUUUAUAAUGCAAAAUUGACAAAAUGGUUGGGUGUCAAAAGUUUUGAUCCACCUCUGGUGAAAAAGAUAAAUUCCCGCUGAUUCAGUAGGAAGCGGGUCAAAUUUGAACUGUAGCUGCCUCAUAGUUUCCUAUUUAUUUAUUCCAAAAAUUGUUUCUAGUUACAUAAGUACCUAUUUAAUCAUAAAUACAUGGUUUGGUGGCGAUACGUCGAGGUUUGGACGGUGGCCGAGGGCUCCAACUCUAAAGCGCGUAAACUAGCAUGCCCGCCGCGUGGUCACGGCGUGACCAUGGCGUUGCGAUGUGUUCUGGGCGGCCUAGGCAUGUCUACUGGGUUGGGCACUCCCCAGGUAGGUGCUAGGAAGAAAAUCAGAACAUAAGAUUCUCACGAGGAGACCGAUCGAUGCUCAAACAUAAAUAAGCAGCCAAGUGUUUGAUUAGCGGUACAGGAAAUGCACAUGGCUAAUGUGCGUGAGCUUUGGCUGAGGAUGAUCAGUUACUAAGAAGACCGUCUUCACAAAUUUUCAGCUCAAAAGGAGGACCCUAGGUGGUACUUGCUUUGCAAAGUACCACACUGGACAUAAAUACGAAUGUUGAAGUGGGGCUCAAAAUAAUGAAUGGAUUGAGCUGACAUUUGGUGCAGGAUGGUUAUUUGGGCAUAGGAAAGCACUGUAGAAAAUGGAUACCAUUUGGACAUGCCAAAGUGGUACUUCCUUCACAAAAUGUUUUUUUGAACAGAAUUGGAAAAUGAAUAUUUUUGAAUUAUUUUUGAACUAGGAAAGGAAGUUUUUUUACAUAUUUGAUGAAGAUAUGACACAAAUAAUUUAUGAGAUUUUUUUGGGAAUUUUGGGAAUGAUAGAAAUAUAGGUUGCUUCACAACCUAGGGCAAAAACUGCCACAUGGACAUGACACAUAGGCAAAACUGAUGAGGUGGCGCCUAGUCAUAGCAACCCACCACAAUUUACAAGGUUAUGACCAUCUAUAUUGGUCAUGAUCAGCUAGAAAUAAGGCAGCGGGCCAGUGCUAUCUGCUUUAUGACCAUUUCGUGUAAGGAAAUUACGACCUUUCUGACCAAAAUAGUCGUUAUAGUUUAGGGUUUGGAACCCCCCGAACAGCUUUUGACCAAUUGGUCUGAAAUGGUCAUAGAUCUAUGACUAAUUCUUCUAGGGUCGCUGACAGAAGGUCACUAGUUGACAUAUUUCUUGUAGUGUAGGGACACUAUGUUUUGUCUAUGUAUUCACACAUGUACUAAGUUUCCAGUUAAUACAAUUCUAGCAUGAAUAAUAAACAUUUAUCAUGAAAUAAUGAAAUAAAUAAUAACUUUAUUAUUGCCUCUAGAGCAUAUUUCUUUCGGAUGCUUGCUUUUGGAUUUCUUCUGCUUCUUCUUCUUCUUUGAUCAAGGGAUAGGUUCCGGGUUGGGAUCCUCAGAUUAGUAGGGUGGAAGUUGUUCUUCUUUUCCGUUUGAUUUUAUCCGUAGUCGGAUCCUUCUCUUCUGUAUGAUGAUUUCUAUGUAUACAUGUAUUCAUGUAUUUAUGUAGUAGUUUGUGGCGAGUGUAAGCAUGUAUCUCGUAUUCUCAUCUAUUCAGUACAUGGUAUGUUAUAAUUAUAUCCACCUUGCUAUGCGCUCGAAAUGCGGUUGUGCACCAAUCACGAGUUCAUCACGUGAUCGGGAUAGAAUCGCAUCUUGGGCGCUACAUAACCGUAGGGGUAAAUUCUAAAACCCUCAAUACCCUAGCCAGCUGCUAGCUAUAAUUAGCUACAAAAAUUGCUGGCGGCGUCGACUAACUACUGAUUCCCUUGCUAGCUAGUUACCCACGCAUACCGGCAUACGCCCGCCGGCUGGCGACAGGGUGGAGUUGGGCUACGGCGGAAUCAAGGCUAAAGGAACGAUGGUUGGUUUGCCGGUCGACAGCCAUGCCACCGCCUCUCCCGACGACGGCCAGGGGAAGAAGGAAACGUGGUACAAGCAAGCUGCCAAGUUAGCCCAGGCCAUCCUAAAAGAGGACAGGCAUCGCCAGUGGGCGAUACUACUGGCUCGGUACAGAGUGCGGCGGAUAGUGCGGGAAAUGGAGCAAGAACCACGACGACGCAAGGACAACUGCAGCAGUGUUGGCCACCGCACAAGGUGCAGGUUUAUGUCACUGAUGGAGGAGGGCGCAGCGCCGGACGUCGCCAUGGCAUGCCUGGGAGCCGUGACGGCAGCCCUGACGGGAGCCAAUGUCAUCUCGCCGGACGUCGCUGGGGUAGACCCGGCGGUCGCGGUAGCCCUGGUGAACGCUGCGUCGGAGGCAGUACCGGCGAUCCCCGAUGUGGAGGCUGCCCCAGCCUCGAUCGAUCAAGGUGUGUAGGUUAUCUACUUGACGGCCUCCGCUCCUCCUGGGCCCAGGAUCGACACGCUAAUGGACGAUGGCAGCUGUGCGUCUUGGGUCGGUGUCAGGUGCACACUAGCUCUUUUGUACAUCUGCGGUUUGUUAUAUUCUUGUAAAUUAGCGAGCUAAUGGUUUGUAAAUUACUCGCUGAACUACAUACUGGACCAAUAAUUCGAGCAUGUCAAAUAUGUCAAUUGUAUGGGCUGACCUAUCUGUAUAUUAUUUGAAUUUGCAAUAUGGACAAUAAAUAUAUAAAUGCUAUCUGGACAUCGGUGAUGGUCGCCAUGUCGAAAACAUGGACAUCUCUACUCUACCAGGCACACGCUUAAUAUGAAUGAACUGUGAAUGAUACUAAUACUUCCUAUGAAAAUUUAAGAACUUGGUUAAGAAAAUUUGAGUAACAUAUAUAUAUAUAUAUAUAUAUAUAUAUAUAUAUAUAUAGGGGUGAUACUAUUUUGUUUUGUUUUGCAAUUUAUCUUAUUAUGGACCAGAGAUUUAAUCCUUCCAAAUAACAACUGAGGGGAUUGACAACCCCCUUUUUCGCGUUGGGUGCAAGUAUUUGCUUUUAUGUGUGCAAUUGUUGUUCACGAUGCUUUGUGUGAUUCUCCUACUAGAUUGAUAACCUUUGUUCUUAACCGAGAAAAAUAUUUAUCUUUACUGUACUGCUUCAUCCUCUCAUCUUUGAGGAAAUCCCAACACAGCUCACAAGUACUAGUAAGAAUUUCUGGCGUCAUUGCCGGGAUACAUCAUUAAAACCAAUCAAGUACCUUCACACAAACUAUCAUCUGCUUACUCUUAUUUCUAUUUGCCUUUGCUUCUCAAUUUCAUAUCCCCCACUUCUCAUAAAAAAAUACAAAAAAUAUAUUUUCUAUGCUAUUUUUCUCGUUUGCUUGCUUUGUCGCGAUGUCUCAGGAUAAAAUAUUUGAUCCUUAUUAUAAAAGGUUGGCAUAAAUUGAGAACAUCACUAAAAACUUUAUGUUUUCACAAUUUGAGCAUAAUAGACUCUUCAGUGAGGAAUUUAAAGAACAUUCUACCUUGCUGGAUGCUAUUAGUUCACAUCUAUGAUUAUUCUUAUAACUAACUAAUGAUGUGACCUCAAAGUAUAUAAAUCGGUUGGGUCUAUUCAACACAGGUGUUCUUCUAACAAUGUGCCCUCAAUGUGGUCGGCAUGCUCGUUACAUUAGUUAGCCCAUGAUCUGGAAAACAGAAACCAUCAUGCAACACUUGAUCUAGUAUUAGAGGCGAGACUAGGAAUCUAUUUUACCGUUUAUUAUUCCAUACAAGGGCAUGAUUUUUCCUCUCGGCCUCUUGGAUAUACACACUCAAGAACCGUUUCAACUAAAGCAAAAAAUAUAAAAAUUAAUUACGAAUAUGGAAAUAAACAGUAACAAUUAUAAUUGUCUCUAAGGCAAAUUUCCUUCAACAUCGACCCUCCCGAGUUGUCUACCUCUAUACCAUCUGGUGCUGCCUGGGGUUGGAGGCCCUCGUGCUGAUGGGUGUCCAUCAAGACCUGAGAGCCACGAGCUGACGGUGGGCUGAGCUGGGUCGCCAGUAGGCCAUUGUCAAGCCGCUCCUCUGCAGGUUGCCGUAAUGGGUAGGGAGCUGACAUGGUGGCAUCACACUUAGCUCGCCUCACACUGCUACCAGUGCUCAUGCGGGCUAUCGCCUGCAAUCCAACAAGUCAAGACCCUAUAAGCUAGCUUAUCUACUAAGGAAACUUGCCAUGCAAGUGCCUUCCUCUGCAAGGUAUUUUUGAGAUAAGCUUUUUGUGGUGAAGUAGCCUGGUGAACAAGGAGUCUAGCAAACUUGUGAAGCAAGAUUACUUAUGGGCUAAGAAAAAGAUUGCUCUAUAUAGCCUCCCUUGGGAGUGUAUUAGACACAACAACACCGCAAAUGUGCGAAGUAGCUCAUUUGAUCUUGUACAAGAAUCCACAAAGUUUAAUGAGAAAGAUCUCCAAGAAUCGCACCCUACAUAUUGUGUUCAUUUUGUGAAGGUUCGGUCGUUUGGGCUUUAUAUAUGAAGCCUGGUGAAAGCUUCGUUUGAAAACAAAAAUUUCCCUCAAUAGUUCGUGUCUCCAGCUAGCCCAUCCUCUCCUUUUGUUUUAUAUACUAAGAGCAUCUACAACCGAACUCGCAAAUACGUAACCCUAAGAGCCCGCGGACGCGCCCAAACGCUACCCCUGACAGCGCCGAUCGGGCCCUCAUAUAUAUUGCUGGACAGCCACACUCCUCAUAUGUAAAGACCCAAAUCCAUGAAAAUCCAUGAAGGUUGGUCAUACAGAUGAAUAGUACUCAUAAAGAACAAUUGUUCGUACUGAAAUUAUAUAAUUCAAACAUAAGAAUUGUUUGAAGUGCACAACUCAAACACUAAAAUUCUGGGUUUCCAUUGUGGGUCCACAUAUGCUCCACAACAUUAUUAGGUAGUUUCCCGUGCAUAUUUGAUCUCCAAGAUUCUGAUGCAUCUUCAAAAAAUUCAUAAUAUGGUCUACAUCUUGUUUUAGGUUGUAUCCUUGUUCUCUAUGCUUCGCAAAAUCAUGGGUUCGGGGUUGCCCCUUAACCAUCGUCGUCAACAAUCAUAUUGUACAAAAUAACACAACAUGUCACCAGCUGCCACAAAGUAUCUGAUUUCCACAUAUUGCAGCUCCACAAACAAUACCCCAGUGAGCUUGGAGCACUCCAAAUACCCUCUCUACAUCCUUCCUAGUUGUUUCUUGCAUUGUAACAAAGUGGAUUUGUCUGUUCCCAUGGUGUUGUCCACUGAGGAUAGAUGCCAUCGGCAAGGUCGCAUCCGAUGCCGUAGUCAUGCCCGUUGAUGGUGUAGUUGCACAUCGGCCCAUUGCAAGUGUCCUAGUCACGGAAGAUUGCUAUAGCAUAUUGAUGUUGUUGUGAGAACCAGGUAUGCCAAAGAAAGCAUGACUAGUCCACAAGUCCCUUGAUACCACUGCUUCAAAUAUGAUGGUGGUCUCUUUGGUAUGACCUUGGUACAUCCUGCACAAACUCCUGGGGUAGUUAUUCUAUUACCAAUGCAUGCAAUCAACUGAAGCAAGCAUACCGAAAAACUUGUUGCCGCUCCAAUAGACAUCAACCUUUUGGUAUCUUCCACAUUUGGGUCUCUCAUGUACUCUGUUCCAAACAUCAUGGUGAGGGACAAUCUUACAGUGGUCUUAAGGCAUAUGCUCUCCCCCAUCUGGACCAUCUCACCAACACAUCGGCGGUGAUACCUAAUGUGAAAAUCCUCAGAGCAGCCGUGCAUUUCUGCUUUAGAUAGAACGGGAGUUGUCUGCAAUAAUCUGUGUUGAGCCUGAAGUAGGAAUCACGUGCCUCCAGUCCCUCCACCAUAUGCACAUAUGUAAGUGUCGACGAAAAAUGACUCAAAGAAUGUUGGUUCGGGUUGAAGUGGUCCUUGUAGAGAAGCCGUGAGCCAGUGACCCUAUCCUAGUUAAAACUCCUCUGGCCUUGACCGAACGUUUGAAGUUCAGAAUGUACUCCAUCUCCCUGUCCAUUUCCUCUUGGAUGGUCAUGAUGAUCAUCAUCUUGGUAUCUUCGUUCCACUCCAACAAAUUGAAGAACUCAUUUUGCAUCAGUUAAUCAAGCUCCUUGUGUCCAUACUCCUCACCCUGCGAAGUAUCAGAACCCGUUGUUAUGACUAGAAAAGAAUAAAAAAAGAUCGGACAAUUUGUCGAAGAUAUAGAGGGCAAACGCUAGGAGAGGGGCGGCACGGAGAGACGAGGAAAAGGGCUGGUCCGACAACGUCGAAGGGAGGGAGGGAUAUGACGUGACGGCGGACACAUUCGGGCUCCUUGUAUCCAUCCCAGAAAUGGGCUUUAUACGGAGGGUGCCGGUCAGCCCGGACGUAUAGAGCCGGUUUCUGAAGCACAGCCGAGUUGCAAUUUUGACCGGUCACUUGAUUGGAUGUCCGUCCGGACGUGAGUGUGGAAAUAGAUGCUCUGACAGACUAGAUCUACAAAAUUCAUGUUAAAAUAAAGUGCUUGUGGGAUGCACGAUGUGUAAUAAAUACUGUUUUUCUUGAUUCUUGUUCCCCGUCGCAUCCCAUCCCAUGUGGCUAAGGCAUGUGGGGUUGUUCUUUCGUUGGCUGGUGCCCCGUAGUGUACUAUUAGAUGGCCCGAAAGAGGUGGGAUCAAUCGUACACACAUCGACUUAGCAACAAACACACGCACCCUGAAGACGCCCUCCUAAAUCGCUGAUCCAUACGUAGGUAGGUGCGUCUGAUCCAUGGCCACCGCCAAGUCCACGGCGGCUCUGGCAGUACUUGUGCUGGUGGCGUCGCUGGUGUCUGUGGCAGAAGCAUCGGCCUGCCAGGACCUGUUUAAUGGCCGGUGCAGGGGCAUUUCCAGGAGUAUGAGUCGUAUCAGGACUUGCUGCGACCUCGCAGGCAAGACAGACGACACGGACUGCGUGUGCAAGUACAGGGAUCAUUACCCGGAGGCGCUGCAGCCGUUGUUUCGUGCAUCCUGCCCGGCGGGCCGCGGAUGCAAACGGCCUGGAACAUCUUCUGCUUAAUGCAAUGCAGCUCGCCCUUCUGCUUUUGCCUUUCAUUCAGUUUCCUUACUCUUGUAUCAGAGACGCGCUUCCAUGCUUUUUUUGAUUUGCUUAUCACAUGUGUCACGUGUACGCGCUUCCUUACUCUUGCAUUAGAGGCGUGCACAUUGUCACACUGUUCUUCGAUCAUGAGUUAGCUCUUUCUUAUUUAUUUUGUAUUUACGUGGUCUAUUGUGGCUGGCUUGUGGUGCGUUACACAUUGGUUGGGCUGGCACUUAAUUGUGAUCGUGUUGUUAAUUAUGCUUGCGUUGUUUCCUUCUGUCGGUAUGAUUGACUUGGUGCAAACGGUAUGUGGUAUUACUGGUGAAAGGAGCUAUUGGGUGGGUCCUGGAGCCGCUGUUUUCCUCUCGUACCUGGCGGCUGCAACCCUAGCCGCCGCCAGGGGCCGAUCUUCCAACGCCGUUCUCCGGCGGCUCCCCUCCGCCGGCGACUUCGGUCGUUGGUGGUGAGGGGGGUCGCCGGAUUCACACGUGUGGAUCGUUUUUACUCAUCCGAAGUCUAGGUUUUUAGGUUGUUCAUCGUUUUUGCUUCGGCGGCGACGAUGACGACGCUGAAUAAAUAUUCUUCGGAUCCUUUCCUGACGAGGCCAUCGGUCCUAUGGUUGGGGAUGGGUUUGGAAAUCAGUCUGUUCAAGCAAGGAUGGCGUGGCGGCGGCGGCAUCCUCGUGAAGGACCUGUGUCCUCGGGCUCCGUCGUUGCGACGACGUUUGCUCCAGCGUCGGCGUGGAGUUUGGGAGGUAGUCCAGGAGCGGAUGCAGAUUGCGGUCUGCAUCGACAACAUCUGGAAGACGGAACAUGUGCUGGGUUCGUGGUUCGUGGAAGACAGGUAUGGUUUCCUCCUUCGGCGUCUUAGCCGUGGUGGGGUGCCAGAUCUGGAGUUCGAUGGCGUGUCCGGGGUGUUGCCCCGGUCUGAUCCGUUCAACGGCAAUGGCUUCACUUUUGGUGAGCCACCUUGGAAGUCCGCAAAGCUGCAUAUUAGCGAUGGAGCCUCAUCGAGCUCGGAUGAGGAGGUGAUCCGUCAUUCUUUUUUUCGGUGGCUGCUGUGGUGGUGCCGGAGGCAGUUGACGGGCGUUAGUGUCAAGCUCAGAGAUGUUUUGCUAUCUUCUCAGUUUUGUCAUGUCGGUUAUUACGUGACUUGUACUUUGUUCUUUAUGAUAUGAAUGAGACACGUAUUACCAUGCAAAAAAAAAAGAUAUGCGCUCGUGUGGGAGUUGGUUUUCCUAACCGCCCGACACUUAGCGUCUAGCGUUGAAACAAACAUCGCCUAGUAAUUUAGUGAUAUUUUUUAAUUUCUCUAUAAGCGCCCAUAUAAGCGUUCUGCAUUGGAGAGCAUGUACAAUGCGGUGCUAAGGAUGGGCGCUAGGGAUCAUAAUCCGGGCCGUUUCACUCGUCAGGAGAAUUUUUCCUGGCGCCUGCUUGGCAGCGCUGCCAACUCUGGCAGCGGGCACUCCAGUUGACAUGGUACUGAAUUUAUGGGAGAGAACUAGCACCCCACAACAUCUCAGCGUUGGAAGUUGAGGCGCUUGUGCUGGCACUACAGUAUUUUUUCAAUUUUUAAUCCUUAAGCACCUAUACAAGCGCCUCUUCAAUGGACAUGCUCUUAGACAGCAAAGCUCACUCUUAUAAACGGCGCCAUAUGGAGCUUAGUAACUUAUUAGAUAACAUUUUACUUUCUUUACCUACUAAACAAGUGCACGUCUGUCCGCCAGUCGCAGCUAAAAAAACGCAGCUUGGUCCCGGGCGGCUCCUCCAGCCGAACCAUGGCCUCCCACGGUUCCCUCCCCUCCUCCCUCCACCCUCGCCGUCAUCAGAGGGCACGACCAGGCGAAGCCUGGCUAGCGACACUGGUGGCGAGGCCCUCUCGUCCUCUCGCGUGGGGAGACCGGCGCGGGCCGGUGUCUUCGGCUAGGGCGUGGUGCAACACAGGCGACACGGCGUGUUGGUUCUCUAGCCCAUGGCGCAUGGCAGGCGUGCCUGGAGCCUCUCCUUGCCGACGGUGGCUCCUCUAGUUCAGUCGGGUUGGACUGGUUCGGGCCAUGUGCCCGGAUUUGCUUCUCCUUACAAGGUCGUUCCUUCUACGUUGGUGUGCGUCUCCGACAAGUUCUUCUGUCGCCUGCUCUCCUAGUUCAAGAGACUACCGCUGAGGAAAAAUACUAUGCCCGGAUCUGUUGGCAGAUGGUGCGGCAACAUCUAUGGACGCCGCUAACCUCCUUGGAGGGCAUCAUCACAGUGGCGGUCCCGUCGAGAUUGAAGGGAAUCCUUGGGUUUGGAUUGCUAGUCCGGACUGUGUCGGCAUGUGGCAUCGUCUACCUUCUUGGAGGCACUAUUUCGGAGCACAUAUCUGCCGGAUAUCUCACAAAGGCGUAGCCGCGUUGGGUCACCUAGUAAACUCACUGAGAAGGGUCAUUUUCUCUAGGGGGGAACCCUGAAUCUAAGUCUCCUUGAUUGAAUGAUGGGGGCUUCUGGCAUUACACCCCCUCUUGGGGCAUUAUUCCUAGAGUUGGCUGAAACGGGUCCUGAGGUGGAGCGCAGUUGUAUCAACCGAGUCGUCUUGAUGGACGAGCGCAAGGCAUUGGCAUUAUUUGGCGUUGUGGCGGUGCCGACAGCUGACCGACCUGAUAGGGAUGAUGAAGAUCUCUCUCCGGGAGAUGGAUGAACAGUUUUAUGGUGGUGGCAGCUUCUGAAGAGUGUGUAGGUGGUUUAUGCUUCAUAAUUUCACACCAAACUAGAUUAAAGGGCUGACUCCAUCGGGGUUUCACAACAGGGAUCUCACGCAACAUGUCAAGCUAAAACCUGGUUCACAGUGUCUUGAAUACAAAAUCUGGCUCCAAGAAUAUCUCAAUACCUUGUUUACAUCGAAAUGUGCUACUGCAAAGAAGUCGUUCGCAAUCACAGCUUCUCAUGAGACGAAGAACCACUUAACUGCUUGCGGAUACAAUGUACUUAAAAUAAGGAAUAGCUACUCAUCAUAUGAUCCAAAUAUUUCUGUACAUACGAAUGUAUGUAUUAAACAUAUGGAUAUUAUUUAUUUAUUUCUAGCGCCAUAUGUUUUUAUUAGAUUAGAUUUCGUGGGCCCCAAUAGAUGGGGAUUACUUAAGAAAGUUUCAAAGAAUGAAAUUAUCUAGUGCAAAAUUCUGCAUAGUCCUUUUGGUGAAAUUAUGUAGUGCAAUAUCCUACACAGACCUUUUUGGAGAAGAAACUAUUAUCCUUGUAAAAAAAUUCAAGGACGUCGACUAUCAUUUAAAUUCCUACCUAAUUUAUGGCAAGUAUCGAAUUGGCCACUUUUGUCUAAAUCAUAUACUCCAGUCAUUUGGAAAUACAUGUAUUUUAGAAAUAGGUAUGGUCGCCAACAUGAAACUUUGAUUGUUGCUUUUCAUAUAAAAAAAAUUGUUGUCAAAUGUAUAGAUUGCAGUAUUACAUUUUUUACAACAAAUAUCAUGAUUUUAUUUUUCAUCUAACCGAUAUUACAAUUCACAUACGUAUUGUGAGUCAAAGCUUUUAAAAAUUAACUUUUCAUUUCUAGAGCAACAUCUAUUUCCAAACGGGGGAACAUUUUUCUUCGACAGCUAGCAGUUAAAUAUUGUUCCUAUUAGGAGGCCUUACAAAUAGGAGACCUCAUUUAAUUAUUUGAUGAAUGAGAAAUUGUUAUUCACCCGCAAAAAAGAGAAAAUUUUAUUUUUGCAAGAAUAUAACUGCUACCUAUAAAUCAGAUGUAAAUUAAUGGUUGGCCAGAGCUUGGCAGGACCUACCAGGAGCUUGGCCAGGACCUACCAGGAGCUGCCACAUUGCCAGUAAUCUAUGCCGACGGCCGUGCGGCAUACCUUUCACGGCGUCAACUCACCGCCUGUCAGUGGACCGCCGGGCCCACGUGUAUGCUGACAGCCCCUCUAUGCCGACGGGGACUGUCGGCACAAUGCAUGGUAUGCCGACGGCCUUUCGUUGACGAUGGUAUGCCGAUGGCCUUUCGUUGACGAUGGUAUGCCGACGGCGUUCCUAUACAGACGGUGGCAGCUAGGCCAUCGGCAUAUCUCCAUAUAUGCCUAUGGCCCUGUCUGUUGUUGCCGCGCCCAAAACCCUAGCUAGCCCUAACUCGGCUCUACCUCUCUCUCUCUCUGCGAUGCUAACCGAGGAAGAAGAAGACCGGAGGAGGGAGAGGGACACAGGGGCACGGUGGUUUUUCCCGGCGCAACGACGCCAACUCCACGAGCUCGUACUGGACACCACAACCAUUACAAUGCGCCCAUAGUGGGCUUUAUACCCGGGGCACAAACUCCACGUCUGCACCGCCCGAGCGCUCGGUCCGGCCAGCUCUGGCCGCGUCCACCCUAUGCAUGAUCGCGCCCAGGACGCGGCGAGCCCGCAACGGCCGCGACUUGGUCACCCUGACCUGCUCGCCAACGGCUGCACCUGGUCCGGCACCGCACAUGCACACACAGCGCGCGCCCUACUCUAGUCUACACAGGCACACACGCACGCCCGCCACGCUCCCAAUCUGUCCCGCGCGCGCAUGCACGCACGCCCUAUGCAAUCGCCGUGGCUUAUUUACCAACACAUACCCCCCCAAAGCCAUGGCCUAGAGGAGUCGUCGUCCUCGACUCUAGUGUCAGCCAGCAGUGCCCGCUCCGCCGCAGGUGUCUUUCGCAGCUCCGGGCAUUCGCGCUUGAAGUGGCCGCGCUCGCCACAUUUGUAGCAGCACCCGCGCCUGUUGCCGCCGCUCCCCGACGGUACGCUGCGCCCGUUGUCGUCGUCCUGUGCUCCGCCUUGCUACCGCUCCCGCGCCCGCCACUGCGCCGCCGUGAAUAGCAGCUGUCCGUCCACCCGCUGGCUCUGUCCUGCCAUGGACGCCGAACUCGCUCGUCGAACGCGCGCAACCGCCCAAGCGCUUCGUCCAACGCCAUCGUCGUCACGUCAUGGAACUGCUUGAUGCCGGCGACGAUGGGGAAGAAACGAUCUGGCACCGUAUCCUGCAGCUUUUUGAUGAGCGCUGCGUCGCCCAGCGUCUCCCUAUGGUUGGCGUACCUCGCCGUCAUCACCGCGAGUCUCCCGGCGUACACGUCGAGCUCCUCACCGACCGCCAUCUUCAGGCGGUCAAAUUCCCCGCGCAGCAUCGCCAGCCUCGCCGCGCGUACCCGAUCGGCGCCGACGAACCUCACCUUCAGGGAGUCCCAUACCUCACUGGCGGUGAGCUUCGUUGCCAUCUGCAGCAGCACGUCCUCCGGCAACGCCCCAAGCAGCAACGUGCGCGCCGUCUUUUCCUUCUGCGCAUUCACCGCCGCGUCGCCCGGAGCCACCACCUCCCACACGGUGUGCACGUCGAGGAUGGCCUGCGCCUUGAUGGCCCAGACCAUGUAGUUGUCCGCGGUCAGCAUCGGCAUCGCCAUCAUCGCCGACCCGCCCACUACUCCGCCAUGCGGCACGAUCACCAUUGCCGCCGGCGAGCUCCAACCAAAGCUCUGAUGCCAAUUGUUAUUGCCGCGCCUGAAACUCUAGCUACCCCUAGCUUUGAUCUACCUCUCUCUCUGCGAUGCGAACCGAGGAAGAACAAGACCGGAGGAGGAAGAGGGACACGGGGACACGAUGGUUUUUCCCGGCGCAACGACGCCAACUCCAUGAGCUCGUACUUGACACCACAGCCAUUACAACGCGCCCCUCGCGGGCUUUAUACCCGGGGCAAAGGCUGGGCACGAACCCCAUGUCUGCACCCGCCCGAGCGCUCGGUCCGGAUCGCUCUGGCCGAGUCCACCCCGCGCAUGAUCGCGCCCAGGACGCGGCGAGCCCGCAACGGCCCUGACUCGGUCACCCUGGCCUGCUCGCCAAUGGCUGCACCUUGUAUGGAGCCACGCAUGCACACACAGCGCGCGCCCUACCCGUCUACACACGCACACACACACGCUCGCCACGCUCCUGAUCUGUCCCGUGCGCACGCACGCGCGGCCGAUGCGAUCGCCAUGGCUUAUUUGCCAACACCGCCGGCAUAGAUUUGGCCAUCAGGACCGAUGCUUAUUCUGGUAGUGAAGUAUGCAUAAUAUUUUUCAAAUAUAGGAACCAUGCAUUUAGAUAUCAUACCAGAAUACAAUGACCCACGUCUAUCUUGUAAGCAGUCCCUGGAAGAAAUAAACACGUCAGCAUUCAUGCAUGCACGAGCGAUGAGUGUGAUGCCGACGAACUGGAACAGGAUACAAAAUAUAGGCGCAUGCGUAUGACGAGUGUGAUGAUGACGACGAAUGGUUUGUGAUGCAUGGAUCGACAGAAACAUGUAUAAGUCAUGAAGAAAGCAAUAGUAACAUUCUAAACGAUCAAGUGCUAGGCUAACGGAAUGGGUCAUGUCAAUCACAUCAUUCUCCAAAUGAUGUGCUCCCGUUAAUCAAAUGACAACACAUGUCUAUGGUUAGGAAACAUAACCAUCUUUGAUUAAUGAGCUAGUCAAGUAGAGGCAUACUAGUGACGUUUAUGUUUGUCUAUGUAUUCACACAUGUAUCAUGUUUCCGGUUAAUACAAUUCUAGCAUGAAUAAUAAACAUUUAUCAUGAUAUUUCCUUCAGUCUCCCACUUGCACUAGAGUCAAUAAUCUAGAUUACACAGUAAUGAUUCUAACACCCAUGGAGUCUUAGUGCUGAUCAUGUUUUGCUCGUGGAAGAGGCUUAGUCAACGGGUCUGCAACAUUCAGAUCCGUAUGUAUCUUGCAAAUCUCUAUGUCUCCCACCUGGACUUGGUCCCGGAUGGAAUUGAAGCGUCUCUUGAUGUGCUUGGUCCUUUUGUGAAAUCUGGAUUCCUUCGCCAAGGCAAUUGCACCAGUAUUGUCACAGAAGAUCUUCAUUGGUCCCGAUGCACUAGGUAUGACACCUAGAUCGGAAAUGAACUCUUUCAUCCAGACUCCUUCAUUUGCUGCUCUGAAGCAGCUAUGUACUCCGCUUCACAUGUAGAUCCUGCCACGACGCUUUGUUUAGAACUGCACCAACUUACAGCUCCACCGUUUAAUAAAAACACGUAUCCGGUUUGCGAUUUAGAAUCGUCCGGAUCAGUGUCAAAGCUUGCAUCGACGUAACCAUUUACGACUAGCUCUUUGUCACCUCCAUAUACGAGAAACAUAUCUUUAGUCCUUUUCAGGUAUUUCAGGAUGUUCUUGACCGCUGUCCAGUGAUCCACUCCUGGAUUACUUUGGUACCUUCCUGCCAAGCUUAUUGCUAAGCAUACGUCAGGUCUGGUACACAGCAUUGCAUACAUGAUAGAGCCUAUGGCUGAAGCAUAGGGAAUAUUUUUCAUUUUCUCUCUAUCUUCUACUGUGGUUGGGCAUUGAGUCUGACUCAACUUCACACCUUAUAAUACAGGCAAGAACCCUUUCUUUGCCUGAUCCAUUUUGAACUUUUUCAAAACUUUAUCAAGGUAUGUGUUUUGUGAAAGUCCAAUUAAGCGUCUUGAUCUAUCUCUAUAAAUCUUGAUGCCCAAUAUGUAAGCAGCUUCACGGAGGUCUUUCAUAGAAAAACUUUUAUUCAAGUAUCCCUUUAUGCUAUCCAGAAAUUCUAUAUCAUUUCCAAUUAAUAAUAUGUCAUCUACAUAUAAUAUCAGAAAUGCUACGGAGCUUCCACUCACUUUCUUGUAAAUACAGGCUUCUCCAAAAAGUCUGUAUAAAACCAUAUGCUUUGAUCACACUAUCAAAGCAUUUAUUCCAACUCCGAGAUGCUUGCACCAGUCCAUAAAUGGAUCGCUGGAGCUUGCACAGUUUGUUAGCACCUUUUGGAUCGACAAAACCUUCUGUUUGCAUCAUAUACAACUCUUCUUCCAGAAAUCCAUUCAAGAAUGCAGUUUUGACAUCCAUUUGUCAAAUUUCAUAAUCAUAAAAUGCAGCAAUUGCUAACAUGAUUCGGACAGACUUAAGCAUCGCUACGGGUGAGAAAGUCUCAUCGUAGUCAACCCCUUGAACUUGUCGAAAACCUUUCGCAACAAGUCAAGCUUUAUAGACAGUUACAUUACCAUCUGCGACAGUCUUCUUCUUAAAGAUCCAUUUAUUCUCAAUGGCUUGCCGAUGGUCGGGCAAGUCAACCAAAGUCCAUACUUUGUUCUCAUGCAUGGAUCCCAUCUCAGAUUUCAUGGCUUCUAGCCAUUUUGCGGAAUCUGGGGUCAUCAUCUCUUCCUCAUAGUUCGUAGGUUCGCCAUGGUAAAGUAACAUGACUUCCAGAAUAGGAUUCCCGUACCACUCUGGUGCGGAUCUUACUCUGGUAGACCUACGAGGUUCAGUAGAAACUUGAUCUAAAGUUUCAUGAUCAAUAUCAUUAGCUUCCUCACUAAUUGGUGUAGUUGUCACAGGAACCAGUUCUUGUGAUGGACUACUUUCCAAUAAGGGAGCAGGUACAGUUACCUCAUCAAGUUCUACUUUCCUUCCACUCACUUCUUUCGAGAGAAACUCCUUCUCUAGAAAGGAUCCGAAUUUAGACCCGACAAUCUUGCCCUCAGAUCUGUGAUAGAAGGUGUACCCAACAGUCUCUUUUGGGUAUCCUAUGAAGACACAUUUCUCCCAUUUGGGUUCGAGCUUAUCUGGUUGAAGUUUCUUCACAUAAGCAUCGCAGCCCCAAACUUUAAGAAACGACAACUUUGGUUUCUUGCCAAACCACUGUUCAUGAGGUGUCGUCUUAACGGAUUUUGAUGGUGCCCUAUUUAAAGUGAAUGUGGCCGUCUCUAAAGCAUAACCCCAAAACGAUAGCGGUAAAUCACUAAGAGACAUCAUAGAUCGCACCAUAUCUAGUAAAGUACGAUUACGACAUUCGGACACACCAUUUCGUUGUGGUGUUCCGGGUGGCGUGAGUUGCGAAACUAUUCCGCAUUGUUUCAAAUGUAAACCAAACUCGUAACUCAAAUAUUCUCCUCCACAAUCAGAUCGUAGAAAUUUUAUUUUCUUAUUACGAUGAUUUUCCACUUCACUCUGAAAUUCUUUGAACUUAUCAAAUGUUUCAGACUUGUGUUCCAUUAAGUAGAUAUACCCAUAUCUUCUCAAAUCAUCUGUGAAGGUGAGAAAAUAAUGAUACCCGCCGCGAGCCUCAAUAUUCAUUGGACCACAAACAUCAGUAUGUAUGAUUUCAAACAAAUCAGUUGCUCGCUCCAUAGUUCCAGAGAAUGGCGUUUUAGUCAUCUUGCCCAUGAGGCACGGUUCGCAAGUACCAAGUGAUUCAUAAUCAAGUGAUUCCAAAAGUCCAUCAGUAUGGAGUUUCUUCAUGCGCUUUAUACCGAUAUGACCUAAACGGCAGUGCCACAAAUAAGUUGCACUAUCAUUAUCAACUCUGCAGCUUUUGGUUUCAACAGUAUGAAUAUGUGUAUCACAACUAUCGAGAUUCAAUAAAAAUAGACCACUCUUCAAGGGUGCAUGACCAUAAAAGAUAUUACUCAUAUAAAUAGAAUAACCAUUAUUCUCUGAUUUAAAUGAAUAACCGUCUUGCAUCAAACAAGAUCCAGAUAUAAUGUUCAUGCUCAACGCUGGCACCAAAUAAUAAUUAUUUAGGUCUAAAACUAAUCCCGAUGGUAGAUGUAGAGGUAACGUGCCGACUGCGAUCACAUCGACUUUGGAACCAUUUCCCACGUGCAUCGUCACCUCGUCCUUAGCCAAUCUUCGCUUAAUCCGUAGUCCCUGUUUCGAGUUGCAAAUAUUAGCAACAGAACCAGUAUCUAAUACCCAGGUACUACUGCGAGUAUUAGUAAGGUACACAUAAUAACAUGUAUAUCACAUAUACCUUUGUUUACUUUGCCAUCCUUCUUAUCCGCCAAAUUCUUGGGGAAGUUCCGCUUCCAGUGUCCAGUCUGCUUGCAGUAGAAGUACUUAGUCUCAGGCUUAGGUCCAGACUUGGGUUUCUUCUCUUGAGCAGCAACUUGUUUGCUAUUCUUCUUGAAGUUCCCCUUCUUCUUCCCUUUUCCCUUUUGCUUGAAACUGGUGCUCUUGUUGAGCAUCAAAACUUGAUGCUCCUUCUUGAUUUCUACCUCCGUGGCUUUUAGCAUUGCGAAGAGCUCGGGAAUAGUCUUGUCCAUCCCUUGCAUAUUAUAGUUCAUCACGAAGCUCUUGUAGCUUGAUGGCAGUGAUUGAAGAAUUCUGUCAAUGACAUUAUCAUCAGGAAGAUUAACUCCCAGUUGAAUCAAGUGAUUAUUAUACCCAGACAUUUUGAGUAUGUGUUCACUGACAGAACUAUUCUCCUCCAUCUUGCAGCUAUAGAACUUAUUGGAGACUUCAUAUGUCGGAGUAAUGGGCCACGGGUAGGCUGACCCGAGCCCGAGAACCUUUCAAGACAUCGGGGCAGGCCGCGCCCCUCAAAGUCGAGUCUCAGAUGACGACUCCCAGAUGAACCGAGUCUCAGAUGACGACUCCCAGAAAGCCGAGUCUCAGAUGACGACUCCCAGAUGAACCGAGUCUCAGAUGACGACUCCCAGAUGAGCCGAGUCUCAGAUGACGACUCCCAGAUGAGCCGAGUCUCAGAUGACGACUCCCAGAUGGGCCGACUCAUGGCCGGCGACUCCCAGAUGGGCCGACUCAUGGCCGGCGACUUCCAGAGGAGCCGGCUAUGGAGAGUCGGCCCACGACUCUACACUCAUUACGGGUGCGACCACGGCGUGGCCGUCACCUCCUGCUUGCGAGGAGCCGGCGUGGCUACAGUGUGCCGUACCGCCGGAGAUCUCCGGCGUGGCUCGGCACUGUAGCCAUGCCAGACCUGACCUCGGCCAAUGUGCGCGGCGCACUGUGGCCACGAUGGCCUACCUAUACGGCUCAGAGGCGGCGGACUCGCCAGUCAGUGAGAGCUAGAAGACGACGGAUACACUCCGAAGGCGGCCCCGUGGGAGUCGGCUCCCCGGAGUCGGCCAGCCCCUCUCACGGGUCCCACGCGCCAUUAACCAGACAAGAUGGGGAGCAACGACAGUGAUCGCCCGAUAGACGGCGGCACUGUUGCCACGACCCAAUGACCAAGCCUGCGCCAUCAGAGGCACGGCUACAAUGCCGAACUCGCCGGCGGGGCCCGCAAGUCGGCGGGCCCCAUUAGUCGGCGGAGAAGACGGCGACCUGUGAGACAGACGGCUGGGACCCGUGCCCAGCCGGAUUACCAUUGUAUCCCCGGGGGGUAGGCCUAUAUAAACACCCCGGGGCACCCAUGCAAAGGGUUCGCUGCCAUUAGCCUUAGACCCGAUCGUAUAGGAAGAAGAGGGCUAGCCUUGCCUCCUUCUACCUCCAGAAUACAGCUCUAGGAGCAACCUUGUAGUCACUAUGCCUUAGUGAUCAUGCGGAGACCCUGCAGAGCAGCAGUAGGGGUGUUAUCUCCCCGGAGAGCCCCCGAAGCUGGGUAAGAUUCGCCGGCGUGCAUGCCUUCGCCUAAUCCCGUUUCCUGGCACCGGCGACGUUCUACUCGCUCCCACCAUGAUAAGCCAUCCUUUGGCAUACGUCGCACCCAACCCCCGACAUCAUAUCUCUCAAUCCGGGCAUUUGCUUGAAAUAUUAACUUCAACUCCUGGAACAUCUCAUAUGCUCCAUGACGUUCAAAACAUCGUUGAAGACCCGAUUCUAAGCCGUAAAGCAUGGCACAUUGAACUAUCGAGUAGUCAUCAGCUUUGCUCUGCCAGACGUUCUUAACGUCGUUAGUUGCAUCAGCAGCAGGCCUAGCACCCAGCGGUGCUUCCAGGACGUAAUUCUUCUGUGCAGCAAUGAGGAUAAUCCUCAGGUUACGGACCCAGUCCAUGUAAUUGCUGCCAUCAUCUUUCCACUUUGCUUUCUCAAGGAGCGCAUUAAAAUUCAACUGAACAACAGCACGAGCCAUCUAUCUACAACAAACAUAGACAAGCAAAAUACUAUCAGGUACUAAGUUCAUGAUAAAUUUAAGUUCAAUUAAUCAUAUUACUUAAGAACUCCCACUUAGACAGACAUCUCUCUAGUCAUCUAAGUGAUCACGUGAUCCAAAUAAACUAAACCAUGUCCGAUCAUCACGUGAGAUGGAGUAGUUUCAAUGGUGAACAUCACUAUGUUGAUCAUAUCUAAUAUAUGAUUCACGUUCGACCUUUCGGUCUCCGUGUUCUGAGGCCAUAUCUGUUAUAUGCUAGGCUCGUCAAGUUUAACCUGAGUAUUCCGCGUGUGUAACUGUUUUGCACCCGUUGUAUUUGAACGUAGAGCCUAUCACACCCGAUCAUCACGUGGUGUCUCAGCACGAAGAACUUUCGCAACGGUGGAUACUCAGGGAGAACACUUCUUGAUAAUUUUUAGUGAGAGAUCAUCUUAAAAUGCUAUCGUCAAUCAAAGCAAGAUAAGAUGCAUAAAGGAUAAACAUCACAUGCAAUCAAUAUAAGUGAUAUGAUAUGGCCAUCAUCAUCUUGUGCUUGUGAUCUCCAUCUCCGAAGCACCGUCGUGAUCACCAUUGUCACCGGCGCGACACCAUGAUCUCCAUCGUAGCAUCGUUGUCGUUACGCCAUCUAUUGCUUCUACGACUAUCGCUACAGCUUAGUGAUAAAGUAAAGCAAUUAUAGGGCGUUUGUAUUCCAUACAAUAAAGCGACAACCAUAUGGCUCCUGCCAGUUGCCGAUAACUUCGGUUACAAAACAUGAUCAUCUCAUACAAUAAAAUAUAGCAUCACGUCUUGACCAUAUAACAUCACAACGUGCCCUGCAAAAACAAGUUAGACGUCUUCUACUUUGUUGUUGCAAAUUUUACAUGGCUGCUAUGGGCUGAGCAAGAACUGUUCUUACCUACGCAUCAAAACAACAACGAUAGUUCGUCAAGUUAGUGCUGUUUUAAGCUUCGCAAGGACCGGGCGUAGCCACACUCGGUUCAACUAAAGUUGGAGAAACAGACACCCGCUAGUCACCUGUGUGCAAAGCACGGCGGUAAAACCAGUCUCGCAUAAGUAUACGCGUAAUGUCGGUCCGGGCCGCUUCAUCCAACAAUACCGCUGAACCAAAGUAUGACAUGCUGGUAAGCAGUAUGACUUGUAUCGCCCACAACUCACUUGUGUUCUACUCGUGCAUAUAACAUCAACACAUAAAACCUGGCUCGGAUGCCACUGUUGGGGAACGUAGUAAUUUCAAAUAUUUCCUACGCACACGCAAGAUCGUGGUGAUGCAUAGAAACGAGAGGGGAGAGUGUUGUCCACGUACCCUCGUAGACCGUAAGCAGAAGCGUUAUGACAACGCGGUUGAUGUAGUCGUACGUCUUCACGAUCCGACCGAUCCAAGCACCGAACGUACGACACCUCCGAGGUCAGCACACGUUCAGCUCGAUGACGAUCUCCGGACUCCGAUCCAGCAGGGUGUCGGGGAUGAGUUCCGUCAGCACAACGGCGUGGUGACGAUGAUGAUGUUCUACCAACGCAGGGCUUCGCCUAAGCACCGCAACGAUAUGACCGAGGUGGAAUAUGGUGGAGGGGGGCACCGCACACGGCUAAGGAACGAUCACGAAGAUAACUUGUGUGUCUAGAGGUGCCCCUUGCCCCCGUAUAUAAAGGAGGGAGGGGGAGGUGCGGCCGGCCCCCCAGGGGUGCGCCUGGAGGAGUCCUACUCCCACCGGGAGUAGGACUCCCCCCUCUUGCCUGGGUGGAGAAGGAAAGGGGGGCGUCGCCCCCCCCCCCUUCCUUGUCCAAUUCGGACUAUGGGGGGAGGGGGCGCGCGGCCUGCCCUAGCCGGCCCUCCUCUUCUCCCUCAUGGCCCAUGUAGGCCCAAUAACCCCCCCCCGGGGGGGGGGAGUCCGGUAACACCCCAGUACUCCGGAAAAAUCCCGGUUUCUCCCGGAACAAUUCCGAUAUCCAAAUAUAGGCUUCCAAUAUAUCAAUCUUUAUGUCUCGACCAUUUUGAGACUCCUCGUCAUGUCCGGGAUCACAUCCGGGACUCUGAACAACCUUCGGUACAUCAAAACAUAUAAACUCAUAAUAAAUUUGUCAUUGUAACGUUAAGCGUGCGGACCCUACGGGUUCGAGAACUAUGUAGACAUGACCUAGAACUAUUCUCGGUCAAUAACCAAUAGCGGAACCUGGAUGCUCAUAUUGGCUCCCACAUAUUCUACGAAGAUCUUUAUCGGUUAAACCGCAUAACAACAUACGUUGUUCCCUUUGUCAUCGGCAUGUUACUUGCCCGAGAUUCGAUCGUCGGUAUCUAAUACCUAGUUCAAUCUCGUUACCGGCAAGUCUCUUUACUCGUUACGUAAUGCAUCAUUCCAUAACUAACUCAUUAGCUACAUUGCUUGCAAGGCUUAUAGUGAUGUGCAUUACCGAGAGGGCCCAGAGAUACCUCUCCGACAAUCGGAGUGACAAAACCUAAUCUCGAAAUAAGCCAACCCAACAUGUACCUUUGGAGACACCUGUAGAGCUCUUUUAUAAUCACCCAGUUACGUUGUGACGUUUGGUAGCACCCAAAGUGUUCCUCCGGUAAACGGGAGUUGCAUAAUCUCAUAGUUACAGGAACAUAUAUAAGUCAUGAAGAAAGCAAUAGCAACAUACUAAAUGAUCAAGUGCUAGGCUAACGGAAUGGGUCAUGUCAAUCACAUCAUUCUCCUAAUGAUGUGAUCCCAUUAAUCAAAUGACAACACAUGUCUAUGGUUAGGAAACAUAACCAUCUUUGAUUAAUGAGCUAGUCAAGUAGAGGCAUACUAGUGACGUUUAUGUUUGUCUAUGUAUUCACACAUGUAUCAUGUUUCCGGUUAAUACAAUUCUAGCAUGAAUAAUAAACAUUUAUCAUGAUAUGAGGAAAUAAAUAAUAACUUUAUUAUUGCCUCUAGGGCAUAUUUCCUUCAUUUGUCACCUCCAUAAACGAGAAACAUAUCCUUAGUCCUUUUCAGGUAUUUUAGGAUGUUCUUAAACGCUGUCUAGUGAUCCACUCCUGGAUUACUUUGGUACCUCCCUGCUAAACUUAUUGCUAAGCAUACAUCAGGUCUGGUACACAGCAUUGCAUACAUGAUAGAGCCUGUGGCUGAAGCAUAGGGAACAUCUUUCAUUUUCUCUCUAUCUUCUGCUGUGGUCGGGCAUUGAGUCUGACUCAACUUCACCCCUUGCAAUACAGGCAAGAACCCUUUCUUUGCCUGAUCCAUUUUGAACUUUUUCAAAACUUUAUCAAGGUAUGUGCUUUGUGAAAGUCCAAUUAAAUGUCUUGAUCUAUCUCUAUAGAUCUUGAUGCCCAAUAUGUAAGCAGCUUUACCGAGGUCUUUCAUUGAAAAACUUUUAUUUAAGUAUCCCUUUAUGCUAUCCAGAAAUUCUAUAUCAUUUCCAAUUAACAAUAUGUCAUCUACAUAUAAUAUCAGAAAUGCUACGGAGCUCCCACUCACUUUCUUGUAAAUACAGGCUUCUUCAAAAGUCUGUAUAAAACCAUAUGCUUUGAUCACACUAUCAAAACUUUUAUUCCAACUCCGAGAUGCUUGCACCAGUCCAUAAAUGGAUCGCUGGAGCUUCCACACUUUGUUAGCACCUUUUGGAUCGACAAACCUUCCGGUUGCAUCAUAUACAACUCUUCUUCCAGAAAUCAUCGUGCACACAAAAAUAGUUCAGUGUGUAGUAAAAAAAAGGUAGACAUGUAUUCUUUCAAAGGCAAAAGAAAAUACAGGAAAAUAGAAAAAAAUGAAAACGUCAUGGAAUCUUUCGAAAACUGGCCAAAACUGAUAGAAGGUUCCACAAACAUGUCUAUACAAGCUUCCAAAAAACGCAAAAUCUCUAGCUAACACAAUUACUGGGCCGGUGCACCAUGUCGAUCUCCAUAGGCAAGCAUAAGUUAUGUCUCAGAUUAAGCGCUUUUAGCAAUUGCGGUAGGAGAGGCCCAGGAGCAGAUGGACCGUGUGGCCUAGCAUUGUAGGGGUCAAUUCCUAGCACAAUCGGAUGCACAUGAAGGUCGAGGCCUAGUGCCCCAGCUUGCACUAGUGAUAUACAACUGAUGUAUUUCCUGUAAAAAUUGUAUCAACCAAGUUCUCAUUGAGGUGUACUUGUCUUUCAGUGUUGUGGAUAAAUCCCCAAGCUUGCUUUUCUAGAAGAGCCUGAUUAAAAGUUCUCAUGUCUCUCAAACCCAUGCCUCCCAUAGUUUUCUGAAGAAUCUUUUUGUCCCAAGCAAGCUAGGCCAUCUUUCUUUUACCCUUCUUCACUCCCCACAUGUAGGAUCUUCACCGGCAAACAACCUUGCAAACAAUGGAGACCGCUGUAGCACAUUGAUGUCACUGUGACUUCUGAGACAUUGGCAUGCUAAAGAAAGAGUGACAAAUCUUGUGGUCUUCAUGCAAGUGCUUCAAUAUUGAUGUGGGAAUUUUAUGAUGGCCCUAGUAUUUCCUUUGUUCGGUAUAUGGGCAGUUCUUACAUUUUUAGUGCAUGCAAUCUUGGGAUCCGAGCAUACCUAGAAACGCUCUUGAUUCUCUAAGUACCAUGAGCCUUGUUGUGUCUUUGGCAUUUUGUUCUCCGAAGUUCCUGGGUUCAACACCUUGACCAUUGCGGUUGAAAAUCUAACAAUUGCCUUUAGGCUUGUGCUCUCAGAUAUCUAAAGAUAUGAAUCCCAUGAAUUUGCGGUUGUGCCAUACACAAGUAUGCUCAUAGAAGCCAUGCACUCCUGGAGACCAAAAAACUGUAUCUUCAACAACUUGAAGUAAACAUCAUAACACCCGACACCUUGCAUCAUAUGCAAGAACAAUGGUCGUUGUAUUCGGAACCAACAUAAAAUAAGUGUUAGAAUAGCGCAUCAGGGGCAAAUUAGUCCUCCAGAACAUGCCCAUGUGCGCAAUGUCGGUUCAACGCUUGAUGUCCCAACGUUGAACUCUUGAAGUUGAGAACAUGCUCAUCCACACGGUUUGUUACUUCAAUAAUUGCCAUCAUCUCCGGUCCAUAGCCAUCUUCCUCAUAUGAUGAAGGCAAAUCCAUGAAUUCAACUUAGAAGUACUCCUCUUCAUAAUCCAUUGUGUUUGCGUCACAGGAAAAAAAGACAGUGCCUAGAAAUUUCGCUAUGGCAUUUGACCAACCAGUUGCCAUGCACGGCCUCAUCCAUGGAUGCCGUCAACUGGAGUGUAGGGUACGUGGGCUAUGAAUGAAUCUGCUGGAGUGUGGCGGUGGCAUAGAACUAGGCGAGUAGACGCAUGGAUGGAGCGGUAGAGGUCUGUUAAUGCCUGGUCAGUAGUGGGAAUGGGGGUACUGGGGCAUCGUUGUUCUCAAGGAGCCGAUGAGGAGGGCAGGAUUGUGAAAAUAUGCAGGCUCUGGAUGAGGUCUGGGGUAGGUUCGGUGUGUCGGAGUCCGCUGUGGCGGAAGUAUGGACUCCCCCAAAGCUCACUCGAUCUGGGUCGGUCUGUGGGAUUUCGAACCCCCGGACCGAUUCGUUCCAAUUUGGUUGUCCACGGUUGAUGCCUAAAAGUGUCCAAACAACCCGGUCCAAACAUUUGUGAGCGUUUGUAGUCUAAAGCUAAGCUCAUGCUUCAUAGGAUAGCGUUUGUUUUCUGUUUAAGUAAGUGCUUGCAUGCGGUCAAUGUGACACACCCAUGCAGCUAGAUAGUGGGACGGUGCGCCAUGCGAGCACAAGUUAUGUCUCAAAACAAGAGAUUUUUAGCAUUUGAGGUAGGAGAGGACAAGGAGCAGAUGGACCGUGUGGCCUAGCAUUGUAGCCGUUGUUUCCUAGCCCAAUCUGAUGUACCUAAAGGCGAAGGCCUAGUGCCCCAGCUGGCACUAGUGCCAUACAACUGACACAUUUUCUAUAAAAACUGUAUCAACCAAGUUCUCAUUGGGGUACUACUUCUCCAUCAGUAGUCGUGCCACAAGACUAUCCAGAUUCUGGAUUAAUCUCCAUGCUUGCUUGGCUAGAAGAGCCCGAUUAUAAGUUCUCAUGUCUCUAAAACCCAUGCCUCCCAUAGAUUUGGAAGGAUCUUCUUGUCCAAAGCGAGCUAGGCCAUCUUUCUUUUAACCUUCCCGACUUCCCACAUGUAGAAUCUUAGCCCGCAGACAACACUGCUAACAAUGGAGACCAAUGCAACACGUUGGUGUCAUUGUGACUUGUGAGACCCUGGCAUGCCAAACAAAGAUUGUCAAAUCCCAAAAUCUUCUGAUGCAAAUGCUUCAAUAAUGACGGUGGGAGUUUUAUUAUGGCCCUAGUAUUUCCUUUGUUGAGUACACGAGCAGUUCUUCCAUUUUGUGUGCAUGCAAUCUUUGUCUCCAGAAGUGUUAGAAUAGCACAUCAGGGGCAAAGUAGUCCUCGUACAGAUAAACAUGCCCAUGUGACUACCAUCGAUUCAACGCUUGAUGUCCAAACAUGAAGUUGGCAACAUGCUCCUCCGCACGCUUUAUUUCUUCAAGAAUCGCCAUCAUCGCCUCCAUUUGAUACCCAUCUUCCUCAUCUAACGAAGGCAAAUCCAUGAAUUCAACCUAGAAGUACUCCUCGUCAGAAUCCAUUGUGUUUGUGUCAAAGCAAAAAACAACAACACCAGGAAAUUUCGCUAUGGCAUUUGACCGACCAGUUGUCGUGCACUGCCUCCGCAAUGGAUGUCGUCGACAGGGGCGGAGGGUACAUGGGCUAUGGCCAAAUCCAGCGGAUUGCAGUAGCGGCAUAGGCCUAGGCGAGCAGACGCAUGUGUAGAGCGGCAGAGGUCUGUCAAGGCAUGGUCAGUGUCAGUUGGGAAUAUGCAGGCUCUGGGUGAGGUUCAGGGUGUUGGAGUCCGCGGUGGCGGGAGUCUGGACUCCCCAACUCCCUCGAUUUGGGGCAUGUAUGUGGGAUUUCAAACACCCGGACCGACCCGUUCCAAUUUGGUGGUCUGUGGUUGGUGUCUAAAAGUCUCCGAACAUUUGCGACCGUUUUGGUGUCCGCGUUGAAGAUGCCCUUACGAGUAGAACAUGCAUCAUCUCAAAGAGAGUCAUGAAACCAAGUUUCAAAGAAAACAUCGUGGAAACCAUGUUUGGAAGUUUCAAAAAAAUCUGGAAGAAUGGGAUAUUAAGAGGGUGUUGUUCUAUUGACACGCGAAAUUCCAAGUUCAAACACAUUACCAUUUAUGAGCUAUAAAAAGAACACAUUCAGAUAUUAAUCUUGAUGUUUACUGUUUGGCAAUAUUCAAUGUUGAUUUUGUUUUUCUUCUGUACCUCAUAAACUGCAAUGUGUUUGAACUUGGGAAUUUCACAUGCUAAUAGAACAUCACCCUACUAUAUCGCUUGGUUUUUUAAGAAUUUUUUUGAGACUUUAAUACAUAGUUUCCGCAUGGUUUUCAUUGGUUUCCACCCGAACUUUGUUUUCAUGUGAUAGCCUAUCCUUCUUCAAAAGAAAAAUAAAAGGUAGAAGCUGCCACGCAUGCACAGCCCCGGAGAUACAACCACAUUGUUAGACAACUUCAACAUACUUUUAUUCCACGUACAUAUGCAUGCACAUAUAUAUGCAUGGCUGGGACAGUAUUAAUUUUAACCACACAACACCGCACACUUAUACGAUUACCUAGUGAACACUGUUGCAUGCAUGCAUGCCUGCAGGAAAAUCUAGCAUGAAACAUGCACGAGACUGAGAUAUAAGAUGAACUGGAACGCAAACUUGCAAAGAGCACAGAUGAUCGAUCAGCGCCGGCAGGUGUGGUUUGAUUCGCAUGGAAUCUUGCACUGGUUGAGGAGGGCGACGACGUCGACGUGGAUCAGCCCGUGGAGGACGACCACGUCACAGAGGCACGCGGCAGCGUCCAGGCCGGCCAACUCGCCCAGCAGCUGGCAGCACGGUUCAUACGGCGACACGCCGAGGCUGACAAUCGGCACGCUCAGCAGGCUCAAGCACACGCCCAGAUCCGGGCACGAGCCACCGCUGGUUGAUGGUGGUGGCGGUGACGGCGGCGGUGGGGGCGGCGGGCAUGACGGAGGUGGUGGUGACGGCGGUGGGGUCUGGCAGUUGUAUCCGCCGCAACCGUGCACGAUGGAGACCGUCAAUGCCAUGGCAAGGAGGAGGAGGACGAGCUUGCACGAGGGCGUCAUUGCGAGAGCUUUGAUUGAGGGGAAGCUAGUGAGACGUGUAUGUGAUUGUGGUGCUGUAUAUGUCUUUGGGUUGUUGUGGGGUGGUAUUUAUAGCCGGAUUGUACAUGAUGCAAGAGGGUGUGUUACGAUCGAAUUUGACUCUAGCCAACUUAAACCACAAAGCACGUACGUGUACCCUCAUGGAUCGAUGCUCUGACCCUAGGUACCUUUUUUUACAACAGGCCACGCUGCUUAAGUACAGGUGCCCUCAUGGCCGGCACUAGCUCUCAUUAUAGUGAACAUACAGUACAGCUGUACACGCAUGCAUGUGCAGAGCGAGCGAUAAGCUAAAGCGGGGCCAAGUCAACUAUAUGCUCCAUAGCAUAGCUUUGGCUCCUCUCCUCAUACGUGGCACAAAAUUGGUAGUAGCCUCCCCCGGAUAGGAUUCUAACAAUCCGGGACUAGCUACUAUAGAUGUGAUUUGGUAUAAUUUGAUUUGGAUUUUCCUUGAUCGAUGCACACAGGUGGACUAAUUAGGUAGGUACGCAUGUAGCGAACCAACCUAUGGGCUAUGGUUAGAUGGUUAGAGAGACUGUGGUAUACCCAGCCCACCAGGUUCAAAUCUUGGUGCUCGCAUUUAUUCCUAGGAUGACUUCGUAAAUUUCAAGAUGAUAAGCCGGCAUCUGCUUAGUCUUUCGGAGGUGCUCAUAGGGGUAGGAUGUGCGUGCAGGGGCGGACGCACGUUAAAAACCGUGGGGGCAGACGCUCCCACUCGAUUUUGACAUACGCUUUAUAUACUGGUCCUGCCUAUGUGAGUGUGCCCCCGCUUGGCCCAAUACAUUUACCCCCACUCAGCCCAGUUAUUUGUUUAUUUUCAAAGCUACAUUACGCCAAAUUUGUAAAUGCAGCCCACCAUCAAAGAACUAGCAGACUUAAGAGAUACUAGGCUACACCCAAUAUUUUAAUCGUUAUGUCUCGACCAUUUCGAGACUCCUCGUCACGUCUGUGAUCUCAUCCAGGACUCCGAACAAACUUCGGUACAUCAAAACACAUAAACUCAUAAUACUGAUCGUCAUCAAACGUUAAGCGUGCGGACACUACGGGUUCGAGAACUAUGUAGACAUGAUCGAGACUCACUUCCGGUCAAUAACCAAUAGCGGAACUUGGAUGCUCAUAUUAGUUCCUCAUAUUCUACGAAGAUCUUUAUCGGUCAAACCGCAUAACAAUAUACGUUGUUCCCUUUGUCAUCGGUAUGUUACUUGCCUGAGAUUUGAUCGUUGGUAUCUCAAUACCUAGUUCAAUCUCGUUACCGGCAAGUCUCUUUACUCGUUUCGUAAUACUUCAUCCCGCAACUAACUCAUUAGUUAUGAUGCUUGCAAGGCUUAUAGUGAUGAGUAUUACCGAGAGGGCCCAGAGAUACCUCUCCGAAACACGGAGUGAUAAAUCCUAAUCUUGAUUUAUGCCAACCCAACAAACACCUUCGGAGACACCUGUAGAGCACCUUUAUAAUCACCCAUUUACGUUGUGACGGUUGGUAGCGCACAAAAUGUUCUUCCGGUAUUCGGGAGUUGCGUAAUCUCAUAGUCUGAGGAACUUUUAUAAGUCAUGAAGAAAGCAGUAGCAAUGAAACUGAAACGAUCAUAAUGUUAAACUAACAGAUGGGUCAUGUCCAUCACAUCAUUACCCCGUUCAUCAAAUGACAACACAUGUCUAUGGUUAGGAAAUAUAACCAUCUUUGAUUAACGAGCUAGUCAAGUAUAGGCAUAUUAGCACUACAAGAAAUAUGUCAACUUGCGACCUUGACUAUUGGUCACUAAAUGGUCAUUAUUUUCCAUUUGUGACCUUUUUGUGACCAAAAACAGAUGGUCAAAAGCUGGCAGUCGUAAACUGAAAUUAACGACCUUCUCUAUGAGAAGGUCGUAGACGUUUACGACCAAAAUAUGCCUACUGUUUUGUUUUGGUCACUAGCAACCUCCACAGGCCACGUAGGCAUCCAACAUGGUAAGCUGAUGUGGCACAAGAAUCAGCCCGGUCCAUUUCGGUGCUUUAGAUGGGCCGAGCCCAUUAAUUCAUCCUUUUUAAUAUAUAUUUUUCUGUUAAUUUUCGCUAGCUACAUGGCCUUGGGCCAUUGAUUCGGCCUUUUUUGCUUUCUGAGAUACGACCUUUUCACAUUCUAUAUAAUUUUGGUUUUCGGGUUUUCUUUUUUUGUUUUGUUACAUUCAAUAUUCAGAUUAUUGUACUCAACUGGGUUUUCGAUUCAGGUUUUAAUUUUUCACAACUUGUAACUCAACGAUAUACCAAGCAGAGAACACAUUAAAAAUAUAUUCAAAUAACAACCAAAUCACCGAUAUACCAAACAAGUUUAUUACAUUCCACCUAUCAUAAUAUAACCAUACAAUAUUACACCAAUCACAGUAUAGCACUCUAUAGAUAAAACGCUCAACAAGUACACGCACAUCUCCAACAGCUUAGCGCCUUGAACCUGCAAAACAUCACAUCAAACCACAUAUUAACGAUCAAAUCAAUUCACCCCUUGACGGCAAUAAAAACUGUGCUCAUGUAUGAACGAAAAUAAAAUAAACAAUCUUUGAGGCCAUAGCAUGUGCUACAAAAAUCUUAACAAAUGCAUAGAUAUCCACACGAAGCACAUCCUACAUGCACCAAGCAUCAGGCAUAUGUUCAAGAAGAUAAGUAAUUUGAGAUGGAAACAAGUACAUCUAACAAUCUAACAUGUGUAGUAGCACCAACAAAAAGAGCGAGACAUGGAAGAAUUUACAAGAACAGAAACCUGGGAGUCCAAUUACAUGUACAUGAGCUACUGCUGCUAGUGUAUAUAGAACCAAUCAAGCUGCUGGUGUAGGAGCAGAGCAUGAGUCCAACAGAGCCACAUAGGAGCAAACAACAGAGCCACAUAGGAGCAAACAACAGAUUAAGCACUGCUCCUAACCAACUUAGCAAAUCGAGAGCAACCCCAUACCACCAGAGCAUCACAGGAGCACAUAUAUAAAUCAAGUACACAUGGGCAGCUACUGACAGACCCUAGAACCGCAUGAAUUUAUCACCAGAGAGCUCCAGUAGGCGUUGAUGCUUGGUUACAGCAUCUAGCAGCAGCUAGCAGAGCCCCACAUCCAACCCAAAUCAUGGCCAAGGCCAUGCAGGAGCUAUAUCAGAGAAGAAGGAACGGGGAGGAGCUCACCAAAGGAAGGUUGUAGCCAUAGCAGAGGCUCAGCCACACCACGGCUGUGGUGCGACCAUCACCACAUCGAGGAGAGGGUCUGGAAGCAACCGAAGCACCACCGCGGCGACCAGGGCAAGCGCUGGGCAUAGUGGCGCCACCCCAGGGACAUCACCGCACGGACAUCACCGGCCUCGCCCUGUUUCAAGACUCGAUCAAUUCUGAAGAAACCACUUCGUCGUCAGACACAUACAUACAUACAAGAUGCAAAAGAAGAAGAAACAUAGCAGGGACCUGGUCGAUCAUGAGAUAGUGUUCAUAUCAUUAGGAAGAAAUAGGCCAUUGUAUAGCUCACAUAAACAGAUCUGCUACUAUGCACAACACAAGCACCCACUUGCACUUGGUAUAUUUCUGUAUCUAGGACACCCAACACUCACAACACUUGGGCUAGUCUAAUGUAUAGACUUGUUUGCAAUAGGAGCCAAUGGAACUGAAACAGAAGUAGCACGUGAACAAACAGCGAAAGAAAUAGAAGGACGACCUUGUGUGGUGGCCGGGGUGGACGAGGGUGUCCUCCUAGUCAGCUCAGGCGUCCUCCUGCACCAAAUCAAACAGAAAAAUCUUGAAGCAUGUCGAAUAACUAAACGUACGUGUAUAUAUAUAUAUAAUAUAGAAGCAACAGAAGCACAUAUAUAUCCUAUUUCUUCCACAAAGUGUGUAUAUAGAUAGGUCAGAUUUUUGAAUGCAUUGUUGUUGUAAAAAACAAAUAUGUUGUUGAGGAAUUUGACUAGAUUUUAGAUAUGUUAAGCAGAGGCAAGAUUUUAGAUAUGUUAAGCAGAGGCAAGAUAUGCUCCAGCAGCCUGACCACUGAUGUCAGUUAGUUUCAGCAAACAUCAAAUUUUUUGCUUGCUUGGUUUUAUUAUCAUCAGCCUGCAACUCUGCAUUAAGGCUUUCCUUUUGUUUUUGGUGUUGUUUGCUAUGUCAGGUUGAAAUGAAGAUGGCAACCAGACCAACUUAAAACCAACUAUAUACAUGGUGUUAUUUCAAGUGUAAGCAGACUGAAAAUCUGACAUUGUUUGUCAUCACACCGUAUUGUGCUGCAAGUAAACUGUGUGUCUAGUUCUUGUGAAGUGUGUUAAUGUUGCUCCUACCUGACUAGCUCCUAGAGCUUUGGAUUCACAUGAUGCGUUGUGUACUCGCCGUGAAAAGAUCAGUGCGUGAUUAUUGAUCAACAGAACAACUCUAUGUACUCCCUCUGAUCUGAAUUAUGUUGUAGUAGUUGCGUCAAUUAUUUCAGAUAGGAGGGAGUAACAGUUCUUUUUGAAAAGAAAAGAAAAACCUAUGCAACAGUUGUUGUGAUGUCCUGUGAGCUCUGCUCUGAACAAGUAACCAUCAACAGACUGCAGAACCUGUGUGACAGGGAUCGCGCAUCUCACAAUCCGGCACCAGUUACUAACUACCAGCAUCAGCAGAAAACCAAUAGCUGCACGUGUAACUCGCUGCCCUCACGGGCAAAAGGACGAACAAAUUCGGAGCCCGGAAAGGCUCAUGCGUUUCUGCACGGGAAAAUCGGCCGGAGAAAGGUACUGCUUUAUGGUUGGGUAGCAAGGAGGGGAGGGGGCGAGGCACUCACGCAGUGUUCGCGACAGAGACCCACUGCGUCGUGGGCGGGCUGAGGUACGCCGACGCGCUGUAGACGAUGCCGCUUCCCCGGCUCCGGCACGGCCGCGCCGCGCCCGUUCCUAGGGGCCGCGGCCUCAGCCGCAAAGCGGCACAUCCCCUGCAUACACAUAGAUGUUAGAUCACGCACCGGCGCGGUGGGUAAGCGAAUCACACGGACGGAAGGAGAGCGCGCGCUGAAGGAACCCGGCAAGCAGCCUCUCCUCAACGCGGCCGUCCGCGGGGCGGGGGAGUAGCCCGCAUUCCGGGCGGGCCGGGCCGUCCGCAGCGGCACGGAGCAGGGCGUCGUGGUGGGGAUCGCGAGGCGCAGUGAGAUGGACAUGGUCGCGGUCCCUCUCUCUCUCGGCCGACCGGGUUCGUCGGAGCUGGAAGCCUCGCCGGUGGAUGAUUGGCACUAGCCUCACCAAAGAUGGCAACCACAGAUGAGGGAGGUUUGGGUGCAGCGUGACGGAAGGAGGGUGCCGCCACCGGUGACGGGAGGGAUGAGGUCGGCGACGGUGGGUGAGGAGGACGACGAGGUCGGCGGUGGGGAGAGGACUGGAUCGGGAGNNNNNNNNNNNNNNNNNNNNNNNNNNNNNNNNNNNNNNNNNNNNNNNNNNNNNNNNNNNNNNNNNNNNNNNNNNNNNNNNNNNNNNNNNNNNNNNNNNNNNNNNNNNNNNNNNNNNNNNNNNNNNNNNNNNNNNNNNNNNNNNNNNNNNNNNNNNNNNNNNNNNNNNNNNNNNNNNNNNNNNNNNNNNNNNNNNNNNNNNNNNNNNNNNNNNNNNNNNNNNNNNNNNNNNNNNNNNNNNNNNNNNNNNNNNNNNNNNNNNNNNNNNNNNNNNNNNNNNNNNNNNNNNNNNNNNNNNNNNNNNNNNNNNNNGGCGGCGGCGCGAGGAGAUGGGGACGAUUGAGGAGGGGUGCGAUGGGAUCUAACCGGAAGAGACUGGGUGGUGGAAGGGAGGGGCAACGGAGGAGGAAUCUAGAUCGGGAAGGGGGAGGCGGCGAGGAGAUGGGGACGAGGGAGGAAGGGGGCGACGGGGGUAGGGGUCGAUCUAAGCUAGGGUUUGGGCUACAGGUGGGGGGUAUCUCCUUUUUUCUCUGUAGAUGAAUGGAUGGAUGUGGGAUGGAGAGAUGGAUGGAUGGAUGGAUGGACGCCAUGUCAUCGAUCCUUGGACAGAGUUAUGAUUGGUUCAGAAAAUCAGUGAUGUAAAAUAGUUUUCAAAUACUACAAAUAGAGGGAUUUUAUUAAGUAGCUAUCAAAAAUAUUUUGCAAAAGGGCACCACACAAACUUUCACUAGAGUUAGACCACAUUUUAUGGAUUAGAACCAAUUUGUAUGCAUUUUUCAUAUUUCUAGCUAUUUUUAAUCAUUUUCCGAGUGGCAAAAAUAUUUUUUUUGAAGAACCUACCAAAAAUUGUUGCAAAAUUGCACCAAAUAAAUUUUCUAAAAUAUUAGGCCAUAUUUAAUACAUAAUUGACCAAAUGGUUGGAUGUCAAAAGUUUUCAUCCACCUCUCGUGAAAAAGACAAAUUUCUGCCGGUUCAGUUGGAAGCGGGUCAAAUUUGAACUGCAGCUGCCUCAUAGUUUGCUCUUUCUUUUUUUCAAAAAAUCAUUUUUAGGUACAAAAUUAUCUAUCUAAUCAUAGAAACACCAAAAAAAUUCCAAGAUUCAACCACUAGCUAGGAACGGUCACUCCCGUCAUUUUGGCCGCAUUUUGAAACAGGCAUAAAAAAUUAAAAAAAAAUCAAAAAAUUGGAAAACCUUCGCAUUGUUUCAUCAUGUGUGGCCAAGUUACUGGCAAAAAUUAUAAACUUGUAAUACGGCAAUUAUUUUAUAAAAGUGUUCUCAGAAAUGAGCUAUCAUGCAUGAAGAUUCAUGACUUUCAAGCCAAAUGAUCAAUCUUAUGGCCACAUUCAUGGCAUAGUUUGUUAAAAUGAUCUCAUAUUGUGCAAAAGGGUGAAUAUUGGAAUUCCAAACAAUGUUGCCUAAGAGAGUUUUCAUUUUCUUUGCACGGAAAAUUCAUUUUCCAUUUUUCGAGUGCCCGAAAUGAGGUUUUUUUGUGAAGUACCUACCAAAUAAUUAUUACAAAAUUGCACCAAAUCAAUUUUCUAAAAUACUAGAACAUAUAUAAUGCACAAUUGACUAAAUGGUCGGGUGUAAAAAGUUUUGAUCCACCUCUGGUGAAAAAGACAAAUUUCCGCCGAUUCAGUGCGAAGCGGGUCAAAUUUGAACUGUAGCUGCCUCAUAGUUUGCUCUUUAUUUUUUCCAAAAAUCAUUUCUAGGUACAUAGGUAUCUAUUUAAUCAGAUAAGCACCAAAAAAAUUCCAAGAUCCAACCAUUAGCUAGGAACGGUCAUUCCCGCUGUUUUGACCGCAUUUUGAAACGGGCAUAAAAAAUUCAAUAAAAAUCAAAAAAUUGGAAAACCUUCGCAUUGUGUCAUCAUAUGUGUCCAAGUUCCCAGCAAAAAUAAUAAACUUGUAAUACGGCAAUUCUUUUAAAAAAGUGUUCUCAGAAAUGGGCUAUCAUGCGUGAAGAUUCAUGGCUAUCAAGCCAAAUGAUCAAUCUUAUGGCCACAUUCAUGGCAUAGUUUGUUCAAAUGACCUCAUAUCAUGCAAAAGGGUGAAACUUGGAAUGAAAAACAAUGUUGCCUAAGGAAGUUUUCAUUUUCUUUGCACGAAAAAUUCAUUUUCCAUUUUUCCGAGAGCCCAAUAUGAGUUUUUUUGUGAAGGACCUACCAUAUAUUUGUUGCAAAAUUGGACCUAAUCAAUUUUAUUAAAUACUAGGACAUAUAUAAUGCACAAUUGACUAAAUGGUUGGGUGUCAAAAGUUUUGAUCCACCUCUGGUGAAAAAGACAAAUUGCCGCUGAUUUAGUAGAAAGCGGGUCAAAUUUGAACUGCAACCGCCUUAUAUUUUGCUCUUUAUUUUUUCCAAAAAUUAUUUCUAGAUACAUAGGUAUCUAUUUAAUCAGAUAAACACCAAAAAAAUUCCAAGAUUCAACCACUAGCUAGGAACGGUAAUUCCCGCCGUUUUGACCGCAUUUUGAAACGGGCAUGAAAAAUUCAAAAAAAAUCAAAAAAUUGGAAAACCUUCGCAUUGUGUCAUUAUAUGUGGCCAAGUUCCCUGCAAAAAUAAUAAACUUGUAAUACGGAAAUUGUUUUAAAAAAGUGUUCUCAGAAAUGAGCUAUCAUGCGUGAAGAUUCAUGGCUAUCAAGCAAAAUGAUCAAUCUUAUGGCCACAUUCAUGGCAUAGUUUGUUCAAAUGACCUCAUAUCGUGCACAAGGGUGCAUCUUGGAAUGACAAACAAUGUUGCCUAAGGAAGUUUUCGUUUUCUUUGCAUGAGAAAUUCAUUUUCUAUUUUUCCGAGUGCCCAAAAUGAGUUUUUUUGUGAAGGACCUACCAUAUAUUUGUUGCAAAAUUGGACCUAAUCAAUUUUAUAAAAUACUAGGCCAUUUAUAAUGCAAAAUUGACAAAAUGGUUGGGUGUCAAAAGUUUUGAUCCACCUCUGGUGAAAAAGAUAAAUUCCCGCCGAUUCAGUAGGAAGCGGGUCAAAUUUGAACUGUAGCUGCCUCAUAGUUUCCUAUUUAUUUAUUCCAAAAAUCGUUUCUAGUUACAUAAGUACUUAUUUAAUCAUAAAUACAUGGUUUGGUGGCGAUACGUCGAGGUUUGGACGGUGGCCGAGGGCUCCAACUCUAAAGCGCGUAAACUAGCAUGCCCGCCGCGUGGUCACCGCGUGACCAUGGCGUUGCGAUGUGUUCUGGGCGGCCUAGGCAUGUCUACUGGGUUGGGCACUCCCCAGGUAGGUGCUAGGAAGAAAAUCAGAACAUAAGAUUCUCACGAGGAGACCGAUCGAUGCUCAAACAUAAAUAAGCAGCCAAGUGUUUGAUUAGCGGUACAGGAAAUGCACAUGGCUAAUGUGCGUGAGCUUUGGCUGAGGAUGAUCAGUUACUAAGAAGACCGUCUUCACAAAUUUUCAGCUCAAAAGGAGGACCCUAGGUGGUACUUGCUUUGCAAAGUACCACACUGGACAUAAAUACGAAUGUUGAAGUUGGGCUCAAAAUAAUGAAUGGAUUGAGCUGACAUUUGGUGCAGGAUGGUUAUUUGGGCAUAGGAAAGCACUGUAGAAAAUGGAUACCAUUUGGACAUGCCAAAGUGGUACUUCCUUCACAAAUGUUUUUUUGAACAGAAUUGGAAAAUGAAUAUUUUUGAAUUAUUUUUGAACUAGGCAAGGAAGUUUUUUUUACAUAUUUGAUGAAGAUAUGACACAAAUAAUUUAUGAGAUUUUUUUGGGAAUUUUGGGAAUGAUAGAAAUAUAGGUUGCUUCACAACCUAGGGCAAAAACUGCCACAUGGACAUGACACAUAGGCAAAACUGAUGAGGUGGCGCCUAGUCAUAGCAACCCACCACAAUUUACAAGGUUAUGACCAUCUAUAUUGGUCAUGAUCAGCUAGAAAUAAGGCAGCGGGCCAGUGCUAUCUGCUUUAUGACCAUUUCGUGUAAGGAAAUUACGACCUUUCUGACCAAAAUAGUCGUUAUAGUUUAGGGUUUGGAGCCCCCCGAACAGCUUUUGACCAAUUGGUUUGAAAUGGUCAUAGAUCUAUGACUAAUUCUUCUAGGGUCGCUGACAGAAGGUCACUAGUUGACAUAUUUCUUGUAGUGUAGGGACACUAUGUUUUGUCUAUGUAUUCAUACAUGUACUAAGUUUCCAGUUAAUACAAUUCUAGCAUGAAUAAUAAACAUUUAUCAUGAAAUAAUGAAAUAAAUAAUAACUUUAUUAUUGCCUCUAGAGCAUAUUUCUUUCAGAUGCUUGCUUUUGGAUUUCUUCUGCUUCUUCUUCUUCUUCGAUCAAGGGAUAGGUUCCGGGUUGGGAUCCUCAGAUUAGUAGGGUGGAAGUCGUUCUUCUUUUCCGUUUGAUUUUAUCCGUAGUCGGAUCCUUCUCUUCUGUAUGAUGAUUUCUAUGUAUACAUGUAUUCAUGUAUAUAUGUAGUAGUUUGUGGCGAGUGUAAGCAUGUAUCUCGUAUUCUCAUCUAUUCAGUACAUGGUAUGUUAAUAUCCACCUUGCUAUGCGCUCGAAAUGCGGUUGUGCACCAAUCACGAGUUCAUCACGUGAUCGGGAUAGAAUCGCAUCUUGGGCGCUACACAGCCGCAGGGGUAAAUUCUAAAACCCUCAAUACCCUAGCCAGCUGCUAGCUAUAAUUAGCUACAAAAAUUGCUGGCGGCGUCGACUAACUACUGAUUCCCUUGCUAGCUAGUUACCCACGCAUACCGGCAUACGCCCACCGGCUGGCGACAGGGUGGAGUUGGGCUACGGCGGAAUCAAGGCUAAAGGAACGAUGAUUGGUUUGCCGGUCGACAGCCAUGCCACCGCCUCUCCCGACGACGGCCAGGGGAAGAAGGAAACGUGGUACAAGCAAGCUGCCAAGUUAGCCCGGGCCAUCCUAAAAGAGGACAGGCAUCGCCAGUGGGCGAUACUACUGGCUCGGCACAGAGUGCGGUGGAUAGUGCGGGAAAUGGAGCAAGAACCACGACGACGCAAGGACAACUGCAGCAGUGUUGGCCACCGCACAAGGUGCAGGUUUAUGUCACUGAUGGAGGAGGGCGCAGCGCCGGACGUCGCCAUGGCAUGCCUGGGAGCCGUGACGGCAGCCCUGAUGGGAGCCAACGUCAUCUCGCCGGACGUCGCCGGGGUAGACCCGGCGGUCGCGGUAGCCCUGGUGAACGCUGCGUCGGAGGCAGUACCGGCGAUCCCCGAUGUGGAGGCUGCCCCAGCCUCGAUCGAACAAGGUGUGUAGGUUAUCUACUUGACGGCCUCCGCUCCUCCUGGGCCCAGGAUCGACACGCUGAUGGACGAUGGCAGCUGUGCGUGUUGGGUCGGUGUCAGGUGCACACUAGCUUUUUUGUAAAUCUGCGGUUUGUUAUAUUCUUGUAAAUUAGCGAGCUAAUGGUUUGUAAAUUACACGCUGAACUACAUACUGGACCAAUAAUUCGAGCAUGUCAAAUAUGUCAACUGUAUGGGCUGACCUAUCUGUAUAUUAUUUGAAUUUGCAAUAUGGACAAUAAAUAUAUAAAUGCUAUCUGGACAUCGGUGAUGGUCGCCAUGUCGAAAACAUGGACAUCUCUACUCUACCAGGCACACGCUUAAUAUGAAUGAACUGUGAAUGAUACUAAUACUUCCUAUGAAAAUUUAAGAACUUGGUUAAGAAAAUUUGAGUAACAUAUAUAUAUAUAUAUANNNNNNNNNNNNNNNNNNNNNNNNNNNNNNNNNNNNNNNNNNNNNNNNNNNNNNNNNNNNNNNNNNNNNNNNNNNNNNNNNNNNNNNNNNNNNNNNNNNNNNNNNNNNNNNNNNNNNNNNNNNNNNNNNNNNNNNNNNNNNNNNNNNNNNNNNNNNNNNNNNNNNNNNNNNNNNNNNNNNNNNNNNNNNNNNNNNNNNNNNNNNNNNNNNNNNNNNNNNNNNNNNNNNNNNNNNNNNNNNNNNNNNNNNNNNNNNNNNNNNNNNNNNNNNNNNNNNNNNNNNNNNNNNNNNNNNNNNNNNNNNNNNNNNNNNNNNNNNNNNNNNNNNNNNNNNNNNNNNNNNNNNNNNNNNNNNNNNNNNNNNNNNNNNNNNNNNNNNNNNNNNNNNNNNNNNNNNNNNNNNNNNNNNNNNNNNNNNNNNNNNNNNNNNNNNNNNNNNNNNNNNNNNNNNNNNNNNNNNNNNNNNNNNNNNNNNNNNNNNNNNNNNNNNNNNNNNNNNNNNNNNNNNNNNNNNNNNNNNNNNNNNNNNNNNNNNNNNNNNNNNNNNNNNNNNNNNNNNNNNNNNNNNNNNNNNNNNNNNNNNNNNNNNNNNNNNNNNNNNNNNNNNNNNNNNNNNNNNNNNNNNNNNNNNNNNNNNNNNNNNNNNNNNNNNNNNNNNNNNNNNNNNNNNNNNNNNNNNNNNNNNNGGGUGAUACUAUUUUGUUUUGUUUUGCAAUUUAUCUUAUUAUGGACCAGAGAUUUAAUCCUUCCAAAUAACAACUGAGGGGAUUGACAACCCCUUUUUCGCGUUGGGUGCAAGUAUUUGCUUUUAUGUGUGCAAUUGUUGUUCACGAUGCUUUGUGUGAUUCUCCUACUAGAUUGAUAACCUUUGUUCUUAACCGAAAAAAAUAUUUAUCUUUACUGUACUGCUUCAUCCUCUCAUCUUCGAGGAAAUCCCAACACAGCUCACAAGUACUAGUAAGAAUUUCUGGCGCCAUUGCCGGGAUACAUCAUUAAAACCAAUCAAGUACCUUCACACAAACUAUCAUCUACUUACUCUUAUUUCUAUUUGCCUUUGCUUCUCAAUUUCAUAUCCCCCACUUCUCAUAAAAAAUUACAAAAAAUAUAUUUUCUAUGCUAUUUUUCUCGUUUGCUUGCUUUGUCGCGAUGUCUCAGGAUAAAAUAUUUGAUCCUUAUUAUAAAAGGUUGGCAUAAAUUGAGAACAUCACUAAAAACUUUAUGUUUUCACAAUUUGAGCAUAAUAGACUCUUCAGUGAGGAAUUUAAAGAACAUUCUACCUUGCUGGAUGCUAUUAGUUCACAUCUAUGAUUAUUCUUAUAACUAACUAAUGAUGUGACCUCAAAGUAUAUAAAUCGGUUGGGUCUAUUCAACAUAGGUGUUCUUCUAACAAUGUGCCCUCAAUGUGGUCGGCAUGCUCGUUACAUUAGUUAGCCCAUGAUCUGGAAAACAGAAACCAUCAUGCAACACUUGAUCUAGUAUUAGAGGCGAGACUAGGAAUCUAUUUUACCGUUUAUUAUUCCAUACAAGGGCAUGAUUUUUCCUCUCGGCCUCUUGGAUAUACACACUCAAGAACCGUUUCAACUAAAGCAAAAAAUAUAAAAAUUAAUUACCGAUAUGGAAAUAAACAGUAACAAUUAUAAUUGUCUCUAAGGCAAAUUUCCUUCAAUAUCGACCCUCCCGAGUUGUCUACCUCUAUACCAUCUGGUGCUGCCUGGGGUUGGAGGCCCUCGUGCUGAUGGGUGUCCAUCAAGACCUGAGAGCCACGAGCUGACGGUGGGCUGAGUUGGGUCGCCAGUAGGCCAUUGUCAAGCCGCUCCUCUGCAGGUUGCCGUAAUGGGUAGGGAGCCGACAUGGUGGCAUCACACUUAGCUCGCCUCACACUGCUACCAAUGCUCAUGCGGGCUGUCGCCUGCACUCCAACAAGUCAAGACCCUAUAAGCUAGCUUAUCUACUAAGGAAACUUGCCAUGCAAGUGCCUUCCUCUGCAAGGUAUUUUUGAGAUAAGCUUUUUGUGGUGAAGUAGCCUGGUGAACAAGGAGUCUAGCAAACUUGUGAAGCAAGAUUACUUAUGGGCUAAGAAAAAGAUUGCUCUAUAUAGCCUCCCUUGGGAGUGUAUUAGACACAACAACACCGCAAAUGUGCGAAGUAGCUCAUUUGAUCUUGUACAAGAAUCCACAAGUUUAAUGAGAAAGAUCUCCAAGAAUCGCACCCUACAUAUUGUGUUCAUUUUGUGAAGGUUCGGUCGUUUGGGCUUUAUAUAUGAAGCCUGGUGAAAGCUUCGUUUGAAAACAAAAAUUUCCCUCAAUAGUUCGUGUCUCCAGCUAGCCCAUCCUCUCCUUUUGUUCUAUAUACUAAGAGCAUCUACAACCGAACUCGCAAAUACGUAACCCUAAGAGCCCGCGGACGCGCCCAAACGCUACCCCUGACAGCGCCGAUCGGGCCCUCAUAUAUAUUGCUGGACAGCCACACUCCUCAUAUGUAAAGACCCAAAUCCAUGAAAAUCCAUGAAGGUUGGUCAUACAGAUGAAUAGUACACAUAAAGAACAAUUGUUCGUACUGAAAUUAUAUAAUUCAAACAUAAGAAUUAUUUGAAGUGCACAACUCAAACACUAAAAUUCUGGGUUUCCAUUGUGGGUCCACAUAUGCUCCACAACAUUAUUAGGUAGUUGCCCGUGCAUAUUUGAUCUCCAAGAUUCUGAUGCAUCUUCAAAAAAUUCAUAAUAUGGUCUACAUCUUGUUUUAGGUUGUAUACUUGUUCUCUAUGCUUCACAAAAUCAUGGGUUCGGGGUUGCCCCUUAACCAUCGUCGUCAACAAUCAUAUUGUACAAAAUAACAAAACAUGUCACCAGCUGCCACAAAGUAUCUGAUUUCCACAUAUUGCAGCUCCACAAACAAUACCCCAGUGAGCUUGGAGCACUCCAAAUACCCUCUCUACAUCCUUCCUAGUUGUUUCUUGCAUUGUAACAAAGUGGAUUUGUCUGUUCCCAUGGUGUUGUCCACUGAGGAUAGAUGCCAUCGGCAAGGUCGUAUCCGAUGCCGUAGUCAUGCCCGUUGAUGGUGUAGUUGCACAUCGGCCCAUUGCAAGUGUCCUAGUCACGGAAGAUUGCUAUAGCAUAUUGAUGUUGUUGUGAGAACCAGGUAUGCCAAAGAAAGCAUGACUAGUCCACAAGUCCCUUGAUCCCACUGCUUCAAAUAUGAUGGUGGUCUCUUUGGUAUGACCUUGGUACAUCCUGCACAAACUCUUGGGGUAGUUAUUCUAUUACCAAUGCAUGCAAUCAACUGAAGCAAGCAUACCGAAAAACUUGUUGCCGCUCCAAUAGACAUCAACCUUUUGGUAUCUUGCACAUUUGGGUCUCUCAUGUACUCUGUUCCAAACAUCAUGGUGAGGGACAAUCUUACAGUGGUCUUAAGGCAUAUGCUCUCCCCCAUCUGGACCAUCUCACCAACGACAUCGGCGGUGAUACCUAAUGUGAAAAUCCUCAGAGCAGCCGUGCAUUUCUGCUUUAGAUAGAACGGGAGUUGUCUGCAAUAAUCUGUGUUGAGCCUGAAGUAGGAAUCACGUGCCUCCAGUCCCUCCACCAUAUGCACAUAUGUAAGUGUCGACGAAAAAUGACUCAAAGAAUGUUGGUUCGGGUUGAAGUGGUCCUUGUAGAGAAGCCGUGAGCCAGUGACCCUAUCCUAGUUAAAACUCCUCUGGCCUUGACCGAACGUUUGAAGUUCAGAAUGUACUCCAUCUCCCUGUCCAUUUCCUCUUGGAUGGUCAUGAUGAUCAUCAUCUUGGUAUCUUCGUUCCACUCCAACAAAUUGAAGAACUCAUUUUGCAUCAGUUAAUCAAGCUCCUUGUGUCCAUACUCCUCACCCUGCGAAGUAUCAGAACCCGUUGUUAUGACUAGAAAAGAAUAAAAAAAGAUCGGACAAUUUGUCGAAGAUAUAGAGGGCAAACGCUAGCAGAGGGGCGGCACGGAGAGACGAGGAAAAGGGCUGGUCCGACAACGUCGAAGGGAGGGAGGGAUAUGACGUGACGGCGGACACAUUCGGGCUCCUUGUAUCCAUCCCAGAAAUGGGCUUUAUACGGAGGGUGCCGGUCAGCCCGGACGUAUAGAGCCGGUUUCUGAAGCACAGCCGAGUUGCAAUUUUGACCGGUCACUUGAUUGGAUGUCCGUCCGGACGUGAGUGUGGAAAUAGAUGCUCUGACAGACUAGAUCUACAAAAUUCAUGUUAAAAUAAAGUGCUUGUGGGAUGCACGAUGUGUAACAAAUACUGUUUUUCUUGAUUCUUGUUCCCCGUCGCAUCCCAUCCCAUGUGGCUAAGGCAUGUGGGGUUGUUCUUUCGUUGGCUGGUGCCCCGUAGUGUACUAUUAGAUGGCCCGAAAGAGGUGGGAUCAAUCGUACACACAUCGACUUAGCAACAAACACGCGCACCCUGAAGACGCCCUCCUAAAUCGCUGAUCCAUACGUAGGUAGGUACGUCUGAUCCAUGGCCACCGCCAAGUCCACGGCGGUUCUGGCAGUACUUGUGCUGGUGGCGUCGCUGGUGUCUGUGGCAGAAGCAUCGGCCUGCCAGGACCUGUUUAAUGGCCGGUGCAGGGGCAUUUCCAGGAGUAUGAGUCGUAUCAGGACUUGCUGCGACCUCGCAGGCAAGACAGACGACACGGACUGCGUGUGCAAGUACAGGGAUCAUUACCCGGAGGCGCUGCAGCCGUUGUUUCGUGCAUCCUGCCCGGCGGGCCGCGGAUGCAAACGGCCUGGAACAUCUUCUGCUUAAUGCAAUGCAGCUCGCCCUUCUGCUUUUGCCUUUCAUUCAGUUUCCUUACUCUUGUAUCAGAGACGCGCUUCCAUGCUUUUUUUAUUUGCUUAUCACAUGUGUCACGUGUACGCGCUUCCUUACUCUUGCAUUAGAGGCGUGCACAUUGUCACACUGUUCUUCGAUCAUGAGUUAGCUCUUUCUUAUUUAUUUUGUAUUUACGUGGUCUAUUGUGGCUGGCUUGUGGUGCGUUACACAUUGGUUGGGCUGGCACUUAAUUGUGAUCGUGUUGUUAAUUAUGCUUGCGUUGUUUCCUUCUGUCGGUAUGAUUGACUUGGUGCAAACGGUAUGUGGUAUUACUGGUGAAAGGAGCUAUUGGGUGGGUCGUGGAGCCGCUGUUUUCCUCUCGUACCUGGCGGCUGCAACCCUAGCCGCCGCCAGGGGCCGAUCUUCCAACGCCGUUCUCCGGCGGCUCCCCUCCGCCGGCGACUUCGGUCGUUGGUGGUGAGGGGGGUCGCCGGAUUCACACGUGUGGAUCGUUUUUACUCAUCCGUAGUCUAGGUUUUUAGGUUGUUCAUCGUUUUUGCUUCGACGGCGACGAUGACGACGCUGAAUAAAUAUUCUUUGGAUCCUUUCCUGACGAGGCCAUCGGUCCUAUGGUUGGGGAUGGGUUUGGAAAUCAGUCUGUUCAAGCAAGGAUGGCGUGGCGGCGGCGGCAUCCUCGUGGUGGACCUGUGUCCUCGGGCUCCGUCGUUGCGACGACGUUUGCUCCAGCGUCGGCGUGGAGCUUGGGAGGUAGUCCAGGAGCGGAUGCAGAUUGUGGUCUGCAUCGACAACAUCUGGAAGACGGAACAUGUGCUGGGUUCGUGGUUCGUGGAAGACAGGUAUGGUUUUCUCCUUCGGCGUCUUAGCCGUGGUGGGGUGCCAGAUUUGGAGUUCGAUGGCGUGUCCGGGGUGUUGCCCCGGUCUGAUCCGUUCAACGGCAAUGGCUUCACUUUUGGUGAGCCACCUUGGAGGUCCGCAAAGCUGCAUAUCAGCGAUGGAGCCGCAUCGAGCUCGGAUGAGGAGGUGAUCCGUCAUUCUUUUUUUCGGUGGCUGCUGUGGUGGUGCCGGAGGCAGUUGACGGGCGUUAGUGUCAAGCUCAGAGAUGUUUUGCUAUCUUUUCAGUUUUGUCAUGUCGGUUAUUACGUGACUUGUACUUUGUUUUUUAUGAUAUGAAUGAGACACGUAUUACCAUGCAAAAAAAAAAGAUAUGCGCUCGUGUGGGAGUUGGUUUUCCUAACCGCCCGACACUUAGCGUCUAGCGUUGAAACAAACAUCGCCUAGUAAUUUAGUGAUAUUUUUUAAUUUCUCUAUAAGCGCCCAUAUAAGCGUUCUGCAUUGGAGAGCAUGUACAAUGCGGUGCUAAGGAUGGGCGCUAGGGAUCAUAAUCCGGGCCGUUUCACUCGUCAGGAGAAUUUUUCCUGGCGCCUGCUUGGCAGCGCUGCCAACUCUGGCAGCGGGCACUCCAGUUGACAUGGUACUGAAUUUAUGGGAGAGAACUAGCACCCCACAACAUCUCAGCGUUGGAAGUUGAGGCGCUUGUGCUGGCACUACAGUAUUUUUUCAAUUUUUAAUCCUUAAGCACCUAUACAAGCGCCUCUUCAAUGGACAUGCUCUUAGACAGCAAAGCUCGCUCUUAUAAACGGCGCCAUAUGGAGCUUAGUAACUUAUUAGAUAACAUUUUACUUUCUUUACCUACUAAACAAGUGCACGUCUGUCCGCCAGUCGCAGCUAAAAAAACGCAGCUUGGUCCCGGGCGGCUCCUCCAGCCGAACCAUGGCCUCCCACGGUUCCCUCCCCUCCUCCCUCCACCCUCGCUGUCAUCAGAGGGCACGGCCAGGCGAAGCCUGGCUAGCGACACUGGUGGCGAGGCCCUCUCGUCCUCUCGCAUGGGGAGACCGGCGCGGGCCGGUGUCUUCGGCUAGGGCGUGGUGCAACACAGGCGACACGGCGUGUUGGUUCUCUAGCCCAUAGCGCAUGGCAGGCGUGCCUGGAGCCUCUCCUUGCCGACGGUGGCUCCUCUAGUUCAGUCGGGUUGGACUGGUUCGGGCCAUGUGCCCGGAUUUGCUUCUCCUUACAAGGUCGUUCCUUCUACGUUGGUGUGCGUCUCCGACAAGUUCUUCUGUCGCCUGCUCUCCUAGUUCAAGAGACUACCGCUGAGGAGAAAUACUAUGCCCGGAUCUGUUGGCGCAGAUGGUGCGGCAACAUCUAUGGACGCCGCUAACCUCCUUGGAGGGCAUCAUCACAGUGGCGGUCCCGUCGAGAUUCAAGGGAAUCCUUGGGUUUGGCUUGCUAGUCCGGACUGUGUCGGCAUGUGGCAUCGUCUACCUUCUUGGAGGCACUAUUUCGGAGCACAUAUCUGCCGGAUAUCUCACAAAGGCGUAGCCGCGUUGGGUCACCUAGUAAACUCACUUAGAAGGGUCAUUUUCUCUAGGGGGGAACCCUGAAUCUAAGUCUCCUUGAUUGAAUGAUGGGGGCUUCUGGCAUUACACCCCCUCUUGGGGCAUUAUUCCUAGAGUUGGCUGAAACGGGUCCAGAGGUGGAGCGCAGUUGUAUCAACCGAGUCGUCUUGAUAGACGAGUGCAAGGCAUUGGCAUUAUUUGGCGUUGUGGCGGUGCCGACAGCUGACCGACCUGAUAGGGAUGAUGAAGAUCUCUCUCCGGGAGAUGGAUGAACAGUUUUAUGGUGGUGGCAGCUUCUGCAGAGUGUGUAGGUGGUUUAUGCUUCAUAAUUUCACACCAAACUAGAUUAAAGGGCUGACUCCAUCGGGGUUUCACAACAGGGAUCUCACGCAACAUGUCAAGCUAAAACCUGGUUCACAGUGUCUUGAAUGCAAAAUCUGGCUCCAAGAAUAUCUCAAUACCUUGUUUACAUCGAAAUGUGCUACUGCAAAGAAGUCGUUCGCAAUCACAGCUUCUCAUGAGACGAAGAACCACUUAACUGCUUGCGGAUACAAUGUACUUAAAAUAAGGAAUAGCUACUCAUCAUAUGAUCCAAAUAUUUCUGUACAUACGAAUGUAUGUAUUAAACAUAUGGAUAUUAUUUAUUUAUUUCUAGCGCCAUAUGUUUUUAUUAGAUUAGAUUUCGUGGGCCCCAAUAGAUGGGGAUUACUUAAGAAAGUUUCAAAGAAUGAAAUUAUCUAGUGCAAAAUUCUGCAUAGUCCUUUUGGUGAAAUUAUGUAGUGCAAUAUCCUACACAGACCUUUUUGGAGAAGAAACUAUUAUCCUUGUAAAAAAUUCAAGGACGUCGACUAUCAUUUAAAUUCCUACCUAAUUUAUGGCAAGUAUCGAAUUGGCCACUUUUGUCUAAAUCAUAUACUCCAGUCAUUUGGAAAUACAUGUAUUUUAGAAAUAGGUAUGGUCGCCAACAUGAAACUUUGAUUGUUGCUUUUCAUAUAAAAAAAAUUGUUGUCAAAUGUAUAGAUUGCAGUAUUACAUUUUUUACAACAAAUAUCAUGAUUUUAUUUUUCAUCUAACCGAUAUUACAAUUCACAUACGUAUUGUGAGUCAAAGCUUUUAAAAAUUAACUUUUCAUUUCUAGAGCAACAUCUAUUUCCAAACGGGGGAACAUUUUUCUUCGACAGCUAGCAGUUAAAUAUUGUUCCUAUUAGGAGGCCUUACAAAUAGGAGACCUCAUUUAAUUAUUUGAUGAAUGAGAAAUUGUUAUUCACCCGCAAAAAAGAGAAAAUUUUAUUUUUGCAAGAAUAUAACUGCUACCUAUAAAUCAGAUGUAAAUUAAUGGUUGGCCAGAGCUUGGCAGGACCUACCAGGAGCUUGGCCAGGACCUACCAGGAGGUGCCACAUUGCCAGUAAUCUAUGCCGACGGCCGUCGUCACGGAAGGCGGCAUACCUUUCACGGCGUCAACUCACCGUCUGUCAGUGGACCGCCGGGCCCACGUGUAUGCUGACAGCCCCUCUAUGCCGACGGGGACUGUCGGCACAAUGCAUGGUAUGCCGACGGCCUUUCGUUGACGAUGGUAUGCCGAUGGACUUUCGUUGACGAUGGUAUGCCGACGGCGUUCCUAUACAGACGGUGGCAGCUAGGCCAUCGGCAUAUCUCCAUAUAUGCCUAUGGCCCUGUCUGUUGUUGCCGCGCCCAAAACCCUAGCUAGCCCUAACUCGGCUCUACCUCUCUCUCUCUCUCUGCGAUGCUAACCGAGGAAGAAGAAGACCGGAGGAGGGAGAGGGACACAGGGGCACGGUGGUUUUUCCCGGCGCAACGACGCCAACUCCACGAGCUCGUACUGGACACCACAACCAUUACAAUGCGCCCAUAGUGGGCUUUAUACCCGGGGCACAAACCCCACGUCUGCACCGCCCGAGCGCUCGGUCCGGCCAGCUCUGGCCGCGUCCACCCUGUGCAUGAUCGCGCCCAGGACGCGGCGAGCCCGCAACGGCCCCGACUUGGUCACCCUGACCUGCUCGCCAACGGCUGCACCUGGUCCGGCACCGCACAUGCACACACAGCGCGCACCCUACUCUAGUCUACACAGGCACACACGCACGCCCGCCACGCUCCCAAUCUGUCCCGCGCGCGCAUGCACGCGCGCCCUAUGCAAUCGUCGUGGCUUAUUUNNNNNNNNNNNNNNNNNNNNNNNNNNNNNNNNNNNNNNNNNNNNNNNNNNNNNNNNNNNNNNNNNNNNNNNNNNNNNNNNNNNNNNNNNNNNNNNNNNNNNNNNNNNNNNNNNNNNNNNNNNNNNNNNNNNNNNNNNNNNNNNNNNNNNNNNNNNNNNNNNNNNNNNNNNNNNNNNNNNNNNNNNNNNNNNNNNNNNNNNNNNNNNNNNNNNNNNNNNNNNNNNNNNNNNNNNNNNNNNNNNNNNNNNNNNNNNNNNNNNNNNNNNNNNNNNNNNNNNNNNNNNNNNNNNNNNNNNNNNNNNNNNNNNNNNNNNNUCGACUCUAGUGUCAGCUAGCAGUGCCCGCUCCGCCGCAGGUGUCUUUCGCAGCUCCGGGCAUUCGCGCUUGAAGUGGCCGCGCUCGCCACAUUUGUAGCAGCACCCGCGCCUGUUGCCGCCGCUCCCCGACGGUACGCUGCGCCCGUUGUCGUCGUCCUGUGCUCCGCCUUGCUACCGCUCCCGCGCCUACCACUGCGCCGCCGUGAAUAGCAGCUGUCCGUCCGCCCGCUGGCCCUGUCCUGCCAUGGACGCCGAACUCGCUCGUCGAACGCGCGCAGCCGCCCAAGCGCUUCGUCCAACGCCAUCGUCGUCACGUCAUGGAACUGCUCGAUGCCGGCGACGACGGGGAAGAAACGAUCUGGCACCGUAUCCUGCAGCUUUUUGAUGAGCGUUGCGUCGCCCAGCGUCUCCCUAUGGUUGGCGUACCUCGCCGUCAUCACCGCGAGUCUCCCGGCGUACACGUCGAGCUCCUCACCGACCGCCAUCUUCAGGCGGUCAAAUUCCCCGCGCAGCAUCGCCAGCCUCGCCGCGCGUACCCGAUCGGCGCCGACGAACCUCACCUUCAGGGAGUCCCAUACCUCACUGGCGGUGAGCUUCGUUGCCAUCUGCAGCAGCACGUCCUCCGGCAACGCCCCAAGCAGCAAAGUGCGCGCCGUCUUUUCCUUCUGCGCAUUCACCGCCGCGUCGCACGGAGCCACCACCUCCCACAUGGUGUGCACGUCGAGGAUGGCCUGCGCCUUGAUGGCCCAGACCAUGUAGUUGUCCGCGGUCAGCAUCGGCAUCGCCAUCAUCGCCGACCCGCCCACUACUCCGCCAUGCGGCACGAUCACCAUUGCCGCCGGCGAGCUCCAACCAAAGCUCUGAUGCCAAUUGUUAUUGCCGCGCCUGAAACUCUAGCUACCCCUAGCUUUGAUCUACCUCUCUCUCUGCGAUGCGAACCGAGGAAGAACAAGACCGGAGGAGGAAGAGGGACACAGGGACACGAUGGUUUUUCCCGGCGCAACGACGCCAACUCCACGAACUCGUACUUGACACCACAGCCAUUACAACGCGCCCCUAGCGGGCUUUAUACCCGGGGCAAACGCUGGGCACGAACCCCAUGUCUGCACCCGCCCGAGCGCUCGGUCCGGAUCGCUCUGGCCGAGUCCACCCCGUGCAUGAUCGCGCCCAGGACGCGGCGAGCCCGCAACGGCCCUGACUCGGUCACCCUGGCCUGCUCGCCAAUGGCUGCACCUUGUACGGAGCCACGCAUGCACACACAGCGUGCGCCCUACCCGUCUACACACGCACACACACACGCUCGCCACGCUCCUGAUCUGUCCCGUGCGCACGCACGCGCGGCCGACGCGAUCGCCAUGGCUUAUUUGCCAACACCGCCGGCAUAGAUUUGGCCAUCAGGACCGAUGCUUAUUCUAGUAGUGAAGUAUGCAUAAUAUUUUUCAAAUAUACGAACCAUGCAUUUAGAUAUCAUACCAGAAUACAAUGACCGACGUCUAUCUUGUAAGCAGUCCCUGGAAGAAAUAAACACGUCAGCAUUCAUGCAUGCACGAGCGAUGAGUGUGAUGACGACGAACUGGAACAGGAUACAAAAUAUAGGCGCAUGCGUAUGACGAGUGUGAUGAUGACGACGAAUGGUUUGUGAUGCAUGGAUCGACAGAAACAUGUAUAAGUCAUGAAGAAAGCAAUAGCAACAUUCUAAACGAUCAAGUGCUACGCUAAUGGAAUGGGUCAUGUCAAUCACAUCAUUCUCCAAAUGAUGUGCUCCCGUUAAUCAAAUGACAACACAUGUCUAUGGUUAGGAAACAUAACCAUCUUUGAUUAAUGAGCUAGUCAAGUAGAGGCAUACUAGUGACGUUUAUGUUUGUCUAUGUAUUCACACAUGUAUCAUGUUUCCGGUUAAUACAAUUCUAGCAUGAAUAAUAAACAUUUAUCAUGAUAUUUCCUUCAGUCUCCCACUUGCACUAGAGUCAAUAAUCUAGAUUACACAGUAAUGAUUCUAACACCCAUGGAGUCUUGGUGCUGAUCAUGUUUUGCUCGUGGAAGAGGCUUAGUCAACGGGUCUGCAACAUUCAGAUCCGUAUGUAUCUUGCAAAUCUCUAUGUCUCCCACCUGGACUUGGUCCCGGAUGGAAUUGAAGCGUCUCUUGAUGUGCUUGGUUCUUUUGUGAAAUCUGGAUUCCUUCGCCAAGGCAAUUGCACCAGUAUUGUCACAGAAGAUCUUUAUUGGUCCCCAUGCACUAGGUAUGACACCUAGAUCGGAAAUGAACUCUUUCAUCCAGACUCCUUCAUUUGCUGCUCUGAAGCAGCUAUGUACUCCGCUUCAUAUGUAGAUCCUGCCACGACGCUUUGUUUAGAACUGCACCAACUUACAGCUCCACCGUUUAAUAAAAACACGUAUCCGGUUUGCGAUUUAGAAUCGUCCGGAUCAGUGUCAAAGCUUGCAUCGACGUAACCAUUUACGACUAGCUCUUUGUCACCUCCAUAUACGAGAAACAUAUCCUUAGUCCUUUUCAGGUAUUUCAGGAUGUUUUUGACCGCUGUCCAAUGAUCCACUCCUGGAUUACUCUGGUACCUUCCUGCCAAGCUUAUUGCUAAGCAUACGUCAGGUCUGGUACACAGUAUUGCAUACAUGAUAGAGCCUAUGGCUGAAGCAUAGGGAAUAUUUUUCAUUUUCUCUCUAUCUUCUACUGUGGUUGGGCAUUGAGUCUGACUCAACUUCACACCUUGUAAUACAGGCAAGAACCCUUUCUUUGCCUGAUCCAUUUUGAACUUUUUCAAAACUUUAUCAAGGUAUGUGUUUUGUGAAAGUCCAAUUAAGCGUCUUGAUCUAUCUCUAUAAAUCUUGAUGCCCAAUAUGUAAGCAGCUUCACCGAGGUCUUUCAUAGAAAAACUUUUAUUCAAGUAUCCCUUUAUGCUAUCCAGAAAUUCUAUAUCAUUUCCAAUUAAUAAUAUGUCAUCUACAUAUAAUAUCAGAAAUGCUACGGAGCUUCUACUCACUUUCUUGUAAAUACAGGCUUCUCCAAAAAGUCUGUAUAAAACCAUAUGCUUUGAUCACACUAUCAAAGCAUUUAUUCCAACUCCGAGAUGCUUGCACCAGUCCUUAAAUGGAUCGCUGGAGCUUGCACACUUUGUUAGCACCUUUUGGAUCGACAAAACCUUCUGUUUGCAUCAUAUACAACUAUUCUUCCAGAAAUCCAUUCAAGAAUGCAGUUUUGACAUCCAUUUGCCAAAUUUCAUAAUCAUAAAAUGCAGCAAUUGCUAACAUGAUUCGGACAGACUUAAGCAUCGCUACGGGUGAGAAAGUCUCAUCGUAGUCAACCCCUUGAACUUGUCGAAAACCUUUCGCAACAAGUCGAGCUUUAUAGACAGUUACAUUACCAUCUGCGACAGUCUUCUUCUUAAAGAUUCAUUUAUUCUCAAUGGCUUGCCGAUCGUCGGGCAAGUCAACCAAAGUCCAUACUUUGUUCUCAUGCAUGGAUCCCAUCUCAGAUUUCAUGGCUUCUAGCCACUUUGCGGAAUCUGGGGUCAUCAUCUCUUCCUCAUAGUUCGUAGGUUCGCCAUGGUCAAGUAACAUGACUUCCAGAAUAGGAUUACCGUACCACUCUGGUGCGGAUCUUACUCUGGUAGACCUACGAGGUUCAGUAGAAACUUGAUCUAAAGUUUCAUGAUCAAUAUCAUUAGCUUCCUCACUAAUUGGUGUAGUUGUCACAGGAACCGGUUCUUGUGAUGGACUACUUUCCAAUAAGGGAGCAGGUACAGUUACCUCAUCAAGUUCUACUUUCCUUCCACUCACUUCUUUCGAGAGAAACUCCUUCUCUAGAAAGGAUCCGAAUUUAGCAACGAAAAUCUUGCCCUCAGAUCUGUGAUAGAAGGUGUACCCAACAGUCUCUUUUGGGUAUCCUAUGAAGACACAUUUCUCCCAUUUGGGUUCGAGCUUAUUUGGUUGAAGUUUCUUCACAUAAGCAUCGCAGCCCCAAACUUUAAGAAACGACAACUUUGGUUUCUUGCGAAACCACUGUUCAUGAGGUGUCGUCUUAACGGAUUUUGAUGGUGUCCUAUUUAACGUGAAUCUGGCCGUCUCUAAAGCAUAACCCCAAAACGAUAGCGGUAAAUCAGUAAGAGACAUCAUAGAUCGCACCAUAUCUAGUAAAGUACGAUUACGACAUUCGGACACACCAUUUCGUGUUCCGGGUGGCGUGAGUUGCGAAACUAUUCCGCAUUGUUUCAAAUGUAAACCAAACUCGUAACUCAAAUAUUCUCCUCCACAAUCAGAUCGUAGAAAUUUUAUUUUCUUAUUACGAUGAUUUUCCACUUCACUCUGAAAUUCUUUGAACUUAUCAAAUGUUUCAGACUUGUGUUCCAUUAAGUAGAUAUACCCAUAUCUGCUCAAAUCAUCUGUGAAGGUGAGAAAAUAAUGAUACCCGCCGCGAGCCUCAAUAUUCAUUGGACCACAAACAUCAGUAUGUAUGAUUUCCAACAAAUCAGUUGCUCGCUCCGUAGUUCCAGAGAACGGCGUUUUAGUCAUCUUGCCCAUGAGGCACGGUUCGCAAGUACCAAGUGAUUCAUAAUCAAGUGAUUCCAAAAGUCCAUCAGUAUGGAGUUUCUUCAUGCGCUUUAUACCGAUAUGACCUAAACGACAGUGCCACAAAUAAGUUGCACUAUCAUUAUCAACUCUGCAGCUUUUGGUUUCAACAGUAUGAAUAUGUGUAUCACAACUAUCGAGAUUCAAUAAAAAUAGACCACUCUUCAAGGGUGCAUGACCAUAAAAGAUAUUACUCAUAUAAAUAGAAUAACCAUUAUUCUCUGAUUUAAAUGAAUAACCGUCUUGCAUCAAACAAGAUCCAGAUAUAAUGUUCAUGCUCAACGCUGGCACCAAAUAAUAAUUAUUUAGGUCUAAAACUAAUCCCGAUGGUAGAUGUAGAGGUAGCGUGCCGACUGCGAUCACAUCGACUUUGGAACCAUUUCCCACGUGCAUCGUCACCUCGUCCUUAGCCAAUCUUCGCUUAAUCCGUAGUCCCUGUUUCGAGUUGCAAAUAUUAGCAACAGAACCAGUAUCUAAUACCCAGGUACUACUGCGAGUAUUAGUAAGGUACACAUAAUAACAUGUAUAUCACAUAUGCCUUUGUUUACUUUGCCAUCCUUCUUAUCUGCCAAAUACUUGGGGCAGUUCCGCUUCCAGUGUCCAGUCUGCUUGCAGUAGAAGUACUUAGUCUCAGGCUUAGGUCCAGACUUGGGUUUCUUCUCUUGAGCAGCAACUUGUUUGCUAUUCUUCUUGAAGUUCCCCUUCUUCUUCCCUUUGCCCUUUUGCUUGAAACUGGUGCUCUUGUUGAGCAUCAACACUUGAUGCUCCUUCUUGAUUUCUACCUCCGUGGCUUUUAGCAUUGCGAAGAGCUCGGGAAUAGUCUUGUCCAUCCCUUGCAUAUUAUAGUUCAUCAUGAAGCUCUUGUAGCUUGAUGGCAGUGAUUGAAGAAUUCUGUCAAUGACAUUAUCAUCAGGAAGAUUAACUCCCAGUUGAAUCAAGUGAUUAUUAUACCCAGACAUUUUGAGUAUGUGUUCACUGACAGAACUAUUCUCCUCCAUCUUGCAGCUAUAGAACUUAUUGGAGACUUCAUAUGUCGGAGUAAUGGGCCACGGGUAGGCUGACCCGAGCCCCAGAACCUUUCAAGACAUCAGGGCAGGCCGCGCCCCUCAAAGUCGAGUCUCAGAUGACGACUCCCAGAUGAACCGAGUCUCAGAUGACGACUCCCAGAAAGCCGAGUCUCAGAUGACGACUCCCAGAUGAACCGAGUCUCAGAUGACGACUCCCAGAUGAGCCGAGUCUCAGAUGAUGACUCCCAGAUGAGCCGAGUCUCAGAUGACGACUCCCAGAUGGGCCGACUCAUGGCCGACGACUCCCAGAUGGGCCGACUCAUGGCCGGCGACUUCCAGAGGAGCCGGCUAUGGAGAGUCGUCCCACGACUCUACACUCAUUACGGGUGCGACCACGGCGUGGCCGUCACCUCCUGCUUGCGAGGAGCCGGCGUGGCUACAGUGUGCCGUACCGCCGGAGAUCUCCGGCGUGGCUCGGCACUGUAGCCAUGCCAGACCUGACCUCGGCCAAUGUGCGCGGCGCACUGUGGCCACGAUGGCCUACCUAUACGGCUCAGAGGCGGCGGACUCGCCAGUCAGUGAGAGCUAGAAGACGACGGAUACACUCCGAAGGCGGCCCCGUGGGAGUCGGCUCCCCGGAGUCGGCCAGCCCCUCUCACGGGUCCCACGCGCCAUUAACCAGACAAGAUGGGGAGCAACGACAGUGAUCGCCUGAUAGACGGCGGCACUGUUGCCACGACCCAAUGACCAAGCCUGCGCCAUCAGAGGCACGACUACAGUGCCGAACUCGCCGGCGGGGCCCGCAAGUCGGCGGGCCCCAUUAGUCGGCGGAGAAGACGGCGACCUGUGAGACAGACGGCUGGGACCCGUGCCCAGCCGAAUUACCAUUGUAUCCCCGGGGGGUAGGCCUAUAUAAACACCCCGGGGCACCCAUGCAAAGGGUUCGCUGCCAUUAGCCUUAGACCCGAUCGUAUAGGAAGAAGAGGGCUAGCCUUGCCUCCUUCUACCUCUAGAAUACAGCUCUAGGAGCAACCUUGUAGUCACUAUGCCUUAGCGAUCAUGCGGAGACCCUGCAGAGCAGCAGUAGGGGUGUUAUCUCCCCGGAGAGCCCCCGAAGCUGGGUAAGAUUCGCCGGCGUGCAUGCCUUCGCCUAAUCCCGUUUCCUGGCACCGGCGACGUUCUACUCGCUCCCACCAUGAUAAGCCAUCCUUUGGCAUAUGUCGCACCCAACCCCCGACAUCAUAUCUCUCAAUCCGGGCAUUUGCUUGAAAUAUUAACUUCAACUCCUGGAACAUCUCAUAUGCUCCAUGACGUUCAAAACAUCGUUGAAGACCCGAUUCUAAGCCGUAAAGCAUGGUACAUUAAACUAUCGAGUAGUCAUCAGCUUUGCUCUGCCAGACGUUCUUAACGUCAUCAGUUGCAUCAGCAGCAGGCCUGGCACCCAGCGGUGCUUCCAGGACGUAAUUCUUCUGUGCAGCAAUGAGGAUAAUCCUCAGGUUACGGACCCAGUCCGUGUAAUUGCUACCAUCAUCUUUCAACUUUGCUUUCUCAAGGAGCGCAUUAAAAUUCAACUGAACAACAGCACGAGCCAUCUAUCUACAACAAACAUAGACAAGCAAAAUACUAUCAGGUACUAAGUUCAUGAUAAAUUUAAGUUCAAUUAAUCAUAUUACUUAAGAACUCCCACUUAGACAGACAUCUCUCUAGUCAUCUAAGUGAUCACGUGAUCCAAAUCAACUAAACCAUGUCCGAUCAUCACGUGAGAUGGAGUAGUUUCAAUGGUGAACAUAACUAUGUUGAUCAUAUCUAAUAUAUGAUUCACGUUCGACCUUUCGGUCUCCGUGUUCCGAGGCCAUAUCUGUUAUAUGCUAGGCUCGUCAAGUUUAACCUGAGUAUUCCGCGUGUGUAACUGUUUUGCACCCGUUGUAUUUGAACGUAGAGCCUAUCACACCCGAUCAUCACGUGGUGUCUCAGCACGAAGAACUUUCGCAACGGUGGAUACUCUGGGAGAACACUUCUUGAUAAUUUUUAGUGAGAGAUCAUCUUAAAAUGCUAUCGUCAAUCAAAGCAAGAUAAGAUGCAUAAAGGAUAAACAUCACAUGCAAUCAAUAUAAGUGAUAUGAUAUGGCCAUCAUCAUCUUGUGCUUGUGAUCUCCAUUUCCGAAGCACCGUCGUGAUCACCAUUGUCACCGGCGCGACACCUUGAUCUCCAUCGUAGCAUCGUUGUCGUUACGCCAUCUAUUGCUUCUACGACUAUCGCUACCGCUUAGUGAUAAAGUAAAGCAAUUAUAGGGCGUUUGUAUUCCAUACAAUAAAGCGACAACCAUAUGGCUCCUGCCAGUUGCCGAUAACUUCGGUUACAAAACAUGAUCAUCUCAUACAAUAAAAUAUAGCAUCACGUCUUGACCAUAUAACAUCACAACAUGCCCUGCAAAAACAAGUUAGACGUCUUCUACUUUGUUGUUGCAAAUUUUACGUGGCUGCUAUGGGCUGAGCAAGAACCGCUCUUACCUACGCAUCAAAACCACAACGAUAGUUCGUCAAGUUAGUGCUGUUUUAACCUUCGCAAGGACCGGGCGUAGCCACACUCGGUUCAACUAAAGUUGGAGAAACAGACACCCGCUAGUCACCUGUGUGCAAAGCACGGCGGUAAAACCAGUCUCGCAUAAGCGUACGCGUAAUGUCGGUCCGGGCCGCUUCAUCCAACAAUACCGCUGAACCAAAGUAUGACAUGCUGGUAAGCAGUAUGACUUGUAUCGCCCACAACUCACUUGUGUUCUACUCGUGCAUAUAACAUCAACACAUAAAACCUGGCUCGGAUGCCACUGUUGGGGAACGUAGUAAUUUCAAAAUUUUCCUACGCACACGCAAGAUCAUGGUGAUGCAUAGAAACGAGAGGGGAGAGUGUUGUCCACGUACCCUCGUAGACCGUAAGAAGAAGCGUUAUGACAAUGCGGUUGAUGUAGUCGUACGUCUUCACGAUCCGACCGAUCCAAGCACCGAACGUACGACACCUCCGAGGUCAGCACACGUUCAGCUCGAUGACGAUCCCCGGACUCCGAUCCAGCAGGGUGUCGGGGAUGAGUUCGGUCAGCAUGACGGCGUGGUGACGAUGAUGAUGUUCUACCAACGCAGGGCUUCGCCUAAGCACCGCAACGAUAUGACCGAGGUGGAAUAUGGUGGAGGGGGGGCACCGCACACGGCUAAGGAACGAUCACGAAGAUAACUUGUGUGUCUAGAGGUGCCCCUUGCCCCCGUAUAUAAAGGACGGAGGGGUAGGUGCGGCCGGAACGAUUCCGAUAUCCAAAUAUAGGCUUCCAAUAUAUCAAUCUUUAUGUCUCGACCAUUUUGAGACUCCUCGUCAUGUCCGGGAUCACAUCCGGGACUCUGAACAACCUUCGGUACAUCAAAACAUAUAAACUCAUAAUAAAUUUGUCAUUGUAACGUUAAGCGUGCGGACCCUACGGGUUCGAGAACUAUGUAGACAUGACCUAGAACUAUUCUCGGUCAAUAACCAAUAGCGGAACCUGGAUGCUCAUAUUGGCUCCCACAUAUUCUACGAAGAUCUUUAUCGGUUAAACCGCAUAACAACAUACGUUGUUCCCUUUGUCAUCGGCAUGUUACUUGCCCGAGAUUCGAUCGUCGGUAUCUAAUACCUAGUUCAAUCUCGUUACCGGCAAGUCUCUUUACUCGUUACGUAAUGCAUCAUUCCAUAACUAACUCAUUAGCUACAUUGCUUGCAAGGCUUAUAGUGAUGUGCAUUACCGAGAGGGCCCAGAGAUACCUCUCCGACAAUCGGAGUGACAAAACCUAAUCUCGAAAUACGCCAACCCAACAUGUACCUUUGGAGACACCCGUAGAGCUCUUUUAUAAUCACCCAGUUACGUUGUGACGUUUGGUAGCACCCAAAGUGUUCCUCCGGUAAACGGGAGUUGCAUAAUCUCAUAGUUACAGGAACAUGUAUAAGUCAUGAAGAAAGCAAUAGCAACAUACUAAAUGAUCAAGUGCUAGGCUAACGGAAUGGGUCAUGUCAAUCACAUCAUUCUCCUAAUGAUGUGAUCCCAUUAAUCAAAUGACAACACAUGUCUAUGGUUAGGAAACAUAACCAUCUUUGAUUAAUGAGCUAGUCAAGUAGAGGCAUACUAGUGACGUUUAUGUUUGUCUAUGUAUUCACACAUGUAUCAUGUUUCCGGUUAAUACAAUUCUAGCAUGAAUAAUAAACAUUUAUCAUGAUAUGAGGAAAUAAAUAAUAACUUUAUUAUUGCCUCUAGGGCAUAUUUCCUUCAUUUGUCACCUCCAUAAACGAGAAACAUAUCCUUAGUCCUUUUCAGGUAUUUCAGGAUGUUCUUAAACGCUGUCCAGUGAUCCACUCCUGGAUUACUUUGGUACCUCCCUGCUAAACUUAUUGCUAAGCAUACAUCAGGUCUGGUACACAACAUUGCAUACAUGAUAGAGCCUGUGGCUGAAGCAUAGGGAACAUCUUUCAUUUUCUCUCUAUCUUCUGCUGUGGUCGGGCAUUGAGUCUGACUCAACUUCACACCUUGCAAUACAGGCAAGAACCCUUUCUUUGCCUGAUCCAUUUUGAACUUUUUCAAAACUUUAUCAAGAUAUGUGCUUUGUGAAAGUCCAAUUAAAUGUCUUGAUCUAUCUCAAUAGAUCUUGAUGCCCAAUAUGUAAGCAGCUUUUCCGAGGUCUUUCAUUGAAAAACUUUUAUUUAAGUAUCCCUUUAUGCUAUCCAGAAAUUCUAUAUCAUUUCCAAUUAACAAUAUGUCAUCUACAUAUAAUAUCAGAAAUGCUACGGAGCUCCCACUCACUUUCUUGUAAAUACAGGCUUCUUCAAAAGUCUGUAUAAAACCAUAUGCUUUGAUCACACUAUCAAAACUUUUAUUCCAACUCCGAGAUGCUUGCACCAGUCCAUAAAUGGAUCGCUGGAGCUUCCACACUUUGUUAGCACCUUUUGGAUCGACAAAACCUUCCGGUUGCAUCAUAUACAACUCUUCUUCCAGAAAUCAUCGUGCACACAAAAAUAGUUCACUGUGUAGUAAAAAAAAGGUAGACAUGUAUUCUUUCAAAGGCAAAAGAAAUUACAGGAAAAUAGAAAAAAUGAAAACAUCAUGGAAUCUUUCCAAAACUGGCCAAAACUGAUAGAAGGUUCCACAAACAUGUCUAUACAAGCUUCCAAAAAACGCAAAAUCUCUAGCUAACACAAUUACUGGGCCGGUGCACCAUGUAGAUCUCCAUAGGCAAGCAUAAGUUAUGUCUCAGAUUAAGCGCUUUUAGCAAUUGCGGUAGGAGAGGCCCAGGAGCAGAUGGACCGUGUGGCCUAGCAUUGUAGGCGUCAAUUCCUAGCACAAUCGGAUGCACAUGAAGGUCGAGGCCUAGUGCCCCAGCUGGCACUAGUGAUAUACAAUUGAUGUAUUUCCUGUAAAAAUUGUAUCAACCAAGUUCUCAUUGAGGUGUACUUGUCUUUCAGUGUUGUGGAUAAAUCCCCAAGCUUGCUUUUCUAGAAGAGCCUGAUUAAAAGUUCUCAUGUCUCUCAAACCCAUGCCUCCCAUAGUUUUCUGAAGAAUCUUUUUGUCCCAAGCAAGCUAGGCCAUCUUUCUUUUACCCUUCUUCACUCCCCACAUGUAGGAUCUUCACCGGCACACAACCUUGCAAACAAUGGAGACCGAUGUAGCACAUUGAUGUCACUGUGACUUCUGAGACAUUGGCAUGCUAAAGAAAGAGUGACAAAUCUUGUGGUCUACAUGCAAGUGCUUCAAUAUUGAUGUGGGAAUUUUAUGAUGGCCCUAGUAUUUCCUUUGUUCGGUAUAUGGGCAGUUCUUACAUUUUUAGUGCAUGCAAUCUUGGGAUCCGAGCAUACCUAGAAACGCUCUUGAUUCUCUAAGUACCAUGAGCCUUGUUGUGUCUUUGGCAUUUUGUUCUCCGAAGUUCCUGGGUUCAACACCUUGACCAUUGCGGUUGAAAAUCUAACAAUUGCCUUUAGGCUUGUGCUCUCAGAUAUCUAAAGAUAUUAAUCCCAUGAAUUUGUGGUUGUGCCAUACACAAGUAUGCUCAUAGAAGCCAUGCACUCCUGGAGACCAAAAAACUGUAUCUUCAACAACUUGAAGUAAACAUCAUAACACCCGACACCUUGCAUGAUAUGCAAGAACAAUGGUCGCUGUAUCCGGAACCAACAUAAAAUAAGUGUUAGAAUAGCGCAUCAGGGGCAAAUUAGUCCUCCAGAACAUGCCCAUGUGCACAAUGUCGGUUCAACGCUUGAUGUCCCAACGUUGAACUCUUGAAGUUGAGAACAUGCUCAUCCACAUGGUUUGUUACUUCAAUAAUUGCCAUCAUCUCCGGUCCAUAGCCAUCUUCCUCAUAUGAUGAAGGAAAAUCCAUGAAUUCAACUUAGAAGUACUCCUCUUCAUAAUCCAUUGUGUUUGCGUCACAGGAAAAAAAGACAAUGCCUAGAAAUUUCGCUACGGCAUUUGACCAACCAGUUGCCAUGCACGGCCUCAUCCAUGGAUGCCGUCAACUGGGGUGUAGGGUACGUGGGCUAUGAAUGAAUCUGCCGGAGUGUGGCGGUGGCAUAGAACUAGGCGAGUAGAUGCAUGGAUGGAGCGGUAGAGGUCUGUUAAUGCCUGGUCAGUAGUGGGAAUGGGGGUACUGGGGCAUCGUUGUUCUCAAGGAGCCGAUGAGGAGGGCAGGAUUGUGAAAAUAUGCAGGCUCUGGAUGAGGUCUGGGGUAGGUUCGGUGUGUCGGAGUCCGCUGUGGCGGAAGUAUGGACUCCCCCAAAGCUCACUUGAUCUGGGUCGGUCUGUGGGUUUCGAACCCUCGGACCGAUUCGUUCCAAUUUGGUUGUCCACGGUUGAUGCCUAAAAGUGUCCAAACAACCCGGUCCAAACAUUUGUGAGCGUUUGUAGUCUAAAGCUAAGCUCAUGCUUCAUAGGAUAGCGUUUGUUUUCUGUUUAAGUAAGUGCUUGCAUGCGGUCAAUGUGACACACCCAUGCAGCUAGAUAGUGGGACGGUGCGCCAUGCGAGCACAAGUUAUGUCUCAAAACAAGAGAUUUUUAGCAUUUGAGGUAGGAGAGGACAAGGAGCAGAUGGACCGUGUGGCCUAGCAUUGUAGUCGUUGUUUCCUAGCCCAAUCUGAUGUACCUAAAGGCGAAGGCCUAGUGCCCCAGCUGGCACUAGUGCCAUACAACUGACACAUUUUCUAUAAAAACUGUAUCAACCAAGUUCUCAUUGGGGUACUACUUCUCCAUCAGUAGUCGUGCCACAAGACUAUCCAGAUUCUGGAUUAAUCUCCAUGCUUGCUUGGCUAGAAGAGCCCGAUUAUAAGUUCUCAUGUCUCUAAAACCCAUGCCUCCCAUAGAUUUGGAAGGAUCUUCUUGUCCAAAGCGAGCUAGGCCAUCUUUCUUUUAACCUUCCCGACUUCCCACAUGUAGAAUCUUAGCCCGCACACAACACUGCUAACAAUGGAGAGAAAUGCAACACGUUGGUGUCAUUGUGACUUGUGAGACCCUGGCAUGCCAAACAAAGAUUGUCAAAUCCCAAAAUCUUCUGAUGCAAAUGCUUCAAUAAUGACGGUGGGAGUUUUAUUAUGGCCCUAGUAUUUCCUUUGUUGAGUACACGAGCAGUUCUUCCAUUUUGUGUGCAUGCAAUCUUUGUCUCCAGAAGUGUUAGAAUAGCACAUCAGGGGCAAAGUAGUCCUCGUACAGAUAAACAUGCCCAUGUGACUACCAUCGAUUCAACGCUUGAUGUCCAAACAUGAAGUUGACAACAUGCUCCUCCGCACGCUUUAUUUCUUCAAGAAUCGCCAUCAUCGCCUCCAUUUGAUACCCAUCUUCCUCAUCUAACGAAGGCAAAUCCAUGAAUUCAACCUAGAAGUACUCCUCGUCAGAAUCCAUUGUGUUUGUGUCAAAGCAAAAAACAACAACACCAAGAAAUUUCGCUAUGGCAUUUGACCGACCAGUUGUCGUGCACUGCCUCCGCAAUGGAUGUCGUCGACAGGGGCGGAGGGUACAUGGGCUAUGGCCAAAUCCAGCGGAUUGCAGUAGCGGCAUAGGCCCAGGCGAGCAGACGCAUGUGUAGAGCGGCAGACGUCUGUCAAGGCAUGGUCAGUGUCAGUUGGGAAUAUGCAGGCUCUGGGUGAGGUUGAGGGUGUUGGAGUCCGCGGUGGCGGGAGUCUGGACUCCCCAACUCCCUCGAUUUGGGGCAUGUAUGUGGGAUUUCAAACACCCGGACCGACCCGUUCCAAUUUGGUGGUCUGUGGUUGGUGUCUAAAAGUCUCCGAACAUUUGCGACCGUUUUGGUGUCCGCGUUGAAGAUGCCCUUACGAGUAGACCAUGCAUCAUCUCAAAGAGAGUCAUGAAACCAAGUUUCAAAGAAAACAUCGUGGAAACCAUGUUUGGAAGUUUCAAAAAAAUCUGGAAAAAUGGGAUAUUAAGAGGGUGUUGUUCUAUUGACAUGCGAAAUUCCAAGUUCAAACACAUUACCAUUUAUGAGUUAUAAAAAGAACACAUUCAGAUAUUAAUCUUGAUGUUUACUGUUUGGCAAUAUUCAAUGUUGAUUUUGUUUUUCUUCUGUACCUCAUAAACUGCAAUGUGUUUGAACUUGGGAAUUUCACAUGCUAAUAGAACAUCACCCUACUAUAUCGCUUGGUUUUUUAAGAAUUUUUUUGAGACUUUAAUACAUAGUUUCCGCAUGGUUUUCAUUGGUUUCCACCCGAACUUUGUUUUCAUGUGAUAGUCUAUCCUUCUUCAAAAGAAAAAUAAAAGGUAGAAGCUGCCACGCAUGCACAGCCCGGAGAUACAACCACAUUGUUAGCCAACUUCAACAUACUUUUAUUCCACGUACAUAUGCAUGCACAUAUAUAUGCAUGGCUGGGACAGUAUUAAUUUUAACCACACAACACCGCACACUUAUACGAUUACCUAGUGAACACUGUUGCAUGCAUGCAUGCCUGCAGGAAACUCUAGCAUGAAACAUGCACGAGACUGAGAUAUAAGAUGAACUGGAACGCAAACUUGCAAAGAGCACAGAUGGUCGAUCAGCGCCGGCAGGUGUAGUUUGAUUCGCAUGGAAUCUUGCACUGGUUGAGGAGGGCGACGACGUCGACGUGGAUCAGCCCGUGGAGGACGACCACGUCACAGAGGCACGCGGCAGCGUCCAGGCCGGCCAACUCGCCCAGCAGCUGGCAGCACGGUUCAUAUGGCGACACGCCGAGGCUGACAAUCGGCACGCUCAGCAGGCUCAAGCACACGCCCAGAUCCGGGCACGAGCCACCGCUGGUUGAUGGUGGUGGCGGUGACAGCGGCGGUGGGGGCGGCGGGCAUGACGGAGGUGGUGGUGACGGCGGUGGGGUCUGGCAGUUGUAUCCGCCACAACCGUGCACGAUGGAGACCGUCAGUGCCAUGGCAAGGAGGAGGAGGACGAGCUUGCACGAGGGCGUCAUUGCGAGAGCUUUGAUUGAGGGGAAGCUAGUGAGACGUGUAUGUGAUUGUGGUGCUGUAUAUGUCUUUGGGUUGUUGUGGGGUGGUAUUUAUAGCCGGAUUGUACAUGAUGCAAGAGGGUGUGUUACGAUCGAAUUUGACUCUAGCCAACUUAAACCACAAAGCACGUACGUGUACCCUCAUGGAUCGAUGCUCUGACCCUAGGUACCUUUUUUUACAACAGGCCACGCUGCUUAAGUACAGGUGCCCUCAUGGCCGGCACUAGCUCUCAUUAUUGUGAACAUACAGUACAGCUGUACACGCAUGCAUGUGCAGAGCGAGCGAUAAGCUAAAGCGGGGCCAAGUCAACUACAUGCUCCAUAGCAUAGCUUUGGCUCCUCUCCUCAUACGUGGCACAAAAUUGGUAGUAGCCUCCCCCGGAUAGGAUUCUAACAAUCCGGGACUAGCUACUAUAGAUGUGGUUUGGUAUAAUUUGAUUUGGAUUUUCCUUGAUCGAUGCACACAGGUGGACUAAUUAGGUAGGUACGCAUGUAGCGAACCAACCUAUGGGCUAUGGUUAGAUGGUUAGAGAGACUUUGGUAUACCCAGCCCACCAGGUUCAAAUCUUGGUGCUCGCAUUUAUUCCUACGAUGACUUCGUAAAUUUCAAGAUGAUAAGCCGGCAUCUGCUUAGUCUUUCGGAGGUGCUCAUAGGGGUAGGAUGUGCGUGCAGGGGCGGACGCACGUUAAAAACCGUGGGGGCAGAUGCUCCCACUCGAUUUUGACAUACGCUUUAUAUACUGGUCCUGCCUAUGUGAGUGUGCCCCCGCUUGGCCCAAUACAUUUACCCCCACUCAGCCCAGUUAUUUGUUUAUUUUCAAAGCUACAUUACGCCAAAUUUGUAAAUGCAGCCCACCAUCAAAGAACUAGCAGACUUAAGAGAUACUAGGCUACACCCAAUAUUUUUAUCGUUAUGUCUCGACCAUUUCGAGACUCCUCGUCACGUCUGUGAUCUCAUCCAGGACUCCGAACAAACUUCGGUACAUCAAAACACAUAAACUCAUAAUACUGAUCGUCAUCAAACGUUAAGCGUGCGGACACUACGGGUUCGAGAACUAUGUAGACAUGAUCGAGACUCACUUCCGGUCAAUAACCAAUAGCGGAACUUGGAUGCUCAUAUUAGUUCCUCAUAUUCUACGAAGAUCUUUAUCGGUCAAACCGCAUAAUAAUAUACGUUGUUCCCUUUGUCAUCGGUAUGUUACUUGCCUGAGAUUUGAUCGUUGCUAUCUCAAUACCUAGUUCAAUCUCGUUACCGGCAAGUCUCUUUAGUCGUUUCGUAAUACUUCAUCCCGCAACUAACUCAUUAGUUAUGAUGCUUGCAAGGCUUAUAGUGAUGAGUAUUACCGAGAGGGCCCAGAGAUACCUCUCCGAAACACGGAGUGAUAAAUCCUAAUCUUGAUCUAUGCCAACCCAACAAACACCUUCGGAGACACCUGUAGAGCACCUUUAUAAUCGCCCAUUUACGUUGUGACGGUUGGUAGCGCACAAAAUGUUCUUCCGGUAUUCGGGAGUUGCGUAAUCUCAUAGUCUGAGGAACUUUUAUAAGUUAUGAAGAAAGCAGUAGCAAUGAAACUGAAACGAUCAUAAUGCUAAACUAACAGAUGGAUCAUGUCCAUCACAUCAUUAUCCCGUUCAUCAAAUGACAACACAUGUCUAUGGUUAGGAAACAUAACCAUCUUUGAUUAACGAGCUAGUCAAGUAGAGGCAUACUAGCACUACAAGAAAUAUGUCAACUUGCGACCUUGACUAUUGGUCACUAAAUGAUCAUUAUUUUCCAUUUGUGACCUUUUUGUGACCAAAAACAGAUGGUCAAAAGCUGGCGGUCGUAAACUGAAAUUAACGACCUUCUCUAUGACAAGGUCGUAGACGUUUACGACCAAAAUAUGCCUACUUUUUUGUUUUGGUCACUAGCAACCUCCACAGGCCACGUAGGCAUCCAACAUGGUAAGCUGAUGUGGCACAAGAAUCAGCCCGGUCCAUUUCGGUGCUUUAGAUGGGCCGAGCCCAUUAAUUCAUCCUUUUUAAUAUAUAUUUUUCUGUUAAUUUUCGCUAGCUACAUGGGCUUGGGCCAUUGAUUCGGCCUUUUUUGCUUUCUGAGAUACGGCCUUUUCACAUUCUAUAUAAUUUUGGUUUUCGGGUUUUCUUUUUUUGUUUUGUUACAUUCAAUAUUCAGAUUAUUGUACUCAACUGGGUUUUCGAUUCAGGUUUUAAUUUUUCACAACUUGUAACUCAACGAUAUACCAAGCAGAGAACACAUUAAAAAUAUAUUCAAAUAACAACCAAAUCACCGAUAUACCAAACAAGUUUAUUACAUUCCACCAAUCACAAUAUAACCAUACAAUAUUACACCAAUCACAGUAUAGCACUCUAUAGAUAAAACGCUCAACAAGUACACGCACAUCUCCAACAGCUUAGCGCCUUGAACCUGCAAAACAUCACAUCGAACCACAUAUUAACGAUCAAAUCAAUUCACCCCUUGACGGCAAUAAAAACUGUGCUCAUGUAUGAACGAAAAUAAAAUAAACAAUCUUUGAGGCCAUAGCAUGUGCUACAAAAAUCUUAACAAAUGCAUAGAUAUCCACACGGAGCACAUCCUACAUGCACCAAGCAUCAGGCAUAUGUUCAAGAAGAUAAGUAAUUUGAGAUGGAAACAAGUACAUCUAACAAUCUAACAUGUGUAGUAACACCAACAAAAAGAGCGAGACAUGGAAGAAUUUACAAGAACAGCAACUGGGAGUCCAAUUACAUGUACAUGAGCUACUGCUGCUAGUGUAUAUAGAACCAAUCAAGCUGCUGGUGUAGGAGCAGAGCAUGAGUCCAACAGAGCCACAUAGGAGCAAACAACAGAGCCACAUAGGAGCAAACAACAGAUUAAGCACUGCUCCUAACCAACUUAGCAAAUCCAGAGCAACCCCAUACCACCAGAGCAUCACAGGAGCACAUAUAUAAAUCAAGUACACAUGGGCAGCUACUGACAGACCCUAGAACCGCAUGAAUUUAUCACCAGAGAGCUCCAGUAGGAGUUGAUGCUUGGUUACAGCAUCUAGCAGCAACUAGCAGAGCCCCACAUCCAACCCAAAUCAUGGCCAAGGCCAUGCAGGAGCUAUAUCAGAGAAGAAGGAACGGGGAGGAGCUCACCAAAGGAAGGUUGUAGCCAUAGCAGAGGCUCAGCCACACCACGGCUGUGGUGCGACCAUCACCACAUCGAGGAGAGGGUCUGGAAGCCGCCGAAGCACCACCGCGGCGACCAGGGCAAGCGCUGGGAAUAGUGGCGCCACCCCAGGGACAUCACCGCACGGACAUCACCGGCCUCGCCCUGUUUCAAGACUCGAUCAAUUCUGAAGAAACCACUUCGUCGUCAGACACAUACAUACAUACAAGAUGCAAAAGAAGAAGAAACAUAGCAGGGACCUGGUCGAUCAUGAGAUAGUGUUCAUAUCAUUAGGAAGAAAUAGGCCAUUGUAUAGCUCACAUAAACAGAUCUGCUACUAUGCACAACACAAGCACCCACUUGCACUUGGUAUAUUUCGGUAUCUAGGACAUCCAACACUCACAACACUUGGGCUAGUCUAAUGUAUAGACUUGUUUGCAAUAGGAGCCAAUGGAACUGAAACACAAGUAGCACAUGAACAAACAGCGAAAGAAAUAGAAGGACGACCUUGUGUGGUGGCCGGGGUGGACGAGGGUGUCCUCCUAGUCAGCUCAGGCGUCCUCCUGCACCAAAUCAAACAGAAAAAUCUUGAAGCAUGUCGAAUAACAAAACGUACGUGUAUAUAUAUAAUAUAGAAGCAACAGAAGCACAUAUAUAUCCUAUUUCUUCCACAAAGUGUGUAUAUAGAUAGGUCAGAUUUUUGAAUGCAUUGUUGUUGUAAAAAACAAAUAUGUUGUUGAGGAAUUUGACUAGAUUUUAGAUAUGUUAAGCAGAGGCAAGAUUUUAGAUAUGUUAAGCAGAGGCAAGAUAUGCUCCAGCAGCCUGACCACUGAUGUCAGUUAGUUUCAGCAAACAUCAAAUUUUUUGCUUGCUUGGUUUUAUUAUCAUCAGCCUGCAACUCUGCAUUAAGGCUUUCCUUUUGUUUUUGGUGUUGUUUGCUAUGUCAGGUUGAAAUGAAGAUGGCAACCAGACCAACUUAAAACCAACUAUAUACAUGGUGUUAUUUCAAGUGUAAGCAGACUGAAAAUCUGACAUUGUUCGUCAUCACGCCGUAUUGUGCUGCAAGUAAACUGUGUGUCUAGUUCUUGUGAAGUGUGUUAAUGUUGCUCCUACCUGACUAGCUCCUAGAGCUUUGGAUUCACAUGAUGCGUUGUGUACUCGCCGUGAAAAGAUCAGUGCGUGAUUAUUGAUCAACAGAACAACUCUAUGUACUCCCUCUGAUCCGAAUUAUGUUGUAGUAGUUGCGUCAAUUAUUUCAGAUAGGAGGGAGUAACAGUUCUUUUUGAAAAGAAAAGAAAAACCUAUGCAACAGUUGUUGUGAUGUCCUGUGAGCUCUACUCUGAACAAGUAACCAUCAACAGACUGCAGAACCUGUGUGACAGGGAUCGCGCAUCUCACAAUCCGGCACCAGUUACUAACUACCAGCAUCAGCAGAAAACCAAUAGCUGCACGUGUAACUCGCUGCCCUCACGGGCAAAAGCACGAACAAAUUCGGAGCGCGGAAAGGCUCAUGCGUUUCUGCACGGGAAAAUCGGCCGGAGAAAGGUACUGCUUUAUGGUUGGGUAGCGAGGAGGGGAGGGGGCGAGGCACUCACGCAGUGUUCGCGACAGAGACCCACUGCGUCGUGGGCGGGCUGAGGUACGCCGACGCGCUGUAGACGAUGCCGCUUCCCCGGCUCCGGAACGGCCGCGCCGCGCCCGUUCCUAGGGGCCGCGGCCUCAGCCGUAGAGCGGCGCAUGCCCUGCAUACACAUAGAUGUUAGAUCACCCACCGGCGCGGUGGGUAAGCGAAUCACACGGACGGAAGGAGAGCGUGCGCUGAAGGAACCCGGCAAGCAGCCUCACCUGAGCGCGGCCGUCCGCGGGGCGGGGGAGUAGCCCACAUUCCGGGCGGGCCAGGCCGUCCGCAGCGGCACGGAGCAGGGCGUCGUGGUGGGGAUCGCGAGGCGCAGUGAGAUGGACAUGGUCGCGGUCCCUCUCUCUCUCGGCCGACCGGGUUCGUCGGAGCUGGAAGCCUCGCCGGUGGAUGAUUGGCACUAGCCUCACCGAAGAUGGCAACCACAGAUGAGGGAGGUUUGGGUGCAGCGUGACGGAAGGAGGGUGCCGCCACCGGUGACGGGAGGGAUGAGGUCGGCGGCGCUGGGUGAGGAGGACGACGAGGUCGGCGGUGGGGAGAGGACUGGAUCGNNNNNNNNNNNNNNNNNNNNNNNNNNNNNNNNNNNNNNNNNNNNNNNNNNNNNNNNNNNNNNNNNNNNNNNNNNNNNNNNNNNNNNNNNNNNNNNNNNNNNNNNNNNNNNNNNNNNNNNNNNNNNNNNNNNNNNNNNNNNNNNNNNNNNNNNNNNNNNNNNNNNNNNNNNNNNNNNNNNNNNNNNNNNNNNNNNNNNNNNNNNNNNNNNNNNNNNNNNNNNNNNNNNNNNNNNNNNNNNNNNNNNNNNNNNNNNNNNNNNNNNNNNNNNNNNNNNNNNNNNNNNNNNNNNNNNNNNNNNNNNNNNNNNNNNNNNNNNNNNNNNNNNNNNNNNNNNNGAGGAGGGGUGCGAUGGGAUCUAACCGGAAGAGACUGGGUGGUGGAAGGGAGGGGCAACGGAGGAGGAAUCUAGAUCGGGAAGGGGGAGGCGGCGAGGAGAUGGGGACGAGGGAGGAAGGGGGCGACGGGGGUAGGGGUCGAUCUAAGCUAGGGUUUGGGCUACGGGUGGGGGGUAUCUCCUUUUUUUCUGUAGAUGAAUGGAUGGAUGUGGGAUGGAGAGAUGGAUGGAUGGAUGGAUGCCAUGUCAUCGAUCCUUGGACAGAGUUAUGAUUGGUUCAGAAAAUCAGUGAUGUAAAAUAGUUUUCAAAUACUACAAAUAGAGGGAUUUUAUUAAGUAGCUAUCAAAAAUAUUUUGCAAAAGGGCACCACACAAACUUUCACUAGAGUUAGACCACAUUUUAUGGAUUAGAACCAAUUUGUAUGCAUUUUUCAUAUUUCUAGUUAUUUUUAAUCAUUUUCCGAGUGGCAAAAAUAUUUUUUUUGAAGAACCUACCAAAUAAUUGUUGCAAAAUUGCACCAAAUAAAUUUUCUAAAAUAUUAGGCCAUAUUUAAUACAUAAUUGACCAAAUGGUUUGAUGUCAAAAGUUUUCAUCCACCUCUCGUGAAAAAGACAAAUUUCUGCCGGUUCAGUUGGAAGCGGGUCAAAUUUGAACUGCAGCUGCCUCAUAGUUUGCUCUUUAUUUUUUUCAAAAAAUCAUUUUUAGGUACAAAAGUAUCUAUCUAGUCAUAGAAACACCAAAAAAAUUCCAAGAUUCAACCACUAGCUAGGAACGGUCACUCCCGUCGUUUUGGCCGCAUUUUGAAACGGGCAUAAAAAAUUCAAAAAAAAUCAAAAAAUUGGAAAACCUUCGCAUUGUUUCAUCAUGUGUGGCCAAGUUACUGGCAAAAAUUAUAAACUUGUAAUACGGCAAUUAUUUUAUAAAAGUGUUCUCAGAAAUGAGCUAUCAUGCAUGAAGAUUCAUGGCUUUCAAGCCAAAUGAUCAAUCUUAUGGCCACAUUCAUGGCAUAGUUUGUUAAAAUGAUCUUAUAUUGUGCAAAAGGGUGAAUAUUGGAAUUCCAAACAAUGUUGCCUAAGAGAGUUUUCAUUUUCUUUGCACGGAAAAUUCAUUUUCCAUUUUUCGAGUGCCCGAAAUGAGGUUUUUUUGUGAAGUACCUACCAAAUAAUUAUUACAAAAUUGCACCAAAUCAAUUUUCUAAAAUACUAGAACAUAUUUAAUGCACAAUUGACUAAAUGGUCGGGUGUAAAAAGUUUUGAUCCACCUCUGGUGAAAAAGACAAAUUUCCGCCGAUUCAGUACGAAGCGGGUCAAAUUUGAACUGUAGCUGCCUUAUAGUUUGCUCUUUAUUUUUUCCAAAAAUCAUUUCUAGGUACAUAGGUAUCUAUUUAAUCAGAUAAGCACCAAAAAAAUUCCAAGAUUCAACCACUAGCUAGGAACGGUCAUUCCUGCCGUUUUGACCGCAUUUUGAAAUGGGCAUAAAAACUUCAAUAAAAAUCAAAAAAUUGGAAAACCUUCGCAUUGUGUCAUCAUAUGUGGCCAAGUUCCCAGAAAAAACAAUAAACUUGUAAUACGGCAAUUCUUUUAAAAAGUGUUCUCAGAAAUGAGCUAUCAUGCGUGAAGAUUCAUGGCUAUCAAGCCAAAUGAUCAAUCUUAUGGCCACAUUCAUGGCAUAGUUUGUUCAAAUGACCUCAUAUCAUGCAAAAGGGUGAAACUUGGAAUGAAAAACAAUGUUGCCUAAGGAAGUUUUCAUUUUCUUUGCACGAAAAAUUCAUUUUCCAUUUUUCCAAGUGCCCAAUAUGAGUUUUUUUGUGAAGGACCUACCAUAUAUUUGUUGCAAAAUUGGACCUAAUCAAUUUUAUUAAAUACUAGGACAUAUAUAAUGCACAAUUGACUAAAUGGUUGGGUGUCAAAAGUUUUGAUCCACCUCUGGUGAAAAAGACAAAUUGCCGCUGAUUCAGUAGGAAGCGGGUCAAAUUUGAACUGCAACCGCCUUAUAUUUUGCUCUUUAUUUUUUCCAAAAAUUAUUUCUAGAUACAUAGGUAUCUAUUUAAUCAGAUAAACACCAAAAAAAUUCCAAGAUUCAACCACUAGCUAGGAACGGUCAUUCCCGCCGGUUUGACCGCAUUUUGAAACGGGCAUAAAAAAUUCAAAAAAAAAUCAAAAAAUUGGAAAACCUUCGCAUUGUGUCAUUAUAUGUGGCCAAGUUCCCUGCAAAUAUAAUAAACUUGUAAUACGGCAAUUGUUUUAAAAAAAUGUUCUCAGAAAUGAGCUAUAAUGCGUGAAGAUUCAUGGCUAUCAAGCAAAAUGAUCAAUCUUAUGGCCACAUUCAUGGCAUAGUUUGUUCAAAUGACCUCAUAUCAUGCACAAGGGUGCAUCUUGGAAUGACAAACAAUGUUGCCUAAGGAAGUUUUCGUUUUCUUUGCACGAGAAAUUCAUUUUCUAUUUUUCCGAGUGCCCAAAAUGAGUUUUUUUGUGAAGGACCUACCAUAUAUUUGUUGCAAAAUUGGACCUAAUCAAUUUUAUAAAAUACUAGGCCAUUUAUAAUGCAAAAUUGACAAAAUGGUUGGGUGUCAAAAGUUUUGAUCCACCUCUGGUGAAAAAAAGAUAAAUUCCCGCCGAUUCAGUAGGAAGCGGGUCAAAUUUGAACUGUAGCUGCCUCAUAGUUUCCUAUUUAUUUAUUCCAAAAAUCGUUUCUAGUUACAUAAGUACCUAUUUAAUCAUAAAUACAUGGUUUGUUGGCGAUACGUCGAGGUUUGGACGGUGGCCGAGGGCUCCAACUCUAAAGCGCGUAAACUAGCAUGCCCGCCGCGUGGUCACCGCAUGACCAUGGCGUUGCGAUGUGUUCUGGGCGGCCUAGGCAUGUCUACUGGGUUGGGCACUCCCCAGGUAGGUGCUAGGGAGAAAAUCAGAACAUAAGAUUCUCACGAGGAGACCGAUCGAUGCUCAAACAUAAAUAAGCAGCCAAGUGUUUGAUUAGCGGUACAGGAAAUGCACAUGGCUAAUGUGCGUGAGCUUUGGCUGAGGAUGAUCAGUUACUAAAAAGACCGUCUUCACAAAUUUUCAGCUCAAAAGGAGGACCCUAGGUGGUACUUGCUUUGCAAAGUACCACACUGGACAUAAAUACGAAUGUUGAAGUUGGGCUCAAAAUAAUGAAUGGAUUGAGCUGACAUUUGGUGCAGGAUGGUUAUUUGGGCAUAGGAAAGCACUGUAGAAAACGGAUACCAUUUGGACAUGCCAAAGUGGUACUUCCUUCACAAAAUGUUUUUUUGAACAGAAUUGGAAAAUGAAUAUUUUUGAAUUAUUUUUGAACUAGGCAAGGAAGUUUUUUUUACAUAUUUGAUGAAGAUAUGACACAAAUAAUUUAUGAGGUUUUUUUGGGAAUUCUGGGAAUGAUAGAAAUAUAGGUUGCUUCACAACCUAGGGCAAAAACUGCCACAUGGACAUGACACAUAGGCAAAACUGAUGAGGUGGCGCCUAGUCAUAGCAACCCACCACAAUUUACAAGGUUAUGACCAUCUAUAUUGGUCAUGAUCAGCUAGAAAUAAGGCAGCGGGCCAGUGCUAUCUGCUUUAUGACCAUUUCAUGUAAGGAAAUUACGACCUUUCUGACCAAAAUAGUCGUUAUAGUUUAGGGUUUGGAGCCCCCCGAACAGCUUUUGACCAAUUGGUCUGAAAUGGUCAUAGAUCUAUGACUAAUUCUUCUAGGGUCGCUGACAGAAGGUCACUAGUUGAGAUAUUUCUUGUAGUGUAGGGACACUAUGUUUUGUCUAUGUAUUCACACAUGUACUAAGUUUCCAGUUAAUACAAUUCUAGCAUGAAUAAUAAACAUUUAUCAGGAAAUAAUGAAAUAAAUAAUAACUUUAUUAUUGCCUCUAGAUCAUAUUUCUUUCAUAUGCUUGCUUUUGGAUUUCUUCUGCUUCUUCUUCUUCUUCGAUCAAGGGAUAGGUUCCGGGUUGGGAUCCUCAGAUUAGUAGGGUGGAAGUCGUUCUUCUUUUCCGUUUGAUUUUAUCCGUAGUCGGAUCCUUCUCUUUUGUAUGAUUAUUUCUAUGUAUACAUGUAUUCAUGUAUUUAUGUAGUAGUUUGUGGCGAGUGUAAGCAUGUAUCUCGUAUUCUCAUCUAUUCAGUACAUGGUAUGUUAUAAUUAUAUCCACCUUGCUAUGCGCUCGAAAUGCGGUUGUGCACCAAUCACGAGUUCAUCACGUGAUCGGGAUAGAAUCGCAUCUUGGGCGCUACACAGCCGCAGGGGUAAAUUCUAAAACCCUCAAUACCCUAGCCAGCUGCUAGCUAUAAUUAGCUACAAAAAUUGCUGGCGGCGUCGACUAACUACUGAUUCCCUUGCUAGCUAGUUACCCACGCAUACCGGCAUACGCCCACCGGCUGGCGACAGGGUGGAGUUGGGCUACGGCGGAAUCAAGGCUAAAGGAACGAUGGUUGGUUUGCCGGUCGACAGCCAUGCCACUGCCUCUCCCGACGACGGCCAGGGGAAGAAGGAAACGUGGUACAAGCAAGCUGCCAAGUUAGCCCGGGCCAUCCUAAAAGAGGACAGGCAUCGCCAGUGGGCGAUACUACUAGCUCGGCACAGAGUGCGGCGGAUAGUGCAGGAAAUGGAGCAAGAACCAUGACGACACAAGGACAACUGCAGCAGUGUUGGCCACCGCACAAGGUGCAGGUUUAUGUCACUGAUGGAGGAGGGCGCAGCGCCGGACGUCGCCAUGGCAUGCCUGGGAGCCGUGACGGCAUCCCUGACGGGAGCCAACGUCAUCUCGCCGGACGUCGCCGGGGUAGACCCGGCGGUCGCGGUAGCCCUGGUGAACGCUGCGUCGGAGGCAGUACCGGCGAUCCCCGAUGUGGAGGCUGCCCCAGCCUCGAUCGAUCAAGGUGUGUAGGUUAUCUACUUGACGGCCUCCGCUCCUCCUGGGCCCAGGAUCGACACGCUGAUGGACGAUGGCAGCUGUGCGUGUUGGGUCGGUGUCAGGUGCACACUAGCUCUUUUGUACAUCUGCGGUUUGUUAUAUUCUUGUAAAUUAGCGAGCUAAUGGUUUGUAAAUUACUCGCUGAACUACAUACUGGACCAAUAAUUCGAGCAUGUCAAAUAUGUCAACUGUAUGGGCUGACCUAUCUGUAUAUUAUUUGAAUUUGCAAUAUGGACAAUAAAUAUAUAAAUGCUAUCUGGACAUCGGUGAUGGUCGCCAUGUCGAAAACAUGGACAUCUCUACUCUACCAGGCACACGCUUAAUAUGAAUGAACUGUGAAUGAUACUAAUACUUCCUAUGAAAAUUUAAGAACUUGGUUAAGAAAAUUUGAGUAACAUAUAUAUAUAUAUAUAUAUAUAUAUAUAUAUAUAUAUANNNNNNNNNNNNNNNNNNNNNNNNNNNNNNNNNNNNNNNNNNNNNNNNNNNNNNNNNNNNNNNNNNNNNNNNNNNNNNNNNNNNNNNNNNNNNNNNNNNNNNNNNNNNNNNNNNNNNNNNNNNNNNNNNNNNNNNNNNNNNNNNNNNNNNNNNNNNNNNNNNNNNNNNNNNNNNNNNNNNNNNNNNNNNNNNNNNNNNNNNNNNNNNNNNNNNNNNNNNNNNNNNNNNNNNNNNNNNNNNNNNNNNNNNNNNNNNNNNNNNNNNNNNNNNNNNAUGAAAAUUUAAGAACUUGGUUAAGAAAAUUUGAGUAACAUAUAUAUAUAUAUAUAGGGGUGAUACUAUUUUGUUUUGUUUUGCAAUUUAUCUUAUUAUGGACCAGAGAUUUAAUCCUUCCAAAUAACAACUGAGGGGAUUGACAACCCCCUUUUUCGCGUUGGGUGCAAGUAUUUGCUUUUAUGUGUGCAAUUGUUGUUCACGAUGCUUUGUGUGAUUCUCCUACUAGAUUGAUAACCUUUGUUCUUAACCGAGAAAAAUAUUUAUCUUUACUGUACUGCUUCAUCCUCUCAUCUUCGAGGAAAUCCCAACACAGCUCACAAGUACUAGUAAGAAUUUCUGGCGCCAUUGCCGGGAUACAUUAUUAAAACCAAUCAAGUACCUUCACACAAACUAUCAUCUGCUUACUCUUAUUUCUAUUUGCCUUUGCUUCUCAAUUUCAUAUCCCCCACUUCUCAUAAAAAAAUACAAAAAAUAUAUUUUCUAUGCUAUUUUUCUCGUUUGCUUGCUUUGUCGCGAUGUCUCAGGAUAAAAUAUUUGAUCCUUAUUAUAAAAGGUUGGCAUAAAUUGAGAACAUCACUAAAAACUUUAUGUUUUCACAAUUUGAGCAUAAUAGACUCUUCAGUGAGGAAUUUAAAGAACAUUCUACCUUGCUGGAUGCUAUUAGUUCACAUCUAUGAUUAUUCUUAUAACUAACUAAUGAUGUGACCUCAAAGUAUAUAAAUCGGUUGGGUCUAUUCAACACAGGUGUUCUUCUAACAAUGUGCCCUCAAUGUGGUCGGCAUGCUCGUUACAUUAGUUAGCCCAUGAUCUGGAAAACAGAAACCAUCAUGCAACACUUGAUCUAGUAUUAGAGGCGAGACUAGGAAUCUAUUUUACCGUUUAUUAUUCCAUACAAGGGCAUGAUUUUUCCUCUCGGCCUCUUGGAUAUACACACUCAAGAACCGUUUCAACUAAAGCAAAAAAUAUAAAAAUUAAUUACGAAUAUGGAAAUAAACAGUAACAAUUAUAAUUGUCUCUAAGGCAAAUUUCCUUCAACAUCGACCCUCCCGAGUUGUCUACCUCUAUACCAUCUGGUGCCGCCUGGGGUUGGAGGCCCUCGUGCUGAUGGGUGUCCAUCAAGACCUGAGAGCCACGAGCUGACGGUGGGCUGAGCUGGGUCGCCAGUAGGCCAUUGUCAAGCCGCUCCUCUGCAGGUUGCCGUAAUGGGUAGGGAGCUGACAUGGUGGCAUCACACUUAGCUCGCCUCACACUGCUACCAGUGCUCAUGCGGGCUGUCGCCUGCAAUCCAACAAGUCAAGAUCCUAUAAGCUAGCUUAUCUACUAAGGAAACUUGCCAUGCAAGUGCCUUCCUCUGCAAGGUAUUUUUGAGAUAAGCUUUUUGUGGUGAAGUAGCCUGGUGAACAAGGAGUCUAGCAAACUUGUGAAGCAAGAUUACUUAUGGGCUAAGAAAAAGAUUGCUCUAUAUAGCCUCCCUUGAGAGUGUAUUAGACACAACAACACCGCAAAUGUGCGAAGUAGCUCAUUUGAUCUUGUACAAGAAUCCACAAAGUUUAAUGAGAAAGAUCUCCAAGAAUCGCACCCUACAUAUUGUGUUCAUUUUGUGAAGGUUCGGUCGUUUGGGCUUUAUAUAUGAAGCCUGGUGAAAGCUUCGUCUGAAAACAAAAAUUUCCCUCAAUAGUUCGUGUCUCCAGCUAGGCCAUCCUCUCCUUUUGUUCUAUAUACUAAGAGCAUCUACAACCGAACUCGCAAAUACGUAACCCUAAGAGCCCGCGGACGCGCCCAAACGCUACCCCUGACAGCGCCGAUCGGGCCCUCAUAUAUAUUGCUGGACAGCCACACUCCUCAUAUGUAAAGACCCAAAUCCAUGAAAAUCCAUGAAGGUUGGUCAUACAGAUGAAUAGUACACAUAAAGAACAAUUGUUCGUACUGAAAUUAUAUAAUUCAAACAUAAGAAUUAUUUGAAGUGCACAACUCAAACACUAAAAUUCUGGGUUUCCAUUGUGGGUCCACAUAUGCUCCACAACAUUAUUAGGUAGUUGCCCGUGCAUAUUUGAUCUCCAAGAUUCUGAUGCAUCUUCAAAAAAUUCAUAAUAUGGUCUACAUCUUGUUUUAGGUUGUAUACUUGUUCUCUAUGCUUCGCAAAAUCAUGGGUUCGGGGUUGCCCCUUAACCAUCGUCGUCAACAAUCAUAUUGUACAAAAUAACACAACAUGUCACCAGCUGCCACAAAGUAUCUGAUUUCCACAUAUUGCAGCUCCACAAACAAUACCCCAGUGAGCUUGGAGCACUCCAAAUACCCUCUCUACAUCCUUCCUAGUUGUUUCUUGCAUUGUAACAAAGUGGAUUUGUCUGUUCCCAUGGUGUUGUCCACUGAGGAUAGAUGCCAUCGGCAAGGUCGUAUCCGAUGCCGUAGUCAUGCCCGUUGAUGGUGUAGUUGCACAUCGGCCCAUUGCAAGUGUCCUAGUCACGGAAGAUUGCUAUAGCAUAUUGAUGUUGUUGUGAGAACCAGGUAUGCCAAAGAAAGCAUGACUAGUCCACAAGUCCCUUGAUCCCACUGCUUCAAAUAUGAUGGUGGUCUCUUUGGUAUGACCUUGGUACAUCCUGCACAAACUCUUGGGGUAGUUAUUCUAUUACCAAUGCAUGCAAUCAACUGAAGCAAGCAUACCGAAAAACUUGUUGCCGCUCCAAUAGACAUCAACCUUUUGGUAUCUUGCACAUUUGGGUCUCUCAUGUACUCUGUUCCAAACAUCAUGGUGAGGGACAAUCUUACAGUGGUCUUAAGGCAUAUGCUCUCCCCCAUCUGGACCAUCUCACCAACGACAUCGGCGGUGAUACCUAAUGUGAAAAUCCUCAGAGCAGCCGUGCAUUUCUGCUUUAGAUAGAACGGGAGUUGUCUGCAAUAAUCUGUGUUGAGCCUGAAGUAGGAAUCACGUGCCUCCAGUCCCUCCACCAUAUGCACAUAUGUAAGUGUCGACGAAAAAUGACUCAAAGAAUGUUGGUUCGGGUUGAAGCGGUCCUUGUAGAGAAGCCGUGAGCCAGUGACCCUAUCCUAGUUAAAACUCCUCUGGCCUUGACCGAACGUUUGAAGUUUAGAAUGUACUCCAUCUCCCUGUCCAUUUCCUCUUGGAUGGUCAUGAUGAUCAUCAUCUUGGUAUCUUCGUUCCACUCCAACAAAUUGAAGAACUCAUUUUGCAUCAGUUAAUCAAGCUCCUUGUGUCCAUACUCCUCACCCUGCGAAGUAUCAGAACCCGUUGUUAUGACUAGAAAAGAAUAAAAAAAGAUCGGACAAUUUGUCGAAGAUAUAGAGGGCAAACGCUAGCAGAGGGGCGGCACGGAGAGACGAGGAAAAGGGCUGGUCCGACAACGUCGAAGGGAGGGAGGGAUAUGACGUGACGGCGGACACAUUCGGACUCCUUGUAUCCAUCCCAGAAAUGGGCUUUAUACGGAGGGUGCCGGUCAGCCCGGACGUAUAGAGCCGGUUUCUGAAGCACAGCCGAGUUGCAAUUUUGACCGGUCACUUGAUUGGAUGUCCGUCCGGACGUGAGUGUGGAAAUAGAUGCUCUGACAGACUAGAUCUACAAAAUUCAUGUUAAAAUAAAGUGCUUGUGGGAUGCACGAUGUGUAACAAAUACUGUUUUUCUUGAUUCUUGUUCCCCGUCCCAUCCCAUCCCAUGUGGCUAAGGCAUGUGGGGUUGUUCUUUCGUUGGCUGGUGCCCCGUAGUGUACUAUUAGAUGGCCCGAAAGAGGUGGGAUCAAUCGUACACACAUCGACUUAGCAACAAACACGCGCACCCUGAAGACGCCCUCCUAAAUCGCUGAUCCAUACGUAGGUAGGUACGUCUGAUCCAUGGCCACCGCCAAGUUCACGGCGGUUCUGGCAGUACUUGUGCUGGUGGCGUCGCUGGUGUCUGUGGCAGAAGCAUCGGCCUGCCAGGACCUGUUUAAUGGCCGGUGCAGGGGCAUUUCCAGGAGUAUGAGUCGUAUCAGGACUUGCUGCGACCUCGCAGGCAAGACAGACGACACGGACUGCGUGUGCAAGUACAGGGAUCAUUACCCGGAGGCGCUGCAGCCGUUGUUUCGUGCAUCCUGCCCGGCGGGCCGCGGAUGCAAACGGCCUGGAACAUCUUCUGCUUAAUGCAAUGCAGCUCGCCCUUCUGCUUUUGCCUUUCAUUCAGUUUCCUUACUCUUGUAUCAGAGACGCGCUUCCAUGCUUUUUUUGAUUUGCUUAUCACAUGUGUCACGUGUACGCGCUUCCUUACUCUUGCAUUAGAGGCGUGCACAUUGUCACACUGUUCUUCGAUCAUGAGUUAGCUCUUUCUUAUUUAUUUUGUAUUUACGUGGUCUAUUGUGGCUGGCUUGUGGUGCGUUACACAUUGGUUGGGCUGGCACUUAAUUGUGAUCGUGUUGUUAAUUAUGCUUGCGUUGUUUCCUUCUGUCGGUAUGAUUGACUUGGUGCAAACGGUAUGUGGUAUUACUGGUGAAAGGAGCUAUUGGGUGGGUCGUGGAGCCGCUGUUUUCCUCUCGUACCUGGCGGCUGCAACCCUAGCCGCCGCCAGGGGCCGAUCUUCCAACGCCGUUCUCCGGCGGCUCCCCUCUGCCGGCGACUUCGGUCGUUGGUGGUGAGCGGGGUCGCCGGAUUCACACGUGUGGAUCGGUUUUACUCAUCCGUAGUCUAGGUUUUUAGGUUGUUCAUCGUUUUUGCUUCGGCGGCGACGAUGACGACGCUGAAUAAAUAUUCUUCGGAUCCUUUCCUGACGAGGCCAUCGGUCCUAUGGUUGGGGAUGGGUUUGGAAAUCAGUCUGUUCAAGCAAGGAUGGCGUGGCGGCGGCGGCAUCCUCGUGGUGGACCUGUGUCCUCGGGCUCCGUCGUUGCGACGAUGUUUGCUCCAGCGUCGGCGUGGAGCUUGGGAGGUAGUCCAGGAGCAGAUGCAGAUUGUGGUCUGCAUCGACAACAUCUGGAAGACGGAACAUGUGCUGGGUUCGUGGUUCGUGGAAGACAGGUAUGGUUUCCUCCUUCGGCGUCUUAGCCGUGGUGGGGUGCCAGAUCUGGAGUUCGAUGGCGUGUCCGGGGUGUUGCCCCGGUCUGAUCCGUUCAACGGCAAUGGCUUCACUUUUGGUGAGCCACCUUGGAGGUCCGCAAAGCUGCAUAUCAGCGAUGGAGCCGCAUCGAGCUCGGAUGAGGAGGUGAUCCGUCAUUCUUUUUUUCGGUGGCUGCUGUGGUGGUGCCGGAGGCAGUUGACGGGCGUUAGUGUCAAGCUCAGAGAUGUUUUGUUAUCUUUUCAGUUUUGUCAUAUCGGUUAUUACGUGACUUGUACUUUGUUCUUUAUGAUAUGAAUGAGACACGUAUUACCAUGCAAAAAGAAAAAAAGAUAUGUGCUCGUGUGGGAGUUGGUUUUCCUAACCGCCCGACACUUAGCGUCUAGCGUUGAAACAAACAUCGCCUAGUAAUUUAGUGAUAUUUUUUAAUUUCUCUAUAAGCGCCCAUAUAAGCGUUCUGCAUUGGAGAGCAUGUACAAUGCGGUGCUAAGGAUGGGCGCUAGGGAUCAUAAUCCGGGCCGUUUCACUCGUCAGGAGAAUUUUUCCUGGCGCCUGCUUGGCAGCGCUGCCAACUCUGGCAGCGGGCACUCCAGUUGACAUGGUACUGAAUUUAUGGGAGAGAACUAGCACCCCACAACAUCUCAGCGUUGGAAGUUGAGGCGCUUGUGCUGGCACUACAGUAUAUUUUCAGUUUUUAAUCCUUAAGCACCUAUACAAGCGCCUCUUCAAUGGACAUGCUCUUAGACAGCAAAGCUCACUCUUAUAAACGGCGCCAUAUGGAGCUUAGUAACUUAUUAGAUAACAUUUUACUUUCUUUACCUACUAAACAAGUGCACGUCUGCCCGCCAGUCGCAGCUAAAAAAACGCAGCUUGGUCCCGGGCGGCUCCUCCAGCCGAACCAUGGCCUCCCACGGUUCCUUCCCCUCCUCCCUCCACCCUCGCCGUCAUCAGAGGGCACGGCCAGGCGAAGCCUGGCUAGCGACACUGGUGGCGAGGCCCUCUCGUCCUCUCGCGUGGGGAGACCGGCGCGGGCCGGUGUCUUCGGCUAGGGCGUGGUGCAACACAGGCGACACGGCGUGUUGGUUCUCUAGCCCAUGGCGCAUGGCAGGCGUGCCUGGAGCCUCUCCUUGCCGACGGUGGCUCCUCUAGUUCAGUCGGGUUGGACUGGUUCGGGCCAUGUGCCCGGAAUUGCUUCUCCUUACAAGGUCGUUCCUUCUACGUUGGUGUGCGUCUCCGACAAGUUCUUCUGUCGCCUGCUCUCCUAGUUCAAGAGACUACCGCUGAGGAGAAAUACUAUGCCCGGAUCUGUUGGCGCAGAUGGUGCGGCAACAUCUAUGGACGCCGCUAACCUCCUUGGAGGGCAUCAUCACAGUGGCGGUCCCGUCGAGAUUCAAGGGAAUCCUUGGGUUUGGCUUGCUAGUCCGGACUGUGUCGGCAUGUGGCAUCGUCUACCUUCUUGGAGGCACUAUUUCGGAGCACAUAUCUGCCGGAUAUCUCACAAAGGCGUAGCCGCGUUGGGUCACCUAGUAAACUCACUGAGAAGGGUCAUUUUCUCUAGGGGGGAACCCUGAAUCUAAGUCUCCUUGAUUGAAUGAUGGGGGCUUCUGGCAUUACACCCCCUCUUGGGGCAUUAUUCCUAGAGUUGGCUGAAACGGGUCCAGAGGUGGAGCGCAGUUGUAUCAACCGAGUCGUCUUGAUGGACGAGCGCAAGGCAUUGGCAUUAUUUGGCGUUGUGGCGGUGCCGACAGCUGACCGACCUGAUAGGGAUGAUGAAGAUCUCUCUCCGGGAGAUGGAUGAACAGUUUUAUGGUGGUGGCAGCUUCUGCAGAGUGUGUAGGUGGUUUAUGCUUCAUAAUUUCACACCAAACUAGAUUAAAGGGCUGACUCCAUCGGGGUUUCACAACAGGGAUCUCACGCAACAUGUCAAGCUAAAACCUGGUUCACAGUGUAUUGAAUACAAAAUCUGGCUCCAAGAAUAUCUCAAUACCUUGUUUACAUCGAAAUGUGCUACUGCAAAGAAGUCGUUCGCAAUCACAGCUUCUCAUGAGACGAAGAACCACUUAACUGCUUGCGGAUACAAUGUACUUAAAAUAAGGAAUAGCUACUCAUCAUAUGAUCCAAAUAUUUCUGUACAUACGAAUGUAUGUAUUAAACAUAUGGAUAUUAUUUAUUUAUUUCUAGCACCAUAUGUUUUUAUUAGAUUAGAUUUCGUGGGCCCCAAUAGAUGGGGAUUACUUAAGAAAGUUUCAAAGAAUGAAAUUAUCUAGUGCAAAAUUCUGCAUAGUCCUUUUGGUGAAAUUAUGUAGUGCAAUAUCCUACACAGACCUUUUUGGAGAAGAAACUAUUAUCCUUGUAAAAAAUUCAAGGACGUCGACUAUUAUUUAAAUUCCUACCUAAUUUAUGGCAAGUAUCGAAUUGGCCACUUUUGUCUAAAUCAUAUACUCCAGUCAUUUGGAAAUACAUGUAUUUUAGAAAUAGGUAUGGUCGCCAACAUGAAACUUUGAUUGUUGCUUUUCAUAUAAAAAAAAUUGUUGUCAAAUGUAUAGAUUGCAGUAUUACAUUUUUUACAACAAAUAUCAUGAUUUUAUUUUUCAUCUAACCGAUAUUACAAUUCACAUACGUAUUGUGAGUCAAAGAUUUUAAAAAUUAACUUUUCAUUUCUAGAGCAACAUCUAUUUCCAAACGGGGGAACAUUUUUCUUCGACAGCUAGCAGUUAAAUAUUGUUCCUAUUAGGAGGCCUUACAAAUAGGAGACCUCAUUUAAUUAUUUGAUGAAUGAGAAAUUGUUAUUCACCCGCAAAAAAGAGAAAAUUUUAUUUUUGCAAGAAUAUAACGGCUACCUAUAAAUCAGAUGUAAAUUAAUGGUUGGCCAGAGCUUGGCAGGACCUACCAGGAGCUUGGCCAGGACCUACCAGGAGCUGCCACAUUGCCAGUAAUCUAUGCCGACGGCCGUCGUCACGGAAGGCGGCAUACCUUUCACGGCGUCAACUCACCGUCUGUCAGUGGACCGCCGGGCCCACGUGUAUGCUGACAGCCCCUCUAUGCCGACGGGGACUGUCGGCACAAUGCAUGGUAUGCCGACGGCCUUUCGUUGAUGAUGGUAUGCCGAUGGCCUUUCGUUGACGAUGGUAUGCGGACGGCGUUCCUAUACAGACGGUGGCAGCUAGGCCAUCAGCAUAUCUCCAUAUAUACCUAUGGCCCUGUCUGUUGUUGCCGCGCCCAAAACCCUAGCUAGCCCUAACUCGGCUCUACCUCUCUCUCUCUCUGCGAUGCUAACCGAGGAAGAAGAAGACCGGAGGAGGGAGAGGGACACAGGGGCACGGUGGUUUUUCCCGGCGCAACGACGCCAACUCCACGAGCUCGUACUGGACACCACAACCAUUACAAUGCGCCCAUAGUGGGCUUUAUACCCGGGGCACAAACCCCACGUCUGCACCGCCCGAGCGCUCGGUCCGGCCAGCUCUGGCCGCGUCCACCCUGUGCAUGAUCGCGCCCAGGACGCGGCGAGCCCGCAACGGCCCCGACUUGGUCACCCUGACCUGCUCGCCAACGGCUGCACCUGGUCCGGCACCGCACAUGCACACACAGCGCGCGCCCUACUCUAGUCUACACAGGCACACACGCACGCCCGCCACGCUCCCAAUCUGUCCCGCGCGCGCAUGCACGCGNNNNNNNNNNNNNNNNNNNNNNNNNNNNNNNNNNNNNNNNNNNNNNNNNNNNNNNNNNNNNNNNNNNNNNNNNNNNNNNNNNNNNNNNNNNNNNNNNNNNNNNNNNNNNNNNNNNNNNNNNNNNNNNNNNNNNNNNNNNNNNNNNNNNNNNNNNNNNNNNNNNNNNNNNNNNNNNNNNNNNNNNNNNNNNNNNNNNNNNNNNNNNNNNNNNNNNNNNNNNNNNNNNNNNNNNNNNNNNNNNNNNNNNNNNNNNNNNNNNNNNNNNNNNNNNNNNNNNNNNNNNNNNNNNNNNNNNNNNNNNNNNNNNNNNNNNNNNNNNNNNCUAGCGUCAGCCAGCAGUGCCCGCUCCGCCGCAGGUGUCUUUCGCAGCUCCGGGCAUUCGCGCUUGAAGUGGCCGCGCUCGCCACAUUUGUAGCAGCACCCGCACCUGUUGCCGCCGCUCCCCGACGGUACGCUGCGCCCGUUGUCGUCGUCCUGUGCUCCGCCUUGCUACCGCUCCCGCGCCCGCCACUGCGCCGCCGUGAAUAGCAGCUGUCCGUCCGCCCGCUGGCCCUGUCCUGCCAUGGACGCCGAACUCGCUCGUCGAACGCGCGCAGCCGCCCAAGCGCUUCGUCCAACGCCAUCGUCGUCACGUCAUGGAACUGGUCGAUGCCAGCGACGACGGGGAAGAAACGAUCUGGCACCGUAUCCUGCAGCUUUUUGAUGAGCGUUGCGUCGCCCAACGUCUACCUAUGGUUGGCGUACCUCGCCGUCAUCACCGCGAGUCUCCCGGCGUACACGUCGAGCUCCUCACCGACCGCCAUCUUCAGGCGGUCAAAUUCCCCGCGCAGCAUCGCCAGCCUCGCCGCGCGUACCCGAUCGGCGCCAACGAACCUCACCUUCAGGGAGUCCCAUACCUCACUGGCGGUGAUCUUCGUUGCCAUCUGCAGAAGCACGUCCUCCGGCAACGCCCCAAGCAGUAACGUGCGCGCCGUCUUUUCCUUCUGCGCAUUCACCGCCGCGUCGCCCGGAGCCACCACCUCCCACACGGUGUGCACGUCGAGGAUGGCCUGCGCCUUGAUGGCCCAGACCAUGUAGUUGUCCGCGGUCAUCAUCGGCAUCGCCAUCAUCGCCGACCCGCCCACUACUCCGCCAUGCGGCACGAUCACCAUUGCCGCCGGCGAGCUCCAACCAAAGCUCUGAUGCCAAUUGUUAUUGCCGCGCCUGAAACUCUAGCUACCCCUAGCUUUGAUCUACCUCUCUCUCUGCGAUGCGAACCGAGGAAGAACAAGACCGGAGGAGGAAGAGGGACACGGGGACACGAUGGUUUUUCCCGGCGCAACGACGCCAACUCCACGAGCUCGUACUUGACACCACAGCCAUUACAACGCGCCCCUCGCGGGCUUUAUACCUGGGGCAAACGCUGGGCACGAACCCCAUGUCUGCACCCGCCCGAGCGCUCGGUCCGGAUCGCUCUGGCCGAGUCCACCCCGCGCAUGAUCGCGCCCAGGACGCGGCGAGCCCGCAACGGCCCUGACUCGGUCACCCUGGCCUGCUCGCCAAUGGCUGCACCUUGUACGGAGCCACGCAUGCACACACAGCGCGCGCCCUACCCGUCUACACACGCACACACACACGCUCGCCACGCUCCUGAUCUGUCCCGUGCGCACGCACGCGCGGCCGACGCGAUCGCCAUGGCUUAUUUGCCAACACCGCCGGCAUAGAUUUGGCCAUCAGGACCGAUGCUUAUUCUGGUAGUGAAGUAUGCAUAAUAUUUUUCAAAUAUACGAACCAUGCAUUUAGAUAUCAUACCAGAAUACAAUGACCGACGUCUAUCUUGUAAGCAGUCCCUGGAAGAAAUAAACACGUCAGCAUUCAUGCAUGCACGAGCGACGAGUGUGAUGACGACGAACUGGAAUAGGAUACAAAAUAUAGGCGCAUGCGUAUGACGAGUGUGAUGAUGACGACGAAUGGUUUGUGAUGCAUGGAUCGACAGAUGAUGGGUGGAUCAGCUGGGGCAGGUGAAGUAGGCGGGGCAGGUCUUGCCGCACUGGUUGAGGAGGAGAACGAGGUCGACGGGGACGUUGAGCUUGAUGCCGAGGACAUUGCCCUUGAUGGCGGUGCAGAGGCACACACCGGGGUCGAGGUCGGGGAGCCCGCCCAGCAGCGGGCAGCAGUCGUCGCUCGCCAGCACGCCUAGGUUGAGCUUUAGCAGGUUCAGUAUGUUGGUGCACACCUUCAGCUUCAGCAUGUUGAUCGAGCAGGUGCCGCUGCCGCCUUCGGUCGUCGGCAGGGUUGGGACUGGGGUGGCGGGCGGGGGCACGGCGAUCGGCGGAGUUGGCACUGGGACGGCCGGUGUAUUGCCGCAGCACGACCAGCAGCCAUGCACGGCUGCCACGAGACCAGGUUCAGGGCGAGGAAGAGGGCGAGCUUGGAUGGCGCCAUUGCUAUGUUGAUGAAGCAAGUGGCCAACUAGAGUGUACUGGCUAGGCUUGUGGCUGAGCUAGGUGAGCUUGCUAGCUUGUGAUGCUUUUCUUUGGUUGCUUGGGGUGGUAUUUAUAGGCCGGGAUGUAGUGUGCAUUGUGCAUCAAGGGCAAGCACGUCAUGAUAUAUCGAGUUUGACUCUUGCCGUAAUUCGGGAAAAAUAUGUACAACCACUAGUGUGCCAUUAUUGGAGCUUAAUUUGUUCGCUAACGAACAAAAACCAUAAGAUAUCUUUGAUGGGUUUACAAAUUGCUGUUAUCUUGAGGGCACACAUAGAAUUGGACAAAGGAAUAUAUAUGUAUGAUAGCGCUACGAGCUGGCACAUAAACUGAUCUGCAAGUUCACGGGAGGCAAAUAUACUGGCUCCAGGUGGCCAUGCAUGCACAUGCAAGCUCCUACCAGCGAAGGAGAUGUCCACUAUACGUCUCCUACUUUGGUUUAUUAUAUACUGGCUAGCUGUCUAGUUAUUUGUUAUUCGUCCCCAGUGGGCAGUGGUGGUGCUGGCAAAUAAUUUCGAUAUUGAAAAGGGAAUUACACUGUUAUAGUAGCUAGCUCUACCUCCUUUCCGGUUUAUAGGGCUCAAGUACGAAAUCUCAUCAACCAAGACAAAUGAUGAGUGAAGGAAUGUAUCUCGUACUCUAGAUGAGUACGAACAUUGCAUGAAUUGAUGAGUUCCUUUUUUAAUUCAUGCAUGCAAAUAUUUAAUGCGCCUCGAAAUCUCAAUAUGAGAUGGAGAUGAGCUCUUUAAAUAGGUAAAACAAAAAAUUUGAGAUAAACCCUAUAAAUCAAAAAAGAGGGAGUAUUAGUGGUUAAAGCCAUGGAUCAAAGACCGUGCAAAGUCAAGUGCGCCUUAUAUUUUGGGAAGCAGGGAGUUAUAAUUUGCUAUUUUUGAAUUUUCUAUAAUAUAUUUAUAUUCCGGUCAUCUUUUCAAUCAUUGGAUCAACACCUAGACUAAACGUACCAGUUGUUGCAAAAUUGCGCACUUUGAGUACUAAACUUUUAUGUCACGUGUAACACUAGUAGAAAAGGGGGCAUUGGUCCAGGCCGGGUCAGCCCAUUAGUCCCGGUUCAAUCCAGAACCGAGACCAAUGGGGGCGUUGGACCCGGUUCGUGAGCCCCGGGGGCAGGCCGGACCACGUGGGCCAUUGGUCCCGGUUCGUCUGGACCUUUUGGUCCCGGUUGGUGGGACGAACCGGGACCAAUGUGCCUUGGUCCUGGCCCACCACCAUUGGUCCCGGUUGGUGGCCUGAACCGGGACCAAAGGCUUCCCUUUAGUCCCGGUUCAAGCCACGAACCAGGACCAAUUAAUUGCAUAUAUAUACCCCUCGCCCGCGAGCAGAGCACUCUCACUGCUCUGUUUUUCGUGGCCGGCGAGGAGAGAGCUUUGUGGUGCUCUAGCUCACCUCCUAUGCACACGAGGUGUUCGAUGGAAUGCCCGAGCCACACUACUUAAGUUUUAUCCUCUCCAAGCUCGACCUCCAAGCUCCAUUUGCCUCAAUAUUUGUCUAGGUUUAGUGGUCCAUCACGUUCCGUCCCCGUCUUCACCGCCGUCGAUCGCCCGCGCCGAUCUCGUCGCCGGCACCACCGUAGUGAGCCUCUUGUUCUUAUCUUCUUUCUGAAAGAAAAAAAUAAAUUCUUACGUGUAUGUUUAUAAAGAUACUUGUAUAAUUUUCUUACUUUUAUUUAUGCAUCUUAUAUGGUGCGAUGGUUUUGGUAUCCGCCCCCGUCGGCCUUCGUCCUGUCUAAUUCGGAUGUGGUAUAUAUUAUCUUUUCAUAACUAUUGGUUCAUCUAUUGUUUAUGACAAUUAUGCCGAGCAACGUGACAUAGAUUUUAUUCAUCUAGGAGGUUGUUGAACUGGAAAUUCCAACCGACCCUAUUGUCGAGAGGUUAAAUUUAGUUGAAGAAGAACACAAUUUCUUGAAGGAAAAAAUUAGAAAAAUUGAGGAGGAGAAGAUGAUAUUGGAGUUGCAUGUUGCGGAUGUCGUGGAUGAUCACAAGAUCAAGAUGGAUGCAAUACGCUUGAAGAUUAGAAAGAUUAGAAAAUAUGCCAUUCAUACCGAGGCUUGGUAUCUUUAUGCCGUUGGAUCAGUUGUUACAUUGGUUGCGAUUAUAAUCGCAUUUGUUUUCGCAUUGAAAUGUUUUACAUAGUUUCAAUGUAUGGUUUAAUUAAUUUAGAUGCUAUGCAGAGCUUUAUGUUGUUAGAUGAGAACUAUGUAUGUACUUUGGUUUUAAUGUGAUGAUGAACUUCUAUUAAUUUGGUCACUUAAUUAUCUAUUCAUGAUGUUCUGUAAUGAUUUUUGACACACUUAAUUAUAUAUAAUGCACACAGAUGAACCGGCAAUGGAUGUACGGUUCAAGACACACCUCCGAGUACAUUAAGGGCGUGCAUGAAUUUCUUGAAGUGGCUGAGGCAAACAAGCAGAAUGGUUUUAUGUGUUGUCCAUGCCCUAUGUGGGAAUACGAAAUCUUACUCUGACCGGAAAAUCCUUCACACCCACCUGCUUUACAAGGGUUUCAUGCCACACUAUAAUGUUUGGACGAGGCAUGGAGAACUAGGGGUUAUGAUGGAAGACGGCGAAGAAGAAAAGUACGAUGACAACUAUGUGCCCCCUGAAUACGGUGAUGCUACUGAAGAUCAAGAGGAACCAGACGAUGUGCACGAUGAUGCUGCAACAGGCGAAGCUGCUGAAGAUCCAGAGGAACCAGACGAUGUGCCCGAUGAUGAUGAUCUCCGCCGGGUCAUUGUCGAUGCAAGGACGCAAUGCGAAAGUCAAAAGGAGAAGCUGAAGUUCAAUCGCAUGUUAGAGGACCACAAAAAAGGGUUGUACCCCAAUUGCGAAGAUGGCAACACAAAGCUCGGUACCGUACUGGAAUUGCUGCAGUGGAAGGCAGAGAAUGCUGUGCCUGACAAAGGAUUUGAGAAGCUACUGAAAAUAUUGAAGAAGAAGCUUCUAAAGGAUAACGAAUUGCCCGACAGUACAUACGCAGCAAAGAAGGUCGUAUGCCCUCUAGGAUUGGAGGUGCAGAAGAUACAUGCAUGCCCUAAUGACUGCAUCCUCUAUCGCGGUGCGUACAAGGAUCUGAACGCAUGCCCGGUAUGCGGUGCAUUACGGUAUAAGAUCAGACGAGAUGACCCUAGUGAUGUUGACGGCGAGCCCCCCAGGAAGAGGGUUCCUGCGAAGGUGAUGUGGUAUGCUCCUAUAAUACCAUGGUUGAAACGUCUGUUCAGAAACGGAGAGCAUGCCAAGUUGAUGCGAUGGCACAGUGAGGACCGUAAGAAAGACGGGAAGUUGAGAGCACCCGCUGACGGGUCACAGUGGAGAAAAAUCGAGAGAAAGUACUAGGAUGAGUUUGCAAGUGACCCAAGGAAUGUAUGGUUUGCUUUAAGUGCGGAUGGCAUUAAUCCUUUCGGGGAGCAGAGCAGCAAUCACAGCACCUGGCCCGUGACUCUAUGUAUGUAUAACCUUCCUCCUUGGAUGUGCAUGAAGCGGAAGUUCAUUAUGAUGCCAGUUCUCAUCCAAGGCCCUAAGCAACCCGGCAACGACAUUGAUGUGUACCUAAGGCCAUUAGUUGAAGAACUUUUAUAGCUGUGGAAUGGAAACGGUGUACGUACGUGGGAUGAGCACAAACAGGAGGAAUUUCACCUAAAGGCAUUGCUGUUCGUGACCAUCAAUGAUUGUCCCGCUCUCAGUAACCUUUCAGGAUAGACAAACAAGGGAUACCACGCAUGCACGCACUGUUUACUUGACACCGAUAGUAUAUACCUGGGAAGCUACAGGAAGAAUGUGUACCUGGGCCAUCGUCGAUUUCUUCCGACCAACCAUCAAUGUUGAAAGAAAGGCAAGCAUUUCAAAGGCGAGGCAGGUCACCCGAGGAAGCCCGCCAUGCGUACCGGUGAUCACGUACUUGCUAUGGUCAAUGAUUUACACGUAAUCUUUGAAAAGGGUCCCGACGGACUAGCUGCUCCGAGUGACGCUGGGGGACAGGCACCCAUGUGGAAGAAGAAAUAUAUAUUUUGGGACCUACCCUACUGGAAAGACCUAGAGGUCCGCUCUUCGAUCGACGUGAUGCACGUGACGAAGAACCUUUGCGUGAACCUGCUAGGCUUUUUGGGCGUGUAUGGGAAGACAAAAGAUACAGCUGAGGCACGUGAGGACCUACAAUGUUUGCACGAAAAAGACGGCAUGCCUCCAAAGCAGUAUGAAGGUCCUGCCAGCUAUGCUCUUACCAAAGAAGAGAAGGAAAUCUUCUUUGAAUGCCUGCUUAGUAUGAAGGUCCCUACUGGCUUCUCGUCGAAUAUAAAAGGAAUAAUAAAUAUGUCAGAGAAAAAGUUUCAGAACUUAAAGUCUCAUGACUGCCACGUGAUUAUGACGCAACUGCUUCCGGUUGCAUUGAGGGGGCUUCUAUCGGAAAACGUCCGAUUAGCCAUUGUGAAGAUAUGUGCAUCCCUCAAUGCAAUCUCUCAGAAGGUGAUCGAUCCAGAAAUCAUACCAAGGCUAAGGAGUGAUGUGGUGCAAUGUCUUGUCAGUUUCGAGUUGGUGUUCCCACCAUCCUUCUUCAAUAUCAUGACGCACGUCCUAGUUCAUCUAGUUGACGAGAUUCUCAUUCUGGGCCCCGUAUUUCUACACAAUAUGUACCCCUUUGAGAGGUUCAUGGGAGUCCUAAUGAAAUAUGUCCGUAACCGUGCUAGGCCAGAAGGAAGCAUCUCCAUGGGCCAUCAAACAGAGGAUGUCAUUGGGUUUUGUGUUGACUUCAUUCCUGGCCUUAAGAAGAUAGGUCUCCCUCAAUCGCGGUAUGAGGGGAGACUGACUAGAAAAGGCACGCUUGGAAGGGACUCAAUAAUAUGCAGGGACGGAUAUUCUUGGUCUCAAGCACGCUACACAGUUCUACAGAACUCUACCUUGGUGACCCCGUAUGUCGAUGAACACAAGAACAGUCUGCGCUCCAUACACCCGGAGCAGUGCGACGACUGGAUUACAUGUGAACACAUCAGGACUUUCAGCAGUUGGUUGGAAGCACGUCUCAGAGGUGACAACACUAUUUGUGAUGAGCUGUACUUGUUGUCCAGGGGACCAUCUUCGACUAUUACGAUUUGUAAAGGAUACGAGAUAAAUGGGAAUACAUUUUACACGAUUAACCAAGAUCAAACAAGCACCAACCAAAAUAGUGGUGUCCGCUUUGAUGCAACAACCGAGAGGGGAAAGGACACAUAUUAUGGUUACAUAGUGGACAUAUGGGAACUUGACUACGGACAUGAUUUUAAGGUCUCUUUGUUUAAGUGUAAAUGGGUCAAUCUGUCAGGAGGAGGGGUACAGGUAGAUCCACAGUACAGAAUGAAAAGAGUGGAUCUGAAAAAUCUUGGGUACACUGACGAACCGUUCGUCCUAGCCAAUGAUGUGGCACAGGUUAUCUAUGUGAAGGACAUGUCUACCAGACCGAGAAAAAGAAAAGAUAAGGAAGCGAAUACAUCAUACGAUGAGCCAAAGCGCCACAUAGUUCUUUCAGGAAAAAGGGACAUCGUGGGAGUGGAGGGCAAGACAGACAUGUCUGAAGAUUAUGAAAAGUUUCAUGAAAUUCCUCCCUUCAAAGUCAAGGCUGACCCCAGCAUACUGAUAAGCGAUGAAGAUUAUCCAUGGUUACGGCGCAAUAAGCAAAUGACACAUGCGAAGAAAAAGUGAAGACUUUCUUCCACAACUAUUAUGAUGAUACCAUGCAAACUUUUAACACACGAGUAUGAUACCAUUGUCCGUUUUGUACAUGCACAUGCUAUGUGGGUGAAUUUAUAAUACCAUGCCAACUUUCAACUUUUUCAUAGUUCAUUUGAAACGCUUUAACGUCUUAUGGUUCGGCCCUUGUAAUAAUUAAAAAUAGCAAAAAUAAGUAUUUUGUUGUAAGUAGAAACAAAAUAAAAUAAAUAAAGCAAGAAAGAAAACAAAAAAACAAAAAAAGUGUUUUCAAAUUUGAAAACUAAUGGCACUAACAGAAAGUUCAUAAUUUUUCUAAAACUAAAAGCAAAAAGAAUUAAAAAAUAAAGCAAAAAACAAAAGAANNNNNNNNNNNNNNNNNNNNNNNNNNNNNNNNNNNNNNNNNNNNNNNNNNNNNNNNNNNNNNNNNNNNNNNNNNNNNNNNNNNNNNNNNNNNNNNNNNNNNNNNNNNNNNNNNNNNNNNNNNNNNNNNNNNNNNNNNNNNNNNNNNNNNNNNNNNNNNNNNNNNNNNNNNNNNNNNNNNNNNNNNNNNNNNNNNNNNNNNNNNNNNNNNNNNNNNNNNNNNNNNNNNNNNNNNNNNNNNNNNNNNNNNNNNNNNNNNNNNNNNNNNNNNNNNNNNNNNNNNNNNNNNNNNNNNNNNNNNNNNNNNNNNNNNNNNNNNNNNNNNNNNNNNNNNNNNNNNNNNNNNNNNNNNNNNNNNNNNNNNNNNNNNNNNNNNNNNNNNNNNNNNNNNNNNNNNNNNNNNNNNNNNNNNNNNNNNNNNNNNNNNNNNNNNNNNNNNNNNNNNNNNNNNNNNNNNNNNNNNNNNNNNNNNNNNNNNNNNNNNNNNNNNNNNNNNNNNNNNNNNNNNNNNNNNNNNNNNNNNNNNNNNNNNNNNNNNNNNNNNNNNNNNNNNNNNNNNNNNNNNNNNNNNNNNNNNNNNNNNNNNNNNNNNNNNNNNNNNNNNNNNNNNNNNNNNNNNNNNNNNNNNNNNNNNNNNNNNNNNNNNNNNNNNNNNNNNNNNNNNNNNNNNNNNNNNNNNNNNNNNNNNNNNGACGCCCUCGCCGCCGCCGCCGUCGCCCUCGCCGGCCGCCCCCGUUGUGAGCCGCCGCCGUCUAGGCUCUGUGUUCAGUGCUUUUUUUUCAUACAUACAUGUGUAUUUUUUGUUCAUUGCAUUUUUUCAUAUAUAUAAUUAAUGUAUAUAUGUAUGUGGUAGCUAUAUGAUGAAUGGAUGUGUUUAUGUAUGUAUGAAUAUAAUGUUCAUAGCAUUUUUUUGUUUAUAUAUGUUUUUUCAUACAUGUAUUAAUUUUUUAUUUAGGUUGUUAGUAGAUAUCGAUUUUAGGUUAGUGCAUUUUAAUUAGGUUAGUGUAGAGGAAAAAGUAAAAUAAGGAAAAGGAAGAAAAGAGGAAGAAGGAAGAAGGAAGGAGAAGAAGAAAAAGAAUGAGAGGAAAAAGGAAAAUAAGAAGAGGAAGAAAAGGAGAAGAUGAGGAGAGGAAAAGAAGAGGAGAAAUAAAUAAUAAGAAGAAAAAAGAAGAAAAAGAAGGGGAGAAGAAGAAAGGAAUAGAGGUGAAGAAGAAAAAAUAGAAAAAAAAUUCUAUUUUUUCUUCUUGUCCUCUAUUCCUUUCUUCUUCUUCUUCCUUCUUCCUUCUUCCUCUUUUCUUCCUUUUCCUUAAUUAUUUUCCUUUCUCGAGGGAGAAGAAGAAAAAGAAGAGCAGAAGAAGAAAGAAAGGAAUAGAGGAGAAAUAAAUAAGAAGAACAAAAAAGAAGAAAAGGAAGAGGAGAAGAAGAAAGGAAUAGAGGAGAAGAAGAAAAAAUAGAAAAAUUAUAUUUUUUCUUCUUCUCCUCUAUUCCUUUUUUCUUCUCCUCUUUUUUUCUUUUUUUUUCUUCGAUCUUCUCCUCUAUUCCUUUCUUCUUCUCCUCUUUUUAUUUCUUCUUUGUUUUCUUAUGUUUUAUCGGGUCUGUCGCCGUCAGGCUGCUCGCCUUCGCCCUCGCCGCCCCCUCGAGAUAACUUCGACAUGAGGGGUGAUCGAUAUAUAUACCCCCUCUCGACAGUGAUAACCCUAUACAGCGGCAGCACCCCCCUCGGCCCUCUCGCUCGACCAAAACUCUCGAGGCCACCCAAAUUUACCAAGUUAAAAGAGCAUUGUCGUCGAGGCCACCCCAAACCCUUGAAGCGUUGUGUCGAGGCGAUCCCAAACCCUAGAGAAGCAGCGUCGAGGCCACUAACAUGAUUCCUUAUUUUGAUUAGCUAGCUAGUUCUACGUUUGCCACUAAUAUAUAUCCAUCUGUACCAUGUUUGAAUAAUAAUUGACAUGUUGUAAAUAUUUGCAGAAACUAUGGAGCACUACCGAGACGAAGCAACAUAAGCGAUGUUGGGGGAGACAAUCGCAGAAGGAACUAAUGUCAUUGCGUCAUUUUUCAACGACGUCGUUGGUCAGGAAGGACUGGGUGAAGAAGAGGGCCAUGUUCAUGAUGGCUCCUGCCCAUUAAUGCCGGUACAAGAAGAGGGCUAUGUUCAUGAUGGCUCCGGUGAUGACCCGAUGGAGGUACAAGAAGGAGACCGUGCUGACUGCUCCAGUGACCGAACCGAGUCCGGCCAGGUAUAUAUAUAUUAGUUAAGCCCGUGCUGACUAGUUAAUUGAUGCAUUCAUUGUUUUGGUAUAUGUACACAUCUUAAUUACUCUCAUCUUUCUUCCUUUUAAUUUCUAGCCCUCCGGAUCGAGCACAACUUUGGUAAGGAGACGAGGCCCGAAGAAAUAUUUGAGCUCGGAUGAAAGGUUUGAGAUCAUAGAAAUCACGCCCGACGGCGAACCGAUUGAACUCAGCCGGACAAAGAACGCAUUUUCUGCUCAGUGCGGGGUUCUUGUUAGGGACAAGACCCCAAUCAGCAUCCAGCAAUGGUAUAAGCCUAAGGACGACCCUGAGGUGUCUUAUGUCAAUGAUAUGCAGAAAGAAGAUCUUUGGACUCAGCUGAAGGCAAAUUUCACCCUACCGCCAGAGGAGGAUCCGGAGAAGCCAGUUAAAGAGCAAUUAAUCAAGUCUUGUGCUCUUAAGAAGAUGGCAACCCUAUUCAGGAGGUGGAGGAAAGAGUUGAACCAUUUUGUCGAAAAAAAAGACACCAGAAUUCAUCGGCAAAUAUGAGAAGAUCAAAGAUCACUGGCCCGCAUUUGUGGCCCACAAGACAUCGGAAAAGAGUAAGAAGAUGUCGGCGACGAACAAGCAAAAUGCUGCAAAGAAGAAGCUUCACCAUCGCACGGGGUCAGGUGGCUACCUCAAAGCCCGGCAUAAGUGGUCCAAGGAGGAGAAUGAUCUGCUUGAAAAAGGGAUCGAACCAGAGACAAUGAGAUGGCCAGACCGUUGCCGGACUUGGUUCUUCGGGGCUGGCGGAACCUUGGACCCUGUAUCAGGGAUGUGCCGUUGGACGGACGAGCAACUGGAAAUACCAGUCAAGAACCUUCGACACUAUAUCAAUGCAGCGCAGAAAGGGACGUUCGUACCAGACAGGGAGAAGGACGAGCUCACAAUGGCCCUCGGGAAUCCUGAGCACCUUGGACGGACACGAGGCACGCCAGGCUCCAUUCCGUGGAAGGUUGGUUUUCCAGAUGUAGGGGGUUACAAAACCCACGAGAGGAGGAAGAAACUGGAGCAGGGUCAACUGCAGGCGCUGCACGAAAGGGUAAUGUGGCUAGAGGAACGAGAAGCAGCAGAUCGCAGCAAACGACCUGCCGAAGCUUCCCCUGAAGCUACCCCGCCAUCUCAGCGGAGAAGCAGUGUGGCUUCCACCGAGCUGCUUCAGCCGGAGCAUGUCUUGACGGCUCCUGCCAGCUAUCCCGUGGAUGCUAUCACGGAGUCUCAACAUUGCCACAUUAUGGCGCGAUGGAUGAAUUUGAAGGUCAAGGCGGCUGUUGGCUCUGUUUAUCCUACUGGAUCCGGAGCAACUUAUCACUGCCGGCCGAUUCCAGAAGGAUGUGCUAAGGUGAUGGUGAAUGAAAUAACAAAGGGAUUUGAGUACCUCCUGCUUGACCACCGUACCAGUGAAGGGGAGACUUGGCUGGGUUCUGCUCUGAAGACUCCAUGCCUAUGGCGGAAGGAGCUCAUCAACCUUCUGAACUGGACGCCUCCGCCUCCUCCUCCUCCUCCGACGAGUCAGGGCACUCCGCCUCCUCCACCGCCUCCUCCUCCGGCGAGUGACGAUCAGGGCACGCGUGGCAGCACUCCGCCUCCUUCUCCGGCGCAUGGCGGCACUCCGCCUCCUUCUCCGCCUGCACCGGCGCUCCCGAGCAGCCAGCAUCCUCCUCCUUCUCCGCCUCGCCAGCAAGGGCAGAAGAGACCACCCGCCGCCCCGGCUGGUCCGGCGCGUCGUACUCCUUCUCCUCCGCCUCGUAAGCAAGCACGAAAGAAGACAGACGCCGCAGCCGCUCCGUCUGCUCCGGCAUCUAGCAGCACAACCAGAGGCGGGAGGCAAUACAGAUACGGUCCACCUCUCAAGCCUCUAGAGAAGUUACCGUACGAGAGGACCGAGGAGGAAAACGAUAUGAUUGUGCGGACCCACAUGAAGGAGUUCUUUGAAGGGGUGAAAGCAAAGAGACAUCCACCUUCGGAGGUGAAGGUGGAUCCUGUGAAAGCAAAGCGCACUAUCGAUGCCCUGAGGAAACCACCAAAGUCUCCGCCGAGAACCAACUAUCAGCGCAUUACUGAACAAACAUAUCUCCAAGCCCAGCGGUCGGGAACUACUGUAAGUGAUAAAAGGUUAAAAGAACGAGCAAAGGGGAAAAAAUUGCCCAGCUCGGCGAACAAGCACAGCAAUCGUGCCCCCCGCUCAAUGUGUCUAAUGCUCCGAGGACGGUGGCCGGUUAUGGCAAUCUUGCAGAUUACCUGCCUGAUGAUCAACUUCCUGAUUUCUUGGAGGUGGACGAACACAGAUACGAGUACGGGAAGCCUCUCGUCAAAGAUGAAAAAUCUCUGACAACAAUGAUGCAAAGAUUCCAUAAUUGGUACAUGGAAACUGUCACAUCCCUAGUCUGGUAUGACCUAGACUAGCUAGUCAUGUGUGCAUCAUGUUUAAAUUUCAUUUAAUUCUGAAUUGGGGAUUGUGAAACCCUCAGAAUCAUUUCUGGAAAUGACCCAGAUAAAAAUUGCUCCAAAAAGGUCCAAGAAAAUGUUCAUGUUGCUCUCUGAAAAUAUUGGGCAGAGAUAAAAAUCAAACCAAUAUCUUUAGUAGCUCAUAAGUAUUUAUUUUGGGCAUUUGGAAUUAAUGCAUAAUUAUUUGCAUUGGAUAUAUAUAUGUUAUAUAUAUAAUAUAUGUCCAAAAAUUGUGCCAUUUGUUGGGGAGCUCUGGAAUAAUACCACUAGUUCCUACAAAAAUUGGCAUAAGAAAAUAAAAUGAUUUAGUAUUUUUAUUAAAUCAAAACAAAUGUCAGAAAAUAGAAAAGAGAAACAAAAACAGAAAAAGCUUACCUGACGCUCACCUGGCAGCCUAGCUGGCCCAGCACUGUAGCUGAGGCCCAGCCCACCAGGGCGAAGCGGUCGCCUUCAACCUCUGCCAGUAGGCAGAGGCGUGUCGCCGCGCGCGCGAUCGCCGUGGCCAGCUCCCUGCCUGCUUCCUCCACCCCGACUCCUCCAGACGCGCCACGGAGACGCCCAGCACCCCCUGCACCCCUCUCCUCUCUCCCUGGACCUCUCUCCCUCCUCUGCUCUCUCCCUACGACGCCACCGAACACGCCCAUCGCUGCCGUUUGCCGUUGCCGCGACCACCGCCGUCCCGACGAUGCCCCGAGCUGCUCCCGAGCUCCUGCGCCUAGUCACCAACCCCCUCACCGAGCCACGCGACUGGAAGACCCCCGAAGUGCCGUCCCCGACCCCUUCUUCCUCCUCGGGUCACCGGAGAUCGUCGCCGCCGAUUCGUCGUCCACAGGGCCUCCCCGAGCUAGCUGACCCCCUCUCCAACCCCGCUGUGAGCUCCUCUUCCUCUCCCCCUAGCUCCCGUGCUCGUUUGGCCUCCGUAGCCGCCGUCUCCACCGUGCCCGAAAGCUCCCCGCCGCCGGCCAUGGCGCCGUCGUGGCUAGAGCCACAGCGGCUCGAAGCCAAGCUCACCGUUGCGCUCAGCGCACCACCAGGAGUCCGUAGCGCCCACUAGCCCCCCUGCCUUGCACCGUAGCGCCAAACCCACCACCACCCGAACUCCGGCCGCCGCCCAAGUGGUCGCCGCCGUCGACCCCGGCCUUCCUGCGCCCAGCUGCGUGCACCCCUGGAUGCGGGCGAGUGAGGGCUUCCUCAUGGUGCCCGCAGCGCGUUCAGCCGCCGCCCGUAGCGUGUUCCCGAGUGUCGCCACCACGUUCGCGUGCUCACCGGCGUUCAACUCCGGCGUGCUGACGUGGCAGCGUCAUUAGCAGCUAAUGGCGCCACUAAUUGAACCCACACCCACUGACAUAUGGGCCCCACUGCCUAAUUAACCCUGAUUUAGUUUUGUUGAGAUUAAACUAACCCCGUAGGCCCCACAGGUCAGUUUGACCUGGCCAUGUCACCUGUUGACCUGACCCCACAAGUCUGUGACCCAGACAUCACUGUGUCACUGACCAUUGGUCCUCACUGGUCAGGUUUGACCCGGGGCAGCCCUGUUGACCCUGCUGACGUAAUGCUGUUGUCAUGCUGACGCAGUAAUAUUUUCUAGAAUUUAAAUAAAUCAGAAAUGAUUUAUAAAUUUUAGAAAAUAGUAUAAACUUCUAAAAAUCAUAUAAAAUCAACCGUAACUCCAAAUGAAAUAAAUUAUAUAUGAAAAAUGAUCAGAAAAAUCCAAUCUUUCCAUCUGCAUUGGUUUCAUGCAUGUUAGAACACUUUAACCUUGCUGUUUAGGUGAAACAAGUUAAUGCACUAAUAUGACCUCUUAUUUUGGGUUUGCAUUUGAAUCCUUGAUUCAAAUGAACUCAAACCAAUAUGUUCCAAGUUGCAUUAGCCAAACAAACUCAUUUUGCCAUGUCAUGAUCAUGCAGCAUAUUGUGCAUUGCAUUGAUUGUGUUCCCUCUCGUUUGCCGGUGAUUGUCCCCUCUCAGUAGACGACAUUCGACGAUGAGUUUGAUGACACCGAUGAAGAACUAUACUAUCUUCAAAAGUGCCAGGCAAGCAAAACCCCCUUGUUCAUUCCGAUAAAAUCCCACUCUCUCACUCCUGCUCUCUUUUACUGCAUUAGGACAACAACGAUUCAUUUGUUACUUGCUGCGGUAGCUGAACCCCUUUAUCCUUUGCAUGACCUGUCAUUGCCACAGUAAAUAGAUGAAACCCACUAGCAUGAGUAGGAGUUGUUUGAGCCCUGAUGUGCCUAUUCAUUCAUGGUUGUUGUCAUGCCUGCUAUUUCUUAGAGUUGUGUCAGGUCUGAUUCAUCGGGGAUAAAUCGAAGGUGUGUGAACAUGUCCUACUGUUGAGAGCUAAGUGUGUGAACACGAUUUGGUAAAGGUAGCGGUGAGAGGCCAUGUAGGAGUACAUGGUGGGUUGUCUCAUUGCAGCCGUCCUCAGGAACUGAGUUCUGUGUUUGUGAUCCAUGAACAACUACUACCACACAUUGGGAUCCUUAAUUGACUCUCUCGACUUAUUAAUCAACAUGAUCUCUGUCCAGGAGUUGCAACUAGUUUCUGGUGUUUGUAGGUAGUGUUAGUAGUCUACCAAGUGGCACCCGGUACAGGUGGGCUUGGGACAGACUAGGCACCGUGGCACGGUGUACCAAGCGUAGAUCCACCCGUCGAGGUGGGCUUGGGAACCCUGCUCACAUCGUUUGGGGCCGUGAGCGACACCCCGGCCAGAUCUCCUUGCGGAUGGAACCCGAAUAGGCGAUAAACCUGGACGAGAGACUUGUGUGGUUAGUCAGGUCGUGGCCGACAUCCUCGCUGGGCUUACGCUUGAAGGUUGCCGAGUACAUGUCGUGUAAACGGCGGUAAGUGGUGAGAGCGUGUGUGAAGAAGUACACCCCUGCAGGGUUAAUAUGAUCUAUUCGAAUAGCCGUGUCCGCGGUAAAGGACUUCUGGGUUGCCUGUACAGUUCAUAGACAAGUGAAAGUGGAUACUCUAAAAUACGCAAGAUAAGCGUGAGUGCUAUGGAUGGCGUUCUCGUAGGGAGACGGGAGCGGAUCCAUAGUGGUGUAUUGAUAUGGUGAAUAUGUGGACUCGUGUGCGCCACCUCAAAAGAGUUACUUGCAGUCGUAGUUCAGUAUAGCCACUGAGUCAAAGCUGGCUUGCUGCAGUUAAACCCCACAAUCCCUUUGUUGAUAAUGAUGCAUAUGUAGUUAGAUCUUAUGUAAGUCUUGCUGGGUACAUUUGUACUCACGUUGCUUAAUUUAUGUUUUUGCAGAGAGACUUCAGUCUCGCUAGUAGUACCGCGUGGACUUCGAUGUUUAGCUUGUUACCUCAGCUACGAUCUUGUGCCCUCGGCAGGAUCUGGUAGAUAGUCAGGCUUCUCAACCUUUUUCAUUUGUAGAUGUCUGUACUCAGACAUGUUAAGCUUCCGCUUAUGCUUUGACUUGUAUGCUCUGAUUGUUGGGUCAUGAGACCCAUGUUUGUAAUAUCUCACUCCUCGGAGCCUAUUGAAUAAAAUGCUUGAGUUGUAGAGUCAUGUUGUGAUGCCAUGUUGUAUUUGCACAUAUCGAGCAUAUUGUGUGUAUGUUAUUGAAAUGCUUGGUAUGUGUGGGAUCUGACUAUCUAGUUGUUUAUCCUUAGUAGCCUCUCUUACCGGGAAAUGUCUCCUAAUGCUUCCACUAAGCCAUGGUAGCUUGCUACUGCUCCGGAACACUUAGGUUGGCCGACAUGUGUCCUUCUUCGUUCCUGUGUCUGUCCCUUCGGGGAAAUGUCACGCGAUUAAUACCGGAGUCCUGUUAGCCUGCUACAGCCCGGUUUACCGGAGUCCUGCUAGCCCAGUUGCUACAGCCCAGAUUCACUCGCUGAUGACCGACACGUUCGUUGUUGGGUCAUGUAUGCCUGUCCAUGUAAGUUGGUGCCACUUUGGGUUCACGACUAGCCAUGUCAGCCCGGGUUCUUUGUCAUAUGGAUGCUAGCGGCACUAUCAUAUAUGUGAGCCAAAAGGCACAAACGGUCCCGGGCCAGGUAAGGUGGCACCCGUGGGAAUACCGUGCGUGAGGCCGCAAAGUGACAUGAUGUGUUACAUGCUAGAUCGGUGUGACUCAGGAUCGGGGUGUUGACAGAAACCUGCAGGGAGUCUGGGGGGACGAAUGCUUUGUAUCUGAAUAUUAAAGAGGAGCACGACCUCAUCGCAAGUGAUCUGUUGACUGUUCCAUUUGAUGAGUUCUUCGUGUUCUUCAAUCAAAAGGCCCUCGAUAAACUAAUUGUCUUUUGCUACUGUCUGUAAGUACUAUUUGUGUCAUUAAGUCUCUAUAUAUAGCUCGGCUCUUUCAUUUCAUGUAUUUAUAAUUAAUUAUCCUCAAUAUAUUAUGCAGAUUGAAGAUCGUCGAGUGCAAAAAACAAGAAAUUUAUGAUAUUGGGUUCAUUAACACAAAUAUCAUAGAUGAAUUUCUGGUUGAAAAGGACGUCGAAGAGGCUGAGGACAACUUGCUACGAUGUUGAUCAAAAAUCAAAACAAAGAUACCAUACUCUUUCCUUACAACGGCAAGUAAGUGUUACUGUCGUGUGCAUAUUCGGUUUCCCUUAUUACUCGAGCGAGGUUAUAGUAAUGUAAUUGAUGAGUUAUGCAUGCGUGCGCAGGUACUACUAUGUUCUUCCGGAGAUUAAGCUUGAGUGGGGACUAGUAACCGUCUUAGACUCGAGAUGGAAAGAUCCCAAAACCUAUGCGGACAUGACUGAAUUGCUCAACAAGUAAGUUCAAUCGAUCAUUAUCGCACCAUAUCGGUAACUUUUUGUUCAUUUCCUGAUAUCUCAAGUAAUAAUAAUUAUUUUCUUUGUCUUGCAGGGUUUGGAAACAGUUCACCACAGAAGCUCCGGGACUGCCGAAGGAGCUGCGAUAUACAUACCCGAAAGUAAGUACUACUGGCUAGCUAGUUGCGCGCAUUUUCCGUUGAUUCUAUAGCUAUACUUUCAUCAAUGCCAUUUAUAAUGCUUCAUUAUCAGUUUGAUUGACCUCUAUUUCUCGUAAAGUGCUUGUGGCAGGAACAAGGGAAUGAUUUCUGUGGAUACUACGUGUGCGAGUUCAUCCACAACGCGACUUUGAAAAACAAGCGAGGCUACUCUCAAAGACAAUAUGAAGUGCGUAAGCAAUAAUAUUCACAAUUUCAUUUUAUUACACCAUCAUUUCUGUUGAGUUUCAUUCAUAUAUAUGUAUUAAUUAACCCCCUUCUUCAAAUUAGACGUGGCAGAUGCGGAAUGAACUCCUAGAACCAGAUCGUAUGAAAGCAAUUCAAGAGGAAUUGGCGGGAUUCUUUCUUGACCACGUCAUCAAUAAAGCCGGAGAAUACCAUGUGGAAGUUGAUUUCAAUUGCUAGGGGAUUGUAAUUAAGAGAUCUUACAUAUUGUACAUGUAUGUAGCCAGUAGCGUCGGAUACAUGAUACAAAAACUUGUUGUUCGACCAAUCUCUCCGAGAAGGAGAGGUCGAUCGAUCACUUCUCUUGGUAUGCAUGACGAACUUCUGUACUUAAUGGUUCUCUCAAUCACUUAUGUAUAUAGUACGUAGCGUCGACCAAGCACGGACAUAAGAGAGGACACUUCUCUCUAUUAAUUAGCUAGCUAACACAAUAUAUGAAACACCUAACUUAACCCCCCAAAACCCCCAACCCCCCCCCUUUCAAAAAACAAACAAAAUCCUCAGCUACUGGAAUGCUGACGCGUGGAUGCCUUUUGGUCCCGGUUGGUGCCACCAACCGGGACCAAAGGCCCCCCUGACUGGGCUCGGCACACAGGCCACGUGUAGGCACAUUGGUCCCGGUUCGUGUUUGAACCGGGACUAAUGGGUGGAGGUAUUAGUAACGACCCAUUAGUCCCGGUUCAUGAACCGGGACUAAAGGCCCUUACAAACCGGGACUAUUAGGUGUUUUUCUACUAGUGUAAGUAUGCAAUUUUAGAUAAUCAAUACUUUGAAAGUAUUAGGCUACUGAGAAUAGUAAAAGUGAAAUCAUAUGCAUUCUAUCUGCGAAAAAAAUAGUAUGCCGCUGUUGGAGCUUCUAGUCUAGGUAAAAUAAAUGAGUGUGCUGUUUGUUGUCGCAAAAAACACACACUACAACUAAUCUGUACCUAAAAAAAUAAUUUCUACUUUAUGCACGGAUGAAUCUAGCUUUAUUUUUCGAUGGACUAAUAUGUAGCUAACAAAUUUCUAGUUUGUGCAAGGAUGAAUGAGUCAUCAUAUUCAACGUUUCUGCGAAGAAUAGUGUGGCAUUGCACGCCUUGACAGAUCCUUAAUGCUUAAUUGGCUAGGCCAUCUACUAAUAUGUUUUAUUUGUUAGAAAGUUUGUUUCUAAUUUAAUAUUUUUCAGAAACAAAUGUUAAGGUUAGUUUGAAAGAUUGAUAAAAUCACAUGUUGCAGAUCAAUUUUAAAAAUAUGCAUGUACCUCACCAUAAAUAUUCAUAUAUUUGAAUAAAGUGGUCAUCUCAUGUUUAAAAUGUAUUCCUAAAUAUCCAAAAACAUGUUCUGAAGAAGAGUUAUUCAUGAACAUCUAAAUAUAUGCUCAUAUGCUUUAAAUAAUUAAAUAUAGAUAUUCCGGUAUUUUUCCAAAAGCAUAAGAAAACAAAUGAAAAAACAAAGACAUAGCAGAAAAUGAACAAAGUAAAAUGGAUGCAAAUAAAAUUUGAAGAAGGCAAAACAUAAAAAACACAAGAAAAGGUUAAAAGGGAAAAAAAUGAGACAAAAGGAAAACACAAAAAAUGAUACCCAAACAACAUCAGCCACCCAAAACAUGUAAUAGUAAUGUUUGAGCAGGGAAAGGAGUUGUGCAAGACAACAAAGACUAAUAAACAGCCUUUUUUACUUUACUCUGAGGAGUUGUGCAAGACAACAAAGGUUGCACCAAGCCAUAAGCAGCAUCCACUUCUUCUACAAUGACUUCCAUGCAAAGAAGAUGCAACUCUAAACAUUUUGAUAUGCUUCAAGAAGUUUUUGAGUCUGUAACUGCAUGCAAGGAUGAUAUGAACUGCCAGCCGAUAUAAACAUCGAUGCUGCAUGGUAUCGCAUCACAGCUCCCUUGCCAUGUGUCUGCAAGUCGCUCGUCAAUACUAAAUUCAUCCAUCCUUGAUCCAAUUUAUUUAUGUUUCUCUUCCUACGAUCCAUAUAAAACUUAGGGUUGGCUUUGAUCUCGGUGCAAGUAUAUGUUUUAGGAGUGGACUAUGAUGCGGCAAUAUAUAUGUAACACACAUCGAGUUUACACAACUUCAUCAGAUUUCAGAUGAUACAAGCUAGGGGCAUAUAGGCGCCCGGUACAGUAUUUAAGAUGAUGAUACAAAUCCUCGGUUACAUGGGUCAUUUAUUUGAACACCACAAACUUGACACACUUUCAUGCACUUACAUUUACGUACCUACCUAGUGAUCACUGCAUGCAUGCAUAAUGCUAAUGCAUGACAGAGAACCUAGGCAUGCACAAGACAUAUAGAUGAACUCAAACACAAACUGGAGUAGUGUAUAGACGGCUGCAUGCAUGGCAUGUGUACGCAGCAUGCCAUGCUUGGACGAGUACUUUGAUCGAUCAGUG
rnacentral:lncRNA from 1 species